rnacentral:lncRNA from 1 species
UAGGAUAAAGUCCGAAUGAAACGCUGACGAGGGGGGAAAAACAACAGUGGCAAUGCACUAUCCACAGAUCCAUGAUUGAUUUAUGUUAGCAAUAAUGAAUUAUUUUGACUUUGAUAACCUUGGUUAAGAGAAUUUGGUCUUGUUAUUAUCAUUUUUUCAAAAAAAAAAAGUGUAGGUAACUAGGUAGUUGAUUUAUUAGAAUUUAGAAAUGAGGAUCCCCUCCUCCUGCAAGAGCCGUGACAGACAUGCCUGCUUUCUUGCCAGAUUAUACCAAUGUGCCCAAAUAAUCCCCCAUCUAUCAUCUCUGCACCCUGGAACACGUCACUCCCUCCUUUGAGCAAUAAAAUAUCUCUUUUAUUUUCUUUUGAACCACUCUUCUAUUUCUUUGUACCAGACUGGACCCAUUUAAAUUCUUCGCUACGCUGUUCCCAAGGACUACGAGAAUCAAAAUAGCAAAAUUCUUGAAUCAUUUUAAUGGGUUCAGAAACCACAUGUUUCUCUAGAUCAUAAGAGGAAAAUCUUUUUGGAUGGUGUUUGUGUUGUGUUGUGUUCAAUAUUAAAUACUCAAUUAAAUAAGCUAAAUCAAAUAUCACAUGAAAAAUAAUCAAAUUAAAAAUAGGGAGAAUUAUGUUUUGAGGGUAGAUGGACCCCAAAUUAACAAAAGGUUCAUGUAACUCUUCAAAUUGAGCCCAGACCCAAUGAAAAUAUGGAAAUUGAGUUGAAGUAUAUCAUCAUUCAGUAUUUCCAAAAAUGUCCUUUGUUGAUUUUGAGAAAAAAAUUAAUAUUUUUGAAAAAUAUUUUUAUGUAAUUUAAUAUUUUUUUAAAUACUUUUAUUUAAUUUAAUAUUUUUAAAAAAUAAAUUUAUUUAAUUUAAUAUUUUAAAAAAUAUUUAAUUUAAUAUAUUUUUUAAAUACUUUAAUUUAAUUUAAUAUUUUUGAAAAAAAUUUUAAUUUAAUAUUUUUGAAAAAAAAAUUAUUUAAUUUAAUAUUUUUUAAAACUAUUUUUAUUUAAUUUAGUAUUUUUGAAAAAAAAUUAUUUAACUUAAUUUUAUAAAAUAUUUUAUAUGUGUUCUUAAAGGGUAUAUUUGUCCGUUACUAUUUCAUAUCCUUCAACUCAAUUUAAAGAGUUAUAUGGACCUUUUGUUAAUUUGGGGACCCAUCUACCCUCAAAAGAUAAUUCUCCCUUAAAAAUAUAAAUUUAAAUAUGACAUAAUUAUUAAAUAUGUUAGAUCUUGUAUGAGUUUAUAAGAUUUAUGUUUCAAAAUAACAUGUUUAUAAUUCAUCUAUUGAUUUAUAAUCAAAUUUUAAAUAAAUUAAAGUUAUUCAAGUUAAUAAAUAUGAUUUAUGUUAUAAAGACUAACUAAAAAAUAAUUUAUUAAUUAAACGGAUCCUGGUCAAUAAAAAUUUGAUUUAAAUACGAUCAUACUUAAUCAAAACUUAGGUCAAAUUGUAUUGAUAAAUUACAUCAAAACCUUGUUGUGUUCAAUAUUUUAUAUUAAACUAUUUUUUAAUAAAAUUAUUUUUAUAAAUAUAAUAUUACAUCAUUUGGAGAAACAAAAUAGUAUUAUAUUGAUUUUACAUAUAAAGCAACCAGUUAACCCCUCAUUAUUUUGAUCCAUUUCACAUCCAUAUCAUUCUCAUAAUUUUUUUAUAAUAUAUUAACAUGAUGGACGGUAAUUGAGGGUAGAAAAAAAAGAUGAGAAGAAUAAAAUAAUGUGAAUCCUCUCUAAAUGUUACAUCUUCUGACAAAUGAAGUCUAUAGAAAUGUGUAAAAAAAAAAAAAACACUUAAUUGUGAGGUUCACUUGAUUUAGCAAAAAAUUAAUAUUUUAUUUGUUGUGUGAUUUAAAAAUAAUAUUUUAUUUUUAAAAAUAAAAAAUUAUUUUUAAAGUUUUUUAACACUAUUUUACUAUUGUUCUUUGAAAUAAUUUUUAAAAUUAAAAUGAAAUAACUAAUAAUUUUUAGAUAAUAAAUUAAAGUUGUUUUUAUUAGAUUUUAAAAAUAAAAGAAAAAUAUAAAACCAUUUGAUCAAAUUUUUUUAAACUUAUUUUUAAAAGGUUUUUUUUUUUUUUUUUUUUUUUCUAUCCUAAGUUAAAAGAUAAAAAAUAAUUUUUAAAGAUAGGUUACGAGCAAAUGCCACAAACUUUUUUCUUCUCUUUCCCUUGUUCGGAUAGAAGUGAAAAAUAUCCUCCCAUGGAUCGACAUUACGUGAGCCAUCACCAUUCCCCAACUGCAAUUCAACCGCCAAAGCUGAGGUGUCAUUAUUAGUUUGAACAAAAGUCAGCAUUGUCCACGUGGUGACAAGCGGAACUGACCCAACUUGCAAGGCAAAAAAAUAAAUAAAAUAAAAUGAAAAAAUCAGAUCACCAUUAUGACGUCAGUCCAAUUGCUGACCUGGCCGCCGUCCCCCAUUUGACCCACGUGUUCAUUUAACCCAUUCGCCGUAUGCCGUGGCUCCCCACCCAUAUGGCCAUAUCUGCCAUUUAUUUUAUCCGUUGCCUCCAUUCGGUUUUUGGAUUUUACCCAUUCGCCCUCGUCUAUUCCCAUUUCCGUAUUUGCCCACCAAGGAAAUUCAAUUCCCAUGCUUUUGUUUUACAUUCAAAUCCUCCCCCCUCUAUAUAAAGGAGGGAGUAGGGCUUGAAAGUUUCUCAAGCCAACAUGGACUGUUGAGAGUGAAAGACAGAGGAGCCACAAACAAAUAUCACUCACUCAAACCAAAGCCAAAACCAAUACCGAAUUCAAUUCAAAUGACUUCUUUCUCUCUCAUCAAUUCCCUGAAUUCCGAUUCCGAUUUCAAUUUGUUAUCGGAUUCUUUUUCCUGGGAAAACUCCCUACCUUUCAAUGAAAACGACUCCCAGGAGAUGCUCCUCCUGGGCAUGCUGGCCAGCUCCACUCAGGAAACCUCAGAAACAGUUUCUUUGAAUCGAGUGAAGGAGGAAGAAGUGACUUCCCAGGAAAAUCCCGAGAAGGAGAAGUCAUACAGAGGCGUUAGGAGGCGGCCAUGGGGGAAAUUCGCAGCAGAAAUAAGGGACUCGACCAGGCAUGGCAUAAGGGUGUGGCUGGGAACAUUUGACAGUGCAGAGGCAGCUGCUCUGGCCUAUGAUCAAGCUGCUUUUGCGAUGCGGGGCCCUGCGGCAGUCCUCAAUUUCCCGGUGGAAAGAGUGAAGGAAUCGAUGCAGGAGAUCAAGUGCAUCUUGGAGGAGGGGGGCUCACCAGUGGUGGCCCUCAAGAAGAGGCACUCUAUGCGGAGAAAAAGUCCUUGCAAGAAACAUAAAAGUGAAGAGGUGAGGUUAGAAAAUGUGGUAGUGCUGGAGGAUUUGGGUACUGAAUACUUGGAACAGCUCCUCACUUUCUCUGAGACCUCUAGUCCUUGAUCAUCAUCAUCCAUCACCUGGAUAGCUUCUUCUCUUUGCUCUGUUUCUUACUUUUCUCUCUCUCUCUCUCUCUCUCUCUCUUUUUUUUUUAUGUAAUUUUUCUUAAUGUAUUUUUGGAGAUGGCGGGGGUGUAGUGGUGGCAAUUAUCCAUCUAGAAUUUUUCAAAAGAUAUGUUCUUUUGUUUCUUUGUAUAAAGUUGAAAAGUGGGGAUCAAUUGUGAUGGUGCUCUAUGUUCAUCCACCCAAUUUAUAUAAUCAAGGUGAUUAAUGUUUUUUGAUAUCAACAAUUUGUGAAUGACAUAGAGAGAGAGAGAGAGAGAGACCUUAUUUUCUACACUCAUUACGGUGGUUUCCAUUUGGGGAAGGAAAAGGAAAUGGCUAAGAAUGUUACCAAAAGAAGUGGGGUGGCUUUCAUAUGCGUGGUGGCAUACUUGCAUACAAACUUUUCAAUUGUGUUCUGCAUGCCACUCGGGUCAAUUUCAUUUCUUUUACUCCUAGUAGCCUAAUUGGAUUUCCUUUUUCUCAUGAGACAUCAAAUAAAUUUCAUUUUUUUAUAUUUAAAUAGUUAGGUAAGUUUGAUAGUGAGUUAUAUUUUAUACAUUAAUUCAUCUUUUAGAAUGUUGUCUACAAUAUAAACAGUGUAAUUAAUUUCAUCAUUACAGAACAGUCAUCUUAUAAAAUAACAUAAAAAUUAUUGGAUCACUUGUAUGGCACCACUGAUUUGGACUUGGUAUGGCUCUGUUUGGCUUCAUAGAAAAAAUUUGGACCCAAUUUGAAUGUCUUGCAUAAAAAGAGAUACGUCCCACUUUGAAUGAUAUUGAAGAAAAAAAUUUCUGAUGAAGAAUAUAUUGUUGGCAGGGUCAUGCAGGCCAAUAGGGAAACGAUAAAUUCAGAAGAAUGAGUCCAAACCAGUGGGCUUGAAAAUUAAGAAGAGAAUUGCUGUAUAAAACAAUCAUUUCUUAAUCGAGUUCACUUUCUGAAUAAUCGUCACUUUGAGAAUGCAUACUUAGGAAGAUGAUGAUCCUUAAUGGGAAUAAUCAAAGGCAUCAAAAAAUUGUUCUGGAACAAUUCUUGAUUGUCUCCAGUAAAAUUCAAAGUCAAAAGUCAAAAGUCCAGUCGGUCAACACCAAACCAGGCCAGUCCAAAAGACAUUAAUUUGCAAUCUAGAAUCUAUGAUGAGGUGGCGAAAUCAAACCUUGGCUUUUCACCAGGGAAUGGUACUCUGAAUUUGGUCAGUUCACUGUUUCGAGUGAAUAGGGUGUAGUAAUUAGUAAAUCAUAUUUUAGAUUUGUGUCACAAGUUACAAGGGAUAUGGGCUGACGUUCAAUUUUGGCGACAAUUUGUGGGCCCGUAUAUUUGUUGAGAUGUGGAAAUUGGGUGUGUGCUUUUUUCUGCUACCACAUAAAUAUAUUUCUUUGAAUUGAAGAGUGUUUCAGACCAUUUUUUUUCAAGUCACAAAUGGACAACUGAUUGAGAUUGUAUUGGUGAGAGUAGGAGUUUAUUUUGGGCUGGUUGAGCGAAGUUGAAAGUCGAGUUGGACCUAACCCUUGAAUUCAGCAGACUACAGUCCGAUCCUGUAUUUUGGAUUUAGGGAACCUUCUUUCCCAGAAGCUUCGUCUGGGUUUUAAAGUCUAAAUGUGGCUACUCUUAAACAUUGGAGAAAGGAUGAGCGUUCACAAGCAAAUGGGUAAUUGUGGAUGGUUCAAGGACCUGGCCAGCUGGUCUUCAAGUUUGGAUGCCGGUUUGGGCCUGAGAGAGUCUUUGCAAAGUGACUUCACUUCAGCCUAUGAGAUCAAGAUAUCAUGGUGAUGUCCGAUCACUUAGGUUUCAUUUUCACCUCGGAUUACCGUUACCAUGUUCAUGAAUAAAAAUAAAUAAAUAAAUGAAGCCUUAUAGAGAAAUUAAUGAAGUGAGCUAUACAAGCAACUGGGCCAGGAGCCUACAAGGCAGAAAUUCCCUGCCCUAGACUAGGCCGAAUAAAUUAGAUGAAUGAAUUGGGGAAACCUGGGCCAGCCACACAUCCUCCUGAAGGCUGAUGUCGAACUCGCUUACGAGGAAUGGACAUGGGAGAUUGGGCUGGGACCAAAUAACCAAUUGACAGCCCUAUCCUUGUGGCAAGACGUCAGUAAAAUGGUUCAUUCUGAUUUUACGCUGCCAUUCAAUUUAAUUUUAAUUUUUGUUUAAAGCGAUGUACAAAUUGAAUGGUGUCUAGUCACUUAAAGAGUGGUUCAUAAUACACUUAAUUUAAACAAAAAAGAAAUUAUUAGAUAGGGGAUUCUCCAAUAAAAACCACCCCAUCUUGUCAGCAAGUCCGGAAACUUCCUUCACUUAGGGCGUAUUUGUUUUUUUAACUUUAAUAUUAAAGAAAGUUGGUUAAACCUUAUGACACUUUUAUAUUAUUUUAUGAAUUUUUUUUAAUUUUUAUUUUAAUGGAAUUUUAACUUUAAUACAAGUUGGAGUAAUUCUUAUCUUAAAAACAAAUCAAAAUUACUUUAAUUUUAUAUAGAAAUAAACUUACAGUAAAUUUACCAUGAAAAUUUCUAAGUCAAAUACACCAUAAGUGCUAGUAUUUUAUAAUAUUUAGAAACAUGUUAAAUUAUUAUUAUUAUUUUUUAAAAUUAUUAGUUUUCAUAUUAGUUUUAGGGAAACUUGUGCUUUAGGUCUUUUAUUUGCAAAUAAUAUGGUUUUCAAAUCCUAAGAAUAGAAAAUAUGAGAAUCAACUGUUAAUGUGGAAAAUAAUAUCAAUUUUGUGCAAUCUCUAUUGACUCAUUUUUUUGUGCCUAGAUUGCCUUCACCCACUUCCAUGUCAACAACCACAUUAAUAGAUUGUUUUUUUUUUAUAAAACAAAUAAUUAUUAUGUUUAAAAUUUUGGGGAAACUCUCUAUCUCUCUUACUUCUUCACUACAUCCGAGACCCAUCUUCCUUAAACGUUUGCCUCUCAUUUUGCCCUAACCCCAAAUCUCAUAAAUUUCUCAUUUUCUUGCCUCAUUUGAAAUAUGAAGAUGACCGAUUCUCAAACAUCUCUGUCUCUCUCUUCACGUUUUGACCAGUCUAAUUGGAAACCCAUUUUCCAAAAACCUUCUUUCUUUCAUUUUGCCCUAACCCCACUAUCUCCCUCUUCAAGACCUAAUCACCCAAACUCGAUAUCUAUCUUCCCAAAACCUUCAAGCAAACUGAACUAGACCCAUAUCUUCUUUUUUCAUCAUCAAAGGUGAAAUUUUUUUAAGGCUUUUGGAAACCGAAUUGGAGCUUUCCCUUCUUCUGGGAUUAAUCAUUCGCAAGUGAGUUUUCCAUUUAAGGCUUUGUUUGGCUGUUGAAAUCUUGGGAUCAAAGGUCUUUUAUUUUCAGGUUUCUUGUAUUUUGCUUUAUUUUCUUGUAUAUAACAAUAAUCAUUGUAACAUAUGCUAGUAGUUACCCUUGGUGCAACUUUACAUUUCCAAAUACCCUAAAGUCCAAAGCUUUUAAUUCCCUUUUCAAAGCUUUCAACUUUGAAAGCAGACUAAACCAUAAGAACUAUGAAACUUAUAUCUCUAUCACCACUAAUUAAGCAUGUCUAUGAAUCCUUCCACUUUAAGUCACUUAUUCUCAAACCAAGAAGGGCUCCUCUCAUUCUCACCCCACCUCAUCUAAAUGAGGGAAAUGAUCAAUUGCAGCCAUGCUUUGCACCAAAUUAGAGAAGUGAUCCUCCCAAUCAUCCAUUACCAAAAAUUGAUCAUGCUGAUGAGAUCAUAAGAGUCUAUUCGGAACUCCCAGUUUACUUGCCUCUUAUCUCAGGAUCCUCCAUUACCCCCUGUCUUUCCAACAUCAAAUCAACUUGCAAACAAUUCCUUUGUAGAUAAAAUGUUUUUAAUAUUGCAAAAGGGGACUUAUCAUAAUGGUUGAAUCGAUUUAUUUGAUAUAAUCACUCAAAUUCAAGCUUAAAAUUGAUCAUAAUAAAAUGUUUUUAAUAUUGUUAAAAGGAGAUUAUAAUGGUUUUAUUUGAUAUCAUUACUAAAAUUCAAGCUUUCAAACAUGCUCUACAAAGAAGUUCUAAAAGACUACAAGAAAGAGUUUCCACUAAAGAAAAACAAUGAAACCAUUUCUACUAAAGACAAACAAUGAAACCACAGAUGCUUUGUGAAAUAUGUACCCGCACAAUCCAACAAACUUUAGAAAUUCACAAACACUACCUAGAAUUUUUGCUGACCAGCAAAAAAUUUAUGCAAUUUAAUUCUUAUUGUUAUUAUUAUUUUCAAUGUGAACAAAUAUGAUUGAAUUAUGAAGUAUUUGGCCAGAAGAGGAUCUUGCCUAAUUAUAGUCAUUAAACAACCAUUUAUACCAUAGCCUCUAGACUUUAAAAAGUUUAUAAAACUCAAGGGCUUCCACCCAAUUUCUAGAUAUCUCCAUAACAUUCUUCUGACUAUUAGAAAGCAAUUACCACUUUAAUUUUUCAUUUCAUGAGUGUUCAAUUCAGAAAAAGACCAGGAUCGAACUUGCGAUCAUGCAGUCGAAAAUCCACCUGUGCAUGAAACUAUUGCCUCACGAUUGCAAACUCAAGUUGGAGUCCAGUAACAACUCUAGGUUUGCUGAUGUGCUCCAUUUGAAAUAAAGGAACUAAAGAAUACUUUAUAAAGAUUAAUUACCUUCAUAUUUUAGGUUGGGGUUAAGGCAAAAUGUGAUAGAUUGAGAGGAAGAAAAUAUAUCUUGUUCAGGAAGCCAAUAUUUUGGAGUUCACCUUUCCAUUCGAGUCCACUCUGCUAUAGCAAAAUCAGAGUCACAACUAUGCCUCUUUAAGCUAUCCUUUAAUUGGAUGAAUUGCAGAUUUGGUUGCUGAGAAAGUGGAUAAGAAAGAAAAAUGCAUACUGUAGCUUGAGAUUAAGAGUUUGUUUUCUAAAAUGAGAGAAAGGGAAAGAGAAAAAAUGCAUAUUGUAGCUUGAGAUUAAGGGUUUGUUUUCUAAAAUGAGAGAAAGGGGAAGAGAAAUGUUCGACAACUUUGAGAUGACAAAUUUUUAGAUUUGGAAAAUUUGAGAUGAGUCUCAGGUUUUUUUUUUUUUUUUUUUGUCUUUGUCUUUGUUUUUUUUUUUUUUUUUUGUUUUUUUCCCAAAAACAACCUGUUAAUGUGGUUGUUGACAUAGAAGUGGGUGAGGGCAAAAUGGGCAUAGAAAAAAGAGUCAACACAAAGUGCACAAAACCCAUAUUAUUUUCCACAUUAAUGACUGAUUCUCAUAUUUCUUGUUCUUGGGAUUUGAAAACCAUAUUAUUUGCAAAUGGACCUCCCAAAGCACAGGUUUCCCUUAGUUUUAUGUCUCCAUCUACAUUUUACAUAUAAAUAGAUUAUUUUAUAAAAUUUGUUUUGUAGAUAUAUUAGUUAAUAAUUAUAUAAUUAAUGAUAUAGAAAACAUAUAAAAAUCAUAUUUAAAAAAGAUAAUUACAUAUUCCUCAACAAUCCAUCCCAAGAAUUCGAGGUUGAGUUGAAAACAUGUAGAGUCUUUGAUGUUAUUAUAAUCAUAUCCAACACAUAUGAUUAUUGUUUAUGAGAUAUUAUUAGAAAGUUUGUCUUAAAAUAAUUGAUUUAUUACCCACCUUUAGCAAAUGCCCAUUUUUGCGUCUUUCAAAAUUUUCAUUUUUUUUUUGUUUAAAAGAAGUAUUGUAAAGAAUGAUGAAAUAAGAAAUUUGUUGAGAAAGUGUGAGUAAAUAAUUUUACAUAAAAAGAGAUUUAAUACUUGAUAAAUAAAAUAAUAAAAUCAUGAUUUCUAGUUGUAUAGGGCCGGGUGGAUGGAGUGGCUAAGAUGUAAUUCUUGAAAUAGAGGAGACAACAUCAAUGUAUAAAAGUUUAACAGAGAAGGAAAGUGUGUUUGAAUGACUUUAUUUUCUUCAUUUAAAGUUUUGACGAUGAGUGUUUAUACAAGAUAAAUUUUCAAAUGAUAGGACUCCUAUUUACAUGGAGUUUGUGAUAUACUAUGAUUAUACAAAUUUAAAAUUCAAACAGAUUCAUGAGUUGAUAGGAGUCUGCUCAAUACGCCCCUUCAAAAUGGUGGGAGAUAGCACACCAAUCUUGACUCGAAGGGCCUAAACUCGUGCAGAAGAUGAGGGCUUUGUUAGAGCAUCGACAAGUUGAUCCGUGGUUGACAUAUGGGACACCUUGAGCUCACCUGAUUAAACCUUGUUUCAAACAAAAUGAAAAUCAAUCGCCGAUGUGUUUCAUGGAGAGUGAAACAUGGGAUUUGCACAAAGAUAUGUUGCACCCACGUUAUCACAAGAGAUAGGAGGUGGUGAUAAAUUUGAAACACUAAGUUUUGAGAGAAGAGAAUUAACCCAAAGAACCUUUGAGGCUGUAGAGGCCACGACGUGAUAUUUCGCUUCAGUGGAAGAGCGUGCUAUGAACUUUUGUUUCCUCGAUGACCAAUACACAAGAUUGUGACCAAGAAAAACAAUGGGAGCAUUGGUGGAGGAUCUGACAUAAGGAUUCCUUGCCCAUUCAACAUUCGAAUAUGCAUGUAGAUUGAUGGGCGAUUUCUUAUGCAAGAACAGACCAUGCACCAUUGUGCCGACUAAGUAUCUAAGCAAUCUUUUAACACAAGACCAAUGUGUUGAUGUUGGAUGGUGCAUAAAUUGAGAUAAUUUAUUCAUCAAGAAGGUGAUGUCAGGGCUAGUAAGAGAGAAGUAUUGAAGGCUUCCAACAAUUGACAUAUAUUUAGUGGGACCAGGAAAAGAGGUGUCAUCACACAGAUUUGGAACAUUGUUGAGGAACAUCAAUGAUUGAACUGGUUUGGUAGCCACCAUUUGUGUUUUCUUAAGAAGCUCUCGAAUGUACUUGAGAUAAAAAUAAUCCUUUGGAAGUAUGUAUCAUUUCAACACCAAGAAUAAAAGAUGAAGUCCUGAGAUCCUUAAUGGAGAAUUUGACUGCUAAUUGAGAGAUCACGCGAGCACGAAAAACAUUAUUGUUACUUGUUAAAAUAAGAUCAUCAAUAUAAAUAAGUAGGUAAACAAUGAGACCACUCUUUUUAAAAAUGAAGAGGGAUGUCUCGGUUUAGGAGUUGACGAAGGCUAUUGAGAGGAGAAAUUGGCAAAGUUCAUGAUACCAUGAUCGUGGAGCUUGUUUAAAGCCAUAAAAAGCCUUACAAAGUUGGCAAAUGUGAUGAUGUGUGUAUUCGUGAACCCAGGAGGUUGAAUCAUGUAAACAUCUUCAUGAAGUGUCCUAUGCUAGAAUGCAUUAUUAAUGUCCAAUUCAUGAGUUGAUAGGAGUCUGCUCAAUACAAUGUGGGAGUGUGAUUUCAAAAUUAGGGUAAUUUCGAAAUGGAUUUUGUAUUCACAAGUUGAAUUUCAAAAUUAUUUUGAAAUGGUCUUUUAACUUUAAGCAGUUGUGUUCAAAAGGUCAUAACUUCUUCGUUUCAAUUUUGAUUUACACAUUGUUUAAAACAUUGGACUCUUUACUUCCCGAGCUUCAAAACGAUAUAUAGUAUGCUCAAAAAUGACAUCAGGAUUGGUUCAAAUUUCAUCUUGAUAUUAGAGUACAUGUUGUGAUUAGAUUUUGAGUUCCAAAUUUCCAUGUAAACUUGAUUGCAUUUGCUUCAAACCUCCUUCAUUAUGGUUGCUUGCCCUCUAUCUCACUUUGCAACAUUUGUUACUAGUAUUUUAUGUCCAUGACUUACUCAUUUCAACCUUUCUUGGAUUCUUCAUGGUUCACAAAUUAUGGAUUCUUCAUGGUUCACAAAUUGAGUCUUUCAAUUAUGCAUGUUUAACUCCUAUUUCCUUGGUUGAUAAUGACUUUUACACUUAUCAUUUUCUUUUAUUCUUUAAACCUGAAUUUAGACUUACAAAAAAAAGUUAGAUCCAUAACUAGGGUCUUAGCAUCAAUUUGAGUUAAGUUGGAUGAUUUGAAAAUUUUAUAUUACAUAAAUCAUAUCAUACAUGUGCCAUUGGAGUGCACAUUUUGGCUCUAAUCAUGUUCCAACCCAUUGUUUUACUCUUGCAUGAAGUAUGUGGCCAUUGAUUUUAAUUUUAUUUGCGAUUAGGUUCAAAAUGGUGCUUUUGUGUUGCUCAUGUGUCAUCAGAAGAUCAACUAAUGGAUUCUCUAACAAAACUACUACAUCAUAGUCAUUUUUUUUUUUCUUAAGACCAAGAUUGAGAUCUCCAAUCGGAGCCAACUCCAUCUUGGGGGCAUGUUAGUGAAAGAUAAAAUUUAUCUUUAAUUUAAAUAUUAAUAUUUAUCAGUUAUUAGUUUUAAUUAGAGUAAAAGAUAGAGUUUAAAUUGGAGUAGGAGAUAAACUUGUGUUUGAACUAGAAUAGAAGAUAAAGUAUAAAGAUUUAUGUUUGAAUUAGAAUAAAAUAUAAAGUUUGAAUUAGAGUAGAAGAUAAACUUGUUCUUUAUUUGUAUAUAAAUAUUCAUCAAUUCUUGAGAAGAAGAUUAUUUCAUAGUUUUUCUAUCUUCUUUUUUCUUCAUACAUAUCUGCAAGAAAUUGAAGAUUUCAAGUAAAAUAUUUUCUGUUUUAAAUAGUGAAAAAAGCUAGAAAUUCACUUUGUUAUCUCUUGGGGUAAAUUGACAAGGUUUAACGUUAAGAAGGUGAAUUAUUUUUUCAGAAAAACUGAAGUAGCUAGGAUAUCUGGCCAGUUGUGAUCGAUAAAAAAGUUGUAAAAUCUCUCAUAUACUAAACAGGUUUUGGAUGUUGGUAUGGUAAAUCCAUCUGCAGUCAUUCGUCAUCUCAUCUAGUGAGAUGUUUGGGAGGUGGUGACCGCCGGAUUGGGUUUCAUUUGGUUAAAUCUGUCAGUGGGUUGGCUACUACCCGAGCCUCUUGCUUUGGGGGAGGUGGGUUCUAGAUAUAAUGUUCAAACCAUUUUAGUUAUCAUAUGCAUGACAUGUAAGCAUAAUCUCUUUAUCACUUCUUCAAUGGGAGUUCAUGGUUAGGAAUUGACUUCUUUUCUUCUGGGAUGCUUGGCAUGUAAUGGACAAAGUUACUUUUAUAUCGAUCGAAUUUCUAGUAUUAUAGUGAAGACUUACCCUUUUGACAUUUUAUAUCGAAUUAUAGAAGAUGAAAGGGACAUACAUGCAAUCGACUGACGCUUUAGUGAAUAUGCUGAAAAUAUGCUGAUGCUGUGGAGAUCGUAUGAGGACAGAGGAAAAAGAUAGAAAUGGAUAUAUAAUUAGACCUAGGUUUUUAUUAAAUGAGAUGGGGAACAUAGAGUGAGGGAAAAUCAAAAUUUUUGGCUGCAGUUCACAUUGGUGAUAUUUUGGAUUGACAAAGACUAACGACUUUUCUAUUUUUCUUUUCGGCCUGACUGGAUAGUUGGACAUGGACAAUACAGAAUCCACAGAAGGAUUGUUGGGACCGCUGAAAAUUAGCUAGAAGAAGCUGAGGAAGUAGUCUACGUAGUCAAAUACCAAACACAAAGAAAGAAAGAAAUGGAUAUCAUGGAUGCCUAGAGUUAUACUCCUAAUACCGUCACAGGUAUUUUUCUUUCCUCCUUUUUUUUUCUACGAUAAUUAGAGCAUUUCUCCUCCUCCUCCUCCUCCUCCCCCCACCCCACCACCAAAAAAUAAAAAAAUAAAUUAUUGCAAGUAACACUUCAAAUAUUAAUUUAUACAUUCUAAAGUAUAUAUUCAUGAAAUAACUUGAGUAUCAUACAUUAGUUCUCAAAAAAAAAAAAAAAAAAAAAAAAAAAUUACUGGAAGAGAAAAGUUUAAGAAAACAUAAAAAUAUUCAACUACUAUUUUAAAGAGAAAAUUUAAUUUUUACACUAUAAAUUUGAAGAGAACUUUUACAUGCAUCUUAUAUAAACUACCAUUUUUUGCUAAAAGGCUUAAAUUUGUCAAAAAUACCCCUUAGGUGCUUAACGUUCUGGUCAUAAUAUAAUUGGCAUCUUUUCUCAAACAUAAGGCCUGUGUGUGGGAACAAGAUUUAAUGUUAAUGAGCUUCGCCACCGACAUUUAGUUCCAGAAAUCAUUAUUUUAAUAGAGUGGGCUCAAUUUACAACUUUAAUUAAACUCUAACCAACUGCAUUGUGAAAUGAAUAUGUUUCUUUCGUGGUGAAUCCAAUGAGUUGGGAGUCAAACUUUGCUUCAUUGUGUAUAGAUGAAAUGUUAAGACUCCAUGUAACCUCAAACAUUUCCGCAAUNNNNNNNNNNNNNNNNNNNNNNNNNNNNNNNNNNNNNNNNNNNNNNNNNNNNNNNNNNNNNNNNNNNNNNNNNNNNNNNNNNNNNNNNNNNNNNNNNNNNUUCUUUCGUGGUGAAUCCAAUGAGUUGGAGUCAAACUUGCUUCAUUGUGUAUAGAUGAAAUGUUAAGACUCCAUGUAACUCAAACAUUUCCGCAAUGAGCGGGAGUUCUAAAUUUAAUAAUUGAAAUUGUCAGUGGAACCAGUGGACAAGAGUUGGUUUGUGGUUGACAAACUUAUCCGUUUGAUCUUUACUUGAACAGUUCCAGUGUGUGGAUGGGUACUGAUGAAGUGUGCGCAUUUAUUUUGAGAAGCCUGCUUGUUCGCAUAGAUUUUAACGACAUGAACAUUGUGGUAAGGUUAGAGAGUAAUGCGAAUGUAGGAGCUUAUAUUAGAAAUGACACAAACACGUAAAUAGAAGUAAUCUAUAUAUGAUAUUACUCAUGGACUACAAGCAAAGAAGUACAAUACAUGGAGUAAGUGAUGAAAUGAGCAUUCCUCACUACUACUGCUUGACUGAUGGAACAUGAUGCACGAGAUAGCAUAAGUAGUAGUAGGAAGCAGCUCUUAUUUGUGGCGUCGGUAUACAUCAUACUAGGUAGAUGGUUCAAUUGGCAUGGAUGGGUGGUGGAGCCUUGAAGUGCUUGUGAUGGGGAGCCCACGGCUUCUUCUCAGGAGUUGGUGGCUUCUUGUAUGGAGUUGAUGGAGGUGUUUCUACUGGAGGGUGGCCAGGGUAGUGACCCUGGGGUGGUGAAGGUUCUUUUGUCGGUGGUGGCCUCACUAUUAUUGGCGGUAGAGUUGGUGGCUUGGGCGUUGGCGGUGGUCUCACUACUCUUGGGGGUAGAGUUGGUGUCUUGUGUUUUGGUGGUGGAGGUGGCUUAACAGGAGUUGGUGGCUUGUAUUCUGGGGGUGGUUUCUCCACCGGAGGUGGCUUAUAAACUGGAGUUGGUGGCUUGUAUUCUGGGGGUGGCUUCUCCACUGGUGGUGGCCUGUAAACAGGGGUUGGUGGCUUAUAUUCUGGGGGAGGCUUCUCCACUGGAGGCGACUUAUAAACAGGGGUUGGUGGCUUGUAUUCCGGGGGUGGCUUCUCUACGGGAGGUGGCCUGUAAACAGGGGUUGGUGGCUUCUCCACCGGAGGUGGCUUAUAAACGGGGGUUGGUGGCUUGUAUUCUGGGGGUGGUUUCCCCAGUGGUGGAGACUUGUAAACAGGAAGAGGUGGUUUGUGCUCAUAUGGGGGUGGCUUGUGGUCAUUAGCAAGUGAGGGAGUGGUGAGGACCACCAAUCCAAGGAACAACACGAGUGAGCAAGCAGAAGACAUGUUUGGGCUCUGGUGAUGCACAAGUAGAAGAAAUGGGAACCAUUUAUAAUGCUUCGAGACCUUGGUUAGCACCAAAAUAUGUCAAAAUCUUGAUUACUUCAUUUCAUACAUAGAUUUAAAAUUAUUUCAAUCAACCAUGAUCCUUAAUUUUCUGGGUGGUCCAUAAAUGUAAUGGGGUCAAUUUGGGACCUAACAAGCUGAGAAGUUUGACAAUGCUGCAAGGCUUCAUCCGAAAGUCCGGGGAAGAAUAUUAGGAGUUACACUCCGUUUCCUUUUUUGGGUGCAUUUUUCUCCUUUAACAUUCUAUUCCCUUUUACAUUAGCAUUUGAUCUUAGCUCAUUUCAAGUACAAGUUUCUUGAACCCUAUACCAUUGUCAAAGUUGAGUAACCAUCUCUACUUUGCUCAAGAAACAUAAAAGACAAUGACAAUAAAGAAAAAGGAGAGAGACCAUACGUGACUUGGUUUAUAGGUGGCUUUGUGUUGACAUUUGAGUAUGGAAGCCGACAUGCAUCUUAGCUUCGAUUUUAAUUAAAUUUGUACAUUAGUGUCUGUGUCAUUCAUUUUGGUAUAAAAGGUCUCUUGAUUUCGUAAGUUUGGUAAGAACCGUUGAAAAUAGCAGUAGCAGCACAUGGUCCACUUUCUUUCACAAAAUAAUUUUAAAAGUUUAGAAGCAUAGGAGGUAACAUUAGUGGCCUUGUGGCUCAGCCACGAGUACUAUGUGGUGCUCGAGAAAUUGAGUUUAAUUUCCUUCCGAUAGUUCAUGAUAAGGUCCGUCACUGUCCUGAGACAGAUUGCGUUUUUUCUUUUUUCCUUUUUUAGUGUUUUAUUGACUAGCUAGGUGUGACUUUUCCUACUUUAAGGCACGAGGCAGAAAAGAAACUGGGAUUUAGUGCUUAAGAAGGCAAAUUUAAUUCGAUUUGGAUCUAAAAUUUGCCAGCAACAUGAGAUUUUCCAGCCUAUCGUUGCUCCACAUAUAGACAAGGCACUUGUAGAAGUGGCUUGUUUGUAGCCAUUCCCGAUAUUUGGACUCACUUGAUUCACCGGACACUUUGAUAAAAUUUAAUAUUUAUUAUUUAAUAAUUUAAAUUGAUUUAAAAUUAAAUUAUACCGAAGUUGUGAUUUAAAAAUUAUUAUUUAAUUCUUACUUUUAAAUAUGAAGAUUAUUUGAUAAAAAUAAUUUAAAAUUUAUUAUAAAUUAUCAAAUUAACAUAUUUAUCCUUAUAAAUUAUAAUUAAAACAGAAAAGGUCAAAUGAUUUGAGUAUCCAUAGAUGUGGUAAAAUAAUAAAAAAGAUUAUAAAAACAAUUAUGAUAAAUAAAGAUAAAAAGUAAAAUGAAUAUGUGAAUUUAAAGAAUAAAUUAAUUAUUUUUAUUUAUUACUUAAAAUUAUUUUUGACUUUAAAUUAUAUUAUUAAAUUAUUUUACCAAACAUACUUAAUUUAGUUAAUAAUUUAAAUUUAAUUUAAGUUAUUAAAUUGAUUCACCAAAUACCCACUUAAUCAAAGACUGAAGUAUACAUUAUUUGGCCAAAUGCAGCUAUUGAAAUUUAACUUUUUCCAAACUUAUUCAUUUUGUGGAAAUAUUUUUAGAAAUGAUUUUAAAAAUGCACUAUUCUGUGUGUUGAUUUUAUAUUUUGGCAUUAAUCCAACAUAGAAAACGGUUCUUAUUUUCGCUGUUAAAUAGGUACCAGAUCCUUAAUUAGUGCCGUGAAUCCGGCAGCUUCCAAUGAGUAAUUUGGACUUGGGUAUUGACAAUGUGUGGCCAUGCUUCUACUAUUUUAUUAUUCUUGAAACAUAUAUGAUAUAUUGGACUUUAUACAGGGAAAAAAAAAAAAAAAAGUCUUCACCAAAAAUGAUUCCUCCUAAAAAAUAGACUCCACAAACUAGGUUUAACAGGAAAAUGAUUCUAAUCUAGUAGUUUCCAGCCACAUGAGCAUUUACGUAACAAUAGUAUAGUUGAUAACGACUUUUAUUUUAUUUAUUUUUAAAUAGUUAAAGGGAUAAUUUUUGAGCUUAAAUUUUAUUUUUUUAUUUAGAAACAUUUUACUUUAUUUUUUAAUCAUAAUUCUAUUAUAUUAAUGUUUUAUUUUCUAUUUUUUAAUAUAUAAGGAGAUACUAAAUUUAUGUGAUUAUUUUUUAAAAAUUUAGUAUAUGAAAUUAAAUAAUUGGAUAUAUAUACAUAUAUCAUAUAAUGUUUUUUAAGUGUGAUUUUUGAACUUUUUAGUCAUUUUAUAAGUUUAAGCUUUUGAUUUUUUUUUUUAAACUUUGGUAUUUUUUAUUUUAUAUAAAACUAUUUUGAUUUAAUUUUAUUAAAAAAUAUUGGUAUUAUAAAUUAUUGUAUUAAUUAUUUUUUUAUAUUAUAAUGUAACUGGUAUAUACUAAAAAAUGUAUGCAAGUUCAAUUUAAGUUUCAAAUUAAAAAAUUUCAUUUAAAUAUUUAAUAACUUGUUCAUAAUAAAAAAUUAAACAACAUAAUACAAAUGAAAAGAAACAUAAAAGAAAAAGGAAAAAAUGGUCCUCUCUGUGUGUCACAUUACUAGGUCAUCCUCUUUUUCUAUGACCCUUACAAUAGAAUGGCAUAUUUGUCAAAUCUACUUAUGAAAGUUGGAAUGUUUCUACAUGUGUAGGGUCCAUUGGAACUAAUGGAGGAAAGGCUUAACGUCUAUGUAAAUCACAACGUUGCCUAGGUGGGCAUAGAUCUAGUUGUGUAACAUGAGAUGGUGUGAGAGUACAAUAUAUGCAUUGUAGUCUCUAUGGGAAGAGAGAUAGGUAAUGGUAGGGUGGUAGACGGUAGGGUGAUCUCUAAUAUAAUGACAUUUGAUGUGGUGGCUUCUAAGAGAGGAGAUAUAAGAGAUGGUAGAAUGACAUUUGGUGUAAUGGUCUCUAGUGCAAUGACAUGUGAUAUGGUGACCUAUAAAGAAGAGAUAUAGGUGAUGGUGAAGUGGUAUGUGGUGUAGUGACCUUUGAGAUAGAAAAUAGAGGUAAUGGUAGGUUGGCAGGUGGAGUGGUCUUUGGUGUAGUGACAUCAAUUAUAAAUGUCUCCAAGGGAGGAAAUAAAGGUGAUGGUAGGUAGUAAAUGUUGAGGUGGUCUUUGAUAUGUUAUGCUCUAAGAGAGAAGGUAUAGGUAAUGAUAAUAGGGAAUUUGACAUAGUGGUGUUGGAAAUAAAAAGUGAAAGUGACCGUAGAGGUGAAAGGGCAAGUGUAAAAGCCUCAAGUACGAAUGGAGUAAUUAAUGUGGAUGGUGCUAACAUAGUCUUAGGUGGAUACACAAAUAGUCAUAGUCAUCAACUAGCUUGCCCACCAUCUGUCUUUCUGCUAGUGAUAGGUUACAUCUUAAUAGUAAUGGCCAACAUAAGUGGUGUGGAUCCGAUUUUUUUACGUGUGUCCCCACUCAAUCGACAAGACUUAUUUUUUAUUAGUGAAAAAUUAAUUUUGGAAAAGUUGGAGUCACCACUUAUUUUAUUUUAUUUUAAAAAGGAAAGUAAAACAAGAAAGAGAACUCUAAAGAAGUGACUUCAUAGUUUUGGAAAAGUUAGUCUUAAAAAAUCCAAGUCUUGGUCCGGAGAUCAGGUUACUUAUUGGGAAGAUACCUCUAAGAGGUAAUACCCCUCUAAACCCUAAAGAAGUCUCUAAUGACUAAGUUGAGGAGAAUGUGGUAAUUAAUUAAUUGAUUGAGGGUACCUAGGUAGACUAAGGUGAUUUCAGAAUUAACAUACCAAGCUAGAAAGUCCAAUCAUGAUCAUAAAAGAGAGUCAAAGUAUGUACCUGAACUGCUUCUCAAACGCUAUCAUAAAACAUCAAAGUUAGUAUAGAAAUAUAACACAUAAUAUUUGUUUUAUCCAAGCAAAUAAAGCAUACAUCUAAGCACCCAAGAAUCACAUCAAGUAUGGAUAUAGUCAUCAAUAGCAUACGUGUCCAUAGAACUAUCGAAAGUAAAUGUGGAGGAGCGUAUCUGGACAACAUAGAUAACUUAUAAUGUGCUUCCACAAGACAUGGGGGUUAGAUAAAAGUUAUAAUAAUAAUUAGUAAAUGAAAGAAUUCUAGCAUGUUUGGUAUCUAAAUAACAUAGCAAAAAUGAACAAGAGUACACGAAAACAUCAAUUAUCACACGAGUCAUAUUGGCUAGUAUUUAAUCAAUAAACCAACAAUAAAUGACUAUAAACAUAUAAAAUGACAUAUUCAAAGAGACCCAAACAUAAAGAGCCUAGAACACAAGCUUACACUAAAUUUAGAAAACUAAAACAUGGAAUUUUAAAAGCAUAAAUUAGCAAACAAAUUGAUGGAAACUAAAUUUAGAUAACUUAAGAAUAUUUUUCUUAUCCUUCAAUUUAAAUCAGUAAGCCAACAAUAAAAAAUUAUAGAAACAUGGAAUAUCAAGAUCAAUGGGAUACCUAAACUAUAAUUUUUAAAAGAAAAUAAACUAAGCAUAAUAUCUACAAAGCAACUAAACUAACAUUUUUUUAAAAAUAAAUUAAACAUGACAUUAAUGGAGUAACCAAACUAAAUUAAAGUAAACUAAAAACAUUUAUGAAUUUUCAAACAUGGAAUCAGCUUUCUUAGUAAAUUAAAAUUAUUAAAAUAAAAUCUAAGCUUAAAAAUGAAUUAAAUACUAACUAAAGCAAAUCUAAAACCAAAUAUUUAACACAUAGGAUCAAUUAUAUUAACAAACUAAAAUUUUAUAAGAACACUUAAACCUAAAGUUGAAUUAAAAACUAACCAAUUUUUAAAACUAGAUCUUUAACCCAUAGGAUCAAUUAUAUUAACAAAUAAAUAAUAAAUAAUAAAUAAAUAAAACUCAAACCUAAAGAUGAACUAGAAAUGUACCAAAGUAAAUUCAAAACAAGAUCUUUAACACAUUAGAUCAAUUAUAUUGACUAACUAAAAAAAAAAAAAAAAAACACUCAAACCUGAAACGAUGUAUUAGAAACUAACCAAAGCAAAUUUAAAAUAGAGUCUUUAACACAUAGGAUCAAUUAUAAUCACUAACUUAAAUUACAAUUUUUGAAACAUGAACUAAUUAGUGUUGGAUUAAUUAAACUAAUUAACUAAAAAAAACUAUAAACUAGAAUACGGUGAAUCAAGAAUUCAAAUCAACAAACAUAAAAUAUGGGUACAAUGAAAUGAAAAUCUAUUAAACUAAUAAGACGGAAAUAUGACAAACUCAUGAACCCACAUUUUGAUCAACUAGGAAAUAGAAAUUAAUAGACCUGUAGCAUGGAUACAAUGAAAUGAGAUCAGUUAAAUUUAUUUGCCGAAAUUCUAAAAAACACAUACACUCAAAUAAGAUCUAAAUCUAAGACCAAGCAAAACUCAAACUUUCUCAAUCUAAUGCAAUGAAUCAAAACUAAAAUUAAAUAGAAAUCAAACCAUUUUUUUUUUAUCUAAUAUAAUAAAUCAAAGCUAAAACUAAACAAAAUCGAAUUUUCUUAAUUUAAUAUGAUGAGUCAAAGCUAAAAUUGAACAAAGUUCAAACCUUUAUAUAAUGGAUCAAAGUUAAAUCUAAAUGAAAUCCAUACUUCCACAAUUUGAUAUAACAAAUCAAAAAUAAAACUAGAUAAAAAAAAAGUCAAAGCCUUUCAACUUGACAUAGUGAAUCCAAACUGAAACGAAACAAAAUUUUAACUUUUCCAAUGAAACCCAAUAUAGAAAAAAUUAGCUUACCUUCUUUAGAAUAUAUGUAUGGGCCAUAAAGAAGUCACCUUGGUGCAUGUGUUCCUCACUUUGACGCCAAUGGACGACUUUCUAUGGUAGCAAAUGGAGAUCCUUUUUGGUGGUAACUUGCGUGUGGAAACCUAUGGUACAACCAAUGUCAUCUUUUAUUGUGCGUGUGGACCAAUUUCUUCUCGAGAACUCAUGUGUGUUGUGCUCAAAAUAUGUUGCCUGUGAGAAUCUAUUGGUAUACCCCACAUAUGGUUUCCUUGAGAGAAUCUGUGGUUGUGUGUGGGCGUUUUCUUCAUGACAGCAUGUGGAUGUUCCCAUCUAUGGUAGAUUGGUUGUGAUGCUUUAGUGCAUGGUCUCCAUAGGAAUAGUGUGUUAUGGAAAUUUGGUUUUUUUAUUGGUGCAUGUUGUCUAGACUUUCCCAUAUGCGUGGACUGUGUGUUCAUGCUUUUCUUUUCGGAUGGUCGCCUGUGUUAAUGUGUGGCGGUGUCUACAAUGAAAGAUACAACCCUUUCUCUCCUUCUGCGUGAUAGAAAAGUCAAUCCCCCAUGGUGCGACUAUGUUCCCUCGUCCUUUUUGAAAAAUUUUGGUGUUUUCCCCCCAAAAAAUCCCCUCCAAAAAUCUAAUUAUAAAUGUCUGCUUUGGCCUAAUGUGUGUGCUACUUUUUUUUUCCUUCUUUUUAUGGUUGUGCGUGCUUUUCUUGAUACGUGGCUUAUUUCUUAAGGAUAUGAUUCGCUCCCAAUUGGUGUCUCAGCUGAUUCAUGUCCUUUCAAUGGUCCCUGACAGUGGUGCCAUUUGAUUCGUGUCCAGCUGGUGUCCCUUGAUUGUGGUCCUCAGAAGGGAGUAAUCAAUAAAAUUUAUAACCUAUUACACCAUGUAUUAGGAUAGCCUUAGCUAGCAUAGCAUAGUGGCUCUAGGGUCGUUUAUUGGGAUGAGUUUUCACUUCACAAUUGAUAUUAAUUCAAGAGCUGAAUUGGUGCCUUUUCAUUUCAAGGUUAGCUUUAAAAGAAAACAUAAUCUUUGGUGGAAAAAGGUUUGGUUUUAAACUAACCAAAAAUAGUAACUGAUUUUACUUACAAAGAAAAGUGUUCUUUGGAGUUUAGAUCACUAGGCUCAGGUUCCUCAUACAAAAAGGAGAGUUCCGAUCAUUUGUUUCUUUUCCUCGCAUUAGAGAAUUAACAUAUAGUUAAUUCUCUAACCGGUGCGGUACAUAUGCUUCCCAUUAAUGGGUUCAAACACUAAAUACCUCUCACUGAUGCACCUUGCAAUGGCUCGUGCCUCUCACCUAGCAUUUAUCAUUCAAGGUGAUCUUUAACCUUGGAUUACCCAUCAAAAGCUCGCAAGAGAUAACUAAAGGAUGUCUCCUUAGAGUCCAAAAGCUUACCAAGUGUUGGUUAUUCUAGAAAAUCCUACCUUCAAACCACCUCCCAAAGGCUCGCAAGAGAUAAACAAGUGCAUCUCAAUGGAUGAAGAUCACUUGCCUUACCAAGUUUUGGCCCAGAUGAUUUAAUGACAUUUUAAGUUAACUAAAAAGAUAAAAACCAUUAACGGGUCACACUUUCUCUUCAUUAAAAACUAAAACAACAAAACUUCCAAUUUAUGCAUGAGGAAACUUACCUGGCUUUCUUCACUUCAAGAGAUGAAGAGCCUAGCCACUCAUCAUUUGAGGAAAAAUCCUCAGAGUUUGAUUUGCUAGAAAUAAAAAUAAUGAGAAAACAAAAAUAUAUAUAUGAAAAACAGAGCAAGUUCUCUGUAAUAUAUUUUUCUUCCUUAUACAAAAGGUUGUCUCUAAGAACAAGUUCCCGAGAUCUAUCUGAUUGUAAAUAAAAUUACAACUAUAUAUAAGAGGUUAUUCACCCCUUUGUUCUUUCUUAAAGACUAAGGAAUCCUAUGAUAGGUGGGUUACAAGGAGAGUUUGGGGAUUUAGACAUCAAAUAUCUAAAGCAAAAUAUCUCAAGAUGUUAGUCGGAAAUAUCAGGAAGCUUCAGGAGAACACCGCGACACUGUAUACUGAGAGAAAAACUCUCCGGGUAAGCUCUAUCAAAGGAUCCAGACAUGUCUGACUGGGAAAGUUGAAACGUCCUUCUCUCCCAUCCGGAUGUGAGAUAUCCGGAGAAAGUGAAAUGUCGGUCGGACAGAAUUCUUUCCCCGGGUGGAAUGAGUUGUGUUGCGCGUCGCAAGGGGGACCGUCUGCGUGUACAAGUUGUAGGGACCCCUCUCCCGGAUGACACCGAGCGCGUAAGGCUAUCCGGAUCAACUCCAUUCGGAUUCCCCAAGAGGACAUGUGGCGUGCUCCCCUAUCAGGACUCCCUUAGGGAGAAGCACACGACACUCGUGAACAUCAUACCCGGACGAUAGCAUGUCCUAUCCGGAUGUGUUGUCCGGAUCAUUGACUAAAGUGAGCAAGCCUUGCUACGUCAUUCGGACAGCUUGCCACAUACCAUGUUCCGUCGCCAUCUGAUGGUGUGUCCGAACGCCUUGUCCGGACAUCUUUUGCUCCUUGCAUUCCGGAUUUGCUUAUGACAAAGGACUUCAAAGCUUCGGUUCUUCAUGUUUCUGAGCUUUCCAUUGCUUUGCCAUGGAUUCCAAAGAACUCUCCUUAAUCACGGAUUGCUUUGGUGAUCAAAAAGUUAUCAAAACACAAAAACUUAACAUAGUUUGAUUAGAAUUGAUUGCAAGGGUUCUUAAUAUGUUAAUUGGGUUAAAAGGUGAUAACUACUACUCAAAAGUGUUUAUAAGAAUUAAUUACAAGCUAUGAAAUAACACUUUUUGAGUAGUAAUCAGGAUACAUCCUAGUUUUUCAUGGAAUUGAUAGUGGGUUGUUGUGCAUGAAUGCCACCAUUUCAACUAUGCUGUUGUUAUUUUUAAAAAAAAUAUGGAUUAUGCGCGAGUGGCAAUUCUCCACUAUGGAAAGUGGAUUGCUCCUUCAACCCAUGCAUGGCUACGUAUUCCUAUGUCUUUCUACUUGUGUUUGAUCCUCCAAAAAAAAUUUCGGUUUAGUGCUAGUAGAUUUUAAGUGGUGGAUCCCCAUUUUUUGAAAAUGAAGUGGCAGCCUCCCAUUUCAAGACAAAAUGGUAGCCUGCCUUUAAUCUUUGGAGAAAAAUCUGUGCAUGACCUUUUUUUUUCCCAAAAAAUCCGUGCAUGGUGUCCUUUAAUAUUUGGAGAAAAAUCUAUGUUGGAUCUUUUCUUUUCUAGAAACAUUUGUGUGGUCUUUUUUGUUAGCCCAAGGGUUCUUCUAAUCAAGUUUUGAUGAUAACAAACCAUGGUUAAGUGACUAAUUGGUUUAAUGAUUAAGAAUCUCAAACAUAAAAUCGAAAAUUCAUCAAAGGACCAAAUGGAUACAAGAUCGAGACGCUUGGAAGACUUGUAAUCAUAGGAAACUAAUGUAAGAUGAAUGCAUGAGUGCACUUAGGAUUUUCACACGUUUCAUGCAACUUAGAAAACCCAGUUUAUUCUUUAAAACUUCAUCCCAGUUUAUUCUUUUUAUGGUUGUGUGUGCUUUCCUUGAUACGUGGCUUAUUUAUUAAGGAUACAUCCCAGUUUUUCAUGGAAUUGACAGUGGGUUGUUGUGUGUGAAUGCCACCAUUUCAACUGUGCUGUUGUUAUUUAAAAAAAAAAAAAAUGGAUUGUGCGCGAGUGGCAAUUCUCCACUAUGGAAAGUGGAUUGCUCCUUCAACCCAUGCAUGGCUACGUAUUCCUAUGUCUUUCUGCUUGUGUGUGAUCCUCCAAAAAAAAUUUUGGUUUAGUGCUAGUAGAUUUUAAGUGGUGGAUCCCCUUUUUUUGAAAACUAAGUGGCAGCCUCCCAUUUCAAAACGAAGUGGUAGCCUGCCUUUAGUCUUUGGAGAAAAAUCUGUGCAUGACUUUUUUUUUCCCAAAAAAUCCAUGCAUGGUGUCCUUUAAUAUUUGGAGAAAAAUCUAUGUGGGAUCUUUUAUUUUCUAGAAAAAUUUGUGUGGUCUUUUUUGUUAGCCCAAGGGUUCUCCUAAUCAGGUUUUGAUGAUAACAAAUCAUGGUUAAGUGACUAAUUGGUUUAAUGAUUAAGAAUCUCAAACAUAAACUCGAAAAUUCAUCAAAUGACCAAAUGGAUACAAGAUCGAGACGCUUGGAAGACUUGUGAUCAUAGGAAACUAAUGUAAGAUGAAUGCAUGAGUGCACUUAGGAUUUUCACACGUUUCAUGCAAUUUAGAAAACCCAGUUUAUUCUUUAAAACUUCAAUUUCAUUAAAACCCGAGUUUUUAACUAAUGUACCUUAGGCAAAAUGUUUUAUAAUUGGCUUAAUAAUUCACCUAAAUACAUUUUCUAAGUGUUAGAAAAGAAAGGAAUUAAAAAAAGGUUUUCGGGGCAAAAAAGGCUCAACCGGUCGAGGCUAUGGUCAACCGGCUCAACCGGUUGAGGAACCAAUCGAUCGGUUGUGCUUGUCCGAUCGAAGACCAAUCGAGGGAUGCCAAAAAAUUUCUCUCUCUCCUAGUGGCCUUCUCUUCCCGGUCGAGGUUCGGUCUAGGCAACGGUAACAUGUCAAGCAUUAAAUGCUCCGACGACUAGUGAAUCGGUCGACCCCUAGCCCGAUCGGACGAGGUUGCCUUUUGCUGUUUUUGACUCCCGAGCUUAGAAACCUAUAAAUUGAGAGCUCCACUUCAUUUAUUGAUAAAAGAGAACACUUGCAUUCAAUAGUCUACCUACCUUUUCUUGAUCAAAAAGCUCUCAUUUCCUUCAUAGUGCAUUAAAUCAUCACUUGCAUAUCCUUUAGUGCACUAUUGUGUGUCAUCCUAGCUUUGUUUUGUAUUUGAGCUAUCCUUAAGCUAGGUUGAGGGAUUAUUUCUUAUAAAAAUCUGAGUGUUAAAGCCUUCAAGAGAUUUGAAUCUUGAAGAGAUUGUGUAAGAGCCCAUUGGAGCCGGAGUCCAAGUGUAAGAAGAUUGGAAGCUUGGUUGAAGCUUCAAGUUAGUGGAACCCUCACUCGGUUAGGAGGUUGAGGAGAGUGGACGUAGGUAAGGAAGUGUCGAACCAUUAUAAACCCGAGUUUGAAUUCUCUAACUCUAUCUCUUUAUUUUGCUUAUAUUGUGUUUGAAUUUGUUGUGAUUGAAAAGAUUUUAAAAACCUAAUUCACCCUCCCCCCUUUUGGGUUUUUUUUUCUUAAUUAAGCAUAACCUUUGUUUUCUAAUUUUCUUUUUAGGAAAAUCCAUGCGUGGUAUGUCCAAACUCUCCAAGUGGCAGUCUGCCUUCUUCUAAAAAAUUUGUUUCUAUUUCUUUAUUCGACUACCUUCCAUGUCUUCCUAAUGAGUGCUUGUGCUCAAUGGUCAAUCCCUGGUGGUUGCCUCCUUUUCCCAUAUAUACGUGUUGCAAAAUCAACAUCCCACUAUAUGUGGGUUGCCUCUAUGGCAAGUUCACAUUUCCCACAUGAAACCUAUGAGUUUCCACCAAAAAUUGCCAUGAAAAAGUCUUUAUAUGCAUCUCAUGCAAUAAAAAGUCAAGCCAAUACUCAUCUUAUCUCGAAAAAUAAGUAACCAAAAUCAAGAUCAUGCCUAAGUGAACUAUGCCAAAAGAAGUGUCCAAGUGACCUAUUAUGAAAAAAGUGCCUAAGUGACCUAAGGUGAAUGUGUGUAAGCUGGAAGGUGUCUAGGAUGUUUAGGACAAUGCCUAAGCCUAAAAUAGGGUUGCCAAGGGUCACAAUGGGGUUAGAUAAAUCUCUCAAUCAGAGUCUCCAAGGUGGCUCAUAAAAGAUAAGCUACACGAGUAAUGAUGGGCCACCAGGGAAUUAUUGUAAAGCACCAAACGAACACAUAAUAGGACAUGUGUUAGAAUGAAAAAAUGGAGGGUUUACAAGUGGUCUCAUGGAUGAGCUUGAUAAUUUAAAUGACUCACAUAAUGAACGUAUGUGAUGUUUCUCUCCAAUAACAAGCAAAACAUCACUAGCAAUAUGAUGAAUGUCUCCUAAAUCACUUGAAGUAGUCCUAGCAAAUCAAUUAGAAAAAUCACACAUAUUGCUCUAAUGUAAUAUUAUAUACAUCUGUCAAUGAAUGGGAGAACUAAUGACACAACCAUCAUGUUGAUAUCUCGAACCCUCUAAUCUCAUAUGUAGGUGGGAUCACACUUAGAAACUCAUAACACAGUAAUGACCAAUCUAAGUCAAAAUGUGUUGGUGAUCGGAGGCCCAUGAAUAUGAAGUUCUAGGAUGAUAAUGACAUCUUAUAAAGUAAUGAUCAUCUCCUUAAUAGAUAGGUGAAAUGUGUGUGUCUUAGGACACCAUCUCUCAACAAGACUUGUGAUCAAUCCCCAGUCUAGUGUAACAUGCCUAUUAUGACAUCCAUCGUAAAAUCUAGACUAGAUAAUAUAAGGACAAAUGUGAGGGUUCAUCUCCCUUUCCCACAUAAAUUUAAAAAAUUAUUAUUGACAAGUUAAGACCAAACUAAGUUGCAAAAUAUAAAUAAGUCCAUUAGAUAACAAAUUUAUGUUUUCUCAUUUUCUCAUUUUUAAAGAGAUAUUAUGUGCUUCCAUGUACAUACAUGCUAAAGUCAAUUAUACGAGACUUAUAUCCAUCUUGUAGAACCAAAUCGAACCUAUCUAAUAGAUCCAGAUUAGAAGUAUGUCCUCUAUACUCCAUAUUUAUAACACAUUUAUAAAGAUAAAUGCUAAAAAAAUGUUAAAGAUAUAAAUUUAAUGAACCAUACUUUAUGAUUUUAAUUCUCAAUUAUUGUUCAUAUUUAUAAGAGAAAAGUUAAAAAAAUUGAUAGAGUUUUCCCUCUAUCAUGGACAUUAUCCCAAAUAAAAAUAAAUUGAUUAUGCAAAUUACAUUAAUAUUUGUAACCAAAUGAUCAAUAACUAUCUUGUAUCAAUUUAGUAAAUAAAUUUAAGUAUAUCUUUUCAUUUAUGACUAACAAAUAACUCAUACUUGUCCAAUAAAAGCCACACCUAAUUUCUAAAAUUUUGUCUUCACCUCAAGUGAGUGUUACAUUGAGAAAGAAAAAAUAUGAAAGAAAAAAUGAACACCUUUUUCUUUUAAUAAAAAAAGGCCAUAACGAAACAUUAAAUCUCACUGUUACACCUAUCUUCAAUGGAAACAUGAGGAUGUGAAUGGUGGCGGUGAUAUUCUUUGCUUGAAGCUCAUAAACAAAUAUUCCUUACUAAGCCUAUGCCAUUUAGUAUUUCAAUAGUGGACCCCCCCCCCCCCCCCCCCCCCCUCCUUGCAUUUCAGAUUUAGCAAACUUAGAACCAAAUAACAAAGUGCAUUUGAACCCAUAAAGAAGUAAUGAGACUCUCCUAUAUUGGCAAUAGAAGAAAUUUUUGGAGGUAUAGGAGAUUCACGGAUGAAGAAGUUGGGCCCCAAUUGAGAUAAGACCCAAGAAAAGAUGGGGUAGAGAGGGAUGGUUGGAAAUUGUAAAGUAAGAUUUUCAAAAUGUAGUUGAUGACUAAGAUUUUGACAAUUUAAAAAAGGUUUAAAAAUGUAGUUAGCAAUCGGGGUUUUGUAACAUUUAAAAAAUAAAAUAAAAUCUCAGGCCACAUGGUAGCCCAUGUGAUUCAGAAGCUUGAGAAUUAUUUUAUAAGAAGACUUAAUUUGUGAUUUUUUUAUAACUAUAUUAUUUUUUUUCUUAACACACGAAAAAAAUUAUGAAAUAAGACAAUUUUCCUAAGAAAGCAUGUAAGUGACUCUUGGUUAUUUUAUUUAACUUCUUCUAGUUUGGAGAGGAUUAAUACCUUUGCUUUUACUCACUUGCUUGGAUAUGUACACGUUGUUCAUGUCACUUUUCAUUUAAUUUUCUGAUUAAGGGAAUUGGAACCGUACGUAACUGUCUUUAUUCCCUCUGAAACUUGGACUUGGAGUUGGACUUUCAAUCUCAUCAGUCGUGUUUCCAUAAAAAAGAAGAUGGAUUAACCAAUUUUCCUAUGCCUACUAAUCAUACACAAAACUCCACUUCCAAAUAAAAAGGAAUGGGAUAUCACUUGUUAAUAGUGGCUAAAGACUAUUAAUAACCAUGCAAAGAAAUGUCACAUUUUUUGUUCUACGCAAAUUUUAUUCAUCAACUACUAGAACCAUUUCAUACAAUAGUAGCUUUUCGAUCCUUUGAUAAAUGGACACUUGAUGUGAUAACACCAACUACACCUAUAUAUUCAAGCAAUCAUGCGUAUAUAAUAGUGGAUAUGGAUUACUUCUCUAAAUGGGCAAAAGUUUUGUCAUUCAAGGAAAGUGAACGAGGAAACACAAGUUUACUUUCAUCGGAACUAAUAUUAUAUAUUGAUAUGACUUCCCAUUAUUACUUACGAUGGAAUAUGCUUCCAUAAAAUGGCCUAGAUGAACAAACUAUCCAAGAAGUUUGGGAUCAAAUAAUAUAUAUAUAGUUCAUGUGUGAUUCUUUGGUUGACAACCUUGUUAAGGGGUGAGUGAAGCACUUUGGGCAUACCACAUACUACAUGCUAGACUUCCACCCAAGCUACCCUAUAUUCCUUAUGAACAAAGUAGAAGUUGUCAUCUCUCUUGAAUACCAAAUCCUUUCACCUAAUAAUGCUAUCUAAAAAGGUCUUAAAAAGGAUAAAAAUGCGCAUAUUUGAAUUUUUGAAUUAGGAGUGCUACUUAAAAAGAAGCUAGAUAUACAAUAAUAGAAUGUUAUCAAGCAUAUCUCUUCAAAGUUUUUGACCAAAAAAUAUAUGAUUUCUCAUUUUAGGUAGGAGACUUAGUACUCACUAUUCAAAAACCAAUUAUCAUUACUCAUAAAAACUAAUAGAAAGUUUGGGCCAAAGUAGGAUGGACCUUAUAUUAUGCAACAAUUAUGCCUAUAAAAUUGUUGCAAAAGAGGUUUUAGAAUCAAAUCAAUGAAUGAAAAAUUAUUAAAGCAUUACUAUGCUUGAAGGCUAGUCAUUUUCCCUUAAAGUGCAAUAUUAAGUUGCAUAGUACUAUGUGGAUCCGCAUUUUUCACAUGCGUUCCCACUCAUUGUCGAGACUCACUUUUUAGAAGUGAAAAAUUAGUUUUAUUAAAGUCGAAGUUGCCACUGGGGAUUUGAACCCUAACAAAAGGUUCAAUUUAAGGAUAAAAAUAUCGAUAAUCACAUAUAUAUAUAUUGGUACUUUGAUUUUAUGAAUAUAUUGAAGAAAUAUGGACAAAUAUUUUGACACAAAAUAUGUACAAAAUAAAAAUUAUAUAAAAAGUAAAAAUAAAUAUUUUAAAAUUAUUUUUUUAAAUAUAUAUAUAUAUAAUUUGACAUAUUUGAUAAUAAUAUAUAAGGGUCUCCAAAAAGCCCGUGGCCCGCUUUAGGCCCGGUCCGACCCGACAGGCUAAAGCCCGGCCCAAGCCCGCCGGGCCCAAGCUCGGCCCGAGCCCGUUUAUGGGUGGGCCGGGCCGCGAGCCCGUAGGCCUGCUCCUUUAAAAAAAAACUACAAAAAUAAAAAGUAUUAAAAAAAAUAUUCAUUUCAAAAUUUUAUUCAUUGAAUGUAUAAUUACAUUUGAAAAUGUGGGAAAAGUUUACAUCACUACAAAAUAAAUACAUCCCAACUAGGUUGGCACCUAUUUAUUUGUCAAUCAUCUGUAUUUUUCAACCACAAAAAAUAAAAAUAAAAAUAUAAUAUACAUUUAGUCAUUAUUUUCUGGCGGUGAUGGCGAACUAUCAUGCAUCCAUGAAGAUCUUGAUAAUUUUAAAGAUUCCAUAUCGGUAAGCAUCUUUGUUUCUCGAAUGGAAUCAUACAUCCUUUUAUCUGCUAUUUCCCAAUCUUUCACACAUAUCCCUGCUUUAAUAACAUCUGACGCUAAGUUGCAUCGUUUUUUACUAACUACUCUUCCACCUGCACUAAAAGCAGCUUCUGAUGCAACUGUACUCACAGGAACUGUUAGUACAUCACGAGCAAUUAUAGAAAGCACAGGAUAUUUGUGUUGAUGUGAUUUCCACCAUAUUAAAAUAUUAAAAUCUUCUUGAUCUUCAAAUGAAAUUAUAUCAGUAUUAAGAUAUUUAUCUAAAUCAGAUGUAUUAUUUGGAGAAUUAUUUGUUGUCUUUUUUCGACUUUUCAACAUUUCUAGAGCUCCUUUAUAAAAAGAUGAGGAGUUUGUAGAUGUAGGUGGUAAUUUAAUAGUAUUAAUAUCAUUACCAUAUUUUUCUUUAUAAUAGUUAUAUAAAUUAUAUAAUAAUGAAUUUAUUUCAUUUUUAAUUUCUUCAAUUUUUAUUUGGUCAUUAAAAUAAAUAAUUGUUAACCAUUCAUCCAAAGCUUCAAAUUUCAAUCUAGGGUCCACAAUUAAAGCAAUAUAAAAAAUUAAAGGUAUUUCUCCCCAAUAUUUUCUAAAUUUUUAUAUCAUUACAAAUAUUGUAUCAUUAAAUAUUUCAAAACUUAAAUAUUUUUGAAGUACAAUAAAAAUAUUAGUUAUUUGCGUAAUAACUCGAUUUGAAGUUGGAUAAUAUACACCACAAAAAAUGUUUGUUGAAGUAUCAAAAAUUUCAAAAAGAUCUCUUAAAACAUCCGCAAUAUGCCAAUCAUAAUCAUUUAAUGCAUAAAUAUCUGCUUCAUAAUCAUUGUUAAUUAAUUGUAUUUCAUAUAAUUCGACUACUUUUCUAUAUUUUGUAAUAUUUUCUAAAAGUUUAUAUGUGGAAUUCCAUCUAAUAGCCAUAUCCAAAUUUAUAUUUUUUCUUUUCAUAUUUAACAUUUUGCAACAAUCAAAAAAUAAUUCAUGUUUUGCUUGAAAACUAUUAAUACUAUAUGCAAUGCCUCUAAUUUUUUUCCAAUGUACUAUCAACAUUUUUUAAUCCAUCCUUUACAAUUAAAUUUAAAAUAUGUGCACAACAACGCACAUGAAAUAUUUUAGCAUGAUCUUCUUUUACUUGCCAAUAUCGUUUUAGUCUAUGUAUUGCUGCAUCAUUAUUAGCAGCAUUAUCUAAUGUUAUUGUCAAUAUUUUAUCACGAAUGCCUAAAUCUAUAAUUUCAUCAUUUAUUAAAGAUGCUAUAUUUUUACCACUAUGUGGAGUAUUUAUUAAUUUAAAUAAAAUUAUUCUUUUAUUUAAUUUCCAUUCAUUAUCAAUGUAGUGAACAAUUAUAUAUAAAAAACCAGUAUGAGUUAAAGAUGUCCAAAUGUCAGAUGUUAAACGAAUAUUUCCUUCAAAAUUUGCAAAAUUUUUUUUUAAAAUUUCUUUUUGUGUAUAAAUUUUUUUCAUAAUAUCUCUUUUAACUGUAUUUCCAGAUCAACCUUUAAAUUGAGGAUUAAUACCUCGUUGAAUUGUUCUUGCAAAAUCAUGAGUUUCCAUCAUGUUGAAAGGUUGUUCUGCUCUUAUUAUAUAAUCAAUCAUUUCUUCACAACAGUUAGAUUCAUCAUAAGAAAAUGUUUUUAAAUUUCCACUUUCAUUUUUACUUAAUUGCAUAUAAUUUCUAAUAUCUACAUUAUUUUUAGUUUUACAAUUUUCAUGAUGUCUUUUUAAAUGACUUGUAUCUGCAUUUGAGCCACCAGUAAGAAAUUUAUUACAAAUUUUACAUUUUGCUUUUAUUUUUUUUUUAUUAUUUUCUAAAAUUAUUUCUAUUCUAUCAAAAAAAUUCCAUAUAUUUAAAGUAAAUUUUUUGUUUGAUGAUAUUUCAUCACAUGGACUAGACGAAGAAGCACUUGUCAUAUUAUAAUUAUUGAUAAAAUAUUAUGCCAAAAAUAAUAAAGUAAUAAAUAUAAAAAAAAAUGUAACAAAAAAAAUAAAGUAGUAGGGGUGAAGUAUGUUACUCAAUUAGAGAACCUAUGCAGAAAUUCCUAGCAAAUUUGAACUCUUGGAGCCACCAAUGCUUGUUUUGCACCAUCAACAAUAUUGUAUAAUUUGAGGGAAAAAUAAAAGAAUUUAAAAUAUUGUAGAAUGUGAGAGAAAUAGAGAGAAUUUGAUGAAAAAAUGAAAAGGAAGAAAAUGUAUUUAUAGGAAGGUUAAAAAUAAUAAUAAUAAUAAUAAUAAUAAUAAUAAUAAUAAUAAUAAUAAUAAUAAUAAUAAUAAUUGGCCAUGUGACCGUUGGAGGCUUAGCUCCAACGGUCACAUGGGCUGGAGCUAGGCUCCAACAGUCACAUGACCGUUGGAGCCUUUAAUUUUUUUUUUUAAAAUAAUAUACUUUAUUUUUAUAUAUAUAUAACUAACUCAAUUAAUAAACAUAAAAAGAAUAUAGUUCAGUUGGUUAGAACCUUGAAGUUUAAACAUGAGGGGAGGGGUUUGAAUCCCUCCCUCUCCCUUAGGGGCUUUUUUAAAAGCCAUUUUGGCUUAUUUCAAAAAGCCUGUCGGCCCGACCCGCCCUGCAGCCCGCGGGCCUAGCAUUUUAGCAUGGCCUGGUCUGUUGACUAGUCAAAUGGCUCAUAGGCUCGGCCCGAACUGGGCCGCGGGCCUCUUAUUUACGGACCGGCCCGACCCGGCCCGCCCGUUGGAGACCCUUGAUAAUAUCUUCUAUAUUAAGUUACAUUAUAGUUUAUUUUACAAUAUUAUUAUGAUAAUAUGUCUAAUUUUAAAAUAUAUUUAAUAUUAAAAUUAUGAUCUAUUUUAAUUUAAAUGUAUUCAAUGAUAUCAAAUAAAUAAUAAUAUAUGUAUAAUUCUUUUAUUAUUUAUAUUUAUUAUUUUUAAUAAAUAUAUAGAUUAUAUAAAAAAGACCGGAUAUAUCUUUUCAAAUUUUGUAUCGCUCUCCAAGGAUAUUAGAUGUAUGGGAAUUUGUAUUGCUAUCUACGGAUACGUUGAUAUAUGGGUGAUUUAUCAGGAUAAUUAGAAAUUCUAAUUAUGUAAGCAGGUACGGAGUUCUGUGUCGGUGCGAUCUUGUCGACAACAGCUCCAAAUUGUGCAUCUUGCUCAUAGAGAGUAGCGGAAUGCACCAAUCGUAGGCUCAGAGUACCACUGAGUCGUCUGGCAGAGACCCAACUGAAGGUGCCUGUGUUGUUCCUGAUCUGAUCAGGCUUCAAACUACAAGGUGGAAUACUGGUUCCCCUAUAUCAGAAGCUGGAGAUACCCACCCCAUAUGCUCGUCUGGAUGUGCUCCUACCCUUUGAAGCCUUCUUCCGAGUCAAGUCCGAAUUGAUAAGGCUAGUGAGUUCCCAACCAACUGUACUCAGCAUGCUGCCAGGUGGAGACCCUCCAUAUUUGAUGGCUUCCUAAUAUUAAAAUGCUGACCACUGGUCUUCAUGUUCCACAGGCUUAAUUGUGUCCUUUGCUGAAAGAAUGGAUAGUGAUCCAUUUUAACACAUGAUUCACGCCGUCUUUGCCAUUCUUCAUGGUCUAGCCCUUUUAUAUAUAUGCUUCCUGAACUGUUGCUAUUAAUAAAAUGUGGUAUCUAUCCCGUACACCUUCCUGAUGGCCAGCGAAUGCAGAAGCUACAGAAACGGUUCCAUCUUUUGCUUCCGCCACUUUGGCAUCCUCCAUGAUGAGAUCGAAGGUGAAUAAUCAUAUUCUGGGGAUUUAUGUCCUGGAUAUUCUCAGUAAUGCCCAAUUUCCUGGUGCCGGCCUCAUUUCCAUGGGAACUGAUGGAUAACUUAAGGCUUCUACCAUCUGCGUGGUUCGCUUCUAACACAGGAAACUUCACGGCUAAAAGCAAGAUACCAAGAACAUCAAGGCUGUGACAAAAAUUAGUAUUUUUAACUUGUAGGAAUUUGAAAGGCAACCAACCAUCUAGCUCUGUUCUUAAAGCUCCCAUAGGAGGAUCAGAGGCUGGAUUGCUCAAGAUGAACUCAUCCAUUGUUGCACUUAAAAAGAAUUGGCAUGAAUUGUGGCCGCUCUAAUAGGUUCCCUAAACCAUCAUCCAAGUGGGCUUGCGGAAGGUAGCGAGUUUAAAACACCUAGGGCGAUGAACAGUGGACUGUGAUGCUCACAAAAGAGAAAAGGAAGAAUUCAAUAAUUCCUAAGAAUCCAUUUGCCUGUCAUCCAAAUUUUUAUAUUCUCUUCAGUCUGACGCGUUAUGCCAUAUAUUAAAAAUAGCGGCUUCUUCCAAGCCGAGACAGACUGUGCAAAGUUCGCAAGGCCAAUCAUCACCAUAAUCUGAAGUUGGCCUCCUCAAUCGCAGCUUGUAUCCGAAUGCUCACUUCACGGGAUGGAUUGUAAUGAAAACUAAUCUCAGUCCCAGCUAUGGCAGCAUCCUCACUUGACAGCAUUUUCUGCAUAUUCUAGAACAAAGCAAUAAACCCUCAAAGGCUCCUUCGGAUCAGAGUUAGAAGACUGUCCCUCAGGAACGUGAACACUAUGGUGGUUCUGAUAAGCAGUGAUAUUGCAUUAGAGCCUUUUGGAACAAGAGGAUCUUUUCAGGUGGAAACUGUAAACUGCUUCAUGUUGGGCUGCAACCUUUUCUUCAAGCAAUACUUUCUUUCUGUAUCACGACUUAUGUUGCUUCCGGAGCCAUCCCGUGUGGACUGCCCUUCAGUGAAAGAAUAUGUGUGUUGACAUGUUGGAUUGUAAUCUUUGUUCCACUCUAAUGGCUUUUGGUCCUCCUCUUUCUCUUUAUGACAGAGAACCAUUUAGUGAUCCAUCUCUAUAUUGUAGCAUUGCUGGUGCUUUGCAAUACUACACUCUCACCAAGCAUAACAUCUAUUUUUCCGUGACCAAAGUAUGUCGGUUUAUGCAUGCGCAAACUCUUAUUCAUUGGCAAGUUGUCAAGCGUAUCUCAUGAUUUCCCAAAGCCACAAGUUCUUAUGGUCUUUCUGUUCAAGCUUACAAUGAUCUAUCUUUUCUUGGUUAUACUGAUGUCGAUUGGGCUAGUUGCCCUGAUAACAAGCACAAUACUAGUGGGUACAACACUUUUCCUGGUCCUAAUCUCAUUUCAUGGGCAUUUUCAAAGCAGAAGGUUGUGUCUCACUCCAAUAACGAAUCUGAAUAUAGGGGACUCACUAAUUAAUGUUGUUGCCAAGGUCACUUGGAUUGAAUCUGUCUUACGUGAGUUGCGUGUUUCUCUACCCCAACCACCAAUUUUGUUGUGUGACAACAUUAGUGCUACACACUUGGACAAACCAUGUUGAAAUACACUAUCAUUUUAUCCAUGAAAGGCUUAUGCAUCACACACUCAAAAUUCAAUACACCUCUUCUAUAGACCAACUAGUCAAUGCUAUGACCAAAGCUCUUCCUUCAUCUCACUUGUACAAUCUUCAGUGCAAGCUGAUUGUUCUUCCCAAACCACUCAACUUGAGGGGAGAUGUUAAGCCAAUUUAAUAAAUUGAUUUCUUUUGGUUAAUUUGUUAGAAUCAUUUUUAUUAGAGGUUUGUUUGUACAAUUACAUCCAUUUAUCAGGAGAGUACACGUGUACAACUCCUCUUUUAAUCUCACCAUUGUAUAUAUAUGAUACACGACCUUACUCAGAAUUGCAUAACAUUUCCUCUGCUCAUUCCUUUUCUUCUUUGAAUUUUCCCUUACCUCACUGAUUUUGAUUUAUACCUGGUGUUUUCACCUUUGGUCUCUACCUUUCUAGCCAGUUUUCUAAUUAAUCCGUAUAUGGUAUACCUGUCAACUAAUGAGGAGAAAGAGAAAAGGGGAUUGCUGUUCCACCAGCUACAUAUAAUAAUUAAUUACAAUCAUGGUAAUGGAUCCUGAAAUCCAUCCUUUGUGGAUUUUGUACGGAAUAUUGUUGUUAUGUAUGUGGGCUCACUUAGAUGUAUAUUGCUAGCCUGUCUGGGAAAUGUGAUUGCAGGUCCAGAUUAUGAUGUUGAUAUUAGUGGGAUAAGCAAGAGAUGCAGUUAACACGUAUGUGAUGGACUUGAGUAACUUUUCCAUUUCAGUCCAUUUUUUAAGAUUAUGCUUAGUCUUAUUACAAGGAAAGACCAUAAGAAUCAUGAGUCAUUGGCAAGGUAAUAUCAUUCCCUCUUUACAGGCUUCUUCACCUUUUGGUUUUUUUAAUAUCCAUCAAGAUCUUUUAAUUGGAGGACAAUUACAAGUAUAUAUAUAUGUAUUAAAAGGGGAAAAUAUUAAAACAGGAAAUUUUAGGGAAAAUAUAAUAAUUAUUUCUUCCUUCUUUCCCAUAUAGAACUACACAAAAUAAAACUUUAAUAAUUUUUUCUUAUCUUUUUUAUUAUUAUUUUUUCUUAGAAACAUCCGUGGUCUCACAAGCUUGUAAUCCUAGAUUGUUAGGCUCCUUUAACAGUGCCCCAACAUCGUGGUCCAAUGACAAGCUUCCACGCCUUAAAAUCAGAAAAUGCCAUUAAACUUUAUCAGACAUUACAGUUCAAGACAAAGCUUUCAUUUGCUUAAUGUGAUAAUGAAAUUGUUAAUUUCAUUUCGUGGGCAUCUAAAUUUGGACGAGCAAGACCUCUGAAUUCCCUGUUUUUAUCACCAGCAGAGGAGAUAAAAUCUUAAUGGUGAGAAUCUCCACGUGAAAUUUAUGUGUACUGUCAACAUAUUUUUGUUUAUAUAGUCCAGUAGCUGCAGGAAGUCUAGAUUAUAUAGGUAGCAGUAGCACUAUUUAUAGCACUCGAUAUUCGCUGUAUGAAUACAUUAAACCUUGUUUUCAAUACGCAUCACAAGCAAGUACUAGAUACUACAAGGAGUGACAGUCGCAUCAACAUUUCUUGAUAAUAGCAGUGACUGAUUUAUACACAGAACAGUACUGUACACGUACCAGUCACCAGAGAUAGGAUCUUAUUCCUACAUACGACUCUUAUUGAUCGAAGUCACUCAGUUGGGGUAGCCUGGAGUUGGAGGUUUGUGUGGUGGCUUCUUCUUUGGAGGAGGCUUUAUCUUUGGAGGCAUCAUCUUUGGAGGCAUCUUGUGUGAGUCUUCUUCAGCAUUCUCUACAGGAGGAUGGCCAGGCUUAUGACCCUUAGGUGGUUUGCCAACUGGGAUUGGUGGCUUGUGUCCUGAGAGUGGCUCCUCUUCUUCGGGAGGUUUGCCAACUGACGUUGGUGGCCCGUGUCCUGGGGGUGGCUUGUGUUUUGGGGGUGGUUUCACUCCACCGGGAGGUUUACCAAUUGGUGUUGGUGGUUUGUGCUCAAUCGGUGGCCUCUCAACUGGGGGGCGCUUGGGGUAAUCAGCGAGUGAAGAAGUGGUGAGAACCACCACUCCAAGCAACAACACUAGCAAGUAUGUGGAAGACAUCUUUGAGUUUGGCUCAGAUGGUGUAGAACUAGAAUCCUGGGUGGCCUUUUAUAUUAGUUGGGCCCUAUGCCCGAACGACAAGUGUCAUGGUGACACAUAAAGUGAUGGGGUCGAUUUGGGCCUACCGGAUUUGAAAACUUGGACAAUUCGAGAAGCGUCUCCUGACUCCGGGUUGUAAAGUGAAAGAUUAGGUAUCGACCAUUGAAGUAUGAUCACAACUUUUGGCCUUUGGCUCUCUCUACUGCCGUAUAGCUUUUUUCCUUUGGAUAUUUUUCUUAGCUAGACACAAUUAUUGAGCAGUCUAAUCUCGAAAUGGGAUUAGUAUAGCUUUAAGCAAAUUUAUUAUAGUUAGUGGAGGACUUUUAAGAGUGCAGACGACAUUUAACACAUGCAUGCAGUAGUAUAGGGGACAUAACACUAUUCUUUUUCCAAAGAUUCACAUGAUUUUUAUAUUAUAGUAUUGGCACAUUGUAUGUAGCUGGUUUUGUGGUUAAAAUUCCAUAUGUAGACACUGGCGUUUCUCCAUUUCUCACAAUUGAUGUUUACCUCCACGAUUACUAGAUUAGAUAUACCAAACAAUAACACAUUGUAUAAUCUAUCCGCCCUUCAAAAUCUACUGUAUGAUGAAAUGUUUCAUGUGUGUGUGAAGUGUUAGAAAUGCACUAUAGGCAACAUCAUCUUCUUUUGUCUAGGCUUGGGCCUCAAAUUAUACUCCCAUGCCAUGAUAAAUUUUCAUGUGCAUUCUCUAAAGAAGAGUGUCUUGAAUGUGCCAAAUCAUUUUGAUUGAUUUUAUGAUGUUAAUUGCUCCGCAUAUGGAUGGGUAUGUGCUUUAUUUGCUUAUUCAAUCCACAAUUACCUUGAACUGAAGUCCUAUUGGAGCUCUAUUAUUUUAGCAACGUCCUGUCAAAUAGGCUGCUAACUUGGGGUGGUAUGGACCCAAUGAUCCAUCUUAAUCUUGGGUUGAUUUUGUCUGACUCUAUCUAUCUCAGAGAGAACCAGGAUCACCAGUGCUGGUCUGCUUAAAGAAGACUCAGUACUGGAUUAAUAUUGGUUUGGGUCAAUAGCUUAUAAUGCAUUGAAUGCAGAAUAAACAAGAUCAAUGAAACCCAAAACACACUGCCCACACAACUUCACUCUGGUGUCUGUUAUUCAUCAAUUCUAUUCCCACAUGAACUGGUUCAAGUUUAAGAAAAUGACAACGGAUCCACUGUAUUAACUUGGUUUUGCUUGGUUUUGAGCUAGUUGCCAAACCAGCCAUGAGUUUUACCUCUAAUGUCAAUGAACAAACCCCAAAUGAACAACUGCAACAGCUUAAAGAGAAGGAAUGGAGAUGAAAAUCCCUGUUUCUUCUCAUUCUGGGGACAAAUUAGAACAUAACUACAAAGGUUCUAUUAAUUGACUUACUCUACCAUGAAUUAUGGUUCUUUGGUUUUCCAAAUUUAAAUUGUACAUGAGAUUAUUUUUUUCCUUUAUAUAUAAACAUAUUAAGGUUUUCUUAUUUCGUGGGCAAAUGCGCUAAGGAUGAAAGUCAUUUCAUUUGGCUGCAACAGCAUCUUAUAAUCAACAUGCAUAAGCAGCAGUUUUAAUUGAUCGAUUGAACACCGACUCACAAGAAUAGAUAGAAUGGUACAAGACAGCUCUUAUUAAUUUAUACUCGUUACUCAUUUUAUGUAGCCCCAUUAAGAUGGCUGGCUGGACCACCGAGGUCUGGGGGUGGUGUUGCUUGUGUGAUGCAGCGGGCCGGGCAGACACUUCUCUAGUUGCUUCUAUUUGGAGUUAGAGGAUCAGUCUCUGCCAACCUUGAGGACUCUCUACCUCAGAGGGUCCAGGUGGUGGACUCUGGUGUCGGUAGCUUUGAACUCUCAGUAGACUAGUGUGUCUUAAUCAGUCACUGCCAGAGGCUGGCGUAGGCAGUGACGAUAAGGUGAGACAAAUUACCGAAUAGUCAAUAUCGACUGCACUUGACCAUUAUAGAUUUGUUCUGACAAAAGUGAGAAAAGGGAGAAAAUCGGAUGUUGACCUUUAUAGAAAAAGAUAAGAUUUACUGCAACACAGAGCACUGAUUUGUUACUUGGAAACCAAGUUAUGCUAUUAGCUAGCCUCCAUUAGCAGCAGGGUACCUUGCUGCCUGAUCCUAAUCUGAGUUCCCAAGGUUUCAAUCUUCGUUUGUUAACGCUUCAGGAUUUGGAUAUUUCAGCUUCGUUUCUCCAUUUAGCCAACGCUGCCUGGUUUGGAUUUCAAUCCUCAUCUGGAACAUUCUUUUUUCGGUCUGAUUCAGGAAGUGUUUGGUGAUAGUUGAUUAAAAUUAAACAGUACUAUCAUACAAAUAAAGCUGAUCUAAUUUUGGUGGGCAAUAUACCAACUCAUUUAUUCUUGAAAACACCAUGGGGAAUUGGAGGUCCAUCCGAAGUACUAUUUGAUGGGACUCACAAAAAGAACAGGUGCACAUUUAUGAGAUCCGUGGAAGAGAUAACUAUGACAGCUAUGCAUGUACAACAGAUUUAUGUCGAGUUCACCUCGUAGAUAUUUUGUUUUCAGUGUCGGUGGACCCCAAAAUGGAAAUCGGAAAUUAAGGUUAUAUUUAUUUUUUUAUUUAAUUUUAAAUAGAAUUUUAAUUUUUAAUAAUAUUAAGUAUUAAAUUAUUUUUUUAAGGGUAUUUUAUUUUUAUUAAGUAUUAAAAAGUAAAAAAAAUUAAUAUGUUGCUUUUUUAUUUUAAAAAAAUUAUAUAUUUUAAUUUUUUCUAUUUACUAAAAAGUUUAUAAUAAAUUAUAAAAAAAUAAAAAAAUAAAAAACUUAAAUUCUGAAAAUAAAUUAUUUUUAAUAAAAAAAUCCAAAAAAGCAAACACCACCUAAAUUUGAGAUGACUCAAAAUUUUAUAUUUUUUUUCACCUAAAUUAUAUUCAUAAAUUUAAAAUUAAAAAAUUAGGAAGUUGAAUUUUAUUUUGGAUAAUUGGAAACUACAAGAAAUCAAUAAAAAUAUUUGGAAAAAAAAGAAAAAGAAAAACUAUCUAUAUAUUCACCCCCUUCUAAGAAACAUAACUUUAGUUUUUAACUAUUUUUUAAAAUAAUUUUUGAAAAAUGUUAUAUAAUAUUUUAUAAAACAAAAAAUCUGUUUGACAAUUUGAUAUGUCUUUAACUUAUUUUUAAUAUUUAUAUAUAUAUAUUUUAAAAAUAAUUUUAUAUUUAGAACUUUAUCUUUAAUUAUUAUAUAUAUUUAUAUAAUUAUUUUUUUUAAAACAACUCUUAAAAAAUAAGUGAAAGUAAUUGAAAACAACUCAAAGAUAUUUGAUGAAAACACUCUAAUUUGUAUUUUUGAGAAUAAAAAAAUAAAUAAAUAAAUUUCUAGUUAUCAAAUGUAUUUUUUAAUUCUUUUAUUCUAAAAAAUAGAAAAUCGUUUUUGAAAAUAAUUAUUAAACAACAUUCUUAAAAAUUCACUCGUUACAAUCUAGAUUUAAUGCAAGAAUGAUUGAAGGAGUCCUCCAAUAGAACCCAAAGUUAUAAACAUGAACAAGAAGCCCUAGAAACACCAAAGAUCUCAUAUGGUAUAUAUAUGAGCUUGAUUGAGAACUGUUUUAAAUUCAGUUUUUUUUUUUUUUUUUUUUUUUUGUUUUCAAAGUCAAAACAAGUUUACUUUUAAUUUUUACUUCUUUUUUUUAAUUUUAUAAAUAACAGUUUUUUAAUAAUUUAUUUUGAAAACAUGAUUAUUUUUAAAACUUAUAAUGAAAAUAGGAAUUUUUUUUUUAAUAUCAUGGUUAUUUUCCCUUCUUUUAAGGAGGGCUAUUUUAAAAAUAAAUUUACAAAUAUGAAAAAUGAUUCAAACUAAAGCAGUACAAAUAAAAAACAUUUUUAAGAAAUAUUUAAAAAUAGAGAAAAUUAUUUGAGAACAUUUGAAGUCCUUAAAUAGACUUUUGUUUUAGAAAAGGCAAGAUAAUUAUUUUUGAAAAUUGUUUUCAUAAUGAUAUGCAAAAACCUACGUAAAAACCAUAAUUAUAAUCGGCCACAUAUCAAAUCUACUAAAUAUGAAAAGUAAGUACAUAAUUAUAUUUGACUUAGAUGCAAGGAGGAAAAUGUCGCGAUAUUAUCGCCGAAAUAUCGUGUGUCGAAGGGUAUCGACACGAUUUUUCUUGCAGAAAUAUCGGCCAGUCGAUUUUUCGGGAUAAAUCUCGAGAAAUCGGCAAUUUAUCGCGAUAUAUCGGCGAUUUUUCCUCGAUAUAUCUUCUGGUCAACGCGGGUCAACGGAGUCAACACGCUACAGUGAAAGUCAAAUGUGCUACAAUGUCCCCGCUACAAUCACCUCCCCAAACAAAUUGCCAAAUUGCUUCCGAGGGGAUUUGAACCAGCCUUCUUGCCAUUUGGGCUAACUCGCCCUUAUGAUAUAUAUUGCAUUAAACAUAUAUAUACUUAAAGUCCUUAUAUAAAGAAAAUGUUAAAAAAAUAUUUUAAAGAGCAAAUUAAUUAUAAUUAUUUUAUAAUUAAAAGCAAAAUUUUCUUUUAAUUAAUUACCAAAAAUAUAAAAAUUAUAUAAUUUUCUUCAUAAUGUUUUUAAUAUCAUUAAUAAUUAAUUAAAUAUUAAAAAAUUAUAUAUAUAUAUAUAUAUAUAUAUAUAUAUAUUAUAAUUUAUUUUAUAUUGUUUAAUACAAUUGAAUUAAAUGGAUCAUAUUUUAAUAUUAAUAUAUAUUUUAAAAUUAGACAUAUUGUAAUCAAAUAUCAUAAUAUUAUAUGUAAUUUAAUAAUAAAUGUACACUUAUAAAAUUCAUAUUUUUAUCGAUGCAUACAAUAUUAUUAUCAAAUAUGAUAAAUCAUGUUAUACAUAUAUCAAAAUUUUCAAUAAAAUAACUUUAAAAUGUCUAUUAUACUUCUAAUUAUAUUAUUAUGAGGUUUUCUUUACAUUUUCAUGAGUUUUAAACAAUUUUAAGCACCAAUAUUUUUUUCCAAAAUAUCCACCGAUAUAUCUCCGAUAUAUCCAAUAUAUCUCCGAUAUCUCCGAUAUAUCCGUAAAAUCGAAGUACCGAUAUAUCCGUGAUUACCGAUAUUUUCAUCAUUGCUUAGAUGCAACCUUCUUCCAAAUGACAUACUUUAGUCAAUACUUAUAUUUUUUCGUUUCACUUCUUUGAUACAACACCUCAUGGAUUUAUUGUUUAAUUUAUUUGUAAUUAUAAAACUAUUUUUCAUUUUUAAUAAGACUUGAAUUAAUUUAAUAAAUAUUAUAUAAUUUGAAUUUAUAAUUCUUUUUAUAAAAUCAAAGUAUAUUAAAAAAAAAACAAUUUAUCCGAAGAAAGUUUUUUAUUUUUUAUUUUUUAAAACCGAUUUUAAAAAUAACUAGCUAGACACCCUUAUUUUGAUAAAAUACGAAAUAAAAGUGUAAAAACAACAUGGCCAAAUAGGGGCUUAAAUUUUAUUUUUAAAACAUUUUUUUACACUAAAGUGCAUUUUAAAAACACCAUCAAAACCAACUACAAGUUAUGCUUCUUCCCGUAAUAGAAAUAUUUUAGGCCAAAAUAGAACCUCCCCAAAUAAAGACCCUAUACUAAACUCCUUUUCAUUUUAUUAAUACAAAAGUGGGGAAAAAAGGUCUAUGCUCACCUAAAAAACAUGAAUAUUGUGAAUUCACCAUUUCUAUAAGGAAGUUGAAAACUUCAAAAUUUUAUCAACAAAUUCUCUAAAAUCCUCAAAAUAUAUAGGGCCUGUUUCACAAAGUUUUUUAAAAUUUGUUUUUAUAAAUUGCUUUUAAAAUAUAGAAUAAAUAACAGUUUUUUAGAUUUUUUGAAAAAUAAGAGUGUUUGGUAAGAUGUUUUUUUUUUUUUUUUUUUUUUUAAGAAUUAAAUAAAAAAUAAAAAAAUUGUUUAGAUAAAAGAAUUUGUAUUGUUUUUAAAAACAAUGUCUUACUUUUAUGUUAUAAAAAUUUUAUUAAUUUAAUUUAUAAUAAUAUGAAAUGAAAUUCAAGUUAAGUCUUAUUAAAAAAUACAAAUUAAAUCUAUAAUUAUGCAUGAGUUAAAGAUAAAUAUAUAUUUUUUAAAACUAUAAAAUAAAUUUUCUAUUAUAGUGAAACAAAAAUUACUAUAAAAUAAAAAUAAUUUUAAUAUUCAUUUUUAAUACAAGUCAAAUAAGUACUUUAAUUAAUUUUUUUUAUCAUGAUUUCUUAUGUUUUUUUUUUUUUCUAGAAAUUAUUUUAAGUAAUAUAACUAAUUUUUUUUUUAAUGUUUUAUAAAAAUAAGGAUAUUUGGCAAGUUGUUUUUAUAAAAGGAUUUUAAAAAUAAAUGGAUUUUUUUUUUUUUUAAAAAAAGAACAAAAUGAUUUGUUUGAAUAAAUUGUUUUGAUUUUGUAAAAACAUUUUAAAUUCAAUUUAUAUAAUAUUAAUUAAUUAAAUUAAAUUGAAGUUUUAUUGAAAAUAAAAAUAAUUUUGUAAUUAAAAUUAGAUUAAAAAAUAUAUAGGUUUUAAUAAAUCGUAAAUAGUAAUAUUAUAAUAAAAUUAUAAAUUAUAUUUUUAACAUAAAAUAUACUAUUUAUUACAUAUUAAAAAAAAUAUUUUAUUAUAUUAAUAAUUUUAUGGUAUUAAUGAGUUUAUUAUUUAAGUUUUAAAUUAUUUUUAAAAAUUAAUAAAUUUGUUAACAAAUGCAAUGUACUAAAUGUGGUUUAAUUUGGAGUUAAUUUGUUUAGGGAAAAAAAUAAAAAAUAAAAAUCUUAUGUAAAAGAGAAAUAAUAGAGUGUGUGUGUUUUUUUUUAUUAUUUUUAAAAAUCAGUAAAAAGAACUUUUACUUAUUGCCUAAAAAUUAUUCUCUAUUUUAUUUUAUUUUUUAAAUCUAGAAAUAGAUAACAAUAAUAAAAAAAAUUAAAAAAGAAAAAUGUUUUUUAAAACUCAGACUUAUAAUUGCUUUUGUUUCUCAUUCGCACCCCUGGAUUCCUGGAUUCUAAACACAAAAUUAAGUUGAAUCGUCCAUCUAUCUUGUAAGCCAAGAAUUCACAUAGAAGAAAUAAUCGGAAUUUGAUUUGAUAUCAGAUUUAGAGUGGCUCACUACUCAUGCAUUGUCCCACAAUAGUAAUGCUUUGGGCCGAGAUAAACCCAUUUGUGGGCCCAAAUAAAACCCCUGGUUUGAAAACAUCGAUUUUACAGUGGCCCAAAAGAUUAUCUAUGAGGGGAAGAUAACUUGGAAGUCAAGCAAACACAUUUAUCGCUAACUUUUCUCUAAUUAUAAAAUUAUAACUUGGUCUUCUACACGUCUCACUUAAGAGGCGGAGCCACUUGGCACUACCUUUCCAUAUUGUAAAAGGAGAAGAAGCAGAAGGAGAAGAUUCUUAUGCCAUUCCACACACCAUGGCUAGUACUGCUAUGCUGCUUGGCCCGCCGGCUCUCCGCCAUCCUAAUUCUCCCGCCGGCACUGUCUUUGAAGAUGGGGUCAUUCUAACGGAUUCCCUGAUCGUCCGCACCAGUAAUCUGGAGCUUUCUGAAAAACCGCCACUGGAAUCCCUGGCGUAGUGCUCUGUCAGUGGGGAUAUUGCUAUGGAUUGUUUGGAUUCCCAAGCCCACAAUCUUCAUCUUCCCGGGAAACCGCCGAUGGGCUUAACGGAAAACAAGUCUCCGACCUUUUUGUCUUCCGGGAACCCGUGCUUGGACUUCUUCUUCCAUGUGGUUCCCGAUACGUCGUCUGAUGAUCUGAUCCGACGGUUUGAGUUGGCUUGGGAAUUCAAUCCGCUGACGACGUUAAAACUGAUAUGCAACUUGAGAGAGGUGAGAGGCACCGGAAAAUCUGACAAAGAGGGUUUCUACACGGCGGUUCUCUGGCUCCACGACCACCAUCCCAAAACCCUAGCCUGCAAUGCUAGGGUGUUGGCCAGCUUCGGUUAUUUCAAGGAUUUUCUCGAGAUUCUCUACCGGCUUCUGGAGGGCCCUAAAAUUCGAAGAAUCGAAAAGAAAGACUGGCUGGAUCGAAAAGGAAGGAAGAAAAAUUCCCGGAAAAGGAACUCAAUAUUCAAGCGAGAAAAUAGGCCUGGAGUUGAAUUUCCUGUAGAAGAGAAGGAUGUGGAGUAUAUGGUGGAAGAAUUUGUGGAUAAAGAAAAGGCUAGGGUACUGAGAAAGGAGAGAGAACUUGCUCUUGCCAAAAGAGCCCUGCACAAGUAUUCUACUGAUUCUAAUUAUCAGUUCUUACAUGAUCAGAUUUCAGAUUUAUUUGCUGAACUUCUGAAAUCUGAUAUUCAGUAUUUAAACUCCGGUGAGCUUUACAAGAUUAGUCUCGCAUCCAAAUGGUGUCCCACAAUUGAUUCUUCUUAUGAUAAAUCCACCUUGAUAUGUGAAAAUAUUGCUCGAAAGGUUUAUUCUCGCGAGGAAUAUAUAUCCAGAAUACCAAGGAAUUGAGGAGGCUCACUAUGUUAAUAGAGUCAGGGAUAGGUUGAGAAAACAAGUACUUGUUCCAUUACGUAAGGCCCUGGAGUUGCCAGAGGUUUUCAUGUGUUCGAACCAGUGGGGAUCACUUCCCUACAACCGUGUGGCUUCAGUGGCCAUGAAAUCAUACAAGAGCCUCUUCUCAAAACAUGAUACAGAGCGGUUUGGUGUGUAUCUUGAGAAAGUGCAAACUGGGAAGGCUAAGAUUGCAGCUGGUGCAUUACUUCCCCAUGAGAUUAUAGCUUCAUUGAAUGAGGAGGAUGGCGAGAAAGUUGCAGAGCUUCAGUGGGCGAGAAUGGUGGAAGAUUUAUCAAAGAAUGGGAGGCUCACAAAUUGCAGUGCGGUAUGUGACGUAUCAGGAAGUAUGAGUGGAACUCCAAUGAAGGUGUGUGUGGCUCUGGGGCUGUUAGUUUCAGAGCUCAGUGAAGAUCCAUGGAAAGGUAAUGUAAUUACUUUCAGUGCAAGUCCUGAGCUUCACAAGAUCCAAGGAGACAGCCUUGUAUCCAAGACUGAAUUUGUGAGGAUGAUGGAAUGGGGUGCGAACACUGAUUUUCAGAAAGUUUUUGACAGAAUCUUACAAGUAGCAGUGGAGGGAAAUCUGAGUGAAGAUCAAAUGAUAAAGAGGGUUUUCGUUUUCACUGAUAUGGAGUUUGAUGAAGCUUGUGGGAGGUAUAACUAUUGUGAAUAUGACUAUGAUAUGGAGGAAAUUGAUGAGAGUCAGAAGGCAUCUCAGAAGUGGGAGACAGAUUAUGAAGUGAUACAGCGGAAAUUCCAGGACAAAGGAUAUGGAAAAGUUCCGGAGAUAGUGUUUUGGAACCUUAGAAACUCAUCAGAGACUCCAGUGAUGGCCACAGAGAACGGGGUGGCCUUAGUAAGCGGGUUUUCGAAGAAUCUGUUAGACCUUGUUUUUGGAAGGAGGUGGAAUUCUGACCCCUCAGGAUGUGAUGGAAUUAGCCAUCUCUGGUGAAGAUUACAAGAAACUUGUUCUAUUUGAUUAAGAUAUCAAGAGAUUUAUCAAUAAUAAUAUGUUUUUUUUUUUCUAUGUGAAAUACAUGUAAUAUUAACUAUGGAGUUAUCAAAGUUCUGGAAAUUUAAUUAUUUCUUCUUUUCAAGUUUUGUUUGUCUUUGUUAGGAAUUCCCCUUGGGCGGACCCAGCUGGGGACUUGGAUUGAGGAAGUAAGGAGGCGAAAUUGUGUUCUUCUAUGGACAGAGAAAAAAGAUAAAAAUAAAAAAUAAAAAAGGAGGUUAUUUGCAUUUGGAUGUCAUGUGGUUUCAGGGUACAACUACAAGUUCGAAAUUGUACAUAAUGUGAAAAUUCCUGUGUGGAGAACAGCAUAAAUAUGUAUCUCAGUGUGUUUUGUUUGAGCUAAUUGGCAAAUUCGCUUUAAACAUGGUCACAUGGAUGCAUAUUUAUUUGUGAAAUGAUAGUAGUCGAUUACUUGGUCAGUAAGGUUUGUAUCUCUAACUCCAACAUCUUAUUGUAGUCUUUUAAAAUGUCAAAAGUUUAAUGCUAGCUUGAGAAAUUUUGGAAUGGAGACAUUCUAAACAAAGUUAAUAAUCCAUGAGACUUGGUAAAACCGAUCAGAUGAUGCUUACGUACAUGAAUGCCUUCUUUAAGCCGUAUCCUAUUUUCAUUGAAUGAGACGUGCCAUCUAGUUUUGUUCUUGUCUUGAUUGGAUCAUGAUCCCGGGAAUUGAUUACUGUUCUGAAUUUGCGAAUGUUCAAGGUAUUAGAGAAAGUUAAUAUUAUCGUUAAUUUACAUAUUAGUAUUUAUCUAGUUAUUAUAUAUUAGUUUGAAUUAUAAUAUAAUAUAGAAUUUGAAUCAAGUUUACUAUUAGUUUGAAUUACAAUAGGAAAUAAAGUUUGAAUUAUAGUAUAACUCAAAUAUAUUUGUAUAUAAAUAUCCAUCUUUAUCAAUGAGAAUAGUAAACCAUAUUUUUCUCUAUCUUCUUCUUUCUCUAUAUAUAUGGUAUCAAAGCCUCCAAAUCCUAAACCUAGUCUCAACUUAGAGCAAAUUUAGGGUGCAGGGUUUAGGCCCCGCCUCCCCCAACCCUUACCACAAAUGGUAGUGACCUUGUUAUGCCUAUGUAUUGUCAAUGCCUCAUUUUCUAUGGUCUUCAAUACAAUAUCUAGUUUCAAUGUCUCUUUCCUUACUAUCUCCAAUGCAAUAUAUUGAUUUCAAUAUCUCUUUACAACCAAGAGCUCCAAAUUUUCCUGGUUCAAAUCUACCAUAAUUUUUAUUCUCCUUUGCUUUUUACCAAUAUUAGUUCCCCUAAUUUAAUAUAUAUCUCUUUAUUACCUUCAACUCUACCUCUCUCUUUCUUUAAAAGCUUCCUCAAAGAUUUGAUUGCUUUCUUGCAUGUUUUGGGAAAACAAACAUGCUCAUAUUCUAUUACCUCUACUUGAGAUCUGCCUUAUACUCUACCUUCUUCUUUACCUCCUAUAUCAUCUACUACAUUAGCUUCAAAAACAUUAUUUAGUUUGAUGCUAAAUAAGGCUCCUAAUCCUACCCUUCCUUCAACUAACUUUCUUUUACAAGUCCCUCAAAGUUUUUUUUUUUUUUUUUUUGGAAAUUUGGCUUAGAAAGAUUUCAUUACUCUUACCUAAUCUUUCAACCAUCAAGUCGAAUCCACUUAUCUCUUGAAUCCAAGGAGACUACCCUCCACAAAAACAAGGAGAUUGACCCCCACAAUAACAAAGAGAUUGUCCUCCAUAGAAACAAAGAGAGCUUCCUUCAUGGAAGCCGAAUACAUCGCAAUCUAUUUUCUUUCUCUCAAGAUCAAAUCUCCAAUCGGAGCUCCAUCUUGUGGGGAUAUAUUAGAAAAAGUUAAUAUUAUCCUUAAUUUACAUAUUAGUAUUUAUCUAUAUUAUAUAUUGAAUUAGAAUAGAAUAUAGAAUUUGAAUUAAGUUUACUAUUAGUUUAAAUUACAAUAGGAAAUAGAGUUUGAAUUAUAGUAGAACUCAAAUAUAUUUAUAUAUAAAUAUCCAUCAUUAUCAAUGAGAAUAGUAUUCCAUAUUUUUCUCUUUCCCUGAGGCUUCAGAAUGUGAUCUUGAACAUUUGAUCUUUUGGAUUCUUCUUGUUUCGGUGGUUUAAUAUAAUGGAAUGUUUAAUUAUAGCCUACUUUAUCACCAUGGAUGUGCUCCUGCAGAUUUCUUGAGGGUGAUGGUUAUUUUGUCAUGUUUCUUGAAUGGUUUGCAUCAGCUGCCUGAGCUGUUGUUGCUGGUCACUUUUGCAACCAGGGAAAGAAUCAUGGCUUUGGAGAAGCCAGCUUCUGUUUUUGUUGCCCAGCUGUUAGUUCACUAAGAUUGGGGGUCCUAACAUGUAUGUAUAAUCAUAAGCAAGGAAAUUUUAUGUCUUACGCUAGAUAGGUACCAUGAUAUGAUGUUUGAUUGAUUUAUUAACUCUACCUGUUUCAAAAGGCAUCAACAUUAAUUUUACCCUUUUAACACAUUGGAUUGUUUGACCUUACGAGAUUUUCUAUUUCUGUACUAUUUGAACUGCAAUCGUUAUGGUCCUUAGGUCUCUAAACCUUCGUUUAAAAUAAAAGUAAGGAGCACACAUAGUAAAAGUUAAUUUUGGGUAACUUUUAAAACAAAGAGAAAAGUAAAAGUUGUUUUUGAGAAAAACAUAUAGAAAUUGAAAGAUUUUUUAUUUUGAGAAAAAAAAGUCAUAGAAAAGAAAUAAUAUCCCCAUAUAAGUAGAUAUGAUCUAUCCGAAGUGUAGCUACUCUCCUGGAUUUAUUCUAACAUUUUAAAAUUUUUCUCAAUGGGCAAAGGAAUAUCAAAUCAAGCUUGAGUAGGAUUAAUUUCUUAAUUUUUAAAAUAACUUAUAAUUAAAAUUUUUUGGUGUUUUCUUUUUUGGACAAUUUUUUAUGAAGACUCUGAAUCAUGCAAGAGAUAUGGUUAUUUUAAAAAAAAAAAUAAUUUAAAACUCAAAUACAUAAUCAAUGUCACAAAUUUAUAAACAAAAGGUUUUUAAAAAAUACUAUUAUUUCCCCUCUACACAUAAUUUUACUUUUCCGAUUUAUUUAUUUUUGUUGGAAAACAGUCUUCAAAUCAAGUAAAAUUAAUAUGUUAAAUUUGUUAAACAAAUAAAUUUUAAAAUACAAUUUGGAACUCAAAAAUCAAUUCAAGUAAUGCUAAAAUUCAAAAAAUCAAAUUUGGAAUAAAAUGACUUUGUAAAUUUUUUUACUAAACAAAUGAAUUUUAAAUCAAGUGAGAUUUAAUACAUUGGAUUUUUAUGAGAAUAGUAAUUUUAAAAAUUAAUUUGGAACUCAAAAAUAGACACAAUAAAUACCAAAAAUCAAUGAACCAAAAUUGGUUUGGAAUAACUCCAUAAUUUUUUAUUUAUUUAUAUAUUUAUUUUUUUGUGCACACGAAUUUCUUACUAAGCAUAUUGCUUCCAAAUUGAGAAAAAUUUACUAUUUAGAUUUUUUUAAUGAGUUUAAUGGUAUUUAAAAAUAAUUCAAAAAUUCGAAAAUUGACUAAUUUAAUAUUAUAAAUUCAUAAACCAAGACUAAUUCAAAAUGCAUUGGGGGCUAAGGGGGUUGAAAUUAAUGCUCCAUUUGGUUGUGGCCACCAAUUGGCAAUGGCCACCAAUCAACCAAUCAAGGUGGCUAAGGGGGUUGAAAAUAGGGACAAUGGGGUGGGUUUGGGACAGGACACUCAUAUCCCAUUCCCAUCCCAAUUACACAGUUAUUUCCCAUCCUUAUUCCAAACUUGUGUUGGGGCAAGUUGAUUUGUUCCCAUCUUUGUUAACGAAAUGACUAAUAACCUCAUCCUCUCCUUGUCUUAGAUGUACAUUUUCUCAAAUUUGGUCAGGUAUGAUUGAUUCAAGCCCUAACCUUAAUUGGUAAUGAGUGGAUACCACACCUAAUUGCAUUCUUCUUUCGUUGCAAAAUAAUGAGAUUAUAAUAAUCUAGCAAAUAAGAAAAAAUAGUAUGGAAGUUCAAAUUAACACCAUAACUAUCAAUAAUUUUAAGCUUAUAGAUGACUUAAAUGAUUGAAAACUAAUGCAAAAUACUAAAAAAAAAAAAAAUCAUCUAAAGAAUUCACAAGAGAAUAGAACGAACAAAACCAAAUAGGAACAUGGGUCAACAUUAGUUACAGAUUUUGAUCCCUUUCAAGGCCAAUCUUUGAACCAAGACUUCAUCAAAUCUACUACUUCAAAGGCUUUUGUGUUCUUCUUGAGUUGUACUCUGGAACAAAGACUUCGAGGUGAUGCUUUAGAUGAUUGCAUUACACAUAUUUAGGGUAGGGAGAUUGGAGAAGCUUGAAGAUGCCAACGAUGGGUACAAUUGAGUGGUCAAUAAGAACAAUGUGGCCUAUGACUAGUUUGAUGUCAUGGUAUAGGAGUUUUGGGCAUUGAGGUGAAAGCAAGAGCAACAUGGAAUUGAUUUCAAAGUCUUUCAAUUAGUGUAAAGGAGGAAGAAGAAGUGGUAUUGAUCCUAGAAAUAGUGUUUUAGGUGUUGCAUUAGAGGAAAAGAAAAAGAAAAAGAAGGAACCAUUGGAAUUAGUACGAGUGUGAAGAGAGAAGUGUAUACAUAAGGGGAAGUAAAAGCAAAGUUCUAAAAAUUUAUUUUUUUAUUGGUGGUGUAUGGUUGCAUGAUUAUCCCUAUAAAUAAUAGGAGUUUUUUGGUGUUCUACUAGUAGUUGAAGGAUAAUUUCAUAAGAUAAUAUUUAGAGCGGGGUGGGGUGAGUUGUGACAAAAUCCAUACCCGUCCCAAACAUUGGUUCAGGUUUUUAAAAUAUUUUCAAACUUAUCAUAUACCCAAUUUUAUAUUUCAUACUUGUCCUAAUAGAGACAGGUUAGUCAGGGUUACUUGAGUAGCCUACAAAACUAUCAUCCCUAGUUGAAAUGCUCUUUUUGGCAGUGGCAGCUAGAAGCUCGAUCGAUUGACCUACAAGACUAGUUGUCAUCAUUUUAAAAAGAGUUUUGGCUUUGGUUGUGAGUGCAAUUGAAUCUAAACUAACAUUUCCUUAAUGCAUCUACUUCAAUCCUAAACUUCUUACUUAAGCCUCAAUUGUUGUUAAGAUUUUGGAAAACCCAUUUCCUUAAAUUGUAAAUUUAAGAAAAAAAAAAUUAAAAGUGAGACAUUUCUUGAUUGAAUGUUGUUAAAGGUCCCUUGGAAUUAAGACUUGGUUGAAGCCUUGGAAGAUUAGCAGAACUCUCAACUUAUGUUUGAACCUUGAGGAGAGUGGACGUAGGCCAAAAUUUUGUCAAACCAUUAUACAAAUUGAGUUUGAAUUCUCAUUUCUUGAUUUCUUAUUUAUUUGCUUUUUCUUAUUAUUACUUGAAUUGUCAUUUGCAUUCAUUAAUGUUAAAAUUGGUUAUAAUUAGCCAACACUAAUUCUCUUUCCCCUUCCCUUAAUUUCUUGGGUGUAAACCUAGGUUGGAUUAACUAGAUUUUAUCAAAUCUAUUAAGAUGGUAAAAGAAUAAUUAUUCUUAACAUACAUAAGAUCAUCUUCAAUCAAAUGACUCAUUGGCUGAUAUGUUGAAUUUGCUUAUUACUUGCAACUCAAAAUUGUGUUCUAGUUGAUAUGUCAAGUCCUGAGUGUAUGGACAUUAAAUUUGUAGUACGUGAUGAGUAUUUAGAUGGUCCAAUUCCAAGAAAGUGAUUGAAAACUAGUUCAAGAAAGGUGCAAAAGGGAAUUGUUUUGGUAUUUUCGUUUUUAUUCUUGAAGGUGGCAGAGCUAAAAUUUGAGAAAUCAAGCAAAACAUACUGAAAUUACAUUGAAAGAAAGAAAAUGGGAGUUAAUGUCUUGCAGUACAUGAUAAGGACUUCAUGCAUGUAGUGUGACCCAUGUCUUGGACUGAUGCCACACUCACGGUUACACUUAUACCCUUAGUUCUCUCUUUACUACCUUAGCUAACCUAGAUCAGGUUAUGAGAUAGGCACCUCACCACACCAUUACUUGCCCAUUAAUUAGUGACAUUUUCAAGCAAUGAGGUAACAUGGUGACACCAAGAGGGUAUAUUCCUCACCCCCAACAAGCCUAGACCUGGUCUAAAAAAAAUGGAGAAAAAUGACGUGUUGUUAUGCAGAAAUAUAGCAACCAUGCCUUCCUCAUUACUUAGAUUCAGAAUGUGAAGGUGAAAUUGAGAAACAGAAACUCUUGAAACCAAAAUGAAAAUUGAUACUUUUACGAAGAAUUACAACAACAUUAGAGGAAGACUACAUUCUUCCUCUUUAUUCCUACAUUUCUACACUACUUCUACUCCACUCCAUAUUUCUACAUACAUCUUUAAUCAGUCUUCCCUCCUUUAUAUAGAGCCAUCUUCACACAAAUUCCGCAAGGUAGAAAAGAGGAAUGAAACUUGGAGCAAGGUUCGACUACUGGCUGUAGCUUGUCAAGGCUGAAAGUGAACUUUUUUUCUUGGCUUUUCUGGGCAUAGGUAGUAACUUGUAGGUUCCUUUUUGGAAUGAAAAUGGUACGGCUAGAACAUGUGGCACUCUCUUGUUGGAUGAUGUGUCAAGCAUGUGGCAGCCAUCUAGUGGAGAUUAUGUCAAUUUUGGGAUGGAGAGUUGGCAUCCAAUUGCAAAGAAAUAUGACAUCUACCAACAUGCAAUGUCAACCUAUGUAGAUCAUAUGAAGAUAGAGAGGAAAAAUAUAGAAAUGGAUAUAUAACUAGAACUAGCUUUUUAUUAAAUGAGACGGAGAGCCAACAAUGAAGGAAAAUCAAAAUUUUUGGCUCAUAUCAAAGAAUUCACAUUGUGUUACCCUAGGUUUUCUUAAAACUUACUUUUAUGAUAAUAAAAAAUCAUUAUUGUUUAAUCCUUUGUUUUAAACGCAUGUUUAGCAGGUUGUAAAAUGUAAAUAUCUUUCGAAAUUCAAAUAUGAAGAUAUGACAUCAUUUCAAGCAAUAUAGUCUCUAGGAAUUAAUGUAAAGCUAAAUUAAGGUGCAAUUAAGUUAGUUCAAUGCAUUAUUUUAAGAAACUUGACCUAUCAAAACCUUGUCUUACUUCAAAGCCUCUUUUUCUUUUCUUCCAACUAACAUUUUAAUAAGUGAUCGCAAAAGUACAAAAUUAGAUGAAAUCCAUUUCAAUGGUUAAAAUGAUCAAAUUCAAACUUUUUCUAAGUAUCUUUUAAAAGCAUCAAUAUUGAAAGACAAUUUUAUAUUUAGUCAAAGCUUGGACAGAGCCAAAAAGCACACAAAAAUUUAUAUUUUCUAGCUCUCUACCUUGGAUGGUCUCUUGAUCCUACUUGGAGAUGUGCAUAAAUAAAAGGAUUUGAAAAUGACAAUUGACUAAGUAUGUAGUCAAUCAAUUACUCAUUGAUUGACUAGUUGAUCAAUUAACUUUGCAACAUCAUAUGCAAUCCUAAUAGCUAGUCAUCUAAUCAACUAGGUAGUAAAUCAAUAGGCCAAAAAUAUGUUUAUAAUGACUAUUUUGUACAAAAACCACUUAUAUAGUUAAAUAUAAUGCAUUUCAUUUAUAAAUCUUCUAAUUCUUGAAUAACAAUCCUAUCAUCCUUUGAAAGUUUUUAUUACACCUUUUCUACAUUUGUUCUAAAACUUAUACAUCACCCUUAAUUGUACCAUGAGAACCUAGCAUUUUUUUUUUUUUUUUUGUAUUUCAUCAAAGUUAGCUCUUGUACUCAUUGUUGUAUUAUUUUUAUUGUAACUUAGAGAGCGAGUGUUUUCAAGUGAGUGAAAUUGACUUGUAAAUAUUGUAAAGAUUCAUUGAUAUGUAUCUCAAACUAGGUGUACAAGUUGAAACAUUUGCUAGUAGAUUUUCUCAAGAUUUAGAAUGAGCUUAAGGCUAUCGAAUUAGGUGGGGUUGCGCCAAACCAUAUCACAUCGUUGUUUGCACCUUUUUUUUCACUCUCUUUUACUUAGUUGCUCUAUAUAUAUUGUCUAGCAAUAUCCUAAAGGCUUGAUGGGCUAGGGAGCAUCCCUCUGAAUGAAAAAUUUUCAUUCAAUUCUUAGUUGUAUUACGCAUAUAUAAAAUGCCUCAUUGUUUUAAUGGUAUUCAGUCGUGGCACCACAGAUAUGGACAUCUAAAUUUUAAAAGUUUGAAACUUUUAGCUAAAGAAAAUAUGGUGCUUUGCCUUUUUGGAAAGCAUGUUGAUGAAAUCCAUGAGAAUUGUAUACUUGGAGAGCAACAUCGAGAUAACUUUUUUUUUUUCUUUUUUUAUAAUGCAUUGUUUGUCCAAAUUCCGUACAAAUUAGGCCACCACAUGUUCAUAAUUCUCCCUUCUUGAAUUUGAAAACUCGGACAAUUUGACAAUGCGACACCUAAGUCCGGUUUUUAAAUGCUAAAGUGAAAGGGCAGGUAUGGACCAUUGAAAUGUGAUAACAACUUUUGGCCUUUUCCUUUUCUCUGUAGCCAUGUUGUCUCUUUUUAAUUUCUUUUGCAUGAUUUUCUUACCUAAACAGAAUCAUAGACUUGUUUAAUCUCUAAGUGGGAUUUCAUCCACCUUAAGCUACUGUAUUAUAUCUCGGUGGAGGACAACCGACAUAGAGCACAUGCAAGUGGGUAUAUGGGACAUGAAAUAUCUUCUUAUAAAGCUUGUUUUGCAGUUAAAUUAAUUGGAUAAGUAGACACUGGCGUUUCUAAAUUUCCCACCUAAGAUAAUGACCUUAUCCUUGACUGCUAGAUACACAAACAAUUAUACCUUCAAAAUCUACUGUGAAGUGCUUCAUGUAUGUGUGAAGUAUUAGAAAUUUCUUUCUUGGCAACUUGUUUUUUUCUUUGCGGUCUACUGAUAGGUUUGACUAAAAUUAUAUUCCCUGUCCUGCUAAUUAAUUUUCACGUGCAUGCUCAAAAGAAGAGUAUGACCUUAGUGCACCAAAAUCACUUUCAAUAAUUUGUGAUAAGUUUUUUUGCAUGACAUUAACCUUAUUCAUUUAGAUAAUGUUUAGUUCUCAUAAAUAUUAAGAAAAUGAAAAUAAAUAUUAAGAAAAAUAUUCUUAUAUUUGAUUGUAUUAUGAAAAAUAUCAUAAAAAAUCAAAUAUAAUUAAAAUUAAUUAAUAAUUUAUAUAUUUUAAAAUUAUUUAAUUUUUAUAUUAAAGAUAUAAUAUAAAUGAAAUGAGUUUUAAGUAUUAUAUAAAAAUGAUUUAUUUAUUUAUUUAUAUAUAUAUAUAUAUAUAUAUUUAGUUUUUCUCUUUAUUUUAUUUUCCUUAUGUUUUCCUCACAUUUUCCGGAAUCAAAGAUAGGGAAAUCCACAAUUACCUUCAACUGAGUAGAUUCUAUUGUUUUAGCAAUGUUAGGCUGCUAACUUGUGGUGGUACGAACCAAAUGAUCCAUGUUAAUCUUGGCUUGAUUUAAUUUGGCUCUAUCUCAGAGAACUCAAGGAUCACGUCAACUCUGGUUUCUACUAUUCAGGUCCAUUCCCAGAUGAACUGGUUCAAAUUUGAGAAAAUGGUAACAGACCUUUAGUGAUAUUGGUUUGGAGCCAGUUGCCAAACCUGCCCUGAGCUUUACCACUAAUGUCAAGGGACAAAGCCAUUUGAACAAAAACAAUAGCUUCAAGAGACUGAAUCGUGGAUGAAAUCUGAUCCACAUUUCUUCUCAUUUUGGGAAAAAAUGAGGACUUAACCACAAAGAUUCUACUGCCUCAUAGUGCUUUUCCUGAUCUAAGGUUGGCUCGUUUCCCAAAUUGUGAGGUGCACGUGCCACUCUCACGCUCAGGAGUGUAUCCACGUGGUGGACAUAAGAUGGUGGCUUAAUAUCUGGUGUCGGUGGCUUUACUUUACUAGGAGAGUAGUGUGUCUUCAUCUCAUUCACUGCCAGAGGGUGGCGUAAGCAGUGACGCUAAGGUGGGGCACAGUCAAUAUCAUUUGCAUUUGACCAUUAUAAUUUUCUCCCGGCUUUAAAGUAACCUUAUCGUGAUAAUGGAUUACUAGCACUAGUUCAGAUGACAGUCAUGUUAAAUUCGGACCAUGUUUGUGUCACAUUAUCAGCAACCAUGUGCUUGUGGUUCAUGCUAUCUGCAACUAAACUUGAUAUAUAACCAGGUGAACUUCAAUCUAAAUUCUGGAAGUACUCAUGUGAUAGAUGGUGCCUGUCUGCAGUGAGUGUAUCUAUAAGAGGGAAGGCUUGGCAAAUGUUCAGUUUUCUGGGAAUUCAACAGGGAUCUAAAAUAGAUUGUUUUCUUUGCUGAUUUCAAUGGUUGAAAUUUGAGAAGAUUGUGUCCACAUAACACAACUAUUACUGGUCCUUCUGUUGCAAUUUAUCCUCUAAGGCUCUAACAUGUCUUCCAAUUCCCACUUCCCACUUCCCUGUUACUCCAGGAAAGCUGUUUCUGUCAUUGUGAAGAAGAAAAGAGACUGUACAUAUCGAUGCUUUUAAGUGGACUGGAGAAUUCAUAUCAGGUGGUCUGCAGCCAUACAUGCCACUUUGUGAAGGUUGGAACAGUCAAUCACUAGGCUAUAUUAGUGGGGCCCAGCCACUUCAAUCAAGGACAAGUCUUCAUACUUAAAGUCAAAUUCUGCCUUUAGUCUCAUUAUAAAUUGCUGUUUAAAUAUCAAGCAAACAUUUGUUUAAUGCGAUUAAGACAGCACUAACUCAAUACUUGUUCUAUUUUUGGAUGCAAAUGCUUGAUAGUUUCAUCAUUGGAGGGGAUAAAGGUGCAUUCAUGAUUAUGAAUACUUGUAGUUAUAUUUUCAUUCUCUUUUUUCUCAAUGGGACUUGUUGGCACAAUUUUGCUGUUCAGAAACCUACCUCUCCAUGGAAAAUCAGUUGUGAUUGAUAUUACUGGAUAUAUUCAAGAAAGCUAAAUGUAGAUAGCACAAAAUAUUAUCGACAUAAAUAGCAUUAACAGCGUACGUAUGUCUCAAUGCUCAUCAGCUAUAAGCAAGGGGCAAACACUUACUAUGAGCAACUUACGUCAAAAUUCCGGAAUAGGACAUAGAAGUGACAGGUCAGUAAAUAUAGAACACUGCAUAUGAGUCACAAGAAAGGAAAUUACGGGUACAUAGCAGCUCUUAUUUUACAUCCUACUCAUACUGAUCAAAGUCACUCAGUUGGGAUGGGUGGGAGUGGGAGGUUUGUGGGGUGGCUUGUGCGGAGGAGUUGGCAGCUUCUUUCCAGGACCUGGUUGCUUCUCUGCUGGAGUUGAAGGAGGCUUAAUCUUCCGAGGUGGCUUGUAUGAGUCUUCAGCAUUCUCAGCAGGAGGGUGACCAGGGUUGUGACCACAAUGUGGUGGCUUCUCUCCCUUAGGUGGUUUGCCAACUGGGGUUGGUGGCUUGUGUUCCGGAAGUGGCUUCUCUUUGUGUUCAGGAGGUGGCUUCUCCACUGGAGGCUUGUGUUCAGGAGGUGGCUUCUCCACCGGAGGCUUGUGUUCAGGAGGUGGCUUCUCCACCGGAGGCUUGUGUUCAGGAGGUGGCUUCUCCACCGGAGGCUUAUGCUCUGGUGGUGGCUUCUCCACCGGAGGCUUAUGCUCUGGUGGUGGCUUCUCCACCGGAGGCUUAUGCAAUGGUGGUGGCUUCUCCACCGGAGGCUUGUGUUCAGGAGGUGGCUUCUCUACCGGAGGCUUAUGCUCUGGUGGUGGCUUCUCCACCGGAGGCUUAUGCUCUGGUGGUGGCUUCUCCACCGGAGGCUUGUGUUCAGGAGGUGGCUUCUCCACCGGAGGCUUGUGUUCAGGAGGUGGCUUCUCCACCGGAGGCUUGUGCUCUGGUGGUGGCUUCUCCACCGGAGGCUUAUGCUCUGGUGGUGGCUUCUCCACCGGAGGCUUGUGUUCAGGAGGUGGCUUCUCCACCGGAGGCUUAUGCUCUGGUGGUGGCUUCUCCACCGGAGGCUUGUGUUCAGGAGGUGGCUUCUCCACCGGAGGCUUAUGCUCUGGUGGUGGCUUCUCCACAGGAGGCUUGUGUUCAGGAGGUGGCUUCUCCACCGGAGGCUUAUGCUCUGGUGGUGGCUUCUCGAAUGGGGGAUGCGUAGGGUAAUCAGCUAGUGAGGGGGCGGUGAGAACCACCAGGCCAAGCAACACUACUAGCAAGUAUGUAGGAGACAUCUUUGGGUUUGGGCUCAGAUGGUGCAAAACUAGGAGAAUUGGCUAGCCUUUUAUAGCGGAUCGUACCCAAUAAUGAAAUGACACGUGUCAUUAUGACCCAUGUGUCAUGUGGUCGAUUUGGGUCCUACAGUGUUGAAAACUUCGACAUCCACUUUUUUGGCCUUUUGCUUUCUCUACAGUCGCCUUGCUUUUUCCCUCUUUUCUUUUGUUUUCCUCCUGCCCCAUUCUAUCAACUAAUCACAAUUAUGUAGUUGUUUAAUUCUUAAAUGAGAUAUUAUCCGUCAAUCAUAUUAUCUUUUAUCAAGAGAGAACGGAGUGAAAAGUGGCAAUCCAAAGAAAGAAGAUCCAUAAUGCAGCUGUAAUUUUAUCGUUUACUUUUAUCUCUAGGACCACUGCAUUUUUGUUGAGAGGUGCAAUAAUACACGUCUUUAUCUGCCAUUCAAUGUUUACAGUAAAGAGAGGGCACAAAACUCUUCACUGCUCUGCAUGUGCCCCAAAAAUGCAAUUGGACAAAUUAUGAUUUGCAUGCUAAAAAGAGGCAAAUGAGGUUAAUUAGCACCAAAAUUAUUUUGUUUUCUGGACACCCCGGGGCCCUUUGGUUGGUUUGGGGGUCAGAAAAUGAACAUCAUAGGGGGUUUUUCCCUAAUGUGCAUUUGCAUUUGUAUCUGAUGGCUUUAACUCGCCUUGUUACUACAAAGAAAUUGUCACAGAUAGGAACUUAUUCCAGGCUGAGUAUCUCCGCAUGGACCCUAUAAAAGAAGACAAGUCAUAAUGAACAUCUAACCUUUGUUCAAUUUGAUUCAAUGCCCCUAUUGUGUCCAUCUCACAAAUCUGAAUUAUUAUAUCCAUUGAAUACAUAAAUUAAUGAAGAAAAUAUGAAACCCAAGAUACAUCUCUGCACAACCUCAACCCUGGUUGCUAUGUUUCACUUCUAUUCACAUGAGGAUAUUGAUUACGGAAUAAGGAAACCUAGCAAGGGUUUACUCGGCUCUGGUUUGAUGCUAAUUGCCAAACUUGCAACAAGCCCUGAGUUUGACACCUAAUCGAUGGGCGAAUUAAAAGUCUCCUCCAAACAUAUAUUCCACAGCUUGAAGCUCACAGAAGAUGCUAUACAGGCAGGGAAAAACCUUCAGAGUUAGCUACCAAAGAUAAUUAUCAAGGAGAUAUCACCAAGAGAAUUCCAUGGAGUCUGAAUCAAAGACAAAUUGCUCGCUCGUGGGGGUUCUUACUUAAUUUCUUUUGGGUAUAACUCACUGAGGGCACUGGCUUUGUUAUUUGCAUUUCGCAUUUAGAGUUCUGUUCUGGAAGGUUUGUUCUGGAAACAUAUAAAAGGAGCAUCAUUUUGUUCUAGGGUAACCCAUAGUUGUGAGUGGGUCCAUUUGCAUGCUACUUAGUUGAAAAGUUGGACAAUUUGCUCCGACGCCUACCUCCUGGAUUCCAUGCUCGGAUAAAGCAAGAAUAAUAAAAUAUUUAUAAUUUACAAAUGGGGGAAAGAAAAAAAUGUCAACAACAAACUAGGAAAAAAGAGUAGUAAAAUUUAUGCCACAUGCUAUUGAUAGAAGGGGCAUGUAUUAGAUCCAUCACCAUUUGGUAAGAUUUUAGUAUUAUAUUUUUCAAGGUUCAUUAUUUGAGGGUGUGUUCUUCAUCUCUGUUGCAUUGCUUCUUACUAGGCCCACUGAGGUGGGUUCUUCACCUUUUGUAUAUUCUCUGCACUAGAUCAAUGAGAAAGGGGGAAUUUUGGUGAAUUUGCAGCCGUUGGAUGAUUGAUUCUAGGCUCAGUCCACCAAUGAUGCUCUCUUCACUCUUUCUCAUCUAGUGUCAUUCACAACUAUGUUUUGAUUCAUAUUUGUACUAUCAAAGAUAUCUCAUUAUUCUAGCUCAUUAGGUAGAGUUCCUAAUCUUCCUCCUUUUUGGUCUAUGGACAGUAUUGGCUUCAUAUUAAGAUCAUGUUUCAAUAAUUGCACAUUAAUGAAUGGAUCAUGACCCACAUAAACAGAGUCAGGGUUGAGUCAGUGAACCCUAAAAUUUCACAAUUCUAAAUUUGGGUUCUUUAACAAUGCAGGGUCAAGGACGCGUGGUGAUGAAGGAAAGCUGGUAAGCUCAGUGUUACUUCAAUUCCUGCCAUGUAGGAUGGUGAGGAGAUAUUCACUAUGCAAUUAAUAAUAGACAAUAUUCACUAUGCAAUAAUAAAGCAUAAAUUAAGUUGAAUGAAAAGCAUUUUCUUUGCAAGGAGUUGAUUUUGGUUUCAUAGUUUGUUCAACUGCUAUUUUGGAUAGGAAAGUGUGAGGAGAAGAAAAUAAAAAAUAAAAAUAAAACAAAAAAUAAAAAAUAGAUUUUAUAAAUUCAUUUAAUUUAUUUUUUUUUUAUAAAAAUUAACUAAUUUAAAAUAUAUGUAAAUUUCUAAUUAAUUUAAUUACAUUUUUUUUUUCAGUUUUUCAUAAUAAACCAAAUAUUAGAAAAUUAUUUUUAUUAAGACACCCAAGAUGAGGUAAUAUGCAAUGAAAACAUGAAUUAUAUUAAAAUUCAAAACAAAUUAAGAGAAAUCGGAAAAUAUACAUAGAUAUCUAAACAAAGAAAUUUAAAGAGAAGGAACCACAAACUUUAUUUACAUAAUUUGAAAAUAAAAAACAUAAAACAUACUUAUAGUAAGGAGAAAUUGAAUAUCUUACAAUGGAAGAAGGGAGAAAAGCUUUGAAGAAAGCUUUUGCUUGGAAGCUUACAUGGUGAGAGGUAGAGAAAGGAGAGAGAGAGAAGAAAAUGAAAAAUGAGAAGUGGAGAAAAUUGGAAGUUUUGUGUGCUUACAACUGAGGAUAGAGCCUCCUUAAAUAGCAAAAAAUGGAAUAUUAAAUAGUACCAAUCAGGAGACAAAAUAUUGUUUGCUUUUGAAACCCGUGCAUGAAUAGUAAUCCCGUGAGUGAAUAGUGAAUAAUAAAAGUGAAUAGUAAAAGUCACUUUCUACUAUAGCACUUUAGACUUUUUCAUCGAGAAUCUUACUUUCGGCUGAGUGAUGAUAGCUGAUAGGUUGCUUUGGAUUGUGGAGUCAUAUGUUUGAUGUUUUCGGUGCUGAAACCGCUUAGUUGGAGAAUAAUCUCGUCAGUAGAGCAUCAUGAGAAGCUUGAAUGGAGAGAGCUUAAUGAUGCCAUAUGAUUGGAAGGAAUCCUAUUUUAAUUUCCUUAUUGGAGGGAGAAUACCCUCACAAUCAUCUUCAUUAUCUUGAAGGUAGUUUGAUAUAGAGUCAUCUGACUCAGCAUAAGAGUCCUCUUGGGAGAAGCUUGAACUGCUUUUGUCAAGGAUUUUCUGAAAUUCUUGAGGGGUUUUUGCUAUUGCUAACAUGGUUUGGAGUUGCUGUUUCUUAAGAAGAAACUGUGCAAUAUCAUAAGAUGAUGAAGCUUGUGUAGGAUGCUUUAGGAAAUAUUGCUUUAUUGCUUGUAGUGAGGUAUCAUUUUUCAAGGCAUCCCACCACUUAGACUUGAAAGUCCUUCCAAGGGUUGGAAAGGCUGCUGAUUCAUCUGCUAUAAUGAUAUAAUCCCACUGGACUAUCCAGGCAAGGCCAAAUUCACUAAAAAAGAAUAAUAAUUGGGGAAAACUGAAAGUUCUCUAGGGAUAACAAAAGAACUUUGGAAUAGCUCAAAGCCAUCCAAAAUGGGUUUUGGGAGAAUUUUAAUAGUUGGACCAAAAUAUGUCCACCAAUUGUGGAACCAAAAUGGAAAAGAGGGGAGUUGAUGCUUAGAUGGGAAAUAGAACAUCCCUGAAUGAUGGAAGUCCUUGUUCUGGAUCAGAAAAGCAUUGAACCAUACUCUUUGGUAGUCUCAAUAAUUGAAAAUUUUAGGUUUUGAAGGCUUAGAAAAUUCUCUUGAAAAAUUAGGAUUCCCACCCCACUGCUUAACUGUAAGGAUUUUAUAAAUAUGGUAAGUGGAGAAUGCCAAAUCCAAAUUGCUGAAUUUAUCAGCAUUGUGCUUGAUUUUAACAGAGCCGGUUUCCAUAAGGAUUGCUUCAUAAAAUUCUCUUGUUUUUAAAAGAUCACCAAAGGGAUAAUGAAAAUUUUCAUGAAAAGCUUUUGCUGCAAUAUCUCUAGGGUUUUUAGAGAAAAACUCUUUUUCAAUAACCAAAAGAGGUUGAUUUAAAUCUUUUUGCCAAUAUCUUGCUUUUGCUGAAAGAGGUGUGGGGUUGGCUACCACCACAAUUUGCUUAUUUGAAAAAGAAGAGCUUGAUGCUAAUUCAUUUUGAGAGGGAUUAGCUUUAGUAACCUGCUUAAAGGUCUGAGACACAGUAAUAGUUGGAUACUGAGUAGCCUUGACUGGUUUAGAAGGAUUCGAAGGAUCAUAGUACAAGGACAAAAUCUUAUUAGGCAUAUGGUCAGAAGAAUGAAGCCUUGCUUCUUCUUCUAGCUCAACUUGUUGGCUCCAAAGUAUUUUAUGGGGAGAAGGUUCUUUGCUGGUUUUAGAAGACUAGGAUUCUGGAAGUUUAGGAGCUUGGGUAUUCUUUUUAGGGGCCAUGGUUUCGUGAAUCCUGUAAAAUUCACAAGUUAAGAAAUCAGGGCUCGAAGAAUGUUCUCCUUUAAUAUACUCAAUUUGUAAAUUAAAAUUGCUUAAAAUAGCUUGAUAUAUAGCAAAAAUAUGCUUAGAAGUUAUAUUCUUAACAUCCUUUUGUAAAACUAAUUUUGCAAAUUUACAAUCAACUCUUAAUAAAAACUUUUGAUUCAAAAGAUCAUCUUGAAAUUUUGAAAUGCAUAAAACAACGCUUAAAGUCUCUUUUUUAAUGAUGUUAUGAAUGAGUUGGGUAGUAUUCCAGGUUCUUGAAGUAUACCUAACUAACAUCUCAAGGUUACCAACACUUUGCUUAAGAAUCCCACCAUAACCUAUGUCUGAGGUAUCGAUCCCAACAAACUCAAAGGUUUCUGGAUUGAUAGAGCCUAAACAUGGUAGGGUCUUGACUUUGGACUUAACAUCAAUAAUGAAAACAAUGGUGAAAACAGAAAACUGGUUAAAGUUUUCAUCCAUUAUAUUCUGGAAUUCUGAGGUGCAUUCUUAAGAUCAAAGGGCAUUAUGAACCAUUCAUAAUGUCCAAGAGAUACCACAAAGGUGGUCUUAUUUGGAAUAGGACACCUAAUCCAACUUAAUGUAUCAUUAAGAGGCAUGUAGUUGACGACUAGUCUAGGUGUUCCUUUUUCUGAUUCAACUUGUUCCUGAACAUAGAAGGUUGAACAACUCCAAAGGGACUUAGACUUCCUUAUCAACUUUUUAUCAAGAAGAUCCCAAAUCUCCUUAUCACAAUAGCUUAACAAACCCUUGUUCAUCUGGAUAGGUCUUGAUUUAGUGGGAAUAUUCUUGUCACUAAAGUCUAGUUCAUAAGGUAAUUCUACCUCAUGUUGUUUCCUAUGCCAAAAUGCAUUAGGAAUGUUAGAGCAAACUUCUUCAACAAUCAGAUUAAUUUCUUGCUCAUGACUUUCCUUAGCUUGAAUCACCUGAUCCCUUAAGGUGUUUAUAUUUUUCUUAUUAGGUGGUUGGCAAAUUCAAAAAUAAUUUCCUUAUCUAAGAGCUUUGUUCUUAUACUUUGGUCAUCUACCCACAUGGGAUAGAUGGAGCUUAAAAAGGGGAUUCCAAGGAGAGCUUUCUCCUUAAGAUCCUUAACUAGAAUGAAGGUUUGCUUGAUGCAAAUGCCUUGGUUAUUUAUGUGAGCAUCUGACAGCUUAUACUCAAUGUCAAGCCUUUUACCAUUAGCUCCAAAGAGAGAUUCUUUGGUUUUCUUACAAAACUUAAUAGGACCUAGACCUUCUUGUAGGCAAUUCAAAGCUGUUCCUGAAUCAAUCAAAGCAACAAUAUCAAUGACAAAUUUACUCUUAAUUACUAUAGUAAGGGAGACUUUCCACCUCUGGAAAAUAACCCUACUAACAGUAUUUAAGUAUCCAUCCGUCUUUUCAUCAUUAGCAUGUGAAGAUUCUAGAACCUCUUCAAGGUUUUCCUAGUUAUCAACAAGAUUUUCUAUAACAAUCCUAUUUAUUUGUUCUUGGAGAUCUGAAAAACCUAAGCUUGUGUAUUGUCUUAAAUCUUUAAUUUCCUUCUUAUACUGUCUUACUUCUUCUUGAAGAUCCUUAAUGGUUACGUCUUUGGUAGACUACUGGUUAAAUCUUCCUAAGAUUUCAUUUAAGUUAUAAGAAUUUACUGUCUUCUUAAUCUCUUGCUUAUCGACAAAUUUCUUAAAAACUUCAUAAAGAUCUUGUUUAGUUUUUUCAUCUUCAACUUUCCUUAAAACAUCUAGGACAAGUUCUUGAUCUUGGCUUAUGACAUUUAUAGUCUUAGGUUGGCAAUCACAAUUAUCCUUAAUGUAUUCUUCUUGGUCACUAGAAGUUUGGCUUGAGAUUUCCUCACCACUACUAUCUAGUUGGUUAAUACCAUUUUCAUUAUCUGAAUCAAUCCUUGAUUCAGACUCUGUGGAAUUUAACAUUACUUUACAAAGCAUAUCUUUUAAGUCUUCUGUGACAUUUAAGUUAUUAAUUUUCUGCUUAACCCUACAAUCUUUCUUAUAGUGGCCUAUCUUACCACACUUAAAACAAACUGGCUUAGAUUGUGAAGGAGCUUCUAGCUUUUUAUGGGCUUCUUUGUUCAUCAUUCUUUGGAUGUGCCUUUGUUUCUUAGUUUCAUUCAUCCUAUAGUUGCCAUGAGUUCCUCUCUUGUUGUGAUAGGACUUUUCCUUACUAGGCUUUGUACUUACUUGUUUCUUACGUUGCUUAGAGGGGGGCUUAGUUUCUUUUUGGUUGAAUCCAAACUAGCUACAAAAUGAACCAAACUCAUUCUUGUAGAUCCUUUGUUCAUUUUUCAUCUGUUGCUUAAGCUUAAAGUCAUUGCACAGUUUAAUUGCUUCUGAUGUGACAAUGCUUAUAAUUUCUCCAUAAGAAAGCUUAUCAUAAGGGAUUUGUCCAUUAAACUGUUCCCUUAUCUUAAUCCUAAUCCUCUCAGAGAAAAGUCUAGGUAGUCCUAAGAUGAAUUUUUCUUUCCAAAAAGACUGGUUAUAGUUUGAUCUUAGUAUGACUUUGGUUAGGAAAACUUCUCUAUACCAUCUAAAGUCAUGAAGCUUGGGACACUUAAGGUUGGUUAAGAGAUCUACAAUCUUAUCCUUAAUCUUUGCAGGAUCUCCAAUGAAGUGCUUUGAAAUUGAAUAGAUUAGAGUAGCCACUACAUCCUCUAUAUCUUGUCCAUCUUCAUCCUUAACCACUUCAUUUUCCUCAUUAAUCCUAUAGGCUUUUAGGAUACCAUUUCUAUCCUCAAAGGUGAGAUAAUUAUCCCACCAACCCUAAAGUUGACCUGUAAACCCAACAACAAUUGUUUGAGCUACAGCAUGGCCUGACAAUCUAUUGUUUAACUUAUAGGUUGUACUAACCAUGGUCAUUUCUUGAAGCUUAGUGAGUAUGUUGUACUCAAUCAUACCAUCUAUGUUCCAUUCAUAGAUAGUGUCACUAGUGUAGGAAGCUUGAGUAUGCUGGUUUCUUUCCUCAUACUACAUAUCAGGAAAAGUUGGUCUAGGGUAGUAAUUCCUAGUUCUUGGUUGUUGAUAAUCCUCAUAACUGUUUGGUUAGGAGGUUCCUUAAAAAUCUUAAUUAGUUCAUCAGCCUCUGCUUCAGAACUAAUUUCUCCUUUAACCAUAUUGAUUCUCUUGUGAGAUGGUUGAGGUGUCUCAGAGACAACAAGGCUAUCCUUAACCUUUUGGCUUAUCCUAUCAAUGAGGGCUUGAUCAAUAUGGAGAUUCUCUAGGAAUUUCUUAGAGAAUUCAAAAGGCUUAAAUAAAGACUUAUUAUCUUUCUUAACAAACGUAGUCUUAAUGUAGUCUUGUGUUUCAAUGAUAUCCUCAAACUUGUUGAGUUGAUCGCCUGUAGUCUUAAGAAACAUGUUAGUGUAGUUGUUUUGUUCCAUGAUUCUUCUAACGUCAACAACACUAUCAAUUCCUUUAUUCUUUGGCCUAGUCUUAAAAGGUGAAGCUUUGACUAUGGUUCAAUUAAUGUUCUUUUAUAUCUUAGCUUCUAGAGGGUGGAUGGAUUCUAUGAUAGUAUCGUCACUAGUUUUCCAUAUCUUAGUUUUUUUGGAUGUGUCAUUGACACGCUUACUAGGGUAAUCUAGAUAUUCCUCUUGUUUGAAGAGUUCAAACCAGAUCCAAUACUUAAUGUUCUUCUUUUCUUGUCUUAAGUAUGUGUAGAAUUCUUCUUGGUAGAGGGUUCUAAUGUCUUUAAGGACCUUGCUAAAGAACCAAACUCUCCUUUUCUUAUUGACUUCAGAAUAGAAGUCUUUCCUUAAGAGGUCCUUGUUGAUUCAAAGUCUUCGUUAAUUAGGCUUACAGUGUUAAUCAACUGAGAAUAAGUAGGAGACAUAUCAGGAGAUUCGUCCUGAUGUGAUUCUUGAGUAAACUCAUUUUCCUCCAUGUAAAAGGGUUUGGCCACGUUGGUGUGACUUCUAACACCUGUUAGCUUAAUAUUCUUAGGAUUUGCUGAACUAGAUCCUUCCUCUAUCCUAGUGGUUCUUAUUGGGAUAGAUGAACUUGAAGCUCUAGAGGGCUCAUAAUAUGAAAUUCUAAGGCUGCUAGAAUGAUGAAAAGAGUUGGAGAAAAUUAGAUCUCGUUCUCCAUCAGGAUAUUGAACAAUCUGUUCAAUUCUUUCAGAUCUUUGCUCUAUGGCUGGGACAACAUUAGCAAAAUGCCAAUUUUCUGGAAACUCAACCUCAUUCCACUUGAUUUUCAUGGGGACUAUGAAAUUAGACUUGUUUAUCAUAUCUAAGUGGAAGAUAGUGGUUUCACCCUUGGGACUGGUGCACAAUGCUCCAAAUCCAACGCUUAUGGUCAUGCUCUUAUAGGCAAAUCUGGUGAUGAUGGAAACAUGAUUGUUUCCUUGCUUGAACUUAAAGUCAUGGGUCUUAACAUGAAGGACAACUGAAUCUAAGAUGUUGACAUCUCUUAGUCUAACUGUGAAGUUAGGGAAACACUGGAAAUAAACAGGACCAUCAUUUAAUCCUGCUUGGGUAGCUCCAAUAAUAGAAUCUCGGUAAUCAAGAUGUCUAUUAUCUCUUAAACACAUGACAAUAAAGGUGUUUAGACCUAGUCUUGUCAAGGGCUUAGCUGCAACUUGAAUCAUGCCAAAGUGUAUGAAGUUGUAGUCUCGCUUAUGCUUAUCAAUGGACUUACUAUCCAAGAGUCUUAUGACUUGAUCGUCGUGUUCUAAACUUACUGACAUUUCAGGGGUUUUAAUGGUGUAAUCUGUAAAGAACUUAAAGGUUCCUUUCUUAUAAAUUUCUUGAUUAGGUACCUUGGGUAACUUCCAAUCAUCUAAAUCAUCUUGGAUCUUAGGAUAAUUGAUCUCUUCAUUGUUUACUCUUGAGAAUUUGUGGAUUUCCUAGACAUGGUUCUGAAAAUCAAACUCAUUUUAAGGUUUUAAUCUAGAGCCUAAUAGCAGAUUAACAGACCUAGUGAGUAAUCACCCCAACCCUUUUCCAACCUUAACAAACGCCUAUCUCCAGCUAACAAUGGGCUCAACUCGGCAAGGAUCGCACUCAGGCACACUACUAUCUUUCCUAGGAUAGAUCAAAACACCCAAAACAAACCCGACUUCCUUUUCCUAGGAUAUAUAUAGUAUUUUGGGUUUGAGUAGGAGUUCAUGUUUUGUAUGUAAUUGUAGUCUACGUUGGACUAGGUUGUUUGCUCCUAAUUGAAAUAGGAAUGGUUGGUGUCACAUCUCAUUCAUUUUCUCAUCUAUUUCCAUGUUUAGAUAACUCAAGUAAUCAUAGGAAUGAAAUUAAGAAUGAUUUGAGGGAAAUGAAAUCUCACUUGUAAGUGGGAUCUCAAUUCAUCAUUAAUAGAAGGUAUUUUGAUUACAUAGUGCAAGUUAUUUUUAAAAACACUUUUCAAAAAUUGAAAAACCAAAAACUCUCUUGGAUAAGUUGUUUUUAAAAAGAAUUUUUGUAUUUUUAUUUUGUAAAAAAAAAAAAUAGUAAUUCAAUUUAUAUAAUAUAAAUAGACUUUAAUUUUAUUAAAAAUAAAAAUAAUUUUUUAAUUACAAAUAAAUUAAAAAAUAAAUAUUUGUAAUAAAAUAUGAAUAGUAAUAUUAUAAUAAAAUCAUAAAUAAAUUAAAAAUAUUUUUAAAAACAAAUAAGUUUAAUUUUUUUGAGGUACAAAUGAGCCAAAUUUUUCAUUAGGUACACAACCAACAAUUUUUAUUGGAAACAUUCCUCAAAAAAGAAUUCGUUUCCCAUAUAGCAAAGAUAUUUAUUAUUUAGUAUCUAACCAUCCGUAGUAAUCAUAUCAAUUCUACUAAGUUAUUUAAUAAUUCAUUUAUAUAUAGUACUCAAUUAUGAAUUUUUUUAUUUGAUGUAUAAUUAAUUAAUCAAUGUUUUGAAUUUUGAAUUAUUCUUAAAAUUUAAAACAUUAAUUAUGUCUAUUACUUUUUAUAGUCAUUAUAUAUAUAUAUAUAUAUAUAUAUAGAGAGAGAGAGAGAGAGAGAGAGAGAGAGCUUAAAUUUAUCUUUAAAAAUUAUUAAAUUUAUUAAUAAAUUCAAUACAAAGACUCAUUUGAUUUGAAAUUCAUUUCUUUAGUGAAAAUUUUGAAACUAAAUAGUACUUUGUUUUACUUUGUUUUUAAAUCAUACUCACAAAUAAGUUUUUAUCAUUUAGCCAAAAAAUCUCAAAGAUGUUUCUAAUUUUAUUUAUUUAUUUAUUUGUAAAUGAAAAUAAAAAAUUAGUUUAAACUAAAUAUGCGGAUAUUAUUGUUAAUUUAUUUCAUUUUUUAUUUCCAUUGUUAUUUAACAUUGAAACGGAAACAAAUAAUCAUUCCAAUCUUACAUUCUUAUAUGCAUCUAAACACAAGAAUUGAAAUCACCAAAUUCAUAUUCAAGGCAAAAUAGAAAUGGAAAAAAAAUAUUCAUUUUCAUUCCUCAUUCUCAUGUGCUAAACAUGACAUUAGUUCUACUACCUAUUUCACCAUUCUUCUUGAUAAAUUUGGUAUAUGCAAUAUUGAUCUAAGUGUGAGGUGAAUAAGAAUGAUGAUGGGAUGGGCUUGGAAAUAAGGGCAAAGUUUCUAGGUGCUAUCUAGAGGGGCAACGCGACUUUUUCAAAUUUCGAAUAUUUGUUCUCAACAUAAAGCAAAACUUUACUCACACAAUAGAUAAGACUCUGUUUGUUUUCUUCAUCCACGACUAUAUAAUGUAUAGCUCUUACUCAAGGGAUGAGCUACUUACUAUUAAGGAUUGGGUAAGAUAUUGCCUAAUGGCCAAGAAGGCAUGUCAAAAAAUAAAUCUAAUCACCAUAAAAAAUAAUAGGGGAAAAUUAAUAUAUUAUGAAUGAUGACUUUACUAUUUCUCUAUAUACAUAAUUAUAUAUUUUGAAUUUUCUCACUAGGUAAUGAGAUUCUAAAUCAACUGAAACAUAAUUAAUAAUUUAUAUUUUUAAUGAAUCUUUUAAUUUUUAAAAAUAAUUUAAAAUUUUAAAAAACAAUUCAAUUAAUUACAUAUUAAAUCAAAACAUUUCAAAAUAUUGUGUUUGUAGAUGAGUACUAAAUGCUUGCAUAUAAUAAUAAUAAUAAAAAAAUUGACUCAUUUAGAUGUUAAAAAAGUUAAAUGUUUUUCAUUAUUCAUUUUAAGUAAAAUAUUAUUGACAUUAUUAUUAUAAAAUUAUUAUUAUUCAUUUUUAACAAAAAACAAAAUAAGUUAUUCUUUUACCAAGAUGUCAAUAUCUAUAUUUUUCUAACAUAUAUUAAAAUAGUAUACUUUUCUUUUAUUAAAAAUAAUAAUUAUUAUUAUAUUAUUAUUCAAGUUUUAUUAAAAAAAUUUAUCUUUUAAUUCAUUUGUAAUUACAAAAUAAUUUUAUUUUAUUAAGAAUUUAAUUUAAUUACGCUUUUUUUUUUUAUAAAAAAAACAGUUAUGCUUUUACCAAGAUGUUAAUAUUCAUAUUUUUCUAGCUAACAUAAAUAGAAUAGUACACUUUUUCAUAUAAAAAAAUAAUUUAUGAUUUUAUUAUAAUGUUACUAUUCACAUUUUACUAAAAAUAUUUAUUUAUUUUAUUUAUUUUUAAUUAUAAAAUAAUUUUAUUUUCAAGAAUUUAAUUUUAAAAAAAUAGAAAUCAUUUAUUCUUUUACCAAGAUGUUAAUAAACAUAUUUUUCUAACAUAUACUAAAAUAAAAAAGUUUACUUGUUCAUUAAAAAAUAUAAUUUAUGUUUUUAUUAUAAUACUACUAUCUAUGUUCUACUAAAAAUAUUUAUUUAUAAUUAAAAAAUAAUUUCAUUUUUAAUAAGACUUGAACUAAAUUAAAUUUAUAAUUUUUUUUUAAAAUAAAAUAGAAAAUUAUUUUUUAAAAACAACUUAUUGAAAGAAAUUUUUUAUUCUUUACUUUUAAGAACUGUUUUUAAAAGCAACCUAUAAACCCCUUUGGGUCUGUUUGGCUAUGUUUCAUGCAACUUGUUUUUAAAAAUUGUUUUUUAUUCUUUAAUUUAAUUUUUUUUAAGUUAAAGAAUAAAAAACAACUUUCUAGUGUUUUAUAAAAAUGAGAGCUUUUGACAAGUUGUUUUUAAAAACCAUUUUUAAAAAUAAAAAAUAAAAAACUUAUUUAGAUAAAUUGUUAUAUAUAUAUAUAUAUAUAUAUUUGUAAAAACAUUUUAAAUUCAAUUUAUAUAAUAUAAAUUUAAUUUAAUUUAAGUCUUAUUAAAAAAAAAUUGUUUGGAUAAGUUUUUUUUUUUAAAUAGUUUAUUAUUUUUGUUUUGUAAAAACAUUGCAAAUUCAAUUUAUAUAAUAUAAAUUAAUUUAAUUCAAGUCUUAUUAAAACCAAAAUAAUUUUAUAAUUACAAAUAAAUUUAAAAAUAAUUUUUUUAGUAAAACAUGAAUAAUAAAAUUAUAAAUUAUAUUAUUGUGGACCCUGCAUUUAUGCUCAUGCGCUUCCACUUGUUGGCGAACUCAUUUUUUAUUUGAAAAUGAUUUAUUUUUUUAGAAAAUGACUUAGAGUCGCCACUUAUUUUUGUUUUAUUUUUAAAGGGCAAGCAAAAUAAGAAAGAAAACCCUAAGUGUGACUCCUUAUUCGAAAAAGGUAGUCUGUGUAAAACCGGAUCAGGGUUCAGGGAUCAGGUUACUUAUUGGGAAGGUAUGACAAUGACCGUAGCACUCCUCUAAGUCCUUAAAAACGGGCCUCUACUAAAAAAAAUAAAGUAAUCAUGGCAAUCAGUAAGGAAAUCACUGGAUACCCAGAACAAUUAUGCACAUGUGAGAAUUAAAACAUGCAUAAGAAUGGACAAAGUGAGAGUGGGUGCGUACCUUGACAACGAACCACAAUGCGUUAUCAAGAAAUGGGGUUAGUGCACGAUCAAUGAACAUAAAACACGUCACACAUGUCACUAAGCAGAGUGAGAAAUCAUCAGAUAUUACAAUUCAAUCAAAUUUAUUUUUAGAAGAAACAUCUGUUGAUGUAGAGCCCCUACCAAAGCCUAAUUUAUUUUUGCAUGAAUCAAUUUCAUAAAUUCAAUCGCUUGGAAUUACAGAAUUAAAUUCAUGCUUAUUUUAAAACAUCUUUUUAAAAUCAUGGAAGAUGUGAAAAUGGUUUUCCAAAGAGAAAAUGACAACUGAUUUUAUUGAAAAUGGGAUUUUGGGGACCUAAACGUUAAAGAGGGAUUAGGAAUUGAAAAUUAAAUCAUUUGAAAAUUGAAUUUUUCAAAAAUCAGUUUUGAAAGCAUGCAUGCAAGUAUGGACUGUGAAAGUGGGCCUAGGGAGGGUGGCCAUGCAAAAUGAGGUCAUACACGUGGGCCUUGGGUACAAUUGGGACUACUUUGCUGGUGCCAGUGGUGCUUGCAGCUGUCAUCCAUGAUUUCUUCAUUGGGAUCAAUUUCCAUUCUUACUGCCAAACAUUCCAUAACAAUUGACCAAACUAGUAACCCUGACCUUGCAUGAAAAUGAACGUUACCUAGAAACUCACUGCCAGUGAGAUUCAUUGCUCUUUCAAAAGGUCUCAUUUUCUUUCUCAUCCAAUUGCUUUAAGGAGCAUUCUAGCGUCACGAUUGGUGACUGCGCAUCAUCUAGAGCCUUCUUUCUUCUCAGAAUCAGGUUUGCGUGCAGAGGCCUGUGCUUGUUCAAGGUUGACCUAAAUUCAUCUAGGUUUAGAACCGACCAGUUGAGCUUGGGGAGCAACGACAAGAAUAUCAGUCACUUGCGAAGAGAAAACUCGAGAUCUUUCAAGUAAUGCCUGACAUAGAUUCCUCCAACCUGUGGCCAAUAUCUCAUUCCUUGUUGGCCAGACGCCUAUUAGGGCGUAUCUCAAUCAAUAAUAUGAUUUUUCGUUUGUUCACAAUAAAGACCGGAAGCCAUGGUUGUGAUUUAUGCAGUACAGAAGAAGUUGCCAUGGCUGGUAUCCUUACAAAUUCUGGUGUUUCUGCUAUCUGUUCAAGUGCAAAACACAACAGCUUUAUCAAGUUUGUCCCUAACAACUGAUAUUGAGCCCUCUGGAGGAAACCUUGAUAAAUUCAUAAUCACUUUUGACUCAUGCAUGGGCUGCCCAUCAAAUUUUCCUAGCAACGAGACGACUGCUGUCAUCUACUGCAAAGAGAAUUUCUUCUCGCAAAGACAAGAGGAGUUUAAGAAUACACACUAUUCUGCCAUUUCAUUUCCUCUUUCUCCACAACCAACAUAAACCAUAGUGUCUACAUUAGAGUACUUAGAAAGAGCUUAACUGAUGACCGUUUUUCCACAACCAAAUGCCCCAGGUAUGGCACAAAUUUCACCGAAAACAGAAGGGAAAAGGGCAUCAAGAACACGCUGUCCUGUAAGUAGUGGGGUAUCAGGACUACUCUAGGGAAGUUAUUUCUGUCAUUUUGAAAAAGAAAAAUUAAAGAAUGUACACAUGCUUUCAAGUGGACUGGAGCAUUCUACAUAUCAGGUGGUCUGUAGCCACAUGUGCCACUUUGUGGAAGUUGGAACAGUCGAUCACUAGGCUAUUUAGUGUGGCCAAGCCACGUUAAUCAAGGACAAGUCUUCAUACUUAAAAGUCAAAUGGUGCCUUUAGUCUCAUUACACAUGGCUAUUUAAAGAUGAACUAAUCUUUAGUGUAAUGUGAUUAAGACAGUACUAACUGAUCAAUAUUUUUUCUAAUUUUGGAUGCAAAUGCUUGCUGGCUUCAUCAUUGGAUGGGAUAAAGGUGCAUUCAUGACUCUGAAUACUUGCAGUAAUACUUGCAGUAAUACUUCAUUCUCUUUUUUCUCGAUGAGACUUCUUGGCACAAUUUUGCUUCUCAGCAACCUACCUCUCCAUGGAAAAUGAGUUGCGAUUGAUGGUACUGGAUAUUUUCUAGGAAGCUAAAUAUAGAUAUAUAGCACUCAAUGUCAACGAUAUAUAUAGCAUUAACAGUAUAUGUCUCAAUGCUCAUCAGCUACAAGCAAGGGACAAACACUUACAAUGAAUAACUCACGUCAACAUUCCUAAACAGGACAUAGAAGUGACAGAUCUAUAUAUAGAACACUGCAUAUGAGUCACAAGAAAAGAUAAUACGGGUGCAUAGCAGCUCUUAUAUUACAUAUUACUCAUACCGUUCAAAUUCACUCAGUUGGGAUGGGUGGGAGAAGGAGGCCUCUGGGGUGGCUUGUGCGUGUGAGAAGUGGAAGAAAGUUGAAUGGAAUGAAACUGAAAAACAGGGUAGAAUAGAGGUUUCUUGAAUCUUCUGAAAUCUUUAUUUUUCUGAGAUUUAUUCUCUGUUUUUGUGAGUCGUGACUCUACAUAUAUACAUGUAUUUAAAGUUAGUUAUGCCUUAUAACUAAUUAUCUAACAGUACCAAAACUAAUCAUCUAGUUGCAUGUUUCUAAUUAAUGCUAUUUAGUUACAACUAUAUAUGGCUUAACAUCCUCUCUCAAACUCAAAAGUCUAGCUAGAACAGUGAGUUUGCUUCAUAGAUUGAGAAAUUGUUGAAUAGGUAAGGCUUUGGUAAGAGCAUUAGCAAUCUGGUCAUAAGAAGGAAUGUGUUGAACCACCAAAGUCUUAUUGAGCACCUUUUCCUGAACAAAAUGGCAAUCUAGUUCCACAUGCUUAACUCGAGAAUGAAAAUAGGAUUGGCAGCAAGAAAGGUGGCUGAAAGAUUGUCAUAGAACAAAACAAAAUAGGAGAAUAAGAAGAUGAGAUAGAAAACUCCUGAAGAAGAUGUUGAAUCCAUUGAAGUUCAAAAGCAACAUUUGCUAAGGCCCUAUACUCAGCUUCAUUGCUGGAACGAGACACAACUUUCUGCUUACUGGAGUUCCAGGAGACUAGAUUAGAGCUAAAAAAGAUGCAAUGACCACUUGUACUUCGACGAUCAUCAGGGCAACCAACCCAAUCAACAUCAGCAUAAGCAGUAAGUUGAAAAUCAGGAGAAGAAUAAAAGGAAAGACCAAAGGAAGUAGUGCCCUUAAGAUAAUGCAACAAUCGUUUAACAACUUGCCAAUGAAGAUCAGUUGGUUAUUGCAUGAAUUGGCAAAGUUUAUUGAUAGAGAAAGAGAUGUCAGGCCUUGUAAUGGUACAAUAUUGCAGGGCUUCAACAAUGUUGCGAUAUUGAGAAGGGUCAGCCAAGAGGGAACCUUUAGAGGCAGAUAAAGUGUGAGAGGUAGUCAUUGGUGUAUCAAUAGGUUUAAAAUAUGGAAGACCAGCACGAGUUAACAAGUCCUGAAUAUAUUUGGUUUGGGAAAGAUGAAGAGAAGAUCCUUGCCAACAUACUUCUACACCCAAGAAGUAAUUCAGAAUACCAAGGUCCUUGAGAGCAAACUGAAAGUGUAAAGACGAAACCAUUUGGUGGACUAGCACGGUAUUAAGACCACUAACAAUAAUGUCAUCAACAUAGAUGAGAAUAAUGAUCAUGUCAGUCCCUUUCCGAAGAGGAGCUUGCUUCAGACCCUACAAGGCUUUGCGAAGUUUACAGAAAAAACCGGGUUUAGAAUGAUCAACAAAGCCUGGAGGUUGAACCAUGUAAACCUCUUCUUCUAACUCACCAUUGAGAAAGGCAUUAUUAACAUCUAAUUGUUCCACUAACCAACCAUGAGAAAUAGCAAGAGAAAGAACAAUUCAUAUAGUAGUUGGUUUAACAACAAGGCAAAAGGUUUCAAAAUAAUCAAUACCAUAUGUUUGAUUAAAACCCUUUGCAACUAAGUAGGCUUUAAAACGAUCAAUUGAGCCAUUAGCUUUGAGUUUCAGCUUGUAUAUCCAUUUACAACUAAUAAUGCGUGUAUUAACAGGUUUAGGAACCAAUGUCCAUGUGGAAUUGGUGAGAAGAGCAUCAUACUCAGUCUUCAUAGCAGCUUGCCAAUUAGGAUGCAAUAUUGCUUCUUUGAAAGAGGAGGGUUCGACAACAGUAGUUUGGAUAGCAAGGCUAAAUAUUUUUUUGGGUUUAAAAAUACCAUUUUGGCUACGAGUAACAAUAGUUCGGUUUGGAAGUGAAAGAGGAUCAGUGGAGGAGGCUGGAACAAGGGAUUGUGGUAAAGUAGGAAAGGAAGGUGGAUGAGAUGGAACAAAAUCAGUAGGGACAAUAAUGGGAGAAGAAAAAUUAGGUGGAGAAUGAUGAGGAUUCCUUGAAGAUGGUGUAGGAAUAGAGAGAAUACCAGAAUCAAGAAGUGUUAAAGAAGAGUUGGAUGAUGAUACUGGUUGACAGGAUAAAGACUUUGUUAAAAAUGGAAAUCGAGUUUCAUCAAAUACAACAUGACGAGAAGCAUAUAUCCGAGAGGAAGCCAUAUCCAAACAGAGGAAUCCCUUGUGUUUAGCACUAUAACCCAAAAAACAGCAAACAACAAAUAUAUUUGCUAGCUUGUGAGAAGCAUAAGGGCGAAGAUAAGGAAAACACAAGCAUCCAAAACUUCAAAGAGAUGUAUAAUAAGGUAAACGAUUAUAAAGAACUCCAUAAGGAGAAUUUUGUGAAAGAACAGCAGAGGGAAGGCAAUUUAUGAGAAAAAUGGCAGUUUGAAAUGCAAAUGACCAAUAUUUGAGAGGGUAUACCAGCUUGUAUUAACAAAGAAAGACCAACUUCCACAACAUGACGAUUCUUUCUUUCAACUCUUCAAUUUUGCUAAGGAGUAUAAUGACAAGAGACUUGAUGAAGAAGACCAUUUGUAGCCAAAUAAUUCUGAAAAGCUGAAACUGAAACUCAUCAAAUUGAUUUUUAGUAUCAAAUUUUCUUCAGACUGAACACAUUGAUUUUUAGUAUCAAAUUUUCUUUCAACCAUGGCUUGAAAAUGUUGGAACAUAAGUAAAGCUUCAUCUUUAGUUUCCAAAAGGUACAACCAUGAGAAUAUGCUAAAAUCAUCAAUUAGCAAGAGGAAAUAUUGAGCAUUACCAUUGACAGAAACUAUAGGAGUUGCACCCCAAAGAUCAACAUGGAUGAGACCGAAUGGUUUUAUUGCUCUAGAAGUGGAUAUUUCAAAUGGAAAACGAUGGCUUUUAGCCAACUGACAAGACUCACAUACAGAGUUAUUAUUGUCAUGUUUCAAAGGUAUUUUAUAAAGAGAUAAGAUUUUGGAAACUACAUUAAUAGAGGGAUGACCAAGUCUAUUAUGCCAAAGCCUCAAAGAACCAACGGCUAAAGUACUACUAGUAGAGUAAAAUACUAGUGGAUGACCAACAACUCUUGGUGUAGCAAGAAGUUUAUAGAGACCCUUCUCAAUUUUUCCUUGAAGAAGAGCAAGUCUCGUUUCCUGAUCCUUUACCACAAAAUGAGAAGAACGAAAUUCAAUAAAGGUGCCAUUGUUUGAGUAAAAUCGUUGCACGCUAACUAAGUUGGUGGUAAUAGAAGGAACAUGUAAGACAUCAUUGAAAAACAAAGAACCACUUGAAGAGGCAAGAGAAAAUUUACCAAUAUUUGCAAUGGAUAAACCCUUACCAUCUCCAACAAUUACUUUGUCACCACUGGUAAAUGGAUUAUGGAUUGUUAAAUUGUUAAGAUCAGAUGUGAGAUGAUGGGUAGCCUUUGUAUCAAGAAACCAAUAAGUGUCUCCCAUUGUUGCAGAAGUUGUAGUCAUAGCCUCAGGAUUGUUAGAGGUGGAAUGUUUAGAAUCUUUUGGCUGAUAAUCAGAGUUAAACCGAUACCAGCAUUGUAAAGCGGUGUGUCCGAACUUACAACCGAGAGAAAUAAUCUUUACUUAUUCUCUAAAAACUGUUCUUUAUUCCACACAUUAUUUCUAAAAACUGUUUCUAGAUAACAAUGACAAAAUAGUAUUAGGAAUUUUUAAAAAUAAAAAUUGUUUUUAAAUUACAUGAUCUAUAUCAUUCACAUUUGACCAUUAUAGCUUUGUUCAGGAAAACACUUGAAAGUAACCUUAUCGUGAUAAGAGAUAUAAGUUGGCUGUAGUUUCAAACUGAAAACAGAGGAUGGCAAUAGAAAGCAAAGCAUUAGUUAUCUGCAAUCAGUGGUGAUCAUGCCCCAUGUCAAUUUCGGACCCAUAUCUUAAAACCGUAUAAUUUGCAUUUCAACAUUUCUGAUUUCUCAGAUGUUUCAUACUCCACAGAAGAACAUUGUUUGUGAAAGCAUGCAUUUAUGCUGGAUUUUGGAUGAUGUGGGAACUGGGGCAAGGAUCAUAUGGAAGAGUGGUCGAUUUUUUCUGUACUUUAACAUUUGAAAUAGGAGCAGCACGGGCAUUUGUGGGGCUUAAUUGAUUUUGAAGCCUGAAAUUGCGUUUCUGUCAUUUUGUAAAAAAUAUGGCAGAUUCCAUGCUCUCAUAUGUUUGGUCUGUGGCCAUGUAUAGAUGCCACUUAGUGACCAGUUUGUAACUGUCAAUCAUAGUGUUUUGACUCUGGCUCAACAACAUCAGCCAUUGACGGAUUUUCAUACAUGCAAAUCAAAUAGUCUUCUUCCUCCCUUAGGAAUUUCGGUUUAAAUGUUAUUAAGCAUACAUUUGGCUGACAAUUAUUAACCACUUCAUGAUAUGGUUUCUUACCCUUAAUCAAUGGUUUCUAAGUGAAUAUAUGCAGAAGGAAAUCUGAACUGUAGACAGCAGUAUUGAUAAUUAUCAAUAUUCUUUAUAUAAGAGAAUAAACAACGUCAUAGUGAUCGUCGCCUACAAGAAAGGUACAUUUCCCAACAAGAUGUAGUUGUGACUGGUACAUGGACGUAAUUAACUCGUAGAAAAGGAUAAGACCAGUGCACGGCAGCUCUUAUUUUACAUGCUAAUUAUGCUAACCAAAGUCACUCAGUUGGGAUGGGAGGGAGAUGGAGGUUUGUGCGGUGGCUUGUGGGGCGGAGUUGGUGGCUUCUUUUCAGGAGCUUGUGGCUUUUUCGGAGCUGAAGGAGGCUCAAUCUUAUGAGGCGGCUUGUACGAGUCUUCUUUACUCUCGACAGGAGGGUGGCCAGGGUUGUGACCAUAAUGUGGUGGCUUCUCUCCCUUAGGUGGCUUGCCAACUGGGGUUGGUGGCUUGUGUUCAGGAAGUGGUUUCUCUCCCUUGGGAGGUUUACCAAUUGGGGUUGGUGGCUUGUGUUCUGGGAGUGGUUUCUCUCCCUUGGGAGGUUUAGUGGGUGACUUGUGUUCUGGAGGUGGCUUCUCCACCGGAGGCUUGUGCUCCGGUGGUGGCUUCUUGGUUGGAGGGGGCUUGGGGUAAUCAGCAAGAGAUGGGGGGGUGAGAACCACCACUCCAAGGAACAACACUAGCAAGUAUGUGGGAGACAUUUCUGAGUUUGAGCUGAUCAGAUGAUGCAAAACUAGAAGAAUUACGUGACCUUUUAUAGCAAGUAGCUCCCAAUACCCACAUGACACGUGUUACUGUGACCAUAAAUAUUAUAGGGUCCAUUUGUGCCCUACCGGGUUGAAAACUUGGACGCUUGGCCGAGGACACACCGAACUAUGGAGGACUAUUGACGUGUGAUCACAGCUUUUGGAUUUUUCUUCCUGUGCAGCUGUCUAGCGGUUGGCAUUAUUUUUUUAAUCUUAAAUAAAGGCAUAGUUAUAGAGUACAUUUAUAUAUCUUCAGAUAGCCAUUAAUAUAUUUGAUGAAGAAAGACAAGUGCAUACAACAUGUAUACGGCUUGCUUCAAUCGAGUACAUUUAUGAUCAGUUUUCCAGUGCAAGUAAACCAGUUUUUUGUUCCACAACUAUUUUGGAAUCUUGUUUAUCAGUUUCUAUCAUUAUAAUGUCACAUAGGCUGCAAACUUGGGCACCCAAAGAUCUAGUUGGGCAAAUUUGUUUCAGAAUUUCAAUGGUGGAUUCAGUAAUUGUUAAAAGGUGUUUCUUCAUUAAGGAAAGAGUCCUGUAAAAAUAUUGUUAAAAGGUGUCAUAGAAACUAUAAUAAUUAAAUAACUUCUUUUCCCCGUGGGUGGUGUUUCUUCUGGGGAUACCCAAAAUGAGUUCAGAUUAAAAUUGGUUCGAGUCAAAGCUGUCUCUUUUGUCCAGAAAUCAACUAUUUUGCGCAUUGCAUGAAUCGAUAAAGAAAAAAUGAAAGCCAAAUCACACCUCCCCUGCAAAACCUAAACCCCGGUUGCUAACUUUCUAUGUUUCAGUCCUAUUCAUACAGGAAUAUUGGUUCAAGUUUGAGAAAAAUGGCAACUUACCUAGGGAUUACUUGGUUGUGGUUUGCGACGACUAUUUACGCAACCAACCAUGAGUUUGACUUUAACGUCAUGGGUUGAAGCCUCCUACAAUCGUGUAUGAUAGUUCAAAGCUCGUAGUAGAAAUUAUACAGGAAGGAAGAAACCUCCAAAGCUAGCUCCAAAAGAGAAUUAUCACAUCGAUAGCUCCAGAGAUUCCCAAGGGGACUGAAUCAAAGACAAGUUCCUCACUUUUUCUUCUUUUGAGGCCAAAUAUGAACCAAGGAUCACACGACCUCAUUCAACUUCAUAAGUUUGAUUUCAUGCAGUUGAACACUGGGUGAAGGCCAUGACAAGAAUUGAUUAAAAAAUUCUACCACUGUUUUAAGUAAUGGAAGAUUAUUAUCUCUGAUUGGCACCACAACAGCACAUGCUGCUAGAUCUUUCUAGACACUCCAUGCAAUGAAAGUACAAUGGAUCUUGUAACGAUAGAAACUAAGCCAUGCUACAGUACUAGAUGACGAGGUAAAACUAUUAGACAUGGGUGGCAGCCUAUAUGGGAGGGACACAAGUCUAAUUGAUUUGCAUUUCAGCGUUCUAGAUGGGUAUGUUUUGGAAGAUUUGUUCUGGAAAUACCGCACCAAGUAGGAUUCUUUUUUCUCUUGAGUGGGUCCACUUGCAUGCCAAUUAUCGAGUUGAAAAGUAGAGCACCUACCUCGUGCUCGUGGAACCGAAGGUCAGUGAAGUGGGGCUCCUUUUGGCCUCUUGUGUUUCUGUUCCAACCAAGGCGGCGGAGGGAAAAACAGCAAUAUGUCUCCGCUAAAUAUCAACGCAUGAUAGCGAAUGAGGGAGAAAAAAAGUAAUUGGCAUCUCAAUCUCACAAACUUGGUACAGUAGUGACAUUAAUAGUCUUCCACAUGGUUUUUAUUUUAUUUUAUUUUAUAUUUUAUAUUUUCCAUUUUUUUAUUUUUUUGUAUGUCAAGGCUAAUGAAUAAAAUGCGUUAGCUUGUUUUGUGAUUGGAACUGCAAAUGUCCAAAUUGGAGUUUCUCCAUUUCUCAGUUCGGAUGGUUAACUUUAUAAACAAGAUAUAGGAAACAUGUGAACGUCUUGAGGAACAAUUCGAAUUAUUGAUUAGAACUCCUAGGUUGAGUUCCAAGAUUUAAAUCAGACCCCUCUAGCAGCUUCAGGGGUACCUAGCAAUUAGAACAUAUUAAUGAAGAUUUAGGAUUUAGACUCCGGAAUACAAAUUAAUAUGUAUCUUAUGCUCUGACUAGCUUCCCUGCAUAUGCACAAAAUGGAGAUGACCCAAAAAAUAGCAGAAUCGCCUUAGUUUAUGUGGUUAAGGUGAUUCUCCGGUUAAUAUCCACAUUGGCUCAUUAUGCAAAUCAACUGAGCUAUUUUUUUUUUAAUGUCAAAUAGGAACUCCUAAUUAACCUAACCAUUGGCCUGUGUAAAUUGAUUUCACAUGCACAAUGUUGUAGUAGAAGUCCACAUUUUGAAUUUUAUUUUUGGAAAGGUAAGGAAAAUGAAGCAUUGUGUAAUUAUAAAAAUAACUUCAUUGGAAUUCACAAGGUUCACCCAAAAUGGAGCUACAUCCGUAUUCUAUCUUACAGUAGACUAUAUAGAUUGUACAAUAGUAAAUUGCAAAUACAAUUAAUAAGUCUUGUGUUUCCUUACUAAUAAUCCUUUGACAUAAACAUUGCAGCACUAAGGUCCUCUUGGGCAGACACCUUGCACCCAUGAGAGCACUAAGAGGAAGCAAGGCGGAGUCAUGGGUGCAAUGUCAUGACUUGUUGCACUAAGAGAGGCUUGGUGAUGGCAUAGUGCUGCAGUAGCAAGAAUGUUGCCUUGGCAGGGACACGAUCUAGGGACAGAUGCCAAGAAAGGCUUAGCACUCACAUGAGUUGCACAAAGAUGAAUGAAAUAGAACAUCAAAGAGACAUCUUGGCAAGCUCAAGAAAGACAUGUGGGUUGGUAAAUGAAUGGAUGCAAGAGGCAACAACAUGAGGAGUUUCAAAUGGAUAGGGAAUGAGUCAAAGACAUUUGAAAGCUACAAGUUGGAUUCUAAUUACGAUUGCAAUUUGAGUUUGAGUAGGAGUUUAUAUUAUGAUUGUAAUUGUAGUAUGAGUUGGACUAGGAUUGCUUAUCCCUAGUCAAAAUAGGAGUUGUUCAUGCCACACCCUAUGAAAAGAGUUUGAGUAGGGACUAGGAUUGCUUGCUCCUAGUCAAAUAUGGAGUAGGUGGUGCCACACCUAUAAAAAAAAAAGGGACAACAUGAGAGAGAGAGAGAAUGAAUUCACCAAAGAUAUUGUGGGAGUUUUGCUUUGUUACAUCUUGUAUUAUUAUUUAGAAUAGUAAUAAAAUACAAGUUGGGGCUAGAGCCCCAUAAUCUCGUGUGCCUUUGUGGGUUAUUCUUUAUUUGCCAUCUCGUGUGGAUUGGAUUAGAUUGAUGAGGCGAAAUAUUAUGUGGGAAAUUUAUGUUGGGACACUUACCAUAACCAGGUAAAAUCUACCAAGUCUUUUGUAAUAUCUUCUACAAAUAUUUUAGACCAGUUCUUCACAAAACAUCAUAAUAUGUUUUGUGUUUCUCUUGGAUUUUGAGUUGAAUUGUCUUAGAUCAAUUGAAUGCAUCUCAAUAUUAUUAUCUUGUUUGAAGGCUUGAUGAUUUUCCAUUUAACUUUACUUUCUUUAGGUUAUGCUUGAUUCCUUAAAAGUACUAAGGAAAACAAAAAAUAAAAAAAAAUAAAAAAUGCAGAGGGUUAGGACAUGUGUUAUCUAAUUGUCCUAUCCAAAGAUAUUAAGAAAGUCAUGUAGGAAAGUAAUUGAAAACUAGGUCAAGAAAGGAGCAAAAGGGAAUUGUUUUGGUAUUUUCUUUUUUAUUCUUGAAGGUGGCAGAGCUAAAAUUUGAGAAAUCAAGCAAAACAUACUGAAAUUACAUUGAAAGAAAGAAAAUGGUAGUUAAUGUCUUGCAGUACAUGAUAAGGACUUCAUGCAUGUAGUGUGACGACCCAUGUCUUGGACUGAUGCCACACUCACGGUUACACUUAUACCCUUGGUUCUCUCUUUACUACCUUGGCUAACCUAGAUCAGGCUAUGAGAUAGGCUCCUCACCACACCAUCACUUGCCCAGUAAUUAGUGACAUUUUCAAGCAAUGAGGUAACAUGGUGACACCAAGAGGGUUUAUCCCUCGCCCCAACAAGUCUAGACUCGGUCUCAAAAAAAUGGAGAAAAAUGAGGUGUCGUUAUGCAGAAAUACAACAACCAUGCCUUCCUUAUUACUUAGAUUCAGAAUGUGAAGGUGAAAUUGAGAAACAGAAACUCUUGAAACCAGAAUGAAAAUUGAUACUUUUACGAAGAAUUACAACAUUAGAGGAAGACUACAUUCUUCCUCUAUAUUCCUACGUUUCUACACUACUUCUACUCCACUCCAUAUUUCUACAUACAUCUUUAAUCAGUUUUCCCUCCUUUAUAUAGAGCCAUCUUCACACAAAUUCCGCAAGGUAGAAAAGAGGAAUGAAACUUGGAGCAAGGUUCGACUACUGGUUGUCGCUUGUCAAGGCUGGAAUUGAACUUUUUUUCUUGGCUUUUCUGGGCAUAGGUAGUAACUUGUGGUUCCUUUUUGGAAUGAAAAUGGUACAGCUAGAACAUGUGGCACUCUCUUGUUGGAUUAUGUGUCAAACAUGUGGCAGCCAUCUAGUGGAGAUUAUUUCAAUUUUGGGAUGGAGAGUUGGCAUCCAAUUGCAAAGAAAUAUGACAUCUACCAACAUGCAAUGUAAACCUAUAUAGAUCAUAUGGAGAUAGAGAGGAAACAUAUAGAAAUGGAUAUAUACCUAGAACUAGCUUUUUAUUAAAUGAGACGGAGAGCCAACAAUGAAGGAAAAUCAAAAUUUUUGGCUCAUAUCAAAGAAUUCACAUUGUGUUACCCUAGGUUUUCUUAAAGCUUGCACAAAGCCAAAAAGCACACAAAAAAUUAUAUUUUCUAGCUCUCUACCUUGGAUGGUCUCUUGAUCCUACUUGGAGAUGUGCAUAAAUAAAAGGAUUUGAAAAUGACAAUUGACUAAGUAUGUAGUCAAUCAAUUACUCAUUAAUUGACUAGUUGAUCAAUUAACUUUGCAACAUCAUAUGCAAUCCUAAUAGCUAGUCAUCUAAUCAACUAGGUAGUAAAUCAAUAGGCCAAAAAUAUGUUUAUAAUGACUAUUUUGUACAAAAACCACCUAUAUGGUUAAAUAUAAUGCAUUUCAUUUAUAAAUCUUCUAAUUCUUGAAUAACGAUCCUAUCAUCCUUUGAAAGUUUUUAUUACACCUUUUAUACUUUUGUUCUAAAACUUACACAUGUACAUCACCCUUAAUUGUACCAUGAGAACCUAGCUUUUUUUUUUUUUUUUUUUGUAAUUCAUCAAAGUUAGCUUUUGUAUUCAUUACUGUACUAUUUUUAUUGUAACUUAGAAAGCGAGUGUUUUCAAGUGAGUGAAAUUGACUUAUAAAUAUUGUAAAGAUUCAUUGAUGUGUAUCUUAAACUAAGUGUACAAGUUGAAACAUUUGCUAGUAGAUUUUCUCAAGAUUUAGAAUAGAGCUUGAGGCUAUUGAAAUAGGUGGGGUUGCACCAAACCACAUCACAUUGUUGUUUGCACCUUUUUUUCACUCUCUUUUACUUAGUUGCUCUAUAUUUGUUGUCUAGUAAUAUCCUAUAGGCUUGAUGGGUUAGGGAGCAUCCCUUUGUGAAAAAUUUUCAUUCAAUCCUUAGUUGUAUCACGCAUAUAUAAAAUGCCUCAUUGUUUUAAUGGUAUUCAGUCGUGGCAUCACAGAUAUGGGCAUCUAAAUUUUAAAAGUUUGAAACUUUUAUCUAAAGAAAAUAUGGUGCUUUGCCUUUUUGUAAAGCAUGUUGAUGAAAUCCAUGAGAAUUGUGUACUUGGGAAGCAACAUCGAGAUGACUUUUUUUUUUUUCAUUUUUUAUAAUGCGACACCUAAGUCCGGUUUCUAAAUGCUGAAGUGAAAGGGUAGGUAUGGACCAUUGAAAUCUGAUCACAACUUUUGGCCUUUUCCUUUCUCUGCAGCCAUGUUGUCUCUUUUUUCUUUUGCAUGAUUUUCUUACCUAAACAGAAUCAUAGACUUGUUUAAUCUCUAAAUGGUAUUUCAUCCAGCUUUAAGCUACUGUAUUAUAUCUUGGUGGAGGACUUUUAAGAGUGAAACCGACAUAGAGCACAUGCAAGUGGGUAUAUGGGACAUGAAAUUUCUUCUUAUAAAGACUGCAUGGUUUUUAUAUUAGAGUUGUUGAGGCGCAAUGUAUUUAGCUUGUUUUGCAGUUAAAUUAAUUGGAUAAGUAGACAUUGUCGUUUCUAAAUUUCCCACCUAAGAUAGUGACCUUAUCCUUGACUGCUUGAUGAGAUACACAAACAAUUAUACCUUCAAAAUCUACUGUGAAGUGCUUCAUGUAUGUGUGAAGUAUUAGAAAUUUCUUUCUUGGCAACUUGUUUUUUCUUUGCCCUCUACUGAUAGGUUUGACUCAAAUUAAAUUCCCUGUCAUGCUAAUUAAUUUUCACGUGCAUGCUCAAAAGGAUCACGUCAACUCUGGUUUCUACUAUUCAGGUCCAUUCCCAGAUAAACUGGUUCAAAUUUGAGAAAAUGGCAACAGCCCUUUAGUGAUGUUGGUUUGGAGCCAGUAGCCAAACCCGCCCUGAGCUUUACCACUAAUGUCAAGGGACAAAGCCAUUUGAACAAAAACAAUAGCUUCAAGAGACUGAAUCGUGGAUGAAAUCUGAUCCACAUUUCUUCUCAUUUUGGGAACAAAUGAGAACUUAACUACAAAGAUUCUACUGCCUCAUAGUGCUUUUCCUGAUCUAAGGUUGGUUCGUUUCCCAAAUUGUGAGGUACGUGCCAUUCUCACGCUCAGGAGUGUAUCCACGUGGUGGACAUAAGAUGGUGGCUUAAUAUCUGGUGUCGGUGGCUUUACUUUACUAGGAGAGUAGUGUGUCUUCAUCUCAUUCACUGCCGGAGGGUGGCGUAAGCAGUGACGCUAAGGUGGGGCACAGUCAAUAUCAUUUGCAUUUGACCAUUAUAGUUUUCUCCCGGCUUGAAAGUAACCUUAUCGUGAUAAAGGAUUACUAGCACUAGUUCAGAUGACAGUCAUGUUAAAUUCGGACCAUGUUUGUGUCACAUUAUCAGCAACCAUGUGUUUAUGGUUCAUGCUAUCUGCAACUAAACUUGAUAUAUAACCACGUGAACUUCAAUCUAAAUUCUGGAAGUACUCUUGUGAUAGAUGGUGCCUGUCUGCAGAGUCCAUCAAUUGAAAAAUGGAGUGAGUGUAUCUAUAAGAGGGAAGGCUUGGCAAAUGUUCAGUUUUCUGGGAACUCAACAAGGAUCUAAAAUAGAUUGUUUUCUUUGCUGAUUUCAAUGGUUGAAAUUUGAGAAGAUUGUGUCCACAUAACACAACUAUUACUGGUCCUUCUGUUGCAAUUUAUCCUCUAAGGCUCUAACAUGUCUUCCAAUUCCCACUUCCCUGUUACUCCAGGAAAGCUAUUUCUGUCAUUGUGAAGAAGAAAAGAGAAUGUACAUAUCGAUGGUUUUAAGUGACUGGGGCAUUCAUAUCAGGUGGUCUGCAGCCAUAUAUGCCACUUUGUGAAGGUUGGAACAGUCAAUCACCAGGCUAUAUUAGUGUGGCCCAGCCACUUCAAUCAAGGACAAGUCUUCAUACUUAAAGUCAAAUUCUGCCUUUAGUCUCAUUAUAAAUUGCUGUUUAAAUAUUAAGCAAACAUUUGUUUAAUGCGAUUAAGACAGUACUAACUCAAUACUUGUUCUAUUUUUGGAUGCAAAUGCUUGAUGGUUUCAUCAUUGGAUGGGAUAAAGGUGCAUUCAUGAUUAUGAAUACUUGUAGUUAUAUUUUCAUUCUCUUUUUUCUCAAUGAGACUUGUUGGCACAAUUUUGCUGUUCAGAAACCUACCUCUCCAUCGAAAAUCAGUUGUGAUUGAUAGUACUGGAUAUAUUCAAGAAAGCUAAAUAUAGAUAGCACCAAAUAUUAUCGAUAUAAAUAGCAUUAACAGCGUACGUAUGUCUCAAUGCUCAUCAGCUAUAAGCAACGGGCAAACACUUACUAUGAGCAACUUGCGUCAAAAUUCCAGAAUAGGACAUAGAAGUGACAGAUCUAUAUAUAUAUAGAACACUGCAUAUGAGUCACAAGAAAGGAAAUUACGGGUGCAUAGCAGCUCUUAUUUUACAUCCUACUCAUACUGAUCAAAGUCACUCAGUUGGGAUGGGUGGGAGUAGGAGGUUUGUGGGGUGGCUUGUGCGGAGGAGUUGGCAGCUUCUUUCCAGGACCUGGUUGCUUCUCUGCUGGAGUUGAAGGAGGCUUAAUCUUCCGAGGUGGCUUGUAUGAGUCUUCAGCAUUCUCAGCAGGAGGGUGACCAGGGUUGUGACCAUAAUGUGGUGGCUUCUCUCCCUUAGGUGGUUUGCCAACUGGGGUUGGUGGCUUGUAUGAGUCUUCAGCAUUCUCAGCAGGAGGGUGACCAGGGUUGCGACCAUAAUGUGGUGGCUUCUCUCCCUUAGGUGGUUUGCCAACUGGGGUUGGUGGCUUGUGUUCUGGGAGUGGCUUCUCCCCCUUGGGAGGUUUUUCCAAUGGGGUUGGUUUGUGUUCAGGAGGUGGCUUCUCCACUGGAGGCUUGUGUUCAGGAGGUGGCUUCUCCACCGGAGGCUUGUGUUCAGGAGGUGGCUUCUCCACCGGAGGCUUGUGUUCAGGAGGUGGCUUCUCGAAUGGGGGAUGCUCAGGGUAAUCAGCAAGUGAGGGGUUGGUGAGAACCACCAUGCCAAGCAACAGGACUAGCAAGUAUGUAGGAGACAUCUUUGGGUUUGGACUUAAGACAGUGGAAAACUGCGAGAAUUCUCUAGCCUUUUAUAGCGGGUCGACCCAGUACUCACAUGACACGUGUCAUUAUGACACAUGUGCCAUGGGGUCGAUUUGGGUCCUACAGUGUUGAAAAGUUGGGCAUUUGAGGUGUGAGCACAACUUUUGGCCUUUGCUUUCUCUACAGCCGCCAUGCUUUUCCCUUUUUUCCUUUUCCUUUUGUUUUCCUCCUGCCUCGUGUUCUCAACUAAACACAAUUAGGUUGUUUAAUUGUUAAAUGAGAUUUUUGUCUGUCAAUCAUAUUAUAUCCUAUCAAGAGAGAACAGAGUGUAAUGUAGUACACAUAACACGAGGCAGUAGUAAUUUUAUCAUUUAUUUUUAUAGCUUGGACCACCGCAUUUUUUCUUCUAAAAUAUUCUGUCUUGUUAAGAGACGCAAUAAUACACAAUUUUAUCUGCCAUUCAACAUUUACUGUAAAGUUCUUUUAUCUCUUUGUAGUUCUAGAAAAGUACAAAAUGGAACAUCAUGUAUAUGGUGCCUUCUGUCCUAAAAAAGAAACUGGACAAAUUAUGAACUGCAUGCUAAAAAGAGGCAAAGGAGCUUAAUUCGCAGCAUAAUUAUUUUGGUUUCUAGAGAGCCCGGGGCCUUUUGGUUGGUUUGGGGUCAGAAAAUGAACAUCAUAGGGAUUGUGCCCUUAACUGGCCUUGUUACUACAAAGAAAUUGCCAUAGAAAUUUAUUCCAGGCUGAGUAUCUCCGGAUAGACCCCAGAAAAGAAGAGUCAUAAUGAGAAUCAACCUUUGUUGAGUUUGAUUCCAUGCCUCCAUUGUGUUCAUUUCAUGAAUCUGAUUUGCAUUUAACAUUACAGUUUUGUUCUGGAAACAAUCAAAGGAGCAUCGUUUGCUUCUUGGGUGACCCAUAGUGGUGGGUGGGUCGAUUUGCUUAGUUGAAAAUUGGACAAUUGGCUCCAUCGCCUACCUCUUGGAUUCCAUGCUCGGAUAAAACGACAACAAAUAAAUAUUUAUAACUUACAACUGGGGAAAGGAAAAAAUAGUACUAAAUUCAUGGUACAUGAUAGUGAGAGAAGGGGGUGUUACACUCAGCUAAAGUUCUUUUCUAAAUAUUGCAUGGUGUUUAAUUUUAUGUGUCGGCGCGCGUGUGAAUGGAACCUGCAAAAGUCCAAAUUGGCGUUUCUCCAUUUUCCACAUAGGAUGGUGACGUUAAUAGACAAAGAUACAAUAUCUGUAGACAUUGCUUAAAAAUCGAUGUGAAGUAUUAGAAAUUACAGGCCACUGUACUGGGGGAGCGGCUGCCCCGCCAAAGGAAGAAUGUAGCAAUUUCUUCUGUUAGCCAGGCCUUAGGAUUUAUGCAUGGGAUGCCUAAUAACAAACAGAGAAAAUAUGCUUUUGGGGAAGGUAUCCAACAACAGACACCAUCAUUCAGAUGGUGGGAAGGUAUCCAACAGAUGCCAUCAUUCAGAUGGUAACAUAUAUAUACAUUUAUUAGUGAGUUUUUUUAAUACCUAUAAAAAAAAUAUACACUUUGAUAUUGUGGCUGAAUCCAUUACAUACUCAACUAACCUUGCUCAUUAGGGAUUUGACGUAACAAGGGCAACGUUGCAGUAAAAGCUCGAAACUUUAUGCAGGUGACAUUACAUUUGGUAAAGAAGAGGAAAAUAAGGAAAGCCAUCCAUAAAAGCAAAAUUCCUCAUGGGAUGAAAUUCACAAACUUCAUUUACGUUAGAGUCGCAUCCAGGCAAUUAAUUCCACAUUAGACCGCCUUUUGACAUGUGUACGGAUCUUUUUUCAAAAAUUAUUUAUAAAUAAUUGAUACUUACAAAAAUAAUUUAAGAUUUAUAAAGGAUAAAAAAAUAUUUUCAAAUCUAUGACAAUUUAUAAAAUAUUAAUAAAAAAUUAUCUCUUAAACUUAGUAUAGUUUUAUCGUAUUAAACUUUUAUUUUGAACAAAUAAUUUUAAUCUAAGUUUUAAAUUCUAAAAUUAUUUCCUUAAAAUAAAAUUUUAAAAUUCAACACUUCAAUUGAAAUUGUCUUUUAAAAAAAAUAUCUUCUUAUUUUAAUCCUUAUAAACUAUAGUUGAUUGAAAAUACUAUUGAAGUUCUCUCUUCAAAAAAAGUCUUAUUUUAAUCUUCAUAAAUUGCCCUUGAUUUGAAAAUAAACUUUGGGUUAUCAUAUUUUAAAUAAUAUAUAUAUAUAUAUAUAUAUAUAUAUAUAUAUAUAACAAAUACUCUAUUUUUUUUUUAAAUGAACUAAUUUUAAUUAUAUUUUAUUUUAUUUUUUUAUAUAUUUUUAAUGAUAAACCAAACAUAGAAAAUCAUUUUUCUAAAUAUUUUAAAAUUUCUAAGCAACCAAACAUAAUCUUCAAAAUAAAAGGAGAAUAAGGAGGGACAAGUGAGAAAUGGCGAUUAAAAAAAAGUGUACAAAAGCUCAAUUAAUUUUCUUCUAGUCUUUUAUAUAAAAAAGUAUUGGUAUGUAAAUUAAUAUUUGGAUUUUAAUAGUAUUUUAUUUGUCUUUCUCUAUCUCAUGUAAAAGAGAAUUUAAGAUAUUUCCUAAAGCAAAGCAUUAGUUAUCUGCAAUCAGUGGUGAUCAUGGUCCAUGUCAAUUUCGGACCCAUAUCUUAAAACCGUAUAAUUUGCGUUUCAACAUUACUGAUUUCUCAGAUGUUUCAUACUCCACAGAAGAGUAUUGUUAGUGAAAGCAUUUUGUAACUGUUACUCAUAGUGUUUUGACUCUGGCUCAACAACAUCAGCCAUUGACGGAUUUUCAUACAUGCAAAUCAAAUAGUCUUCUUCCUCCCUUAGGAAUUUCGGUUUAAAUGUUAUUAAGCAUACAUUUGGCUGACAAUUAUUAACCACUUCAUGAUAUGGUUUCUUACCCUUAAUCAAUGGUUUCUAAGUGAAUAUAUGCAGAAGGAAAUCUGAACUGUAGACAGCAGUAUUGAUAACUCUCAAUAUUCUUUAUAUAAGAGAAUAAACAACGUCAUAGUGAUCGUCGCCUACAAGAAAGGUACAUUUCCCAACAAGAUGUAGUGGUGACUGCUACAUGGACGCAAUUAACUCGUAGAAAAGGAUAAGACCAGUGCACGGCAGCUCUUAUUUUACAUGCUAAUUAUGCUAACCAAAGUCACUCAGUUGGGAUGGGAGGGAGAUGGAGGUUUGUGCGGUGGCUUGUGGGGCGGAGUUGGUGGCUUCUUUUCAGGAGCUUGUGGCUUUUUCGGAGCUGAAGGAGGCUCAAUCUUAUGAGGCGGCUUGUACGAGUCUUCUUUACUCUCGACAGGAGGGUGACCAGGGUUGUGACCAUAAUGUGGUGGCUUCUCUCCCUUAGGUGGCUUGCCAACUGGGGUUGGUGGCUUGUGUUCAGGAAGUUGUUUCUCUCCCUUGGGAGGUUUACCAAUUGGGGUUGGUGGCUUGUGUUCUAGGAGUGGUUUCUCUCCCUUGGGAGGUUUAGUGGGUGACUUGUGUUCUGGAGGUGGCUUCUCCACCGGAGACUUGUGUUCUGGAAUUGAUUAAAAAAAUUCUACCACUCUUUUAAGUAAUGGAAGAUUAUUAUCUCUGAUUGGCACCACAACAGCACAUGCUGCUAGAUCUUUCUAGACACUCCAUGCAAUGAAAGCACAAUGGAUCUUGUAACGAUAGAAACUAAGCCAUGCUACAGUACUAGAUGACGAGGUAAAACUAGUAGACAUGGGUGGUAGUUGAUUACUACUCAAAAAGUACUCUUUUAUAGUUUGAAACUAACUGUUUUAAACACUUUUGAGUAGUAGUUAAUAAAUUUUAACUCAAUUGGCACAUUAAGGAACCUAGCAAGGGUUACUAAUAAACUUUUGGCAAGUUUUGGUGUUUUUGGUAGUUAUUCGAUCAUUGAAACAAGCCAAGAAUGAGGGAGAAUUUUGUGAAGUCCAUGGCAAUGCAAGUUAAAGCUCAAAUACACGAAGAAUCCAAGCUUUGGAGCACUACAUAGCCCUUUGCCAAGCCAAUUAGAGAUGCAAGGAACAAAACCAAAGGAAGAAAUCCAACAACCAACAUUUUCGCAUGGUUGUGUGAAAUUUCGCACACCAUGCGAAACCACAAGAGGUAGCCAAAGAAUUUCACAUGGUAUGCGAAAUCUUCUCAUGCACCGACUCCGUUAGAUUUUUAUCUUCAGAUAUUUUGUGUAAUUUCCUAGUUUCUCCUUGUAACCAACCUAGAUAUUUUCUUUUAUAUCUUUUUUUAUAUUUUUUAGGUAACAUCAUAUAUAAGGGGAGAGACAUAAGGAGGAUAUGGAUGUUUUUCAUAGAACACUUGUAAAUUUUCAGUAGUAAGAAAUAUACAAAGCUUUUUGCUAUGCCUUACCUUCUCAUUUUGUUUUCACCUGUCUUUCUAGCCAAACAACCUCUAAGGAUGAUUUCUCAGGGGAUGAGUGGCUAGGUUUUACGUUUCUUGGAGUGAGGGAAGCUAGGUGAAGGACCUGAAUGCAAAGAUGAGAGUUUUCCUUGCUUUAAAUGAAAGUAGUUGUUAAACAUUAAUGGUUUUUAUUUUAAGGUUUAGCUUUAAAUCCCUUAAAAACACCUUGAAUGACCAAUACUUGGUAAGCUUUUCGGAUUCUAUGGAUGCUUAUUGCUAGAUCCAUGGAUGUCUAUUAGUUAUCAUUUACGAGCCUUUGGAAGGUGAUUCAAGGUGAGGGUCUUUAGUGUUUGAAGCCAUUAAUGGGAAGCAAUUACCAUUUUUUCAUGAAUCCUUUGGAUCAAAUCUUAAUUGCUAAAUAUAAAACCGAUUUGGGAAAUAACCAUCCUUUAUGUUAUUAUCCCCAACGCAAGGAGAAGAUCCGGAAUCUUCCCUUUUGUCUAAGGAACCCGAUCCUAGUGACCUAAAGCUCCAAGAGACCUUUUCUUUGUAGUUAACUUCAUUUAUUGUUUUUGCUUAACUUAAAAUCAAUCUUUGCAACCACAAUUCCAUUUUCUUUAAAAGCUAAUUUUUAUAAGGAAAAACACCAUUUUAUUUCCUUCACUAAGUCAACUGUACGAUGAAAACCCAUCCCUGUGGACGAUCCUAGAGCCAUUAUACUAUGUUAGCUAUGCUACCCUAGUGUGAGGUGAUUUAGGUUUUAUAAAUUUUGUUGAUAACACCCAUCUGAGCCAGAAUCAAAUGGCACAACUGAACCAGGGACGAAUCAAAUGGCGCCGCUAUCGAGGAUGGUGCCAAAGUACAUUGACAUGACUUUUGGUGAACACUUGUGAUCUUCAUCACAAGUUUGGUGAUUUUUCUAUUACUAAUUUUUUUCUUUGUUUUUAUUUUAGCUUAUCUUUUAUUUAGUUUUUAGCUAACCUUAACUUUUUCUUAGAAUUGUAUUUCUUCUAUUUUCUUUGUUUUUGUUUCAGUGAUCUUUAGUUGUGCAUGCCCUAUUGGAUAAGAAAUAUUGAGGGAAUACUUGUGAAGAUUGAAAAUCCUCGAGAAACUGAGUUGGAAGUGUGAUUGAACAUCAUGGAUGUUCCACCUGAAGACCAGAAUAGCCAACAUGGUUAAGAGGAUAAUUUCAAAGCAUACCGAUCCAUGAGGGACUGCAUGCAUCCACCUCGUAUGAGUGCACCGUCAUGCAUAGUGCCUCCCACUGAGCAACUAGUAAUCUGACCUCACAUUGUGCCACUCCUACCUACUUUCCAUGGGAUGGAGAGUGAGAAUCUCUACUCGCAUAUUAAGAAAUUCGAGGAGGUUUGUAAUACAUUCCAAGAAGGAGGAGCUUCAAUUGACUUGAUGAGGCUCAAGCUAUUUCCUUUCACUUUGAAGGAUAAGGCUAAGAUUUGGCUUAAUUCUUUAAGGCCAAGGAGUAUCCGAACUUGGACUAAUUUGCAAGCCGAUUUUCUUAAGAAGUUCUUCCUUACCCAUAGGACCAAUGGUUUGAAAAGGCAAAUUUCGAACUUCUCAGCUAAAGAGAAUGAGAAAUUCUAUGAGUGAUGGGAGAGGUACAUGGAAGCUAUUAAUGCUUGUCCUCACCAUGGCUUUGACACAUGGCUCUUAGUGAGUUAUUUUUACGAUGGUAUGUCUUCUUCAAUGAAGCAACUCCUAGAAACUAUGUGUGGAGGAUACUUCAUGAGUAAGAAUCCGAAGGAAGCCAUGGACUUUUUGAGUUAUGUGGCUGAAGUUUUAAGAGGAUGGGAUGAACCAAAUGCUAGAGAGGUGGAAAGAAUGAAGUCUCAACCUAAUGCUAAGGGUGGGAUGUAUGUUUUGAAUGAAGACAUUGACAUGAAAGCAAAGGUUGUAGCUAUGGCAAGGAGAUUGGAAGAGCUAGAAAUGAAGAAGGCACAAAAAGUGGAAGCCAUUUCUGAGACAUCAGUGCAAGCUAUGCCUUGUUCCAUUUGUCAACCUAAUGCUAAGGGUGGGAUGUAUGUUUUGAAUGAAGACAUUGACAUGAAAGCAAAGGUUGUAGCUAUGGCAAGGAGAUUGGAAGAGCUAGAAAUGAAGAAGGCACAAAAAGUGGAAGCCAUUUCUGAGACAUCAGUGCAAGCUAUGCCUUGUUCCAUUUGUCAAUCUUAUGAGUACCUAGUGGAGGAGUGUCCUACAAUUCCAGUAGUGAGAGAGAUGUCUGGUGAUCAAGCAAAUGUUAUUGAUCAAUUCAAGCCUAAUAAAAAUGCUUCAUAUGGCAACACCUACAAUUCAAAUUGGAUGAACCAUCCAAAUUUCUCUUGGAAACCAAAGCUACCUCAAUACACACAACCUGCUCAAGCACCUUAGCAAUCCUCGAAUCUUGAACAAGCUAUUGUGAACCUUAGUAAGGUUGUGGGAGAUUAAAAGUCCAUCAAUGCUCAACUGAAUCAGAGAAUUGACAGUGUAGAGAGUACAUUGAACAAAAGGAUGGAUGAGAUGCAAAAUGAUCUGUCUCAAAAGAUAGACAAUGUCCAAUAUGCAAUCUCAAGGCUUACCAACCUCAACACAGUGCAAGAGAAAGGAAAGUUUAUUUCUCAACCUCAUCAAAAUCCCAAGGGUAUCCAUGAAGUGGAGGCUCAAGAGAGAGAAUCUUCAAAGGUGAGGGAAGUCAAAGCAGUUAUCACCUUGAGGAGUGGUAAAGAGGUUGAUCAACCCACAUCCAAGCCAAAGCAUAAUGAAGAGAGUUUUGUAGAAAAAGAAAAGAGAGGAAAAUAAAGGAAAGAGAAUAGAGAAAAGUACAAAGAAAGAUGACCAUGAGUCUAGUGUGGAUGAAGAGCCCAAGAGGAUAGUGAUCAAGGAAAAUAUGAUGAAGAAACACAUGCCUCCACCUUUCCCCUAAGCUUUGCAUGACAAAAAAGGAACCAAUAAUACAUCGGAAAUUUUUGAAGUAUUGAGGCAAGUGAAGGUCAAUAUCCCUUUGCUAGAGAUGAUCAAACAAGUGCCGACAUAUGCAAAAUUCUUGAAGGACUUGUGCACUGUAAAGAGAGGGUUGAAUGUGAACAAGAAAGCUUUCUUGACCGAGCAAGUGAGUUCCAUCAUACAGUGCAAGUCUCCAGUGAAGUACAAAUAUCCGGGCUACCCUACCAUCUCAGUGAGUAUUGGAGGUACUUGUGUGGAAAAAGCUUUGUUGGACUUGGGAGCAAGUGUGAAUUUGCUACCCUACUCUGUCUAUAAGUAGUUGGGACUUGGAGAGUUGAAGUCAACAUCCAUCACCCUAUCUCUGGCAGAUAGAUCAGUGAAGAUUCCAAGAGAGAUGAUAGAAGAUGUCUUGGUUCAAGUUGACAAAUUCUACUAUCCAGUGGAUUUUGUUGUUCUUGAUACGGAUCCGAUUGUCAAAGGAACUAAUUAUGUUCCUAUCAUACGAAGACCCUUCCUAGCUACAUCAAAUGCAAUCAUCAAUUGUAGGAAUGGAGUCAUGAAACUCACGUUUGUCAACAUGACAUUAGAGCUCAACAUCUUCCAUUUGUACAAGAAGCAUAUCCAUUCAGAAGAAAAAGAAGGUCUAGAGGAAGUGUGCAUGAUUGACACUUUAGUGGAGGAGCAUUGUGAUCGACAAUGCAAGAAGAUUUAGUUGAGAGUUUUGGGGAUCUUGAUGAAGGGUUACUUGAACCCUCAGAUUUGCUUGCUACCCUACUCCAUUGGAGGAAGAGAGAAGAAAUUCUACCCUUAUUCAAUGAGGAGGAGACACAAAGAGCUGCUAAAGAUAAGCCCCCAAAGCUUAUUCUUAAGCCACUACCCACAGAGUUGAAGUAUGCAUACUUGGAAGAAGACAAGAAGUGCACUGUUGUUAUAUCUUUAGCUCUUACCAUUCAUCAGGAGGAUUGUCUACUUGAAGUCCUUAGAAGAAGUAAGAAGGUAAUAGGGUGGCAAAUUUCUGAUUUGAAAGGGAUCAGCCCUUUUGUCUGCACCCAUCAUAUUUACAUGGAGGAUGAAGCUAAGCCAAUUCAUCAACCUCAGAGAAGGUUGAACCCUCACAUGCAAGAAGUGGUGAGAGUUGAAGUUCUUAAGCUACUUUAGGCUGGUAUUAUUUACCCCAUAUCAGAUAGCCCAUGGGUGAGUCCUACUCAAGUUGUGCCAAAGAAGUCGGGGAUCACGGUGGUGCAAAAUGAUAAGGGAAAAGAUGUCUCUACAUGUCUCACUAUAGGUUGGAGGGUGCGUAUCAAUUACAGGAGGUUGAAUGUAGUGACAAGGAAUGACCAUUUCUCGUUGCCCUUUAUUGAUCAAGUGCUUGAGAGGGUCUCUGGGCAUCCUUUUUAUUGUUUCUUGGAUGGCUACUCGAGGUAAUUUAAGAUAGAAAUUGAUGUUGAAGACCAGGAGAAGACCAUUUUCACAUGCCCAUUUAGAACCUAUGCAUAUAGGAGAAUGUCUUUCGGCUUAUGCAAUGCACCCACAACUUUCCAAAGAUGCAUGUUAAGCAUUUUCAAUGAUAUGGUGGAGCAUAUUAUGGAAGUCUUUAUGGAUGAUAUCACCAUAUAUGGAAGUGCAUUUGAUGAAUGCUUGGUCAACUUAGAAGUUGUUCUGAACCGAUGCAUUGAGAAAGACUUAGUGCUUAAUUGGGAGAAGUGCCAUUUCAUGGUACACCAAGGGAUUGUCCUUGGGCACAUCAUCUCCAAGCAAAGCAUUGAAGUUGACAAAGCAAAGGUUGAACUCAUUGUUAAGUUGCCAUUCCCAACAAAUGUCAAAGGAGUAAGGCAAUUCCUUGGCCAUGCCGGGUUCUAUAGGAGGUUUAUCAAGGAUUUCUCUAAGCUUGCAAGGCCUCUUUGUGAAAUAUUGGUGAAGGAUGUUAAAUUCAUAUGGGAUGAUAGAUGCCAAAGGAGUUUUGAAGAAUUGAAGCUAUUUUUGACAACCUCACCAAUAGUGAGGGCUCCCAACUAGCAACUGCCCUUUGAGGUAAAGUGUGAUGUCAAUGACUUUGCUAUAGGAGCUGUUCUUGGGCAAAGAGAAGAUGGAAAACCUUAUGUGAUCUACUAUGCGAGCAAGACAUUGAAUGAGGUGCAAAGAAACUACAUAACCACCGAGAAAGAAUUGUUAGCUGUAGUUUUUGCCUUGGAUAAGUUUCGUGCUUACUUGGUGGGAUCCUUCAUCGUGGUUUUUAUUGAUCACUUUGCUUUGAAGUAUCUAUUGACUAAGCAAGAUGCUAAAGCAAAACUGAUUAGAUGGAUUUUCUUGCUUCAAGAGUUCAAUCUCCAGAUCAAAGACAAGAAAAAAAUGGAGAAUGUGGUAGUAGACCACAUUUCAAGGCUAGCUAUCGCACAUAAUUCCCAUGCUUUGCCCAUUAAUGACGAUUUUCUAGAGGGGUCUCUCAUGUUGGUGGAAGUUGUCCCUUGGUACGCUCACAUUGCUAACUACCUGGUCACAAGAGAAGUUCCAAGUGAGUGGAAAGCACAAGAUAAGAAGCACUUCUUUGCAAAAAUUCAUGCCUACUAUUGGGAAAAGCCAUUUCUAUUCAAGUAUUGUGCGGAUCAGAUAAUAAGGAAGUGAGUUCCUGAAGAAGAGCAACAGGGGAUCCUCAGUCAUUGCCAUAAAAAUGCAUGUGGAUGCCACUUUGCUUAUCAGAAGACAACCAUGAGGGUGCUGCAAUCGGGUUUCUGUUGGCCAUCACUUUUCAAAGAUGCCCACACCAUGUGCAAGAGUUGUGAUCGAUGCCAGAGGCUUGGGAAGUUAUCAUGUAGGAACAUGAUGCCUUUGAACCCCAUUUUAAUAGUUGAUCUUUUUUAUGUUUGGGGCAUUGACUUCAUGGGACUUUUCCCUAUAUCUUUUGGCUACUCUUACAUCUUGGUGGGAAUAGAUUAUGUUUCUAAGUGGGUUGAGGCAGUCCCAUGCAAACACAAUGACCAUAGAGUGGUUCUCAAGUUUCUUAAGGAGAACAUCUUCUCAAGAUUUGGGGUGCCCAAAGCCAUAAUUAGUGAUGGGGGUACUCAUUUUUGCAACAAGCCUUUUGAAACUCUCCUAGCCAAGUAUGGGGUGAAGCAUAAGGUAGCUACACCUUACCACCCUCAAACUAAUGGGCAAGUUGAGUUAGCAAACAAGGAGAUUAAAAACAUAUUGAUGAAGGUGGUGAACACAAACAGAAAAGAUUGGUCAGUCAAGCUCUUCGAUUCACUAUGGUCAUGUAGAACAGCUUACAAGACCAUUAUCGGGAUGUCUCUUUAUCACCUAGUCUAUGGAAAAAAUGCCAUCUCCUUGUGAAAUUGGAAUACAAAGCUUGGUGGUCAAUCAAGAAGCUCAACAUGGAUUUGAGCAGAGCUGGGUUGAAGAGGUUCUUAGACCACAAUGAGAUGGAGGAAUUGAGAAAUGAUGCCUACAUCAAUUCAAAAAUUGUAAAAGAAAAAUUGAAGAGGUGGCAUGAUCAGUUGAUUUCCCGCAAGAAUUUUCAAAAUGGAUAAAGAGUCUUGCUCUAUGACUCUAAACUCCACAUCUUUCCGAGCAAGCUGAAAUCAAGGUGGAUAGGUCCUUUUACCAUUCACCAAGUGCAUUCAAAUAGAGUAGUGGAACUACUCAACUCCAACAACAUCGGGAGCUUCAAAGUGAAUGACCAUUGUCUCAAGCCCUUUGUAGAGUCUUUUUUCUCGCGACAAGGAGGAAUUCAUCCUCCUUGAUCCACAUCAAGCUUGACAAGACCAGUUUUUUUUUAUGGACUUAGUCUUUCUAAAGACUAUCGAGUCCAUAACUUUUUAUUUUAUUUUUUAUUUGAGAGUUUUUCGGUAUUAUUACUUGUUUUGUUUUUUAUUUUUCGUUUUACUUUUAUUUGGUUUGAUUUAACUUAGAUUUUUUAUGAUCAAUUGCAGGGGGGAUUUCAAAUAGAGGAAAAACCAAGAUAAUUCGCACACCCUGCGAAAAUUUCGCAAGGCAUGCGAAAUUUAUGGCUCAUUUCGCAUGGGAUGCGAAAUUUCGCACACCCUACGAACCAAUUUCGCACACUUUGUGAAAAUAAACCAACCCUACGAAAUCAUUUCAAAUACUCUACGAAAUUUUCGCAGAGCAUGUAAAAAAUUUCGCAGACCAAACACCAUUUCGCAUACUAUGCGAAAAUGUAAGGGGUCUACAAAACCAUUUCGCACCUCCAAAGCCAUUUCGCACAUUGUGCAAAAAUGAAAAGUCGCCCUAUCAUCCAUUUUUAAACCCCUUGAGCCCUGAAAUCCCCAUUUCGCAAGCACCCCUGUCCUUGCGAAUCCCUCAUUUUCCUCUGCCACCUUGCGACCUUGUCCCUCUCCAUUUGAUAUCGUGCCCUGCGCACAUCUCAUUUCAAAGACUCGCACUCUGCGCCCUCUCAAAGCACGAACCCAAGGCUCACAUUCCAUUUCCGACAUGGCACAGACCCGAGGAGCCCUUCCCGCCCCUUCAUCGAGACGCACACCAAGGUAGAGAGCCUCUUUUGCUCAGAUGCCAAGUGAUUCUCCAUUUCAGGCCACGGAGGCCCUGCGGAUUCCACAUUCCAAGGGUAGAACAGCCACUGGUCCUUCCUCUUCUAUUCCUCAGCGUAGAUAUGAGACGAGGAGACCACCUACUACACAAAGGGCGACUACUUCGCGCCAUGAGAAUUCGGUACGACACCCUCCUGCCAAGAGGGCCAGGACUUCAGGCCCAGGCGAGUCAUCCAAAGCUUCACAGCCUGAGCCUCCUGCAGAUUCCGAGGUUCCUACUGACAUAUCAUCGGAGUCUAUUAUCAAACGCCCGAUGCUCACAGCACCGCCCAUUGAGGGCAACUCUGAUUGUAGAGCGAGACCUUUCCACUUGGAGCUAUAUUUUAAUUAAGAGGCCAUGCCACAGCAGCCUGAGCUCCAAGACUCUUAUGGCUUACUACAGAGGUACCAUCUUGAGGACCUUAUGACUCCUCGUGAGUUCUUUUAUCCCAGAGUAGCACUAGACUUUUACCAGUCCAUGACUACUCGUGGCGUCCCGAGUCCUACCGCGAUGCACUUCACCAUUAAUGGACGUCAUGGUAUCCUCGAGGCCAGACAUAUUGGAGAGGCUCUACAGAUUCCUUUCGAGCUAGAGGACCCAUCUGUUUUCUGCCAAUGGUCCCCAAUAUCUCAGAGGGACAUGGUCCAUAUUUUAUCCAGGGGGACAUCUACAUAUUCGAUCCUUCUACGGAAGGAGCUUCGACCUGGGAUACUCCUCGUAGAUGUGGUGCUACUUUCCAACCUCUUUCCCUUUUAGCAUUCGAUACAUAGGCGAGGAGCUAUUUUGGACGCUUUAUUCUGUAUAUCAGAGGGCUUCUACUUUGGCCCGCACCACUUGAUCAUGGUUUCCCUCAUCCAUUUUGAGGAGAAGGUCCAUAGAAAGAAGCUUCAGAGGGCGAACACCAUUCCAUUACUAUUCCCGAGGUUGCUCUACUAGAUCUUGGAGUACAUGGGCUUUCCUACUGAGCCUCGGCUUGUGUGCCGCCGCCUUUGUCAAGAGCGAUCCACUCUCGACAAAUGGAAUCAGUUGGCGGGCUAUUCUACACCUCCAGGAGCCCCUCCCAUGGUAGCACCUCUAGUGUCCCCACAGGCAGAGUAGGGCAAGCUCCCGGUAGAGACUGCACCCCUAGUGCCCACACCUGAGGCUACUUCUGCUGUUCCGCCUACGACUCCUACUGUUCCACCAGUUGGUCCUUUUACAUCUGAGUCUUCCAUCAACAUCUCGACUUCGGAGUUUCGCGCCCUUGUGCAUACCUUUCAGACACUCACCACCACACAUACUGCUCUCUUCUAGAAAAUGGCUGAGAUGCGUGCCCAUCAGGACCAGCAGACUACUAUACUCCGCCAAAUUCAACAGCACCUGGGACUUCUGCCUCUGCCUCAGCUUGACCUUCCCACAUCAUCAGAGCCUCUAGCUCCAGUUGAGGAUACUAUUCCACCUGAGGACACUACCACAGUAGAGGUUCAGAUUCCACCACCUCAGGAGGCCACCACAGCUACAUUAGAGGAUGCAUCAUCUCCACCUGAGGCUCCCACUACUUGAUCAUAGGACAUCUCUUUAUCUUAUUGUAUUUACAUAUUAUAUUACUGGAGAUUUGUCUUUGUUUUGAUACUUUAUAUUCUGGCAUUGAAUGUAUUGCCUAAUGAUAUCUCAAUUGUACUUUCUCAUAUUAAUAUAUAGACAUCAAUUUUUUUUAGUAUACUUAGGAUUUUUCUAUUUACUCUACUCAUUACUCUUUUGUUUUUUUUUUUUUACUCAUGUGGUUUCUCCUAUACGACUCAGACUCCAUUUCACUCAGGAGGUACCACUUCUUCCCUUUAUUUUCAAUUGCUCUUGAAACAUUGAGGGCAAUGUUGAUCUUGGUUGGAGGGAGAGUUGAGGAAGGAAGUGAUUACUACUCAAAAAGUGCUAUUUCAUAGCUUGUAAUUAACUCUUUUAAAACACUUUUGAGUAGUAGUUAUCACCUUUUAACCCAAUUAACAUAUUAAGGACCCUUGCAAUCAAUUCUAAUCAAAUUGUGUUAAGUUUUGGUAUUUUGAUAGCUUUUUUAUCACCAAAGCAAUCCGAGAUUGAGGAUAUUUAUUUGGAAUCCAUGGCAAAAGAUGUUUGGACAGGACGUCCGGACACACCAUCGGAGGGCGGCGGAACGUGGGCUGUGGCAGGCUGUCGGAAUGACGUAGCAAGGCUUGUGCACUUUAGCCAAUGAUCGGGAUAACAUAUCCGAAAUUCUGCUCCGCCGACAUUCCACCCGGAUGUCUCACAUCCGGAAUUCUGCUCCGCCGACAUUACACCCAGAUGUCUCACAUCCAAAAUUCUUCUCCGUCGACAUUCCAUCCGAAUAUUUCACAUCCGACGCUUGACGCCGGAUGGGAGAGGAGGGCGUUUCAACUUCCCCGGUCAGACAUAUCCGAAUCCUUUGAUAACGCUUACCCGGAGAGUUUCGCAGCCAUUUUGCACAGUGCCGCGGUGUUCUCUUGAAGCUUCCCGAUAUGUGCGACCGACAUUUUGAGAUAUUUUGCUUUAGAUAUUUGAUGUCUAAAUCCCCAAACUCUCCUUGUAACCCACCAAUUAUAGGAUUCCUUAGUUAUUAAGUUUGGAAAAAUGGUGAAUAACCCCUUAUAUAUAGUUUGCAAUUUUCAUAAAAAAGAUAUGUAGAAUCUCGGGAGCUUGUUCCCAGAGAGACGCAUCCUUUGUACAGUUUUGGAAGGAAGUAAAAUACAGAGCACUUGCUCUGCUUUUCAUAUAUAUUUUUGUUUUCUCGUUCUUUUUAUUUCUAGCCAAUCAAAGUCUGAGGAUUUUUCCUCAGAGGAUGAGAGGCUAGGCUCUUCGUCUCUUGGAGUGAAGAAAACUAGGUAAGUUUCCACAUGCAUAAAUUGAAAGUUUUGUUGUUUUAGUUUUUAAUGAAGAGAAAGUGUGACCCGUUAAUGGUUUUUAUCUUUUUAGUUAACUUAAAACGCCUUUAAAUCACCCGGGCCAACACUUGAUAAGGCAAGUGGUCUCCAUCCAUUGAGAUGCACUAGUUUAUCUCUUGCGAGCCUUUGGGAGGUGGUUUGAAGGUAGGAUUUUCUAGAAUAACCAACACUUGAUAAGCUUUUGGACUCUAAGGAGACAUCCAUUAGUUAUCUCUUGCGAGCUUUUGACGGGUAAUCCAAGGUUAAAGAUCACCUUGAAUGGCAAGUACUAGGUGAGAGGUAUGAGCCAUUGCAAGAUGCAUUAGUGAGAGGGAUUUAGUGUUUGAACCCAUUAAAGGGAAGCAUCUGUACCACACCGGUUCGGGAAAUAACUAUAUGUUAAAUCCCCAAUGAGAGGAAAAGAAACAAGUGACCGGAACUCCCUUUUUGUAUAAGGAACCUGAGCCUAGUGAUCUAAACUCCAAGAAACACUUUUCUUUGUAAGUAAAAUCAGUUACUAUUUUUGGUUAGUUUAAAACCAAACCUUUUUCAUUCAAACAUCUUUAUGUUUUCUUUUAAAGCUAACCUUGAAAUGAAAAGGCACCAAUUCAUAUUUGAAUUAAUAUCAAUUGUGAAGUGAAAACCCAUCCCAGUGAACGAUCCUAGAGCCACUAUGCUAUAGUAGCUUUGUCUUUGCUACCCUAGUUCAUGGUUUAAUAGGUUAUAAAUUUUGUUGAUUACUCCCACAAUCAAAGGAGCACCAGUUGGACAUGAAUCAACUGAGACACUAAUUGGGCACAAAUCAGGAAGUUUUGUUAAUAAUGCUAGGUUAAUUUGUUAAUUUAGUUACUUUCUGCUUAAUUUUAAAAGUUUUCACUUUACUUUCCAUAGUUAUUAAGGAAAAAUUCUCAAAAUGAAAUGGGAGAAAUUGAAUUCUUACAUUUUUACUUGAAUUUUAGAAUUUGUAUUAUGCUUAUUGAAGCUGAUGAAUUAUUGAAACUCCUAUUGAAUUCAACCUUAUUUCUUCCACUUUAAUCUUACCACACACGGUGCACAUUAGGUUCCGAUUAUAAGAGGUGCGUUCUUAGCCUAUUGGAGGUUGGUCAAUUUGUUAAAGUUUGAGAAAGAUCUAGGUUAGGGGAGAGAGAAUAGUCUGACAUACUAUAAUCGAAAACUAAUAAACUUAACACUUAGAUCUUUGUGGAAGAGUAAGGAUUGGACCUUUGGGAGUGGAAAUUCGUUUGAUGCUUAAAUUUGCAUAAUGCUUACACUUUAUAAAUUGUGAUUAGGCAAGAGAUUUGAUGACUCUUGUUCAAGGUUGGGUUUUGCCUCUUUGAUGUUCCAUGAGAGAGUAUAAUCCUCAUCAUGCCACUUGAAAUUUUUUUUGGAGUGAUUAACAUGAUUUUGUAAAUUACUUUACUGUCUAUUUUUUUUUUAUCUCUCCUUCAUUGCUAAUGGACUAGCAAUAUGUCAGUUGAGGGGAGUGAUUACUACUCAAAAAGUACUCUUUUAUAGCUUGAAACUAACUGUUUUGAACACUUUUGAGUAGUAGUUAAUACCUUUUAACUCAAUUGGCACAUUAAAGAACCUAGCAAGGGUUACUAAUUAGUUUUUGGCAAGUUUUGGUGUUUUUGGUAGCUAUUUGAUCAUUGAAACAAGCCAAGAAUGAGGGAGAAUUUUGUGAAGUCCAUGGCAAUGCAAGUUAAAGCUCAAAUACAUGAAGAAUCCAAGCUUUGGAGCACUUCAUAGCCCUUUCCAAAGCCAAUCAGAGAUGCAAGGAAGAAAACCAGAGGAAGAAAUCCAACAAUUAGCAUUUUCGCAUGGCUGUGCGAAAUUUCGCACACCAUGCGAAACCACAAGAGGCAGCCAAAGAAUUUUGCACACUAUGCGAAAUUUCGCAUGGUAUGCAAAAUCUUCUUGUGCACCAACUCCGUUAUAUUUUUAUCUCAAAUAUUUUGUGUAAUUUCCUAGUUUCUCCUUGUAACCAACCUAGAUAUUUUCUUUUAUAUAUUUUUUAGGUAACAUCAUCUAUAGGGGGAGAGACAUAAGGAGGAUAUGGAUGUUUUUCAUAGAACACUUGUAAAUUUCCGGUAGUAAGAAAUAUACAGAGCUUUUUGCUCUACCUUACCUUCUCAUUUUGUUUUCACUUGUCUUUCUAGCCAAACAACCUCUGAGGAUGAUUUCUUAGGGAAUGAGUGGCUAGGUUUUACGUUUCUUGGAGUGAGGGAAGCUAGGUGAAAGACCCGAAUGCUAAGGUGGGAGUUGUCCUUGCUUUAAAUGAAAGUAGUUGUUAAACAUUAAUGGUUUUUAUUUUAAGGUUUAGCUUUAAAUCCCUUAAAAACAUCUUGAAUGGUCAAUACUUGGUAGGCUUUUUGGAUUCUAUGGAUGCUUAUUGCUAGAUCCCUGGAUGUCUAUUAGUUAUCAUUUAUGAGCCAUUGGAAGGUGGUUCAAGAUGAGGGUCUUUAAUGUUUGAAGCCAUUAAUAGGAAACAAUUACCAUUCUUUCAUGAAUCCUUUGGAUCAAAUCUUAAUUGCUAAAUAUAAAACUAGUUCGGGAGAUAACCAUCCUUUAUGUUAUUAUGCCCAACGCGAGGAGAAGAUUCGGAAUCUUCCCCUUUGUCUAAGGAACCCGAUCCUAGUGACCUAAAGCUCUAAGAGACCUUUUCUUUAUAGUUAACUUCACUUAUUGUUUUUUCUUAACUUAAAAUCAAUCUUUGCAACCACAAUUCCAUUUUCUUUGAAAGCUAAUUUUCAUAAGGAAAAUCACCAUUUUAUUUUCUUCCCUAAGUCAACUGUACGAUGAAAACCCAUUCCCAUGGACGAUCCUAGAGCCACUAUACUAUGUUAGCUAUGCUACCCUAAUGUGAGGUGAUUUAGGUUUUAUAAAUUUUGUUGAUAACACCUGUUUGAGCCAGAAUCAAAUGGCGCAACUGAACCAGGGACGAAUCAACAACUUAUAUGGGAGGGACACAAGUUUAAUUGAUUUGCAUUUCAACGUUAUAUAUAGGUAUGUUUUGGAAGAUUUGUUCUGGAAAUACUGCACCAAGUACGAUUCUUUUUGUCUUGAGUGGGUCUACUUGCAUGCCAAUUAACGAGUGGAAAAGUAGGAGCACCUACCUCAUGCUCGCGGAACCGAAGGUCAGUGAAGUGGGGCUCCUUUUGGCCUCUUGUGUUUCUAUUCCAACCAAGGCGGCGUAAGGAAAAACAACAAUAUGUUUGUGCUAAAUAUCAACGCAUGAUAGAUGUUUUUGUUUUUUGGUAUGUCAAGGCUAAUGAAUGAAAUGCUUUAGCUUGUUUUGUGACUGGAACUGCAAAUGUCCAAAUUGGAGUAUCUCCAUUUCUCACUUCGGAUGGUUAACUUAUAAACAAGAUAUAGGAAACAUGUGAACAUCUUGAGGAACAAUUUGAAUUAUUCAUUAGAAGUCCUGGGUUGAGUUCCAAGAUUUAAAUUAGACCCCUCUAGCAGCUUCAGGGGUACCUAGCAACCUAUAGCAUAUUAAUGAAGAUUUAGGAUUUAGACUCUAGAAUACAAAUUAAUAUGUAUCUCAUGCUUUGACUAGCUUCCCUACAUAUGCACAAAAUGGAGAUGACCUAAAAAAAUAGCAGAAUCUAGCUUCCCUACAUAUGCACAAAAUGGAGAUGACCCAAAAAAUAGCAGAAUUUCCUUAGUUUCUGUGGUUAAGGUGAUUCUCCGCUUAAUAUCACAUUGACUCAUUAUGCAAAAUCAACUGAGCUAAUUUUGUUUAUUUAUUUAAUGUCAAAUAGGAACUCCUAAUUAACCUAACCCUUGGCCUGUGUAAAUUGAUUUCACAUGCCCAAUGUUGAAGUAGAAGUCCAUAUUUUGAAUUUUAUUUUUGUAAAGGUAAGGAAAAUGAAGCAUUGUGUAAUUAUAAAAAUAACUUCAUUGGAAUUCACAAGGUUCACCCAAAAUGGAGCUACAUCCGUAUUCUAUCCUGCAGUAGACUAUAUAGAUUGUACAAUAGUAAAUUGCAAAUACAAUUAAUAAGUCUUGUGCUUCCUUACUAAUAAUCCUUUGACAUGAACAUUGCAGCACUAAGGUCCUCUUGGGAAGACACCUUGCACCCAUGAGAGCACGAAGAGGAAGCAAGGCAGAGUCAUGGGUGCAAUGUCAUGACUUGUUGUUGCACCAAGAGAGGCUUGGUGAUGGCAUGGUGUUGCAGUAGCAAGAAUGUUGCCUUGGUAGGGACAUAAUCUAGGGAUAGAUGCCAAGAAAGGCUUAGCACUCACAUGAGUUGCACAAAGAUGAAUGUAAUAGAGCAUCAGAGAGACGUCUUGGCAAGUAAAUGAAUGGAUCCAAGAGGCAACAACAUGAGGAGUUUCAAAUGGAUAAGGAAUGAGUCAAAGACAUUUGAAAGCUACAAGUUGGAUUCUAAUUACGAUUGCAAUUUGAGUUUGAGUAGGAGUUUAGAUUCUGAUUGUAAUUGUAGUAUGAGUUGGACUAGGAUUGCUUAUCCCUAGUCAAAAUAGGAGUGGUUCGUGUCACACCCUAUGAAAAGAGUUUGAGUAGGGACUAGGAUUGCUUACUCCUAGUCAAAUAUGGAGUAGGUGGUGCCACACCUAUAAAAAAAAAGGGACAACAUGAGAGAGAGAGAGAGAGAGAGAGAGAGAGAGAGAGAGAGAGAGAGAGAGAGAAAGAGAUAAUGAAUUCACUAAAGAUAUUGUGGGAGUUUUUCUUUGUUACGUCUUGUAUUAUUACUUAGAAUAGGAAUAAAAUACAAGUUUGGGCUAGAGCCCCAUAAUUAAUCUCGUGUGCCUUUGUGGUUAUUCUUUAUUUGUCAUCUCGUGUGGAUUGGAUUACAUUGACUUAGAGGGCUUCUAAGCACCACCUUUGUGGGUUAUUAUUUAUUUUCCAUUUCUUGUGGAUUAGAUUAGGUUGACUUUGAGGGCUUUUAAGCACCACCUUUGUGGGUUAUUCUUUAUUUUCCAUAUCGUGGGGAUUGGAUUAGGUUGACGAUGAGAAAAAUUAUGUGGGAAAUUUGUGUUGGGACACUUAUCAUAACCAGGUAAAAUCUGCCAAGUCCUUUGUAAUAUCUUCAACAAAUAUUUCAGACUAGUUCUUCACCAUAAACAUCAUAUUGUGUUUUGUUUUUCUCCUGGAUUCUGAGUUGAAUUGUUUCAAGUCAAUUGAAUGCAUCUGAAUAUUAUUAGCUUGUUUGAAGGCCUGGUGAUUUUCCAUUUAACUUUACUUUCUUUAGGUUAUGCUCACUAUAAGAAAAAUGAGAAAUAAUGACGCUUUUUACGCGUUAAGAAAGGCAACAGAUGAUGCUUCUCUAAAGCGUCCUCUUCGGCUCUGUCAUUAUAUGUGUUAGCCAAUAAUGACGCUUCUAGGAAGUGCCAUCUUUGAAUAAUGUUAAUAACGACACUCGUAAAAAGUGUCAUCUUUAAACAUAUUCUGGUCAAAUAAUUUUUACAAAAUUAGUAAUCUUCAAGCCGUUUCUGAAUCAUAUCUGAGCCUAUUUCUGGGGACCAGAAAACCAUCUUUUUUCCAUUCGCCUGAGAGGUCUGAUUAGCAUUUCUGGAAUCAAUCUCUAAACCCAAGCUUCCCUCAUCUACCCAUUUAACCCUCAUGCCCUCCUGUUUGAACAACUUUCCCACUAUAUACACAAAUUUUUUACCUUCUGUUGUUGGUAUUCGACCUCUUCCCAUUCCCAGCACAGAAUCCACCAUUAGUGCCACUUUGUGAAUAAAAUCAUCGAACCAGAUCUUUCGGGCGGAAGAUGAGCUCCAGAGAAAUAAAAUUUUUGGGGUCUUCCCAGCAUGAAAGUCAUAGGUAGCAUUAAUGACAUCAAGAAAUGGGGCACUGUUGAGAAAAAACAUGUUCCCAUCAACCACCCAAGAAUUGUACCAGACUCCAAACACUUCUGGAUUACAUAUGCCUUUACUAAGAUAUAUUUCUUGAUCUCCAUAUCAGAAUCUUGGAGACUCUUCAUUUUAUGAGCUCUGACACUACUGUGAAAUUGGUCCACAUCAAUCACAGGAUGACCCCUUCUAGCAAGAUCAAGCAGGAAGUCUGAAUUCGGGCCCAUAAAAAUGUAGUUCUGAAUAUUGAAACUCUCAAAGUGGCACAACAAAUUCCUUAUGACUCUUUCAGAUGCUCCAAACAGGCUCACAAGUAUAAUGGUAUCCUGUUUUUGCACAGAGUAAAGAAAAUAUCCGAGUUCUUCAAAACUCCUUACAACUAUUCCAGGAUGUACUUCUUUGAAACAGAAAUCGUACCACUUUAGCUUAGUCAGAGGUUGAAUCUAAAAUAACAAAACCCAAACUGAAAUCAAAAUCGAAAUCAACCCUAAUAGAUUUCAGAAACAACAAAUUAAAAGAGUAAAGCACAAAAGGGGGAAAACACAUAUGAAGCAAUCUCCAUACAAGCCCUAACCUUAGAUAAACCCAAAAAAAAAAAUCAAAGCAGAGAGUUACCAUAGAGCAUCUCUGUUUCAAGCUUAGAAAAUGUUUAAUGCCAUUGAUAACUAGUUGGCUAGUGGUGGACUUCAAGCUUCUCUAUUUCGGUGUUAGUAGCUCUCAAUGGCUAUGGUGAGAACAAAGAAAUGAGAGGCUUAGGGUUUGGGAUGUGAGGUUAUUGAUGAUGAUGAGGAUAAAGUUAUGGGCUCUUGGAGGGGUUAGGGAAAUUGAAGAUGGCUGAGAGUAAAGGCUAGGGUUUUUGAGAUAGUUAAUAGCUUUUUAGGGUGUGACUGUCCAUAGAUAGAAGAUAAAUGAGGGUGUGAGAAUUUAUAGAUCUCUAGGUGAUAUGGCGGGUGUGAGAAUGAAAUUUUAGAGGGAAUUGUGUGUUUGGUAGAAAUUUCACACAUGCAUAUAUAAUGUUUCAGAACAUGGCACUUUAAAAAUACGACAAGGAAGAAAUUAUUUAUUGACGCUUAAAUAAAGCGCCAAGGUCUCCAACAUUUUUGCAAUCAAUGACGUUUGUAAAAGGUGCCAUUGAAUAGGAGUGCCAUUGCUUUCCCACAAAGCAUCAUUGUUAAUCAAGCCUUUAAAAAACGCCAAGAUAUGUUGCCACUUAGGUUAAAUAUUGACGCUUUUAAAAAACGCCAAGGAAAAAAACGUCAUUAUUCAUGUUUUUUGUAGUAGUGGCUUGAUUCCUAAAAAGUAAAGGAAAGCAAAAAGUAAAAAAAUAAAAAUGUGGAGAGUUAGGACAUGCGUUAUCUAAUUGUCCUAGUCCCAAAUAUAUUAAGAAAGUCAUGUAGGUUACUUGGAGUAACGAGUCAAGUAAAGCAAGCCUUCUAGUGUUUAAGACAUUAGAUAUUACCGAACUGAUUAUGUCAUUAAUGUAUUGCAUUUGUUGUUUCUAAUAUAUAGAAGAAGAUGAAAUUAUUGGAAUAAGUGGGAAAUAGGAAUAAAUCCAAGGUACCAAAAAGUCACUUUAUCUUAGAUGUUGUUGGAAACAUAAGUGAUUUCACAAUAACGACUAUGAGACAAUCAAGGAUUAAUAAGAUAGACUUUAUAUGAUAUACCUCCCAAUUAGAGCCUAAAAAUAUGGAUGAAGCACUUAGAGAUGAAUCUUCAAUUUUUGUACUAUAGGAAGAAUUAAAUCAAUUUGUUAGCUAUUCUUUGGAUAUUUGAUUCAUCACAAGCUACAAAUCACUUUUGAUGACCAAACACGAAACUAAGAGGAUUGGGCCCAAUUCGAUGCCUAUCAACAAUGAUUUGUAUUCCACCUCAUUAAUUAUUCAAAGUUGGGAAGCUAGGUCUAACCACUUUCUCUACCUGUUCACCCUUAGAGGAGCAGAAGAAAAUUCUAACUUUGGUGCCUAAUGCCUUUGACAAUCUUUCGACAAAGAGAGUUCACUAAUUACUUUGAUUAUUUCUCUGUUGGUCACUGGGGGACAAGACUUUUGUAAUGAAGUCAACUAGAACUUGCCCUUUGAGGGCCAUUCAUGGACGAUAUUACACCAUGAAUUCCCUUAGGUCAUGUUUGGUAUGUGAGAAUGAGGAGUGGAAUGGACAUCUUAUUCAUUUUUUCAUCUAUUCAAAUGUUGGGAUAACUCAAGUGACCAUGAGAAUGAAAUCAAGAAUGAUUCAAGGGAAAUGAAAUCUUACUUAUAAGUGUGAUUUCAAUUAAUCUCUAAUAGAAAUUAUUUUGAAUCAAUAGUGCAAGUUAUUUUUAAAAACAUUUUUCCAAAAUUAAAAAAAUCAAUUUUUUUUUUUUCGAUAAGUUGUUUUUAAAAGGAUUUUUUUUAUUUUGUAAAAAGAAAAUUGUAAUUCAAUUUAUAUAAUAUAAACUAAAUUUUAUUUUAUUCAAAAAGAAAUAAUUUUUUAAUUAUAAAUAAAUUAAAAAUAAAUACUUUUAAUAAAAUAUAAAUAGUAUUAUUAUAAUAAAAUCAUAAAUAAAUUUAAUUUUUUUUAUAAAUAUUAUAAAAAUAUGGAUAUUAACAUUGGAUAAUUGAUUUAUUUUGUUAAAAUAAAAAAUAAUAAUUUUUAAUAUUAUUUUAUGUUAAAUGAAUUUUAAAAUAAAGAAAGUUUAAUUAUUUUAAGGUAUAGAAGAGCCAAAUUUUGCAUUACAUACAUAACAAACAAUAUUUAUUAGAAACAUUUCUCAAGGAGAAUCUUAUUCCAUCUCACAAAGAUACUCGUUUAUUCGAUGUUUGACCAUCCGUAACAAUCAUGUCAAUUCUACUGAUUUAAUAAUUCCUUUACAUUUAUUACUCACUUAUGAACAUGGUAUUGUGAUUUAUUUAUUUAUUUGAUGUAUAAUUAAUUAAUCAAUUUUUUAAAUUUCAAAUUAUUUUUAAAAACUAUUCAUUAAGGAAUUUAAAGCAUUAAUUAUGUCUAUUAUUUUUUAUAGUCAUUAUAUAUAUAUUGAGUUUUAAUUUAUUUUUAAAAAUUAUUAAACUUAUUAAUAAAUUCAAUAUAAAGUCUCGUUUCAUUUGAAAUUCAUUUCUUUAGUGAAAAUUUUGAAAAAAAAAUUGUUAUUUAUUUUACUUUGUUUUAAAAAAAUUGUUUCUAGAGAACAAUAAUCAAAUAAUGGUAUGAAUUUUUAAAAACAAUUUUGUUUUUAAAUCAUAUGCCCAAAUAAUUUUUUUUUAUUUAGCAAAAAACUUUGUUGUAGUAUGUGGCUCAUAUUGAGGGAAAGACAUAUAUGGAGAAAAAUGUGCAAAUGUUGGAGUGGAGCGGAGUGGAAUGACGACAUUUGUCAUUCAAACUUGUAUUUUUAUUGUUAAGGGUGACCGAUAGGUUGGUACGGUUUAGGGGUAUUUUUGGAAUUUCAUUACCUGAGGGUUAGUAUAAAUACCAUUUUAUGUAACCCUAAUUUUACAUAUAAUGUAAGUUUUCUUCCUUGUUCUUGUGGACAUAGGCAAUCCGUCGAACCACGUUAAAUCUGUGUGUUUUUUUUUCUUUUUUCUUUUUCUCUAAUUUCUUCACCAGGAAUCGUUACACUAAGAUCAACAAACUCUCAAAGAUGAUUUUUAAAAUGAAAAAAAUAAUGUAUAGUGUGAGAAUUUUUUAUUUUUUAUUUUUUUAAAAUGAAAAUAAAAAAUUGCUUUAAGGUAAAAGUGUGGAUAUUAUUGUUAAUUUAUUUCAUUUUUCAUUUUCAUUUCCAUUGUUACCUACAAUUGAAAUGGAAACAACUAAUCAUUACAACCUUACAUUCUUAUAUGCAUCCAAAUACAAAAAUUGAAAUCACCAAAUUCAUAUUCAAGGCAAAAUAGGAAUGAAAACAAAUAUUCAUUCUCAUUCUUUAUUCCCACGUGUCAAACAUGACCUCAAAGUUAUAAACAUGAACAAGAAGUCCUUGAAACACCAAUGAUCUCUUCUGGUAUAUAUAUGAGCUUGAUUGACAACUGUUUUAAAUACAGUUUUUUUUUUUUUUGUUUUCAAAAUCAAAACAAAUUUAUUUUUAUUUUUUAUAAAUAGUAGUUUUUUAAUAUUUUUUUUAAACCUUAUUAUGAAAAUAGGAUGUUUUCUAAUAUCAUAUUUUAAUUAUUUUCAAUUAUUUUCCCUUCUUUUAAGGAGGGCUAUUUUAAAAAUAUGAAAAAUGAUACAAAAUAAAGCAUUACAAAUAAAAAUCAUUUUUAAGAAAUAUAUGAAAAUAAUUUGAGAACAUUUGAAGUUCCUUAAUUAAACUUUUGUUCUAGAAAAUGCAAGAAAACUGUUUUUGAAAAUUGUUUUCAUAAUGAUAUGCAUUGAUCGUUUAAAAUUUAAUUACAUGAUAAAAAGACCUAUGUAAAAACCAGAGUUAUAUAAUCAGUCAUAGAUCAAAUCUACUAAAUAUGAAAAGUAAGUACAUAGUUGUAUAUGACUUAGAUGGAGCCUUCUCCGAAUGACAUUCUUUAGUCGGUACUCAUAUUUUUUUGUUUCGUGUCUUCAACAUAACACCUCAUGAUCCUUAAUAAAUCACCUGAAAACUAUAUUAGCACCUUAUUGUUUAAUAUUUCUCUAAAUUUUUUUAUUAAGCAAAUAAAUUCCAAAUUUAAAAUGACAAAUAAAAUUUAUUAAUUUUUAAAAAUAAUUUAAAACUCAAAAACCAAUUUAAUUGAUAUUAAAAGUCAUGAAACUUAAUAAUAUUAGAAAGUCAUGUAUCCAAAUUUAUUUUAAAUGACUUGUUUAAUUUCUUGUUUAUAUAUAUUAUAUUUUUAUAAUUUUUUUUACUAUACAAAUAAAUUUUAAAUUAAACAAAACUUAAUGCGUUGAAUUCAUUAACGAGUCUAAUAAUUUUUAAAAGUUACUUAAAAUUUAAAUACUAAAUCAAUUAGUACCACAAAUUCAUGGAAAAAAAUUGAUUUAUUACUACUAUAUUGUUUCUCUAUUGCAUAGAACCAUUAUUUUUCAAUUUUUUCAUUUGGCAAAUGAACAUCAAAUUAAACAAGACUAAGUGUAUUAAAUUCAUUAAUGGGUCUAGUAAUUUUUUAAAAUAAUUUAAAAUUCAAAUAUUGAUACUCCAAAUUAAACAAGACUUAGGUGGUGUUUGUUUUUUGGUUGAAUAGAAAAAGGUAAAAUAUUUGACUUUUUCUAUUUAGUUAAAAGUAACUUGUUGACAUCGUCCAAUAUAAUUAAAGUAAACCUAUUGAGGGCAAGUUCACUUUAAUUAUGUUGGACGAUGUCAACAGGUUACUUUUAACUCAAUAGAAAAAAUCAAAUAUUUUGACUUUUUUUUUAACUCAAAUAAUAAAUCCAUUAAUACAAAAAAAUUAUGGAUAAUUUGAAACUUUCUUUCUUUUUUUUUUUUUUUUUGCUACACAUAGCUAUAUUUUUAUAAAUUUUAUCAUUAGAGAAAUGGAUUUCAAAUCAAGUGAAACUUUGUAUUGAAUUAAUGGAUUUAACAUUUUUUAAAAAUAAUUUGGAACUAAAAAAAAAAGAUUUAAUUACUAAGAAAAUCAUAGAUCAAAACUAAUAUAUUCUGAUCCAUGAUUUUAUUAUUUUUCCUAUACAUACAAUUAUAUUUUUAUAAUUUUCUCACUAGGUAAAGAUAUUAUAAAUUAAGUGACACAUAAUUAAUAAUUUAAAUUUUUGAAUGAAUCUUUUAAUUUUAGGAAUAAUUUGAAAUUUAAAAAGUUGAUCCAAUUAAUUGUAAAUUAACUUAAAAUAUUAUAAAAUAUUAUGUUCAUAAUUAAGUACUAAAUGUAUAUAUGUAAUGAAAACUUAACUAGUUACAUGUUACAAAAGCCAAAAUUUAUUCAUUCUUUAUUUUAAAUAAAAUAUUAUUAAUAAUUAUUUUUUUUAAAAUAAUAUUUAGUAAUUAUUGUUUUUAAAUUAUUAUUAUUAAUUUUUAAUAAAAAAAUUGCAAAGUUAUUAAUAUCAUUAUAUUUCUAACAUAAAUUUAAAUAGUAUAUUUUUUAAUAUAUAUAUAUAUAUAUAUAUAUAUAUAUAUAUAUAUAUAUAUAUAUAUAUAUAAUUUAUGAUUUCAUUAUAAUAUUUUUAUUCAUGAUUGACGAAAAAUUAUUUAUUGUUUAAUUUAUUUGAAUUGCAAAACUAUUUUUCAAAAUUCAAGCGAGAAAAUAGGCCUGGAUUUGAAUUUCCUGUAGAAGAGAAGGAUGUGGAGAAUAUGUUGGGAGUAUUUGUGGAUAAAGAAAAGGCCAGGGUACUGAGAAAGGAGAGAGAACUUGCUCUUGCCAAAAGAGCCCUGCACAGGUAUUCUACUGAUUCUAAUUAUCGGUUCUUACAUGAUCAGAUUUCAGAUUUAUUUGCUGAGCUUCUGAAAUCUGAUACAGUAUUUAAACUCCGGUGAGCUUUACAAGAUUAGUCUCGCAUCCAAUUCCAAAUGGUGUCCCACAAUUGAUUCUUCUUAUGAUAAAUCCACCUUGAUAUGUGAAAAUAUUGCUCGAAAGGUUUAUCCUCGCGAGGAAUAUCCAGAAUACUAAGGAAUUGAGGAGGCUCACUAUGUUUAUAGAGUCAGGGAUAGGUUGAGAAAACAAGUAGUUGUUCCAUUACAUAAGGCCCUGGAGUUGCCAGAGGUUUUCAUGUGUUCGAACAAGUGGGGAUCACUUCCCUACAACCCUGUGGCUUCAGUGGCCAUGAAAUCAUACAAGAGCCUCUUCUCAAACCAUGAUACAGAGCGGUUUGGUGAGUAUCUUGAGAAAGUGCAAACUGGGAAGGCUAAGAUUGCAGCUGGUGCAUUACUUCCCCAUGAGAUUAUAGCUUCAUUGAAUGAGGAGGAUGCCGAGAGAGUUGCCGAGCUUCAGUGGGCAAGAAUGCUGGAAGAUUGAUCAAAGAAAGGGAGGCUCACAAAUUGCAUUGCAGUAUGUGACGUAUCAGGAAGUAUGAGUGGAACUCCAAUUGAGGUGUGUGUGGCUCUGGGGCAGUUAGUUUCAGAGCUCAGUGAAGAUCCAUGGAAAUUAAGGUAAUGUAAUUACUUUCAGUGCAAAUCCUGAGCUUCACAAGAUCCAAGGAGACAGCCUUGUAUCCAAGACUGAAUUUGUGAGGAUGAUGGAAUGGGGUGCCAACACUGACUUUCAGAAAGUUUUGACAGAAUCUUACAAGUAGCAGUGGAGGGAAAUAUGAGUGAAGAUCAAAUGAUAAAGAGGGUUUUCGUUUUCAGUGAUAUGGAGUUCGAUGAAGCUUGUGGGAGGUAUAACUAUUGUGACUAUGACUAUGAUAUGGAGGAAAUUGACGAGAGUCAGAAGGCAUCUCAGAAGUGGGAGACAGAUUAUGAAGUGAUACAGAGGAAAUUCCAGGAGAAAGGAUACAGAAAAGUUCCAGAGAUAGUGUUUUGGAACCUUAGAAACUCAUCAGCGACUCCAGUGACGGCCACAGAGAACGGGGUGGCCUUAGUAAGCGGGUUUUCAAAGAAUCUGUUGACCUUGUUUUUGGAAGGAGGUGGAAUUCUGAUCCCUCAGGAUGUGAUGGAAUUCGCCAUCUCUGAUGAAGAUUACAAGAAACUUGUUCUAUUUGAUUAAGAUAUCAAGAGAUUUAUCAAUAAUAAUAUAUUUUUUUUCUAUGUGAAAUACAUAUAAUAUUAACUGUGGAGUUAUCAAAGUUCUGGAGGUUUAAUUAUUUCUUCUUUUCAAGUUUUGUUUAUUUAAGGUUUUCUUUGUCUUUGUUAGGAAUUCCCCUUGGGUGGACCCAGCUGGGGAGUUGGAUUGAGGAAGUAAGCAGGCGAACUUGUGUUCUUCUAUGGACAGAGAAAAAAAAUAAAAUAAAAAAAUAAAAAAGGAGGUUAUUUGCAUUUGGAUGUCGUGGUUUGAGGGUACAACUACAAGCUCGAAAUUGUACAUAAUGUGAAAACUCCUGUGUCCAUUGCUGAGAACAGCAUAAAUGAUGGUGAUUUUCAAGUUGUGCCUGGUAUUCUACAGGAUGAAACAAGAAAGGAUCCAGGUGGUAUAUUGAACAAUAUCCCAAUCAUGUUGGUGGCAUCUUUAUUUAGUUAAUGGUAUUCAUUUGGUGGAAGCUGGUUGUUUAUGAUGUUUUUAAUUUUUUUUAACAUGAAGUUCGAUCAAAUACGUAUCUUAGUAUGUUUUGUUUGAGCUAAUUGGCAAAUGCGCUUUAAACAUGGUCACAUGGAUGCAGUUUUAUUUGUGAAAUGAUAAUAGUCGAUUACUUGGUCAGUAAGGUUUAUAUCUCUAACUUCAACAUCUUAUUGUAGUCUUUUAAAAUGUCAAAAGUUUAAUGCUUGAGAAAUUUUGGAAUGGAGACAUUCUAAACAAAGUUAAUAAUCCACAAGACUUGGUAAAACCGAUCAGAUGAUGCUUACGUACAUCAAUGCCUUCUUUAAGCCAUAUCCUAUUUUCAUUGAACGGGAUGUGCCAUCUAGUUUGGUUCUUUAAGCCUCCAAAUCCUAAACCUAGUCUCAAUUUAGAGCAAAUUUAGGGUGCAGGGCCUGCAUGCCUCCCCCUCCCCCUUCCACAAAUAGUAGUGACCUUGCUAUGCCUAUGCAUUGUCAAUGCCUCAUUUUCUAUGGUCUCCAAUGUAAUAUCUUAGUUUCAAUGUCUCUUUCCUUACUAUCUCCAAUGCAAUAGAUUGAUUUCAAUACCUCUUUACAACUAAGACCUCCAAAUUUUCUUGGUUCAAACCUACCAGAAUUUUUCUUCUCCUUUGCUUUCUAUCAAUAUUAGUUCCCCUAAUUUAAUAUAUACUUCUUUAUUACCUUCAACUCUACCUCUCUUUCUUUCUCUAAAAGCUUCCUCAAAGAUUUAAUUGCUUUCUUGCAUGUUUUAAGAAAACAAACAUGCUCAUAUUACAUUACCUCUACUUGAGAUCUACCUUAUACUCUACCUUCUUUCUUUACCUCCUAUAUCAUCUACUACAUUAGCUUCAAAAAUAUUAUUUAGUUUGAUACUAAAUAAGGCUCCUAAUCCUACUCUUCCUUCAACAAACUUUCUUUUUACAAGUUCCUUAAACUUUAUUUUUUAUUUUUUAUUUUUUGGAAAUUCGGGUUAGAAAGAUUCCAUUACUCUUACCUAAUAUUUCAACCAUCAAGUUGAAUCCACUUAUUGCCUAAAUCCAAGGAGUCUGCCCUCCACAAAAACAAGGAAAUUGAUCCCACAAUAACAAGGAGAUUGCCUUCCACAGAAACAAAGAGAUCUCCCUUCACAGAAGCCGAAUACAUUGCAAUCUAUUUUCUUUCUUGUAAGAUCAAAUCUUCAAUCGAGCUCCAUCUUAUGGGGGCAUAUUAGAGAAAUUUAAUAUUAUCCUUAAUUUACAUAUUAAUAUUUAUCUAUUUAUUAUAUAUUGAAUUAAAAUAGAAUAUAGAAUUUGAAUCAUAGUAGAAGUUUACUAUAAGAUUGAAUUACAAUAGUUAAUAGAGUUUAAAUUAUAAUAACUCAAAUACAUUUAUAUAUAUUUGACCUUACGAGAUUUUCUAUUUAUGUAUUUGAACUACAAUCCUUAUGAUCCUUAGGUCUCUAUACCUUCGUGAUGGGCUCCUUGACAUUUCAUAGGUUGUGCUACACAUGCAUUUGAAAUUUAGAGUGCAUUUGACAGUGAUUCUGGGAAGUGUUUUUGGCAUUUCUAACACUUAAAAUUUUUUAUUUUUCAAGUAUUAGAAAUGCUACAAACACUUUUGAAAAUUACUGUCAAACACACUCUUAGGAGCGCAUAUAGUAGAAAACUAGAAAUUGUGGUUUUUUUAGGAUUUACUGUAAUGUCAUUAGGAGGGUAGUAAGUUGAAACUGAGUAUGAAUAAAUAUUUCUUUCUUUGGGAUGUUCUUCUGGUAGGUGCUGAUGAAACUGUUCUUUUUACUGCCAAUGUCACAUAUCAGCCAGAAAUUGAAAAUUUCAGUCAAGGUGUCCUCGGUUUUAGUGGUGAGGAAAGCUAGAAAUUUUAAGGUGAAGUUCUGUUAAAAACCUUAAGUAGCUGGGAUAUCAGGCCUGUUUUGCUUGAAAAAAAAAGUUGCAAGAUAACUCAUAUGCCAAACAGGUUCUGAUAUUGUGAAUCUAUCGGCAGACAUCAGUAAUCUCAUCUUCUGAGAUGGAUGUUGGGGGUGCAUGUGGUGGUGGAGGGGCAAGGUUUCAUUUGGUUUAUUUUGUUGAUGGAUAUUGUCUAGCCCCCUGCGCCAAGUUUGAGGGGUGGUGGGUUGUGAUGGCCCUACAAUUACUAUUAAUUUCUUCCUCUUUUACCGAUUAAAGUGUCCGAACAGUCGAAGUUACCCUUAUGCAUGUCAACUUGAUCACUUACCUCUUCAAUGGAGUUUAUGCUGGUUCAUUUAGGAACUGAUUUUUAUUGUUAUGCAUUCUAUGCUGAUGUUUAGGCCUCUCCAUCAUCACUAUAUACAAAAAUUCUAGGUUGAUACUAUAGGUUGAGAUUUAUUUUUUAAAUAAAAAAUAAUAAAAAUAAAAAUUAUGGUGAUGUUUAGUUGUUUUAUGGAAAAUUUUAACAAGUUAUUUUUGGGCAAGUUUUCAAACAAAAAGAAAAGUAAAAGUUGUUUUGACAAAAACAUAUAGAAAAAAAAAAUCAUAGAAAAGAAAUAAUUUCCCCAUAUUCUAACUUUUUUUAAUUUUUCUCAAUGGGCAAAGGAAUAUCAAAUCAAGUUUGAGUAGGAUUUCUUAAUUUUUAAAAUAACUUACAAUUAAAAAAUUUUGGUGUUUUCAUUUUUGGACAAUUUUUUAUUAAGCAAAUGGACUCUGAGUCAUGCAAGAGAUAUGGUUGAUUAAUGGGUCAAACAAUUUUUUUAAAAUAAUUUAAAACUCAAAUACAUAAUCAAUGUCACAAAAUUUAUAAACAAAAAUAGGUUUAGAGAAGAUCUACACAUAAUUUUACUUUUCUAAUUUUAUUUUAUUUUAUUUUUUUGUUGGAAAAUAGUCUUCAAAUCAUGUAAGAUUUAAUAGGUUAAAUUUGUUAACAAUAAAUUUUAAAUUAUAAAAUAUAAUCUGGAACUUAAAAAUCAAUUCAAGUAAUGCUAAAAAAAAUCAAAUUUGGUAUAGAAUGACUACGUAAAAUUUUUUACAAAACAAAUGAAUUUUAAAUCAAGUGAGAUUUAAUGCAUUAGAUUUUUAUCAAAUAUAGUAAUUUUAAAAUUUAAUUUGGAACUCAACAAUAGACACAAUAAAUACCAAAAAAUAAUGAACCAAAAUUGGUUUGGAAUAACUCCACAACCUCUUUUUUUUUUUUUUGGUGCACACGAAUUUUCUUACUAGGUAUAUUGCUUUCAAAUUGAGAAAGAUUUACUAUUUAGAUUUUUUUUUUUAAUGAGUUUAAUGGUAUUUUAAAAUAAUUCAAAAUUUCAAAAAUUGACUAAUUACUAUUAUAAAUUCAUAAACCAAGACUAAUUCAAAAUGCAUUGGGGGCUAAGGGGGUUGAAAAUAGGGACAAUGGGAUGGGUUUGGGACAUGACACUCAUAUCUCAUUUCCAUUCCAAUUACAUAGUUAUCUCCCAUCCUUAUCCCAAACUUGUGUUGGAGCAAGUUGAUUUGUUCCCAUCUUUGUUGAUGAAAUGACUAAUAACCUCAUCCCCUCCUUAUCUUAGAUGUACAUUUUGUCAAAUUUGAUCAGGUAUGAUUGAUCCAAGCCCUAACCCUAAUUGGUAAUGACUGGAUACUACACCUAAUUGCAUUCUUCUUUCGUCGCAAAAUAAUGAGAUUAUAAUAAUCUAGCAAAUAAGAAAAAAUAGUAUGGAAGUUCAAUUUAACACCAUAACUAUCAAUAAUUUUAAGCUUAUAGAUGACUUAAAUGAUUAAAAACUAAUGCAAAAUACCAAAAAAAAAAGUUCAUAUAAAGAAUUCACAAGAGAACAAAAUGAACAAAAACCAAAUAUGAACAUGGGUCAACAUUAGUUAUGGAUUUGGAUUCCUUUCAAGGCCAAUCUUUGAACCAAGACUUCAUCAAAUCUACUACUUCAAAGGCUUUUGUGUUCUUCUUGGGUUGUGCUCUCAAACAAAGACUUCAAGGUGAUGCUCUAGAUGAUUGCAUUACACAUAUUUAGGGUGGAGAGAUUGGAGAAGCUUGAAGAUGCCAACGAUGGGUACAAUUGAGUGGUCAAUAAGAACAAUGUAGCCUAUGACUAGUUUGAUGUCGUGGUACAAGAGUUUUAGGCAUUGAGGUUAAAGCAAGAGCAACAUGGAAUUGAUUUUGGAGUCUUUCAAUUAGUGUAAAGGAGGAAGAAGUGGUAUUGAUUCUAGAAAUAGGGUUUUAGGUGGUGCGUUAGAGGAUGAAGAAGAAGAAAAAGAAGGAUCUGUUGGAAUUAGUGUGAGUGUGAAGAGAGAAGUAUAUAAAUAAGGGGAAGUAAAAGCAAAGUUCUAAAAGCUAUAUUUUUUUUUAUUGUUGGUGUAUGGUUGCAUGAUUAUCCCUAUAAAUAAUAGGAGUUUUUUUGGUAUUCUACUAGUAGUUGAAGGAUAAUUUCAUAAAUUUAUAUUUAGAGUGGGGUGGGGUGAGUUGUGACAAAAUUCAUACCCGUCCUAAACCUUGGUUCAGAUUUUUAAAAUAUCCUCAAACUUAUCAUAUACCCAACUUUUAUAUUUCAUACUUGUCUUGAUAGAGGCAGGUUAGGCCGGGUUACUUGAGUAACCUACAUAAUUGUCAUCCCUAGUUGAAAUACACUUUUUUGGCAGUGGCCACCAACUGAGCUAGAAGCUUGAUCGAUUGACCUACAAGAUUAGUUCUCAUCAUUUUAAAAAAAGUUUUGGCCUUGGUUGUGAGUGCAAUUGAAUCUAAACUGGCAUUUCCUUAAUGCAUCUACUUCAAUCCUAAAUUUCUUACUUCCUAAGCCUCAAUUGUUGUUAGGAUUUUGGAAAGCCCAUUUCCUUAAAUUGUAAAUUUAAGAAAAAAUAAAAUAAAAGUGAGACAUUUCUUGAUUGAAUAUUGUUAAAGGUCCCUUGGCAUUAAGACUUGGUUGAAGCCUUGGAAGAUUAGUGGAACUCUCAACUUGUGUUUGAAUCUUGAGGAGAGUGGACGUAAGCCAAAAUUUUGUCAAACCAUUAAACAAAUUGAGUUUGAAUCCUCAUUUCUUGAUUUCUUAUUUAUUUGCUUUUUCUUAUUAUUACUUGAAUUGUCAUUUGCAUUCAUUAAUGUUAAAAUUGGUUAUAAUUAACCAACACUAAUUCUCUUUCCCCUUCCCUUUCUUGGGUGUAAACCUAGGUUGGAUUAACUAGAUUAAUUUAUAAAAUCUAUUAAGAUGGUAAAAGAAUAAUUAUUCUUAACACACAUAAGAUCAUCUUCAAUCAAAUGACUCAUUGGCUAAUAUGUUGAAUUUGCUUAUUACUUGCAACUCAAAAUUGUGUUCUAGUUGAUAUGUCAAGUCCCCAGUGUAUGGACAUUAAAUUUGUAGUACGUGAUGGUAAUUAGAUGGUCCAACUCCAAGAAAGUGAUUGAAAACUAGUUCAAGAAAGGUGCAAAAGGGAAUUGUUUUGGUAUUUUCGUUUUUAUUCUUGAAGGUGGCAGAGCUAAAAUUUGUGAAAUCAAGCAAAACAUACUGAAAUUACAUUGAAAGAAAGAAAAUGGGAGUUAAUGUCUUGCAGUAGAUGAUAAGGACUUCAUGCAUGUAGUAUGACCCAUGUCUUGGACUGAUGCCAACUCACGGUUACACUUAUACCCUUGGUUCUCUCUUUACUACCUUGGCUAACCUAGAUCAGGCUAUGAGAUAGGCUCCUCACCACACCAUUACUUGCCCAUUAAUUAGAGACAUUUUCAAGCACUGAGGUAACAUGGUGACACCAAGAGGGUUUAUUCCUCGCCCUCCUCGCCCUCAACAAGUCUAGACUUGGUCUCAAAAAAAUGGAGAAAAAUGAGGUGUCGUUAUGUAGAAAUACAACAACCAUGCCUUCCUCAUUACUUUGAUUCAGAAUGUGAAGGUGAAAUUGAGAAACAGAAACUCUUGAAACCAAAAUGAAAAUUGAUACUUUUACGAAGAAUUACAACAACAUUGGAGGAAGACUACAUUCUUCCUCUUUAUUCCUACAUUUCUACACUACUUCUACUCCACUCCAUAUUUCUACAUACAUCUUUAAUCAGUCUUCCCUCCUUUAUAUAGAGCCAUCUUCACACAAAUUCCGCAAGGUAGAAAAGAGGAAUGAAACUUGGAGCAAGGUUCGACUACUGGCUGUAGCUUGUCAAGGCUGGAAGUGAACCUUUUUUCUUGGCUUUUCUGGGCAUGGGUAGUAACUUGUGGGUUCCUUUUUGGGAUACAAAUGGCUAGAACAUGUGGCACUAUCUUGUUGGAUGAUGUGUCAAGCAUGUGGCAGCCAUCUAGUGGCGAUUAUGUCAAUUUUGGGAUGGAGAGUUGGCAUCCAAUUGCAAAGAAAUAUGACGUCUACCAACAGGCAAUGUAAACCUAUGUAGAUCAUAUGAAGAUAGAGAGGAAAAAUAUAGAAAUGGAUAUAUACCUAGAACUAGCUUUUUAUUAAAUGAAACGGAGAGCCAACAAUGAAGGAAAAUAAAUUUUUUUGGCUUAUAUCAAAGAGUUCACAUUGUGCUACCCUAGGUUUUCUUAAAACUUACUUUUAUGAUAACAAAAAAAAAAAAAAACAUUAUUGUUUAAUCCUUUGUUUUAAACGCAUGUUUAGCAAGUUAUAAAAUGUAAAAAUCUUUCUAAGUUCAAAUAUGAAGAUAUGACAUCAUUUCAAGCAAGAUAGUCUCUAGGAAUUAAUGUAAAGCUAAAUUAAGGUGAAAUUAAAUUAGUUCAAUGCAUUAAUUUAAGAAACUUGACCUAUCAAAAGUACAAAAUUAGAUGAAAUCCAUUUCAAUGGUUAAAAUGAUCAAAAUCAAACUUUUUCUAAGUAUUUUUUAAAAGUAUCAAUAUUGAAAGACAAUUUUAUAUUUAGUCAGAGUUUGGACAAAACCAAAAAGCACACAAAAUCCAAGCGACCAUCUCUAGCUUGGAUGGUCGCUUGAUCUCUAGCUUGUGUACUUGGAAAGCAACAUCGAGAUGAUAUAUAUAUAUAUAUAUAUUUUAUAUAAUAUUGUUUGUCCAAAUUCCCUAAAAAUUAGGCCACCACAUGUUCAUAAUUCUCCCUUCUUGAAUUUGAAAACUCGGACAAUUGGACAAUGCGACACCUAAGUCCGGUUUCUAAAUGCUAAAGUGAAAGGGUAGGUAUGGACCAUUGAAAUGUGAUCACAACUUUUCUCUGUAGCCAUGUUGUCUCUUUUUUCUUUUGCAUGAUUUUCUCACCUUAACAGAAUCAUAGACUUGUUUAAUCUCUAAAUGGGAUUAAUUUCAUCCAGCUUUAAGCUACUAUAUUAUAUCUAGGUGGAGGACUUUUAAGAGUGCAACCGACAUAGAGCACAUGCAAGUGGGUAUAUGGGACAUGAAAUUUCUUCUUAUAAAGAUUGCAUGAUUUUUAUAUUAGAGUUGUUGGGGCGCAAUGUAUGUAGCUUGUUUUGCAGUUAAAUUAAUUGGAUAAGUAGACAUUGGCGUUUCUAAAUCUACUGUGAAGUGCUUCAUGUACGUGUGAAGUAUUAGAAAUUUCUUUCUUGGCAACUUGUUUUUUCUUUGCGGUCUACUGAUAGGUUUGACUAAAAUUAUAUUCCCUGUCAUGCUAAUUAAUUUUCACGUGCAUGCUCAAAAGAAGAGUAUGACCUUAGUGCACCAAAAUCACUUUGAUUAAUUUGUGAUAGGUUUUUGUGCAUCAUGACAUUAGCCUUAUUCAUUUAGAUAAUGUUUAGUUUUUAGAAAGUAUUAAGAAAAGGAAAAUAAAUAUUAAGAAAAAUAUUCUUAUAUUUGAUUGUAUUAUGAAAAAUGUCAUAAAAAAAUCAAAUAUAAUUUAAAUUAAUUAAUAAUUUAUACAUUUUCAAAUUAUUUAAUCUUUAUAUUGAAGAUAUAAUAUAAAUGAAAUGAGUUUUAAGUAUUAUAUAAAAGUGAUUUAUUGAUCUUGCAUAUAUGUAUUUCUUUUUUUUUUCUUCUAUUUUUUUUCUUUAUUUUAUUUUCCUUAUGUUUUCCUCAACAUUUUCCGGAACCAAACAUAGCCUUAGGAAAUCCACAAUUACCUUCAACUGAGUAUAUUCGGUUGUUUUAGCAAUGUUAGGCUGCUAACUUGUGUUGGUACGAACCUGUUAAGCCUAAAGAUGUAAUUAGUUAGGAUAUUCUUUUCCCUCUAGUCUUGUAGCUCCACGUGUAUAGUUGGUUAGGACCUCAUUGUAUAUAAUGCCUGCCCUGUUAUUGUUGAAGACAACAGAGAUAAAUAAUAUUAACAUUUUUCCUCUCAUCUCUCUUUGUUUCCCUCUGUUUUCAUCUCCUCUCUCAUCUUGGUAUCAGAGCCUCCAUGGAUUCUUUCAAAGAAACCUCCGAAUCACCUUCUGCUAGCAUUGUUAAUGUGCAAAACCCAUUAUCUCAGUCAAACAACCUUCCUUCACCAGCAGCCACACCCUCUUUUUCUUUCUUGUCUAUGAAUCAACCUCUCACAGUGAAGCUGGAUAAUGGAAACUACCUCAUCUGGAAGAAUUAGCUUCUGAAUGUCAUCAUUGCGAACAGACUCGAUGAUUUCAUUUAUGGAACUCGACCCUGCCCUCCUUGAUUUCUCAAUCUGCAACAACAAACCCUCACUCCAGAGUACUCGGUCUAGCAGAGAUACAAUCGACUUCUAAUGAGUUGGCUGUACGCAUCCUUGUCCGAAGAUAUAAUGACUCAGAUUGUUGGGUAUUCAACAACUGUGGAGAUUUGGAACGUCCUUAAUCAGAUUUACUCUGCCUCUUCAAUGGCGUGGGUUACCGAGCUUCACACCAAGCUUCAAACGCUCAAGAAAGAUGGACUCUCAGUUGGUGAAUAUAUUCAAAGGCUCAAAUCCAUUUGCAAUAGUCUUGCAGCAAUAGGAGAACUAGUUUCUGAGAAAGACCAGCUUAUCUAUUUGUUCAAUGGAUUAUAUUGUGAGUAUAAUUCUUUUGUUACCUCCAUUCAAAAUCGAUCUGACCAACCAACUAUUGAGCAAAUCCAUAGCCUAUUGCUUAGCUAUGACUUUCGGCUUGAACAACAAAACUCUGUUUCUCUCCAUUAUGCCCAAGUCCGUAUGGCUCAUCUGAACAAGAAACCUUAUAAAUCAACUCCUCAACCUACAUUCAAUCAUAUUCACAUUCAACCUAGAUACUCUUCUCCACCUUUUAAGCCAACCACUAGUCAAUAUCAACCCAGGAUUUUGGGCAAACCACAACCACAACCAUGACAGCCUCAACCUCAAUGGAAACCACAUUUUUCAAUCCAGAAUCAAAAGCCUCAGUGCCAAAUUUGUGGUAAAUUUGGACACACUGCUCUUAUUUGCUUCCAUUGCACAAAUUUGAACUAUUCACCCCAACCUUCUCCUAAAUCUUUCAAUACUGUUCUCACCACAAAUUCCCAGCUCCCUAAUCCUCCAAAAUUUUCUUACCCUACAAUGGCUCAUCCUGCUGCUACGCAUAACACGAUUCCUGAUACAAAUUGGUACAUGGACUCAGGUGCUACACAUCACUUUACUCCGGACAUCAACAUGCUUGACACUGUGACACCAUUUAGUGGUUUAGAACAGGUGACAGUUGGGAAUGGUAAGCAACUCUGUAUCUCACAUCUUGGUACUGCAAAACUACCAUCCUCGUAUUCUCCUCUUGUUCUACAUCAGGUAUAUCACACUCCAAAAAUUUCAAAUAAUCUUAUUAGUGUUAGAAAAUUGUGUUCUGAUAAUAAAGUUUUUGUUGAAUUUUAUGCCACUCAUUUUCUUAUCAAAGAUCAAGUUUCGAAGAGAGUUCUCUUUCAAGGUCAACUUGAUAAUGGCUUAUACAAAGUUCAGUCGUCAUGCUCUCCUUCUACUAUUUCCUUUCAUCCUCAAGUUUUCAUAGCCAACAUCAAGGAUCAAAAUUUGUGGCACAAGAGACUAGGCCACCCAGCUUUAUCUGUUAUUAAUCAAAUCUUGGAUUCUUGUAACAUUGCUCGAACACAGAAAAUUGGUUUUAAUUUUUGUAGUUCUUGUCAAUUAGCAAAAAGCCACAGGCUUCCUUUUUCUCUGUCUCCAUCCAUUGCAGAAAAACCUUUUGAGUUAAUUCAUACAGACCUAUGGGGUCUUUCUCCUGUUCGCUCUAUUUCUGGUGCUCGUUAUUUUUUACUUUUCAUUGAUGAUCAUACUCGUUUUACUUGGUUUUAUUUGCUCAAAACAAAAGAUGAAGCAUAUCCUACUUUUCUCAAGUUUCAAGCUCUCAUUGAAAAUCAAUUUAAUACCAAGAUUAAGGUUGUCCAAUCUGAUUGGGGAGGUGAGUUUCGAUCUCUCUCCAUACUGUUUUCAAAUAUGGGCAUUGUCUAUCGUUUAUCAUGUCCAUACACCUCACAACAGAAUGAGUGGGUUGAGCGAAAAAAUCACCAUGCGGUUGAAAUGGGAUUGUCCUUUCUUGCUCGCUCGGGUAUGCCCUUAUCUUAUUGGCCUUAUGCCUUUCAAACUGCCACUUACCUUAUUAAUCGUCUCUCUACCCCUGUGCUGCACCAUCAAUCCCCUUACUUCGCACUCUAUCACAAAUUCCCAGCUUAUACUCAUCUUAAGGUCUUUGUUCCUCUUGUUUUCCAUAUUUACGCCCUUAUAAUACCCAUAAACUCCAAUACAGGUCACUGGAGUGUGCUUUUCUUGGUUGCAGUUCACACCACAAAGGUUAUCUAUGUCUUGACAUUCAUUCUAGCAGGGUGUAUAUUUCUCGCCAUGUGAUUUUUAAUGAAGAUUCUUUUACAUUCAAGAAUUUGAAAUCUUCUCUCUCUUAGUCUAUUUCUUCUUCCUCUUCUUUAUUAGUUCCUCUGUUCAUUUCCUUGCCUCCCCUCUCCCCAUAUCCUCCUAUUUCUCCAUCUAUAUCUCAUUCUUUUCUCUCUUCUUCUUCUACCUCUAGUACUUGUUCCCCUCUCGUUGCUCCUACCUCUCUUCCUCCCUCUUCACACUUUGUGUCCCAUCUAUUCCACCUCCUUCUCCACCUUCUUCGAGUGUGGACCUGCUUGUACCUUGUGUGAAUACAAAUUUACUUACUUUUUCUCGCACUCACAAUAUUCAUCCUAUGGUGACCAGAUCUAAGGGUUUGUAUCUAUAAACCUAAGUUGCUAUUGAGUGUCUCCAUAGGUUCUCUCACUAAGCCUACUUCCUUUCUUCAAGCUAUUAAAGAUCCUUCAUGGAAGCAAGCCAUGGAAUUGGAGUUUGCUGCCCUUCAACACAACAAGACCUGGCAUCUAGUUCAUUCACCUUCCUCAGGCAAAGUAAUUGGUUGUAAAUGGGUCUAUAAGAUAAAGCUUUAGCCUGAUGGCUAAUUGAGAGAUACAAGGCCCGCUUAGUAGCUUAGGGUUAUCAUCAAACUGAAGGUAUUGACUACUUCGAAACAUUCAGCCUGGUUGUCAAGCCUUCUACUACCGUAUUGUGCUCAGUCUUACUUUUUCCCAGAAUUGGUGUAUUAGACAGCUGGAUGUUCAUAAUGCCUUCUUACAUGGUGACUUAGCUGAAGACGUUUUCAUGGAACAACCACCUGGAUUUGUUGAUCCUCUCUAUCCUACUCAUGUCUGCAAGUUGGAUAAGUCUCUCUACGGUCUUAAUAGUCACCUCGGGCUUGGUAUACUAAGCUGAGUACUUCUCUACUACACUUGGGAUUUGUUACUUCUAAGAAUGACUCUUCCUUAUUUAUUUGUCAUUCGUCUCAUGGGUUACUUCUUGUUCUUGUCUAUGUGGAUGAUAUAAUCGUCACUGGGAGCCACUCUCCUCAAGUUACUCACCUUAUCCAAUAGUUGCAUCAUCAGUUUUCUUUAAAGGAUCUUGGUCAUUUACACUAUUUUCUGGGCUUGGAGGUUCAUCACACCCCUACUGGUAUUCACCUCAGCCAAGCAAAGUAUAUCACUGAUCUCCUUACCCGGGCGGCUAUGUUGGAUGCCAAGCCAUGUCCCACUCCUAUGUCCUCCAACACAUAUCUUUCUCUUCAUGAUGGAGUGGCUCUUGAAAAUGGUUCAGAUUAUUGAAGUUUUGUUGGUGCCCUUUAGUAUUGUACCAUGACACGCCCAGAUAUAGCUUUUGCAGUAAAUAAAGUGUGUCAAUUCAUGCACCAUCCCUCUGAUGUUCACUGGCAGGCUAUAAAACGUAUUCUCCAGUACUUAAAGGGCACAUCUCAUUUUGGUCUCUUCCUACAGCCUUCCUAUGACUUCAACAUCACUUGCUAUACAGAUGCCGACUGGGCUUCCUGCCUUGAUGACAAGUGUAGCACCAGUGGCUACUGCCUCUUUCUUGCCUCUAAUCUGGUUUCUUGGUCAUCUUCCAAACAAAAAGUGGUCUCCCGCUCCAGCGCCAAAUCAGAGUACCGAGGGGUAGCAAAUGGGGCUGCUGAAAUUGCUUGGACUGAAUCUCUUCUUUGUGAACUUUCCACCCACUCGACCUCCCCUCAUUGUCUGUGACAAUAUCAGUGCCACAUACUUAGCUGUCAAUCCUAUUUUGCAUGCCCGCACCAAAACAUGUGGAAAUCGACUAUCACUUUGUCUCGGAACGUGUUCUUCAACGCUCUCUCUCUCUCCAGUUUACACCUUCGGAUGAUCAACUUGCUGAUUGCAUGACCAAGCCUCUCUCCACCCAACGUUUCAUCACUCUACGCUCCAAGCUCACUGUUCUCACUAGACCAAUGAGCUUGAGGGGGGAUGUUAAGCCUAAAGAUGUAAUUAGUUAGGAUAUUCUUUUCCCUCUAGUCUUGUAGCUCCACGUGUACAGUUGGUUAGGACCUCAUUGUAUAUAAUGCCUGCCCUGUUAUUGUAGAAGACAACAGAGAUAAAUAAUAUUAACAUUUUUCCUCUCAUCUCUCUCUCUGUUUCCCUCUGUUUUCAUCUCCUCUCUCAUCUGAACCAAAUGAUCCAUGUUAACCUUGGCUUGGUUUGAUUUGGCUCUAUCUUAGAGAGCUCAAGGAUCACGUCAACUCUGGUUUCUACUAUUCAGGUCCAUUCCCAUAUGAACUGGUUCAAAUUUGAGAAAAUGGUAACAGACCUUUAGUGAUGUUGGUUUGGAGCCAGUUGCCAAACCCGCCCUGAGCUUUACCACUAAUGUCAAGGGAGAAAGCCUUUUGAACAAAAACAAUAGCUUCAAGAGACUGAAUCGUGGAUGAAAUCUGAUCCACAUUUCUUCUCAUUUUGGAAACAAAUGAGAACUUAACUAAGAAGAUUCUACGGCCUCAUAGUGCUUUUCCUGAUCUAAGGUUGGUUCGUUUCCCAAAUUGUGAGAUGCACGGGCCAGACUUCAGAACUCUCACGCUCAGGAGUGUAUCCACGUGGUGGACAUAAGAUGGUGGCUUAAGAUCUGGUGUCGGUGGCUUUACUUUACUAGGAGAGUAGUGUGUCUUCAUCUCAUUCACUGCCGGAGGGUGGCGUAAGCAGUGACGCUAAGGUGGGGCAUAGUCAAUAUCAUUUGCAUUUGACCAUUAUAGUUUUCUCCCGGCUUGAAAGUAACCUUAUCGUGAUAAAGGAUUACUAGCACUAGUUCAGAUGACAGUCAUGUUAAAUUCGGACCAUGUUUGUGUCACAUUAUCAGCAACCAUGUGUUUAUGGUUCAUGCUUUCUGCAACUGAAAUUGAAAUUGAUAUAUAACCAGGUGAACUUCAAUCUAAAUUCUGGAAGUACUCAUGUGAGCGAUGGUGCCCAUCUGCAGAGUCCAUCAAUUGAAAAAUGGAGUGAGUGUAUCUAUAAGAGGGAAGGCUUGGCAAAUGUCCAGUUUUCUGGGAAUUCAACAAGGAUCUAAAAUAGAUUGUUUUCUUUGCUGAUUUCAAUGGUUGAAAUUUGAGAAGAUUGUGUCCCACAUAACACAACUAUUACUGGUCCUUCUGUUGCAAUUUAUCCUCUAAGGCUCUAGCAUGUCUUCCAAUUCCCACUUCCCUGUUACUCCAGGAAAGCUAUUUCUGUCAUUGUGAAGAAGAAAAGAGAAUGUAGAUAUCGAUGCUUUUAAGUGACUGGAGCAUUCAUAUCAGGUGGUCUGCAGCCAUAUAUGCCACUUUGUGAAGAUUGGAACAGUCAAUCACUAGGCUAUAUAUUAGUGUGGCCCAGCCACUUUAAUCAAGGACAAUUCUUCAUACUUAAAAGUCAAAUUCUGCCUUUAGUCUCAUUAUAAAUUGCUGUUUAAAUAUUAAGCAAACAUUUGUUUAAUGCGAUUAAGACAGUACUAACUCAAUACUUGUUCUAUUUUUGGAUGGAAAUGCUUGAUGGUUUCAUCAUUGGAUGGGAUAAAGGUGCAUUCAUGAUUAUGAAUACUUGUAGUUAUAUUUUCAUUCUCUUUUUUCUCAAUGAGACUUGUUGGCACAAUUUUUCUGUUCAGAAACCUACCUCUCCAUGGAAAAUAAGUUGUGAUUGAUAGUACUGGAUAUAUUCAAGAAAGCUAAAUAUAGAUAGCACAAAAUAUUAUCGACAUAAAUAGCAUUAACAGCGUACGUAUGUCUCAGUGCUCAUCAGCCAUAAGCAUGGGGCAAACACUUACGAUGAGCAACUUACGUCAAAAUUCCAGAAUAGGACAUAGAAGUGACAGAUCUAUAUAUAUAGAACACUGCAUAAGAGUCACAAGAAAGGAAAUUACGGGUGCAUAGCAGCUCUUAUUUCACAUACUACUCAUACUGAUCAAAGUCACUCAGUUGGGAUGGGUGGGAGUAGGAGGUUUGUGGGGUGGCUUGUGCGGAGGAGUUGGCAGCUUCUUUCCAGGACCUGGUGGCUUCUCUCCCUUAGGUGGUUUGCCAACUGGGGUUGGUGGCUUGUAUGAGUCUUCAGCAUUCUCUGCAGGAGGGUGACCAGGGUUGUGACCAUAAUGUGGUGGCUUCUCUCCCUUAGGUGGUUUGCCAACUGGGGUUGGUGGCUUGUGUUCUGGGAGUGGCUUCUCCCCCUUGGGAGGUUUUUCCAAUGGGGUUGGUUUGUGUUCAGGAGGUGGCUUCUCCACUGGAGGCUUGUGUUCAGGAGGUGGCUUCUCCACCGGAGGCUUGUGUUCAGGAGGUGGCUUCUCCACCGGAGGCUUAUGCUCUGGUGGUGGCUUCUCCACCGGAGGCUUAUGCUCUGGUGGUGGCUUCUCGAAUGGGGGAUGCUUAGGGUAAUCAGCAAGUGAGGGGGCGGUGAGAACCACCAGGCCAAGCAAGACCACUAGCAAGUAUGUAGGAGACAUCUUUGGGUUUAGACUCAGAUGGUGCAAAACUAGGAGAAUUGUCUUUUAUAGCGGAUCGCACCCAAUAAUGAAAUGACACGUGUCUUUAUGACCCAUGUGUAAUGGGGUCGAUUUGGGUCCUACAGUGUUGAAAACUUCGACAUCCACUUUUGGCCUUUUGCUUUCUCUACAGCCGCCUUGCUUUUUCCCUCUUUCCUUUUGUUUUCCUCCUGCCCCAUUCUAUCAACUAAACACAAUUAUGUAGUUGUUUAAUUCUUAAAUGAGAUAUUAUCCGUCAAUCGUAUCAUAUUUUAUCAACAGAGAACGGAGUGCAAUGUGGCAAUCCAAAGAAAGAAGAUCCAUAAUGCAGCUGUAAUUUUAUCGUUUACUUUUAUCUCUUGGACCACUGCAUUUUUGUUAAGAGGUGCAAUAAUACACGUCUUUAUCUGCCAUUCAAUGUUUACAGUAAAGAGAGGGCACAAAACUCUUCACUGCUCUGCAUGUGUCCCAAAAAUGCAAUUGGACAAAUUAUGAUUUGCAUGCUAAAAAGAGGCAAAUGAGGUUAAUUCGCACCAUAAUUAUUUUGUUUUCUGGACCCCGGGGCCCUUUGGUUGGUUUGGGGGUCAGAAAAUGAACAUCAUAGGGGGUUUUUCCCUUAUGUGCAUUUGUAUCUGAUGGCUUUAACUCGCCUUGUUACUACAAAGAAAUUGUCACAUAUAGGAACUUAUUCCAGGCUGAGUAUCUCCGCAUAGACCCUAUAAAAGAAGACAAGUCAUAAUGAACAUCUAACCUUUGUUCAAUUUGAUUCAAUGCCCCAUUGUGUCCACCUCACAAAUCUGAAUUAUUAUAUCCAUUGAAUACAUAAAUUAAUGAAGAAAAUAUGAAACCCAAGAUACAUCUCUGCACAACCUCAACCCUGGUUGCUAUGUUUCCCUUCUAUUCACAUGAGGAUAUUGAUUACGGAAUAGGGAAACCUAGCAAGGGUUUACUCGGCUCUGGUUUGAUGCUAAUUGCCAAACUUGCAACAAGCCCUGAGUUUGAAGCUCACAGAAGAUGUUAUACAGGCAGGGAAAAACCUUCAGAGUUCGCUGCCAAAGAUAAUUAUUAAGGAGAUAUCACCAAGAGAAUUCCAAGGAGUCUGAAUCAAAGACAAAUUGGUCGUUCGUGGAGGUUCUUACUUUCUUUUGGGUAUAACUCACUGAGGGCACUGUCUUUUUUAUUUUCAUUUCACAUUUAGAGUUCUGUUCUGGAAACAUAUAAAAGGAGCAUCAGUUUGUUCUUGGGUAACCCAUAGUCGUGAGUGGGUCCAUUUGCAUGCUACUUAGUUGAAAAGUUGGACCAUUUGCUCCGACGCCUACCUCCUGGAUUCCAUGCUCGGAUAAAACAAGAAUAAAAAAAUAUUUAUAAUUUACAAAUGGGGGAAAGAAAAAAAUGUCAACAACAAACUAGGAAAAAAGAGUAGUAAAAUUCAUGUCACAUGCUAGUGAGAGAAGGGGUUGUUACACUCACUCGAAGUUCUUUUCAAAAUAUCGCAUGGUAUUUUAUUUUAUGUGUGAGCGCAGUUGUGAAUGGAACGUGCAAAAGUCCAAAUUGGUGACCUUUAAUAAAUAUUUAAAACAAAAAACGAAAAAAAGGAGGGAAAAGGGAUCAGAAAAGAUAAAACAAUGUGUACAAAAGCUCAAUUAGUUUGCAAAUUACUGUUUGGAUUUUGAUAGUAUUUUAUUUGAUGUAAAAGAGAAUUUAAGAUAUUUCCGAAACAAAAGCAUUAGUUUGCUCCAUGUCAAUUUCGGCAUUUCUCAUAUGUUUCACACAUACACAGAAGAGCAUCGUUUUUUAAAGCAUGCAUUUAUGUUGGAUUAAUUUGGAUUUUGUGGGAACUGGGGCAAGGAUCACAUGGAAGAGAGGUUGACUUUUUUCAGUACUUCAAUGGUUGAGACAGGUGAAGGCCUGAUUGAUACUGAAGCCUGAAAUUGCGACUCCGUCAUUUGUCAAAACAUAUGACAGCUUCCAUGCUCUCGUUUGGUUGCAUUGUUCUGUGGUCAUGCAUACAUGCCACUUAGUGAUCAGUCUGUAACUGUCAAUCAUUGGGCUUUGACUGAACAACAUCAGCCAUGUAUAAAUACUUGCAAAUCAAACGGUCUUCUUCCUCCCAUAAGGAAUUUCGGUUUAAUUAUGAAGCAUGCAUUUGGCUGACCAUCAUAAACCACUUCUUUAAAUUGAUGAAUGAUAGUUUUUCAUUCAUUCUUUCAUUCGUUCAUAUACAGAGUAUAUAUAGAGGGUAAUCAUCAUUCUAAGAAUGGGAAAGAAUGAUACAAGGAAAUAAUGAUAUAAAGAAAUAACAACUAAUAUUCUAAUAUCUCAACUUUCCUAAUAUCUAAACAUUCCUAAUAUCUCAACACUAAAUGAUAUAAAGAAAGAAUGAUAUAAGGAAAGCAUUCCUAAUAUCUCAACACUCCUCCUCAAGUUGGUGCAUAGAUGUCAAACAUGUCCAACUUGUCUAAAAAUUUUGAGAACAGUUGACUUGAGACAUCUUUGGUGAGGAUAUCGGUCAAUUGAUCUUCUGAUCGAAUCUUAGGCAAUUCCACAAUCUUAUCAUCCAACUUUUCCUUAAUGAAAAAUCUAUCCAUCUCGACAUGCUUUGUACGAUCAUGUUGUACUAGAUUAUGAGCAAUGUCACAUGCUGCUUUAUUGUCACAAAACAAUCGGAUUGGUUGCCUAGAUAGGUAACCUAAAUCCUAUAAGAGGAGUCUUAGCCAUAAUGCCUCACAAAGUCCUAAAGUCAUACCUCUAAAUUCCGCUUCUGCACUUGAACGAGCGACGACAUUUUGCUUCUUACUUUUCCAUGUCACAAGAUUACCACCUACAAAGGUAAAGUAACCAGAUGUAGAUCGCCUAUCAUCCACUGCACCGACCCAAACAGCAUUAUACUUCUAUACUCUGAUGAUCAACAUUUUUAGCGAACAAAAUUCCCUUCCUAGGAGCAUUCUUCAAAUACCUCAAAAUACGCAUGACUACAUUCAUAUGUUGCUCUCCAGGAUUAUGCAUGUAUUGACUCACUACACUCAAUGUAUAAGCAAGAUCUAGUCUUGUAUGAGCUAAGUACAUUAAUCUCCCCACAAGUCUCUGGUAUCUUCCCUUAUCGAUUGAUACUUGAUUAGGCUCAACACACAAUUUCAGACCUUCUUCUAUUGGUGUAUUAAUAGGUUGACAUCCCGACAUUCCAGUUUCCUGUAGAAGAUCUAAGGCAUACUUUCUUUGAGACAGAAAAAUUCCUUCACUUGAUCGAGAAACUUCAAUCCCAAGAAAGUAUUUCAGACGACCAAGAUCUUUCAUUUCAAAUUCUCUAGAUAGAUACUUUUGCAAAGCUUUUCUUUCUUCAGGAUCAUUUCCUGUAACUACAUGUCAUCCACAUAUAUCAUAAGUGUCGUAAUCUUACCAUGUUGCUUUUUCAAGAACAAAGUGUGAUUUGAAUUACUUUGAUGAUAGCCAAAAGCUCUCAUUGAUUUUGUGAACCUUCCAAACCAUGCUCUCGGGGAUUGCUUCAACCCAUACAAUGACUUCUUCAAUUCGCACACCUUCUGACAUUGCUUUUCUGACACCAUGCAUCCUGGUGGAAGAUCCAUAUAUACUUCUUCAGAUAAAUCGCCAUGCAGAAAGACAUUUUUUACAUCGAACUAUUGUAAUGGCCAAUCUAGGUUUGCAGCUAAAGACAAUAAUACUCGAACUGUGUUGAUCUUAGCUACAGGUGCAAAUGUCUCUGUGUAGUCAAUUCCAUAAGUUUGAAUGUACCCACUAGUCUUGCUUUAAAUCGUUCAAUACUACCAUCUGCCUUGUACUUCACAGUAUAGAUCCAACGACACCCAACUAGCUUCUUUCCUGGUGGACAUUCUACGAGUUCCCAUGUUUCAUUUUUCUGCAAUGAUUUCAUCUCUUCAUUCAUGGUUGCUUUCCACUUUGGAUCAGCUAAAGCUUCCUGCACACUAUUAGGAAUAGCUACAGUAGAUAAUUGAUUUACAAAUGACUUAUUUGAUUCAGACAAACCAUGGUGUGGACCCGCAUUUUUCACGUGCGCCUCUACUCGAUCGGCGAGACUCGCUUUCUAUUUGUGAAAAAUUAAUUUUAGAAAAGUUGGAGUCGCCACCUAUUUUAUUUUUAUUUUGAAGGGAAAAUAAAACAAGAAAGAAAAACCCUAAAAAGUGACUCCAUAGUUUUGGAAAAAGCAUGUCUUUGGGAAACCUGAGUCUAGGUCCGGGGAUCAUGUUACUUAUUGGGAAGGUACCUCUAGGAGGUAGCACCCCUCUAAGCCUUAUGAAGGUCUCUACUAACUAAAUUAAGGGAAGUGUGGCAAUAAAUCGAUUGAUCAUAGAUACCUAAGUAGACUAGGUGAUUUUAAAGUGUGGCAUGUCAAACACAAUCAAAUUGCAAUAAAGGAGAGUUAGGGCGCGUACCUGAACCGCUUCUCAAGCGCUAUCAUAAAACAUCAAUGGUUAAUUUAAAUAAUAUAUCAUCCAGCAUGUAUUUUAUUAGAAAUAAUCAAACAAUGAAACAUGUAUAUCAGAACACUCAAGCAUUAUUAGACAUAAGCAUUAUUUCACUAUUCACAGAAUUCAGAAAGUAGGUGAUAGAGGACAUACCUGGAUAGCAUAGAUAAUUUGUAAUGUGCUUCCUCAAGUUGUAAGGGGUUAGAUAACAAAUAAUAAAAUAUAGAAAUCCUAGCAUGCUCGUUAUCUAAUUAGCAUAGCAAAAGUGAUCACAGUAUACAGAAUCAUCAAUUAUCACAUACAUCUUGUAUAUAAUUCCUAAAAAAAAUAGAUAGACAUGAUUUCAACAAGUGUCAAAUGUGGCAACAAAAAUAAAUUUUGAAAAGAUUUUCUUAUGUAGGGGUUUCACCAAUUCCCCAAAUUAAUAUACACGAAUUUAGCUUAGAAUUAUCCCAUUUAUUUGGGACUACAAGCUUUGAUUCGUGUUUUUGUUCAAAACCAAAAAUUUUUGUUGAAAAUCAAGAAGGAUGCGAACCGAACAAGAUAUGGUUGCAUAUUAUUUUUAAAUAAAUAAAUAAAUAAAUAAAGGAGAUUUUGAUCCUGAGGACUUUAAUGAGUUUUUUUUUUUAAAAUAGAUUUUUAAAAUGAUUUUUUUGAGAAAAGUAUUUUAUUUUAAAAUAAAAGGGAUUAAUUUGGGAAAAAAAUAAAAUAUAAGAAAUAAAAUACCAAACAAAACAAAAAUGAAACCUCAAAGUAAAAUUUUUUUAGUAAUUAACAAAAAUGAUAAUGGUGAUGGUAGAGGGCAAUCUUCAUGAUUUUCCAAUGGCCUCAGAAAGAAAAUCAAAUUAAAUGAAGGAUCACUAACAGGCAAGACAUUCUAAAUUAGACAAACUAACAAAGUAUCAAUUCAUGAACUAACCGCUAGGAUUUUGAAAGCAUAUAAGCUAAGAUAAGGGUGAUCAGGAACUAAUAUUAAUGAUUUUGAAAUAAAAACUAAAAAAAAGGAUCAAUUCGGGUAAGGAACUAAAAUUAUAAAAGUACCUAAACUAAUUAUGACGAGUUUGACUAAAUUAAACUAAAAACAUGAACUUUCAAACAUAGAAUUAAUUUUACUAAUGAACCAAAGCAAACUAAAAAUAUGUACUUUCAAGCAUAGAAUUAAUUUUAUUGAUGAACUAAACUAUAACAAAUAUCUAAACUAAAUAUAAUGAAUCAAAUUAAAUUAAAGCAACUUAAAAACGCAAACUUUCAAACAUAGAAUCAAUUUUAUCAAUGAAUUAAAACUAUAAAUGUAUUUGAACUAAAUAGAUGAAUCAAACUAAAUCAGAGCAAAAUUAAAAAAAAAAAAGAACUUUCUAACAUGAAAUCAAUUUUAUCAACAAAUAAAUGAAUGAAUAACAAGUAAUUAAAAGAAUAGCUACUACAUGAAUAACUGAAUGAAUAAAAUUCAAAUGUUUUCAAUCUGAAGCAAUCAAUCAAAAUUAAAUAGGGAUCAAAUCAAAAUAAUCGAAAUCGGAAAAACAAUAUGCAAUCUUUCUAAAGGUUUAACCAGACAAUUGAAUUAAAAUUAUGAAUAGAAUAAAUUAAUAAACCAAAUCGAAACCUAAAUUGUACCUAAAAAGAUUAAUUAAUUAAACUAAGAAAUCAAAAUCAAUAACAAAACUAAACUAAGGAGUAAAUUAAGACAAGACUAAUUAAAUUAAACUCACAAACACGUUUUAACUAUCAUAUGGAUUAAAACAAAAUUAGCAUGGACUUAUGAAUUACGAACAAAAAUAAUCAAAACUAUUUUAAAAAACUCACCUCUAUUAUAAGAAAAAAUCUGCCUUUGAUGCGUUGAGGUGGCUCCCCUCUCUGUGUGGAUCUCUCUGCUCCCCAGAAAAAAAAUGUCUCUUCCUCCGUUCUCUUUUGUUUCAGCAAAAUAAUAUAUCCCCUGCUGUGGAUCUCUCUACUCCCAGAAAAUAAUAUAUUCUCUCCGUGUCCUAAAGUGGACCUAGGGUGCCUAAGUGGACCUAGGGUGCCUAAAUGGGCCUAGGGUGCCUAAAUGGGCCAAGUGUAUCUAAAUAGGCUUAGGGUGCCUAAGUGGGCCUAAGUCUAAGUGAGCCUAAGUCUAAAUCAAGACUACCAAGGAUCAUAAUAAGGGGUUAGGCAAUCCCUUAACCAAAGUCUCCAAGGUGGCUAAAAAAAAGUAAGUAGUAUGAGUAGCUAUGGGUCACCAAGGAACUACUGUGGAGCAUUGAAAACGAAUUUAAAGACAUGUGCCAAAGGGACAAAAUUGAGGGUCUACAGAUGGUUAGACACAUAGUUGCUCAUGGGAUAUUUGACUUUGGUAAACAAUUCAGAUUCAUAUGUGGGUUUAGGAAUACCUUUAUUAUGACGGUGUGGUAAUCGUUUCAUGAAUGGAUCAGGUUGCAAAUUAAGAACACCCUCAGCAAACAACGAUUGGUUUGGUAUUUCAGUGAAGACAUCUUCGAACCCAAAUUGUUGACCACUCAUAUCCAACUCACCCGCUUCCUGGUUCACUAGUUCAGAUUGUCCAAAUUCAUCAUUCUCAUAGAUAUGAUAAUCAUAAUCGAGAGUCUGAAUUUCCUUAUGGUACUCCCCCUGAAGUUCAGACUUAGAUGAAAAAUACAUCGAAUAUUCAUGAAACAGCNNNNNNNNNNNNNNNNNNNNNNNNNNNNNNNNNNNNNNNNNNNNNNNNNNNNNNNNNNNNNNNNNNNNNNNNNNNNNNNNNNNNNNNNNNNNNNNNNNNNNNNNNNNNNNNNNNNNNNNNNNNNNNNNNNNNNNNNNNNNNNNNNNNNNNNNNNNNNNNNNNNNNNNNNNNNNNNNNNNNNNNNNNNNNNNNNNNNNNNNNNNNNNNNNNNNNNNNNNNNNNNNNNNNNNNNNNNNNNNNNNNNNNNNNNNNNNNNNNNNNNNNNNNNNNNNNNNNNNNNNNNNNNNNNNNNNNNNNNNNNNNNNNNNNNNNNNNNNNNNNNNNNNNNNNNNNNNNNNNNNNNNNNNNNNNNNNNNNNNNNNNNNNNNNNNNNNNNNNNNNNNNNNNNNNNNNNNNNNNNNNNNNNNNNNNNNNNNNNNNNNNNNNNNNNNNNNNNNNNNNNNNNNNNNNNNNNNNNNNNNNNNNNNNNNNNNNNNNNNNNNNNNNNNNNNNNNNNNNNNNNNNNNNNNNNNNNNNNNNNNNNNNNNNNNNNNNNNNNNNNNNNNNNNNNNNNNNNNNNNNNNNNNNNNNNNNNNNNNNNNNNNNNNNNNNNNNNNNNNNNNNNNNNNNNNNNNNNNNNNNNNNNNNNNNNNNNNNNNNNNNNNNNNNNNNNNNNNNNNNNNNNNNNNNNNNNNNNNNNNNNNNNNNNNNNNNNNNNNNNNNNNNNNNNNNNNNNNNNNNNNNNNNNNNNNNNNNNNNNNNNNNNNNNNNNNNNNNNNNNNNNNNNNNNNNNNNNNNNNNNNNNNNNNNNNNNNNNNNNNNNNNNNNNNNNNNNNNNNNNNNNNNNNNNNNNNNNNNNNNNNNNNNNNNNNNNNNNNNNNNNNNNNNNNNNNNNNNNNNNNNNNNNNNNNNNNNNNNNNNNNNNNNNNNNNNNNNNNNNNNNNNNNNNNNNNNNNNNNNNNNNNNNNNNNNNNNNNNNNNNNNNNNNNNNNNNNNNNNNNNNNNNNNNNNNNNNNNNNNNNNNNNNNNNNNNNNNNNNNNNNNNNNNNNNNNNNNNNNNNNNNNNNNNNNNNNNNNNNNNNNNNNNNNNNNNNNNNNNNNNNNNNNNNNNNNNNNNNNNNNNNNNNNNNNNNNNNNNNNNNNNNNNNNNNNNNNNNNNNNNNNNNNNNNNNNNNNNNNNNNNNNNNNNNNNNNNNNNNNNNNNNNNNNNNNNNNNNNNNNNNNNNNNNNNNNNNNNNNNNNNNNNNNNNNNNNNNNNNNNNNNNNNNNNNNNNNNNNNNNNNNNNNNNNNNNNNNNNNNNNNNNNNNNNNNNNNNNNNNNNNNNNNNNNNNNNNNNNNNNNNNNNNNNNNNNNNNNNNNNNNNNNNNNNNNNNNNNNNNNNNNNNNNNNNNNNNNNNNNNNNNNNNNNNNNNNNNNNNNNNNNNNNNNNNNNNNNNNNNNNNNNNNNNNNNNNNNNNNNNNNNNNNNNNNNNNNNNNNNNNNNNNNNNNNNNNNNNNNNNNNNNNNNNNNNNNNNNNNNNNNNNNNNNNNNNNNNNNAACCAAAGGAAGCAUGUUCCAGACGUCGAUGCCACAACCAAAUUUCAGACUUUUUCUUCUCCUCCUUAGAUCCAUCUGCCAUCAAGGCUUGUUGCAACUUAUUUGAAUCCUUUGAUUGCAAGUCCAAGUAUAGAGUUUCCCCCGCUUAAUACGACAACCAAUCGUCUGUCUUGUUUGAAUGUCCUUAAUCACACAAAAUUCAGGCCAAAAAAUGACAAUACAAGAUAAGGCUGCAGUGAUUUGAGAAACUAACAAAAGAUUGUAAUCUAAAGAUGGAACAACUAAAACAGAAUCCAAAUUCAAAGUAUCAGUAAGAGUUAAGGAUCCUUCCCCAAUGACUGGGGUUGUGUUACCAUUGGCUGUGGAAACAAUUUUUUGUGAGGAAGGUCUAAGGGGUGAAACCUGUCUAGAAUCAAAAGUCAUAUGAUCUGUAGCACCAGAAUCAAUUAUCCAUGCACUAUUAAUAACAGGUGUAAAAGUAUUUAAAAACUUACCACAAUGAUCUGUAGCGGCUACUAAUGCAGAGACUUUCUCAACAACAUUAGUCUUUGUUUUUAUUUCGGUAACAGUUGCAAUCAAGGUUUUCUUGGAAUUCUUCUUCCGUUGAUCACGAUUAUUAUCAUUAAUAACAAAGUGUUGAUAGCCUAAACAUGAUCUAAAGGUCCAUGGUGCAAACCCUCGGUUCCUCAUUGUUUUCCUGGUCAUACCAAGAGUUGUUGCUUUGAAAUUGUGGGAUAUCCAGACUGGUGGGAUCAGUUUUAUUGCAGUGAGUGCAUUUGAAUGUUGACUUAUCAAUAUUAGGGCUUGUCUUCGGAUGGUUGAUUGCUGUUGGACUACCAUAGCGACAAAAUAUCCAGGAUUUCAAUUCCAGGGCUCUGAUACCAUCUUCAAAUUGAUGAAUGAUAGUUUUUCAUUCAUUCUUUCAUGUACAGAGUAUAUAUAGAGGGUAAUCACCAUUCUAAGAAUGGGAAAGAAUGAUACGAGGAAAUAAUGAUAUAAGGAAAUAAUAACUAAUAUCCUAAUAUCUCAACUUUCCUAAUAUCUCAAUAUUCCUAAUAUCUCAACUUUCCUAAUAUCUAAACAUUCAUAAUAUCUCAACACUAAAUGAUACAAGGAAAGAAUGAUAUAAGGAAAACAUUCCUAAUAUCUCAACACCACUUCAUGAUAUAUAUAGUUUCUUACCCUUAAUCAAUGGUUUCUAAGUGAAUUUAUAUAGAAAGAAAUCCAAACUGUAGACAGCAGUAUUGGUAACACUCAAUAUUCUGUAUAUAAUAGAAUAAAUAGCGUCACAGUGAUCGUCGCCUACAAGCAAGGUACAAAUACCACAAAGAGUGACCCACAUAGACAUUCCCCAACAAGAUGUAGUAGUGACUGACACAUAGCCACAAUUAACACGUAGAAAAGGAUAAGACCGGUGCACAGUAGCUCUUAUUUUACAUACUACUUAUGCCAACCAAAGUCACUCAGUUGGGAUGGGAGGGAGAUGGAGGUUUGUGCGGUGGCUUGUGGGGCGGAGUUGAUGGCUUCUUUCCAGGAGCUUCUGGCUUUUUCAUCGGAGCUGAAGGAGGCUCAAUCUUAUGAGGCGGCUUGUACGAGUCUUCUUUGCUCUCGAAAGGAGGGUGGCCAGGGUUGUGACCAUAAUGUGGUGGUUUCUCUCCCUUGGGAGGUUUACCAAUUGGGGUUGGUGGCUUGUGUUCUGGGAGUGGUUUCUCUCCCUUGGGAGGUUUAGUGGGUGACUUGUGUUCUGGAGGUGGCUUCUCCACCGAAGGCUUGUGCUCCGGUGGUGGCUUUUUGGUUGGAGGGGGCUUGGGGUAAUCAGCAAGAGAUGGGGUGGUGAGAACCACCAGUCCAAGGAACAACACUAGCAAGUAUGUGGGAGACAUUUUUGAGUUUGGGCUGAUCAGAUGAUGCAAAACUAAAGCAUUACGUGACCUUUUAUAGCAAGUAGCUCCCAAUACCUACUUGACACGUGUUACUGUGACCCAUAAAUAUUAUGGGGUCUAUUUGUGCCCUACCGGGUUGAAAACUUGGACAAUUGGGCAAGGACCCGCCUGACUAUGGAGGACUACUGAGGUGUGAUCACAGCUUUAGGAUUUUUCUUCCUCUGCAGCCGUCUUGCCGUUGGCAUGAUUUUCUUAAUCUCAAAUAAAGGCAUAGUUAUAGAGUUGUUUAAUCUCUAAAUGGGAUUUUAUAUAUCUUCAGAUAGCCAUUAAUACAUUUGAUGAAGAAAGAAAGACAAGUGCAUACAACAUGUAUACGACUAGCUUUCAUGGAGUUCAUUUAUGAUCAGUUUUCCUGUACAUGUAAACCAAGAUCAUAUAUGUUUUUGUUCCACAACAAUUUUGGAAUCUUGUUUAUCCGUUUUUAUCAUUAUAAUGUCACAUAGGCUGCCAACUUGGGCGCUAAAUUAAAGAUCCAGUUGGGCAAGUUCGUUUCAGAAUUUCAAUGGUGGAUUCAGGAAUUGUUUUAUAAGAUAUGCAAAAUAGUAGAGGGAUGAAUAGUGUUUCAUUAAGAAAAGAGCCCUGUAAAAAUAUUGUUUAAAGGUGCCAUAGAAACUAUAAUCAAUAAAUAACUUUUUUUCCCCAUGGGUGGUGUUUCUUGUGGGGAUCAGUGACUGGUUUGAGUCAACGCCGUGUCUCUUUAGUCCAGAAAUCAACUAUUUUAUGCAUUGAAUACAUCAACAAAGAAAAUAUGAAAGCCAAAUGACACCUCCCCCGCAAAAACUAAACCCUGGUUGCUAACUUUCUAUGUUUCAGUUCCAUUCACACAAGAAUAUUAGUUCAAGUUUGAGAAAAAUGGCGACUUACCUAGUGAUAACUCGGUCUUGGUUUGCGAUUUGACUUUAACGUCAUGGGUUGAAGCCUCCUACAAUCAUCGUGUAUGCUAGUUCAAAGCUCGUGGAAGAAGUUAUACAGGGAGGGAGAAACCUCCACAGCAAGCUCCAAAAGAGAAUUAUCACAUUGAAAGCUCCAGUUGAACACUGGGUGAAAGCCAUAACAAGAUUGGUUUUCUAUCGCUCUUUUAAGUAAUGGAAGAUUAUUAUCUCUGCUUGUCACUACAACCGUGCAUGCUGCUAGAUCUUUCUAGACACUUCAAACAGUGAAACCAAGUAUGAUUCUUUUUCUCUUGAGUGGGUCCACUUGCAUGCCAAUGAACGAGUUGAAAAGUUGGACAAUUGGCCACAGCGCGCACUUACCUUCUGGAACCGAAGGUCAGUGAAGUGGGGUUCCUUUUGGCCCCUUGUGUUUCUGUUCCAACCUACUCCAGGAACCGAAGUUCAGUGAAGUGGGGCUACUUUUGGCCUCUUGUGUUUCUGUUCCAACCAAACAAAAAUGGGAGGGAAAAAUAGCAUUAUGCUUGUGCUAAAGAUCAACGCAUGAUAGCUGAAUAAGGGAGAAAAAGGCAUUGCUAUCUCAAUUUCAUAAACUUGAUAAGUAGUGACAUUAAUAGUCUUCCUCAUAGAUGGAUACAUGGUUUUAUUUUAUUUAUUUAUUUUUAUUUUUUUGUUUUAUGUCAAUGCUAAUGAAUGAAGUGCAUUAGCUUGUUUUGUGACUAGAACUACAAAUGUCCAAAUUGGAGCUUCUCCAAUAUAUUUCUCAGUGAGUUAUUGAUUAGAACUCUUGGAUUGAGUUCCAAGAUUUGAAUCAGACCCCUCUAGCAGCUUCAGGGGUACGUAGCAACCUAUAGCAUAUUAAUGAAGACUUAGGAUUUAGACUUAGGAAUACAAAUUAAUAUGUACCUCAUGCUCUGACUAGCUUCCCUGCGUAUGCACAAAAUGGAGAUGACUCCCAAAAAAAUAGCAGAAUCGCCUUAGUAUGUUUUUGUGGUUAAGAUGAUUCUCCACUUUAUAUAUCCACAUUGGUUCAUUAUGCAAAUUAAUCAACUAAGCUAUUUUUAUUUUUUCUUAAAUGUGAAAUAGGAGCUCCAAAUUAACCUAACCAUUGGCCUGAUUGAAUUGAUUUCACUUGCAUAAUGUUAUAGUAGAAGUCCGUAAUUUGAAUUUUAUUUUUGCAAAAGGUAACGUAAAUGAAGCAUUGUAAUUAAAUUUAUUUGUAAUUACAAACUAAUUUUAUUUUAUUAAGAAUUAAUUUAAUUACUCAUUUAAAAUAAAAAUCAGUUAUACUUUUACCAAGAUGAUAAUAUUCAUAUUUUUCUAGUUAACAUAUAUAAAAUAGUACACUUUUUCAUAUAAAAAAAUAAUUUAUGAUUUAUUAUAAUGUUACUAUUCACAUUUUACUAAAUUGAUGGUACAUGAUAGUGAGAGAAGGGGGUGUCACACUCAGCUAAAGUUCUUUUCAAAAUAUUGCAUGGUGUUUAAUUUUAUGUGUCGGCGCGCGUGUGAAUGGAACCUGCAAAAGUCCAAAUUGGCGUUUCUCCAUUUUCCACAUAGGAUGGUGACGUUAAUAGACAAAGAUACAAUAUCUGUAGACAUUGCUUAAAAAUCGAUGUGAAGUAUUAGAAAUUACAGGGCACUGUACUGGGGGAGCGGCUGCCCCGCCAAAGGAGGAAGAAUGUAGCAAUUUCUUCUGUUAGCCAGGCCUUAGGAUUUAUGCAUGGGAUGCCUAAUAACAAACAGAGAAAAUAUACUUUUGGGGAAGGUAUCCAACAACAGACACCAUCAUUCAGAUGGUGGGAAGGUAUCCAACAGAUGCCAUCAUUCAGAUGGUAACAUAUAUAUACAUUUAUUAGUGAGUUUUUUUAAUACCUAUAAAAAAAAAUAUACACUUUGAUAUUGUGGCUGAAUCCAUUACAUACUCAACUAACCUUGCUCAUUAGGGAUUUGACUUAACAAGGGCAACGUUGCAGUACAAGCUCAAAACUUUAUGCAGGUGACAUUACAUUUGGUAAAGAAGAGGAAAAUAACGAAAGCCAUCCAUAAAAGCAAAAUUCCACAUGGGAUGAAAUUCACAAGCUUCAUUUACGAUAGAGUCGCAUCCAGGCAAUUAAUUCCACAUUAGACCGCCUGUUGACAUGUGUACCAAUCUUUUUUCAAAAAAUAUUUAUAAAUAAUUGAUACUCACAAAAAUAAUUUAAUAUUUAUAAAGGAUAAAAAAAUAUUUUCAAAUCUAUAACAAUUUAUAAAAUAUUAAUAAAAAAUUAUCUCUUAAACUUAGUAUAGUUUUAUCAGAUUAAACUUUUAUUUUGAACAAAUAAUUUUAAUCUAAGUUUUAAAUUCUAAAAUUAUUUCCUUAAAAUAAAAUUUUAAAAUUCAACACUUCAAUUGAAAUUGUCUUUUUAAAAAAUAUCUUCUUAUUUUAAUCCUUAUAAACUAUAGUUGAUUGAAAAUACUAUUGAAGUUCUCUCUUAAAAAAAAGUCUUAUUUUAAUCUUCAUAAAUUGCCCUUGAUUUGAAAAUAAAUUUUCAGUUAUCAUAUUUUAAAUAAUAUCUAUAUUUAAAAUACUCUAUUUAAAAAAAAAUGAACUAAUUUUAAUUAUAUUAUAUUUUAUUUUUUUAUAUAUUUUUAAUGAUAAACCAAACAUAGAAAAUCAUUUUUCUAAAUAUUUUAAAAUUUCUAAGCAACCAAACAUAAUCUUCAAAAUAAAAGGAAAAUAAGGAGGGACAUUUGAGAAAUGGCGAUUAAAAAAAAGUGUACAAAAGCUCAAUUAAUUUUCUUCUAGUCUUUUAUAUAAAAAAGUAAAGGAAUUGAAAAGUAUUGAUAUGUAAAUUAAUAUUUGGAUUUUAAUAGUAUUUUAUUUGUCUUUCUCUAUCUCAUGUAAAAGAGAAUUUAAGAUAUUUCCUAAAGCAAAGCAUUAGUUAUCUGCAAUCAGUGGUGAUCAUGCCCCAUGUCAAUUUCGGACCCAUAUCUUAAAACUGUAUAAUUUGCAUUCAAACAUUACUGAUUUCUCAGAUGUUUCAUACUCCACAGAAGAGCAUUGUUUGUGAAAGCAUGCAUUUAUGUUGGAUUUUGGAUGAUGUGGGAACUGGGGCAAGGAUCAUAUGGAAGAGUGGUCGAUUUUGUUCUGUACUUUAACAUUUGAAAUAGGAGAAGCUCGGGCAUUUGUGGGGCUUAAUUGAUUUUGAAGCCUGAAAUUGCGUUUCUGUCAUUUUGUAAAAAAUAUGGCAGAUUCCAUGCUCUCAUAUGUUUGGUCUGUGGCCAUGUAUAGAUGCCCCUUAGUGACCAGUUUGUAACUGUCAAUCAUAGUGUUUUGACUCUGGCUCAACAACAUCAGCCAUUGACGGAUUUUCAUACUUGCAAAUCAAAUAGUCUUCUUCCUCCCUUAGGAAUUUCGGUUUAAAUGUUAUUAAGCAUACAUUUGGCUGACAAUUAUUAACCACUUCAUGAUAUGGUUUCUUACCCUUAAUCAAUGGUUUCUAAGUGAAUAUAUGCAGAAGGAAAUCUGAACUGUAGACAGCAGUAUUGAUAACUCUCAAUAUUCUUUAUAUAAGAGAAUAAACAACGUCAUAGUGAUCGUCGCCUACAAGAAAGGUACAUUUCCCAACAAGAUGUAGUUGUGACUGGUACAUGGACGCAAUUAACUCGUACAAAAGAAUAAGACCAGUGCACGGCAGCUCUUAUUUUACAUGCUAAUUAUGCUAACCAAAGUCACUCAGUUGGGAUGGGAGGGAGAUGGAGGUUUGUGCGGUGGCUUGUGGGGCGGAGUUGGUGGCUUCUUUUCAGGAGCUUGUGGCUUUUUCGGAGCUGAAGGAGGCUCAAUCUUAUGAGGCGGCUUGUACGAGUCUUCUUUACUCUCGACAGGAGGGUGGCCAGGGUUGUGACCAUAAUGUGGUGGCUUCUCUCCCUUAGGUGGCUUGCCAACUGGGGUUGGUGGCUUGUGUUCAGGAAGUGGUUUCUCUCCCUUGGGAGGUUUACCAAUUGGGGUUGGUGGCUUGUGUUCUGGGAGUGGUUUCUCUCCCUUGGGAGGUUUAGUGGGUGACUUGUGUUCUGGAGGUGGCUUCUCCACCGGAGGCUUGUGCUCCGGUGGUGGCUUCUCCACCGGAGGCUUGUGCUCCGGUGGUGGCUUCUUGAUUGGAGGGGGCUUGGGGUAAUCAGCAAGAGAUGGGAUGGUGAGAACCACCACUCCAAGGAACAACACUAGCAAGUAUGUGGGAGACAUUUCUGAGUUUGAGCUGAUCAGAUGAUGCAAAACUAGAAGAAUUACGGGACCUUUUAUAGCAAGUAUCUCCCAAUACCCACAUGACACGUGUUACUAUGACCAUAAAUAUUAUAGGGUCCAUUUGUGCCCUACCGGGUUGAAAACUUGGACGCUUGGCCGAGGACACACCUGACUAUGGAGGACUAUUGACGUGUGAUCACAGCUUUUGGAUUUUUCUUCCUGUGCAGCUGUCUAGCGGUUGGCAUUAUUUUCUUAAUCUUAAAUAAAGGCAUAGUUAUAGAGUUGUUUAAUCUCUAAAUGGGAUUUUAUAUAUCUUCAGAUAGCCAUUAAUAUAUUUGAUGAAGAAAGACAAGUGCAUACAACAUGUAUACGGCUUGCUUCAAUCGAGUACAUUUAUGAUCAGUUUUCCUGUGCAAGUAAACCAGUUUUUUGUUCCACAACUAUUUUGGAAUCUUGUUUAUCAGUUUCUAUCAUUAUAAUGUCACAUAGGCUGCAAACUUGGGCACCCAAAGAUCUAGGUGGGCAAAUUUGUUUCAGACUUUCAAUGGUGGAUUCAGUAAUUGUUAAAAGGUGUUUCUUCAUUAAGGAAAGAGUCCGGUAAAAAUAUUGUUAAAAGGUGUCAUAGAAACUAUAAUAAAUAAAUAACUUCUUUUCCCCAUGGGUGGUGUUUCUUCUGGGGAUCAGUGACUGGUUAGGGUCACCCAAAAUGAGUCCAGAUUAAAAUUGGUUCGAGUCAAAGCAGUCUCUUUUGUCCAGAAAUCAACUAUUUUGCGCAUUGAAUGAAUCGAUAAAGAAAAAAUGAAAGCCAAAUCACACCUCCCCUGCAAAACCUAAACCCCGGUUGCUAACUUUCUAUGUUUCAGUCCUAUUCAUAUAGGAAUAUUGGUUCAAGUUUGAGAAAAAUGGCAACUUACCUAGGGUUUACUUGGUUUUGGUUUGCGACUAUUUACGCAACCAACCAUGAGUUUGACUUUAACGUCAUGGGUUGAAGCCUCCUACAAUCAUGUAUGAUAGUUCAAAGCUCGUGGAAGAAAUUAUACAGGAAGGAAGAAACCUCCAAAGCUAGCUCCAAAAGAGAAUUAUCACAUCGAUAGCUCCAGAGAUUCCCAAGGGAACUGAAUCAAAGACAAGUUCCUCACUUUUUCUUCUUUUGAGGCCAAAUAUGAACCAAGGAUCACACGACCUCAUUCAACUUCAUAAGUUUGAUUUCAUGCAGUUGAACACUGGGUGAAGGCCAUGACAAGAAUUGAUUAAAAAAUUCUACCACUCUUUUAAGUAAUGGAAGAUUAUUAUCUCUGAUUGGCACCACAACAGCACAUGCUGCUAGAUCUUUCUAGACACUCCAUGCAAUGAAAGCACAAUGGAUCUUGUAAUGAUAGAAACUAAGCCAUGCUACAGUACUAGAUGAGGGGGUAAAACUAGUAGACAUCUUUCUAGACACUCCAUGCAAUGAAAGCACAAUGGAUCUUGUAAUGAUAGAAACUAAGCCAUGCUACAGUACUAGAUGAGGUGGUAAAACUAGUAGACAUGGCUGGCAGUUGAUUACUACUCAAAAAGUACUCUUUUAUAGCUUGAAACUAACUGUUUUAAACACUUUUGAGUAGUAGUUAAUACCUUUUAACUUAAUUGGCACAUUAAGGAACCUAGCAAGGGUUACUAAUCAACAUUUGGCAAGUUUUGAUGUUUUUGGUAGCUAUUUGAUCAUUGAAACAAGCCAAGAAUGAGGGGGAAUUUUGUGAAGUCCAUGGCAAUGCAAGUUAAAGCUCAAAUACAUGAAGAAUCCAAGCUUUGGAGCACUUCAUAGCCCUUUGCCAAGCCAAUCAAAGAUGCAAGGAAGAAAACCAAAGGAAGAAAUCCAACAAUCAGCAUUUUGGCAUGGCUAUGUGAAAUUUCGCACACCAUGCGAAACCACAAGAGGCAGCCAAAGAAUUUCGCAUGGUAUGCGAAAUCUUCUUGUGCACUGACUCUGUUAGAUUUUUAUCUUCAGAUAUUUUGUGUAAUUUCCUAGUUUCUCCUUGUAACCAACUUAGAUAUUUUCUUUUAUAUCUUUUUUUAUAUUUUUUAGGUAACAUCAUAUAUAAGAGGAGAGACAUAAGGAGGAUAUGGAUGUUUUUCAUAGAACACUUGUAAAUUUUUGGUAGUAAGAAAUAUACAAAGCUUUUUGCUCUGCCUUACCUUCUCAAGGGAUGAGUGGCUAGGUUUUCUUGGAGUGAGGGAAGCUAGGUGAAGGACCUGAAUGCAAAGGUGGGAGUUUUCCUUACUUUAAAUGAAAGUAGUUGUUAAACAUUAAUGGUUUUUAUUUUAAGGUUUAGCUUUAAAUCCCUGAAAAACACCUUGAAUGGCCAAUACUUGGUAAGCUUUUUAGAUUCUAUGGAUGCUUAUUGCUAGAUCCAUGGAUGUCUAUUAGUUAUCAUUUACGAGCCAUUGGAAGGUGAUUCAAGGUGAGGGUCUUUAGUGUUUGAAGCCAUUAAUGGGAAGCAAUUACCAUUUUUUCAUGAAUCCUUUGGAUCAAAUCUUAAUUGCUAAAUAUAAAACCGGUUUCGAGAGAUAACCACCAUCCUUUAUGUUAUUAUCCCCAACGCGAGGAGAAGAUCCGAAAUCUUCCUUUUUAUCUAAGGAACCCGAUCCUAGUGACCUAAAGCUCCAAGAUACCUUUUCUUUGUAGUUAACUUCAUUUAUUGUUUUUGCUUAACUUAAAAUCAAUCUUUGCAACCACAAUUCCAUUUUCUUUAAAAGCUAAUUUUUAUAAGGAAAAACACCAUUUUAUUUCCUUCACUAAGUCAACUGUACGAUGAAAACCCAUCCCUGUGGACGAUCCUAGAGCCACUAUACUAUGUUAGCUAUGCUACCCUAGUGUGAGGUGAUUUAGGUUUUAUAAAUUUUUUUGAUAACACCCAUCUGAGCCAGAAUCAAAUGGCACGACUGAACCAGGGACGAAUCAAAUGACGCCGCUACCAAGGAUGGUGCCAAAGUACAUUGACAUGACUUUUGGUGAACACUUGUGAUCUUCACCACAAGUUUGGUGAUUUUUCUUUUACUAAUUUUUUUUAUUUUAGCUUAUCUUUUAUUUAGUUUUUAGUUAACCUUAAAUUUUUCCUAGAAUUGUAUUUCUUUUGUUUUCUUUGUUUUUGUUUCAGUGAUCUUUAGUUGUGCAUGCCCUAUUGGAUAAGAGAUAUUGAGGGAAUACUUGUGAAGAUUGAAACUCCUCGAGAAACUGAGUUAGAAGUGUGCUUGAACAUCAUGGAUGUUCCACCUGAAGACCAGAAUAGCCAACAUGGUUAAGAGGAUAAUUUCAACACAUACCGAUCCAUGAGGAACCGCAUACAUCCACCUUGUAUGAGUGCACCGUCAGGCAUAAUGCCUCCCACUGAGCAGCUAGUAAUCUGACCUCACAUUGUGCCACUCCUACCUACUUUCCAUGGGAUGGAGAGUGAGAAUCCCUACUCGCAUAUUAAGGAAUUCGAGGAGGUUUGUAAUACAUUCCAAGAAGGAGGAGCUUCAAUUGACUUGAUGAGGCUCAAGCUAUUUCCUUUCACUUUGAAGGAUAAGGCCAAGAUUUGGCUUAAUUCUUUAAGGCCAAGAAGUAUCCAAACUUGGAUUGAUUUGUAAGCCGAGUUUCUUAAGAAGUUCUUCCCUACCCAUAGGACCAAUGGUUUGAAAAGGCAAAAUUUGAACUUCUCAGUUAAAGAGAAUGAGAAAUUCUAUGAGUGUUGGGAGAGCUACAUGGAAGCUAUUAACGUUUGUCCUCACCAUGGCUUUGACACAUGGCUCUUAGUGAGCUAUUUUUACAAUGGUAUGUCUUCUUCAAUGAAGCAACUCCUAGAAACUAUGUGUGGAGGAGACUUCAUGAGUAAGAAUCCGGAGGAAGCCAUGGACUUUUUGAGUUAUGUGGCUGAAGUUUCAAGAGGAUGGGAUGAACCAAAUGCUAGAGAGGUGGGAAGAAUGAAGUCUCAACCUAAUGCUAAGGGUGAGAUGUAUGUUUUGAAUGAAGACAUUGACAUGAAAGCAAAGGUUGCAGCUAUGGCAAGGAGAUUGGAAGAGCUAGAAAUGAAGAACAUACAAAAAGUGCAAGCCAUUUCUGAGACAUCAAUGAAAGCUAUGCCUUGUUCCAUUUGUCAAUCUUAUAAGCACCUAGUGGAGGAGUGUCCUACAAUUCCAGCAGUGAGAGAGAUGUUUGGUGAUCAAGCAAAUGUUAUUGAUCAAUUCAAGCCUAAUAACAAUGCUUCAUAUGGCAACACCUACAAUUCAAAUUGGAGGAACCAUUCAAAUUUCUCUUGGAAACGAAAGCCACCUCAAUACACACAACCUACUCAAGCACCUUAGCAAUCCUCGAAUCUUGAACAAGCUAUUGUGAACCUUAGCAAGGUUGUGGGAGACUUUGUGGGAGAUCAGAAGUCCAUCAAUGCUCAACUGAAUCGGAGAAUUGACAGUGUGGAGAGUACAUUGAACAAAAGGAUGGAUGAGAUGUAAAAUGAUCUGUCUCAAAAGAUAGACAAUGUCCAAUACGUAAUCUCAAGGCUUACCAACCUCAACACAGUGUAAGAGAAAGGAAAGUUUCCUUCUCAACCUCAUCAAAAUCCUAAGGGUAUCCAUGAAGUAGAGGCUCAAGAGGGAGAAUCUUCAAAGGUGAGGGAAGUCAAAGUAGUUAUCACCUUGAAGAGUGGUAAAGAGGUUGAUCAACCCACAUCCAAGCCAAAGCAUAAUGAAGAGAGUGUAGCAGAAAAAGAAAAGAGAGGAAAAUAAAGGAAUUAGAAUAGAGAAAAAUACAAAGAAAGAUGACCAUGAGUCUAGUGUGGAUGAAGAGCCCGAGAGGAUGGUGAUCAAGGAAGAUAUGAUGAAGAAACACAUGCCUCCACCUUUCCCCUAAGCUUUGCAUGACAAAAAAAGAACCAAUAAUACAUCAGAAAAUUUUGAAGUAUUGAGGCAAGUGAAGGUCAAUAUCCCUUUGCUAGACAUGAUCAAACAAGUGUCGACAUAUGAAAAAUUCUUGAAGGACUUGUGCACUGUAAAGAGAGGGUUGAAUGUGAACAAGAAAGCUUUAUUGACCGAGCAAGUGAGUUCCAUCAUACAGUGCAAGUCCUAGUGAAGUACAAAGAUCCGGGUUGCCGUACCAUCUCAGUGAGUAUUGGAAGGACUUGUGUGGAGAAAGCUUUGUUGGACUUGGGAGCAAGUGUGAAUUUGCUAUCCUACUCUGUCUAUAAGCAGUUGGGAUUUGGAGAGUUGAAGCCAAUAUCCAUCACUCUAUCUCUAGCGGAUAGAUCAAUGAAGAUUCCAAGAGGGAUGAUCGAAGAUGUCCUGGUUCAAGUUAACAAAUUCUACUAUCCAGUAGAUUUUGUUGUUCUUGAUAUGGAUCCGGUUGUCAAAUGAACUAAUUAUGUUCCUAUCAUACUUGGAAGACCCUUCCUAGCUACAUCAAAUGCAAUCAUCAAUUGUAGGAAUGGAGUCAUGCAACUCACAUUUGUCAACAUGACAUUAGAGCUCAACAUCUUCCAUUUGUACAAGAAGCAUAUCCAUCAGGAGGAAAAAGAAGGUCUAGAGGAAGUGUGAAUGAUUGACACUUUAGUGGAAGAGCAUUGUGAUCGAGAAUGCAAAAAGAUUUAGUUGAGAAUUUUGGGGAUCUUGAUGAAAGGUUACUUGAACCCUCAGAUUUGCUUGCUACCCUACUCCAUUGGAAGAGAAGAGAAGAAAUUCUACCCUUAUUCAAUGAGGAGGAGACGCAAAGAGCUGCAAAGGAGAAACCCCCAAAACUUAUUCUUAAGCCACUACCCACAGAGUUGAAGUAUGUAUACUUGGAAGAAGACAAGAAGUGCCCUAUUGUUAUAUCUUCAACUCUUACCAUUCAUCAGGAGGAUUGUCUACUUGAAGUCCUUAGAAGAUGUAAGAAGACAAUAAGGUGGCUAAUUUCUUAUUUGAAAGGGAUCAGCCCUUUAGUCUGCACCCAUCAUAUUUACAUGGAGGAUGAAGCUAAGCUAAUUCAUCAACCUCAGAGAAGGUUGAACCCUCACAUGCAAGAGGUGGUUCGAGCUGAAGUUCUGAAGCUACUUCAGACCAGUAUUAUUUACCCCAUAUCAAAUAGCCCAUGGGUGAGUCCUACUCAAGUUGCGCCAAAGAAGUCUGGGAUCAUGGUGGUGCAAAAUGAUAAGGGAGAAGAUGUCUCUACACGCCUCACUACAGGUUGGAGGGUGUGUAUCAAUUACAGGAGGUUGAAUGCAGUGAUAAGAAAGGACCAUUUCUCAUUGCCCUUUAUUGAUCAGGUGCUUGAGAGGGUCUCUGGGCUUUUUUUUUUAUUGUUUCUUGGAUGGCUACUCCGGGUACUUUCAGAUAGAAAUUGAUGUUGAAAACCAAGAUAAGACCAUUUUCACAUGCCCAUUUGGAACCUAUGCAUAAAGGAGAAUGCCUUUCGGCUUAUGCAAUGCACCCGCAACUUUCCAAAGAUGCAUGUUAAGCAUUUUCAGUGAUAUGGUGGAGCGUAUUAUGGAAGUCUUUAUGGAUGAUAUCACCAUUUAUGGAAGUGCAUUUGAUGAAUGCUUGGUCAACUUAGAAGCUGUUCUGAACCGAUACAUUGAGAAAGACUUAGUGCUUAACUGGGAGAAGUGCCAUUUCAUGGUACACCAAGGGAUUGUCCUUGGGCACAUUAUCUCCAAGCAAGGCAUUGAAGUUGACAAAGCAAAGGUUGAACUCAUUGUUAAGUUGCCAUCCUCAACAAAUGUCAAAGGAGUAAGGCAAUUCUUUGGCCAUGUCGGGUUCUAUAGGAGGUUUAUCAAGGAUUUCUCUAAGCUUGCAAGGCCUCUUUGUGAAAUAUUGGUGAAUGAUGUUAAAUUCAUAUGGGAUGAUGGAUUUGAAAGGAGUUUUGAAGAAUUGAAGCUAUUUUUGACAACCGUACCAAUAGUGAGGGCUCCCAACUGGCAACUGCCCUUUGAAGUAAUGUGUGAUGUCAAUGAUUUUGCUAUAGGAUUUUUUCUUGGGCAAAGAGAAAAUGGAAAACCUUAUGUGAUCUACUAUGCGAGGAAGGCAUUGAAUGAGGCACAAAGAAACUACACAACCACCGAGAAAGAAUUGUUAGCUGUAGUUUUUGCCUUGGAUAAGUUUCGCGCUUACUUGGUGGGGUCCUUCAUCAUGGUUUUUACUGAUCACUUUGCUUUGAAGUAUCUGUUGACUAAGCAAGAUGCUAAAGCAAGGCUGAUUAGAUGGAUUCUCUUACUUCAAGAGUUCAAUCUCCAUAUCAAAGAUAAGAAAGGAGUGGAGAAUGUGGUAGCAGACCACAUUUCAAGGCUAGCUAUCGCACAUAAUUCCCAUGCUUUGCCCAUUAAUGACGAUUUUCUAGAGGGGUCUCUCAUGUUGGUGGAAGUUGUCCCUUGGUACGCUCACAUUGCUAACUACCUGGUCACGGGAAAAGUUCCAAGUGAGUGGAAAGCACAAGAUAAGAAGCACUUCUUUGCAAAAAUUCAUGCCUACUAUUGGGAAGAGCCAUUUCUAUUCAAGUAUUGUAUGGAUCAGAUAAUAAGGAAGUGCGUUCCUGAAGAAGAGCAACAGGGGAUCCUUAGUCAUUACCAUGAAAAUGCAUGUGGAGGCCACUUUGCUUAUCAAAAGACAGCCAUGAGGGUGUUGCAAUCGGGUUUCUGUUGGCCAUCACUUUUCAAAGAUGCCCACACCAUGUGCAAGAGUUGUGAUCGAUGCCAGAGGCUUGGGAAGUUGACACGCAGGAACAUGAUGCCUUUGAACCCCACUUUAAUAGUUGAUAUUUUUUAUGUUUGGGGCACUAACUUCAUGGGACCUUUCCCUAUGUCUUUUGGCUACUCUUACAUCUUGGUAGGAGUAGAUUAUGUUUCUAAGUGGGUUGAGGCAGUCCCAUGCAAACACAAUGACCAUAGAGUGGUUCUCAAGUUUCUUAAAGAGAAUAUCUUCUCAAGAUUUGGGGUGCCCAAAGCCAUAAUUAGUGAUGGGGGUACUCAUUUUUGCAACAAGCCUUUUGAAACUCUCCUAGCCAAGUAUGGGGUGAAGCAUAAGGUAGCUACACCUUACCACCCUCAAACUCAUGGACAAGUUGAGUUAGCAAACAGGGAGAUUAAAAACAUAUUGAUGAAGGUGGUGAACACAAACAGAAAAGAUUGGUCAGUCAAGCUUCUUAAUUCACUAUGGGCAUAUAGAACAACUUACAAGACCAUUCUCGGGAUGUCUCCUUAUCGCCUAGUUUAUGGCAAAGCAUGCCAUCUCCCUGUGGAAUUGGAAUACAAAGCUUGGUGGGCAAUCAAGAAGCUCAACAUGGAUUUGAGCAGAGCUGGGUUGAAGAGGUUCUUAGACCUUAAUGAGAUGGAGAAAUUGAGAAAUGAUGCCUACAUCAAUUCAAAAAUUGCAAAAGAAAAAUUGAAGAGGUGGCAUGAUCAGUUGAUUUCCCGCAAGGAUUUUCAAAAUGGACAAAGAGUCUUACUUUAUGACUCUAAACUCCACAUCUUUCCGGGCAAGCUGAAAUCAAGGUGGAUAGGUCAUUUUACCAUUCACCAAGUGCAUUCAAAUGGAGUAGUGGAACUACUCAACUCCAACAAUAUCGAGAACUUCAAAGUGAAUGGCCACCGUCUCAAGCCCUUUGUGGAGUCUUUUUCUCACAACAAGGAGAAAUUCAUCCUCCUUGAUCCACAUCAAGCUUAACAAGACCAAUUUUCUUGAUGGACUUAGUCUUUCUAAAGACUAUCGAGUCCAUAACUUUUUGUUUUAUUUUUUAUUUGAGAUUUUUUCGGUAUUGUUACUUGUUUUGUUUUUUAUUUUUCGUUUUAAUUUUAUUUGGUUUGAUUUAACUUAGGUUUUUGAUGAUCAAUUACAGGGGGGAUUUCAAAUAGAGGAAAAACCAAGAUAAUUCGCACACCCUACGAAAAUUUCGCAAGGCAUGCGAAAUUUAUGGCUUAUUUUGCAUGGGGUGAAAAUUUUCGUACAUCUUACGAACCAAUUUCGAACACUUUGCGAAAAUAAACCAACCCUGCGAAAUCAUUUCGAUUACUCUACGAAAUUUUCGUAGAGCAUGCGAAAAAUUUAGCACACCAAACACCAUUUCGCAUACUAUGCAAAAACCUAAGGGGUCUGCGAAACCAUUUCGCACCUCCAAAUCCAUUUCGCACAUUGUGCGAAAACCAAGAGGCGCUGUGCGAAAAUGAAAAGUCGCCCUGUCAUCCCUUUUUAAACCCCUCGAGCCCUAAAAUCUCCAUUUCGCAAGCACCCCUGUCCUUGCGAAUCCCUCAUUUUCCUCUACUACCUUGCAACCUCGUCCCUUUCCAUUUGAUAUUGUGCCCCGCGCACAUCUCAUUUCAGAGACUCGCACUCCGCGCCCCCUCAAAGCAUGGACUCGAGACCCACCUUCCAUUUCCGACGUGGCACGGACCCAAGGAGCCCUUUCUGCCCCUUCACUAAGACACACACCAAGGCAGAAAGCCUCCUUUGCUCAAGUGCCUAGUGAUUCUCCAUCUUAGGCCUCAGAGGCCUCGGAGGCCCCGUGGAUUCCACCUUCCGAGGGUAGAGCAGCCAUUGGUCCUUCCUCUUCUACUCCUUAGCGUAGAUACGAGACGAGGAGACCACCUACUACACAAGGGGCGACUACUUCGAGCCUUGAGAAUUCAGUACGAUGCCUUCCUGCCAAGAGGGUCAAGACUUCAGGUCCAAGUGAGUCAUCCAGAGCUUCAUAGCCUAAGCCUCCUGUAGAUUCCAAGGUUCCUACUGACAUAUCACCGGAGUCUAUUAUCAGAAGCCCGAUGCUCAUAGCACCGCCCAUUGAGGGCAACUCAGAUUAUAGAGCGAGAUCUUUCCACUUGGAGCUAUAUUUUGAUCAGGAGGCCAUACGACAGCAGCCUGAGCUCCGAGACUCUUAUGGCUUACUGCAGAGGUACCAUCUUGAGGAACUUAUGACUCCUCGUGAGUUUUUUUAUCCCAGAGUAGCACUAAACUUUUACCAGUCCAUGACUACUCGUGGCGUCCCGAGUCCUACCACGAUUCACUUCACCAUUGAUAGACGUCAUGGUAUCCUCAAGGCCAGACAUAUUACAGAGGCUCUACAAAUUCCUUUCGAGCUAGAGGAUCCAUCUGUUUUUCGCUAAUGGUCCCCAGUAUCUCAGAGGGACAUGGUCCGUAUUUUAUCUAGGGGAACAUCUACAGAUUCGAUCUUUCUACGGAAGGAGCUUCGACCUGGGAUGCUCCUCUUAGAUGUGGUGCUAUGCUCCAACCUCUUUCCCUUACAACAUUCGGUACAUAGGUGAUGAGCUAUUUUGGACGCUUUAUUCCGUAUAUCAGAGGGCUUCUACUUUGGCCCGCACCACUUGAUCAUGGUCUCCCUCAUCCACUUUGAGGAGAAGGUUCAUAGGAAGAAGCUUCAGAGGGUGGACACCAUUCCAUUACUAUUCCUGAGGUUACUUUGCCAGGUCUUGGAGUACAUGGGCUUUCCUACUGAGCCUCGGCUCGAGCUUUGCCGCCUUUGUCGAGAGUGAUCCACUCUCGACAAAUGGAAUUAGUUGGCGGGCUAUUCUGCACCUCCAGGAGCCCCUCCCAUGGUAGCACCUCCAAUGUCCCCACAGGCAAAGUAGGGCGAGCUCCCGGCAAAGACUGUACCACCAAUGCCCACACUUGAGGCUAUUUCUGCUGCUCUGCCUAUGACUCCUACUGUUCCACCAGUUGGUCCUUUUACAUCCGAGCCUUCCAUCACCAUCUCGGCUUCGGAGUUUCGCGCCCUUGUGCAUACCUUUCAGACACUCACCACCACACAUACUCCUCUCUUCUAGCAAAUGGUUGAGAUGUGUGCCCAUCAGGACCGGAAGACUACUAUACUCUGCCAAAUUCAGCAGCACCUAAGACUUUUGCCUCAACCUCAACCUAACCAUCCCAUAUCAUCAGAGCCUCUAGCUCCAACUGAGGAUACUAUUCCACCUGAGAACACUACCACAGUAGAGGUCCGGUUUCCACCACCUUAAGAGGCCACCACAGCUACAUCAGAGGAUGUGUCAUCUCCACUUGAGGCUCCCACUACUUGAUCAUAGGACAUAUCUUUAUCUUAUUGUAUUUACAUAUUAUAUUACUAGAGAUUUGUCCUUGUUUUGAUACUUUAUAUUCUGGGAUUGGAUGUAUUGCCUGAUGAUAUCUCAAUUGUACUUUCUCAUAUUAAUAUAUAGACAUCAAUUUUUUUUAGUAUACUUAGCAUUUUUCUAUUUCCUCUACUCAUUACUCUUUUGUUUUUUUUUACUCAUGUGGUUUCUCUUAUACAACUCAGACUCCAUUUCACUCAGGAGGUACCACUUCCUCCCUUUAUUUUCAAUUGCUCUUGAAAUAUUGAGUGCAAUGUUGAUCUUGGUUGGGGGGAGAGUUGAGGAAGGAAGUUUUGUUAAUAAUGCUAGGUUAAUUUGUUAAUUUAGUUACUUUCUGCUUAAUUUUAAAAGUUUUCACUCUACUUUCCAUGGUUAUUAAGGAAAAAUUCUCAAAAUGAAAUGGGAGAAAUCGAAUUCUUGCAUUUUUACUUGAAUCUUAGAAUUUGUAUCAUGCUUAUUAAAGUUGAUGAAUUAUUGAAACUCCUAUUGAAUUCAACCUUAUUUUUUCCACUUUAAUCUUACCACACACGGUGCACAUUAGGUUCCAGUUAUAAGAUAAAAAACUAUCUCACCCCCUAAACUUAGAAAAAUUUACACUUGGUACCUUUGACAUCGUUUUAAUAGUGUUGGGACACCUUAUAAAAGGCCAAUGAGCCUUUAAAAAAAAAAAAAAAAAAAAAAAGAGAAAGAACAAAGUAUUGCACUUGCCUUGAAACCUGAGCAAGAUCCGAGGGGUAUACAGUGAAAGUCUUUAAAACCUGGUGCCCUAAGCCUUGAUUGGUUGGGAGUCACCGACCUCAAUGCUCGUUAUAAGGGUGAAUAGGUGGAGUUUAACAUAUUGUAGGUGCUUGGGUAUUGAAUUUCAAUCUCAAAAGUCCGGGAAAAAAUCUAAGGAGUUAGUGGUCAAAAGAUCCUUAAAGCUUGAUGCCCUAAACCUUGAUUGGUUGAGAGUCAUUGAUGGAUCCCCGCUACAUGGACAUUUUAGAAAACAAUACCUUUAGCAUUGCACGCCUACAAUGAAAAAAAAAUGUGAAAUAAAAGAGGUGCGUUCUUAGCCUAUUGGAGGUUGGUCAGUUUGCUAAAGUUUGAGAAAUCUAGGUUGGGGGGAGAGAAUAGUCCGACAUACUAUAAUAAAAAACUAAUAACCUUAACACUUAGAUUUUUGUGGAAGAGUAAGGAUUGGACCUUUAGGGGUGGAAAUUCUUUUGAUGCUUAAAUUUGCAUAAUGCCUACUCUUUAUAAAUUAUGAUUAGGCAAGAGAUUUGAUGACUCUUGUUCAAAGUUGGGUUUUUCCUCUUUGAUGUUCCAUGAGAGAGUAUAAUCCUCAUCAUGCCACUUGAAAUCUUUUUGGAGUGAUUAACAUGAUUUUGUAAAUUAUUUUACUGUCUAUUUUUCUUUAUCUCUCUUUUAUUGCUAAUGGACUAGCAAUAUGUCAGUUGGGGGGAGUGAUUACUACUCAAAAAGUACUCUUUUAUAGCUUGAAACUAACUGUUUUAAACACUUUUGAGUAGGUGUUAAUACAUUUUAACUCAAUUGGCACAUUAAGGAACCUAACAAGGGUUACUAAUAAGUUUUUGGCAAGUUUUGGUGUUUUUGGUAGCUAUUUGAUCAUUGAAACAAGCCAAGAAUGAGGGAGAAUUUUGUGAAGUCCAUAGCAAUGCAAGUUAAAGCUCAAAUACAUGAAGAAUCCAAGCUUUGAAGCACUUCAUAGCCCUUUGCGAAGCCAAUCAGAGAUGCAAGGAAGAAAACCAGAGGAAAAAAUCCAACAACCAGCAUUUUCGCAUGGCUGUGCGAAAUUUUGCACACCAUGCGAAACCACAAGAAGUAGCCAAAGAAUUUUGCACACCAUGCGAAAUUUCGCAUGGUAUACGAAAUCUUCCUAUGCACCAACUCCGUUAUAUUUUUAUCUUCAGAUAUUUUGUGUAAUUUCCUAGUUUCUCCUUGUAACCAACCUAGAUAUUUUCUUUUAUAUCUUUUUUUUAUAUUUUUUAGGUAACAUCAUAUAUAGGGGGAGAGACAUAAGGAGGAUAUGGAUGUUUUUCAUAAAACACUUUUAAUUUUCUGGUAGUAAGAAAUAUACAAAGUUUUUUGCUCUGCCUUACCUUCUCAUUUUGUUUUCACCUAUCUUUCUAGCCAAACAACCUCUGAGAAUGAUUUCUCAGGGGAUGAGUAGUUAGGUUUUACGUUUCUUGGAGUGAGAGAAGCUAGGUGAAAGACCCAAAUGCUAAGGUGGGAGUUGUCCUUGCUUUAAAUGAAAGUAGUUGUUAAAUAUUAAUGGUUUUUAUUUUAAGGUUUAGCUUUAAAUCCCUUAAAAACACCUUGAAUGGCCAAUACUUGGUAAGCUUUUCGGAUUCUAUGGAUGCUUAUUGCUAGAUCCAUGGAUGUCAUUAGUUAUCAUUUAUGAGCCAUUGGAAGGUGGUUCAAGAUGAGAGUCUUUAGUGUUUGAAGCCAUUAAUGGGAAACAAUUACCAUUUUUUCAUGAAUCCUUUGGAUAAAAUCUUAAUUGCUAAAUAUAAAACUGGUUCGGGAGAUAACCAUCCUUUAUGUUAUUAUGCCCAAUGCAAGGAGAAGAUUUCGAAUCUUCUCAUUUGUCUAAGGAACCCGAUCCUAGUGACCUAAAGCUCCUAGAGACCUUUUCUUUGUAGUUAACUUCAUUUAUUGUUUUUGCUUAACUUAAAAUCAAUCUUUGCAACCACAAUUCCAUUUUCUUUAAAAGCUAAUUUUUAUAAGGAAAAGCACCAUUUUAUUUCCUUCACUAAGUCAACUGUAUGAUGAAAACCCAUCCCUGUGGACGAUCUUAGAGCCACUAUACUAUGUUAUCUAUGCUAUCCUAGUGUGAGGUGAUUUAGGUUUUAUAAAUUUUGUUGAUAACACCCGUCUGAGCCAGAAUCAAAUGGAACCACUGAACCAGGGACAAAUCAACAGCCUAUAUGGGAGGGACACAAGUUUAAUUGAUUUGCAUUUCAGCGUUAUAGAUAAGUAUGUUUUGGAAGAUUUGUUCUGGAAAUACUGCACCAAGUACGAUUCUUUUUCUCUUGAGUGAGUCCAUUUGCAUGCCAAUUAACGAGUUGAAAAGUAGGAGCACCUACCUCGUGCUCAUGGAACCGAAUGUCAGUGAAGUGGGGCUCCUUUUAGCCUCUUGUGUUUCUGUUCCAACCAAGGCGGCGUAGGGAAAAACAACAAUAUGUCUGUGCUAAAUAUCAACGCAUGAUAGAUGUUUUUUUUUUUUUUUUUGGUAUGUCAAGGCUAACGAAUGAAAUGCAUUAGCUUGUUUUGUGACUAUAACUGCAAAUGUCCAAAUUGGAGUAUCUCCAUUUCUCACUUCGGAUGGUUAACUUUAUAAACAAGAUAUAGGAAACAUGUGAACAUCUUGAGGAACAAUUCAAAUUAUUCAUUAGAAGUCCUGGGUUAAGUUCCAAGAUUUAAAUCAGACCCUUCUAGCAGCUUCAAGGGUACUUAGCAACCUAUAACAUAUUAAUGAAGAUUUAGGAUUUAGACUCCGGAAUACAAAUAAAUAUGUAUCUCAUGCUUUGACUAGCUUCCCUACAUAUGCAUAAAAUGGAGAUGACCCAAAAAAAAUAGCAGAAUCUAGCUUCCCUACAUAUGCACAAAAUGGAGAUGACCCAAAAAAUAGCAUAAUCGCCUUAGUUUCUGUGGUUAAGGUGAUUCUCCGCUUAAUAUCCACAUUGACUCAUUAUGCAAAAUCAACUGAGCUAAUUUUAUUUAUUUAUUUAAUGUCAAAUAGGAACUCCUAAUUAACUGAUUACUGUCGAAAAGUGCUAUUUUGUAGACCUAAUUAUAAGGGUUUUAAGCACCUUUGAGUAGUAAUCAUAUUCAUUUAACCUAAUUAAUUCAUUAAGCUCCUUAGUAAUUAGUUCUAACCAUUUUUAGUGGCAAGUUUACAUGUUUUUCAUCAGCUUAUGAACCAAUUCAAGCAUGCCAAUUGAUGGAGGAGCUACUUGGGCGAGUUAAGCAAGGAUUUUGGACGUUUACAGGCUUGAAUUUCAAGUGGAAACACGAGCACAAGCAAUGGGAACACCAUUUCGCAAGGGGAGGCAAUUCACCUUGCCAAAUGACCAAUUUCGCAAGGGGAUUUUCCUCAUGGUGCAAAAUUUGGUCAUUUCGCACCAUGAAGAAACCACCUUGCAAAAUUUCGCAAGGUGGAUUUAGGCACCUUGCGAAAUGCCAAAUUUCACAAGGUGGCUUUUCACCUUGCGAAAUUUGGACCUUUCAUCUUCCCCCCUUGCGAAAUGCCUUUGAAAUCCCCUGUUUUGAGACGCUGUUGAUGAUAUUCCACUGCCGGUUCUCCAAGAUAUUUUGCUUGACUUUUAGCUUUAUAAAUACCUAUUUUACCCUUGUAAUCAACCAAUGAAAAGGUUGCUUUUGUAAUAGCUCUUGUAAUUUAGCUUUUUAUUGUCUUUAAAUAGAGGUGAAGAGCCUCAGACACGAUCAUCUUGUAACCUGUAACUUUAUAAGUUAUAAGAGCACUUUUGUUCAUACGCUUCUUUUCUCUUUUCUUUCUCAUUUUCUUAGUAGCCAAACAUCCUUGGAGGAUGAAAUCCCCAAGGAUGAGAGGCUAAAACCUUUUAGUUUCUUGAAGUAAUGGAUGCCAUGUGAAGCUCCCGUGUCAGGAUGGAGAUUUCCAAGCCAUAAAUGUAAGUAGCUGAGCGUCAUAAAUGUUUUCAUUCAAAGUAAAGCUUUUAAUCCCUCUGACUUGCUUUGAAUGGCCAAUACUUGAUAACCUUUUGGUCUCAAUGGAUUCUUAUUGUUAGAUCCACUGACGUUCAUUAGUUAUCUCCUACGAGCCAUUGUAUUGCAAGUCGAGGAGAUGACCUAUACCAAUAAAAGAGCAUUUAUGAGGUUCAACUACCCUUUUUGUAAGUUUUCAAGGACUAAAACUCAGUUGUUAAACUCAUACCGGUUCGAGAAGUAAGCAUCACCUUAGUUGCUUCCCCAACUCGAGGUGAAAAGUCCCAAAAUCUCCAUUUUUACACAGUGAGUUAAGCAUGGCUAUCCAAAGCUUUAAGAAACUUCUUUUUCCAUCUUUUAACCUAUUUUCAUGUUAGUUUAGUUUACAACACCUUCAUCUUUUUAUGUUUUCAUCUUAACCUAAUUUUUAUUAAGAAAAGUUCACUCCAUCCUCCGAACUUCACCAGUUAAAGUAAAAACCCUUCCCAGUGUUCGAUCCUAGAGCCACUAUGCUAUAGUAGCUUUGCUACUUUAGUGUAAGGACCUUAGGUAUAAAUUUUGUUGAUACCCUUACAUGCCAAGCUACCAAGAGUCGGGUUAUCAUUAACCUAACCAUUGGCCUGUGUAAAUUGAUUUCACAUGCACAAUGUUGUAGUAGAAGUCCAUAUUUUGAAUUUUAUUUUUGUAAAGGUAAGGAAAAUGAAGCAUUGUGUAAUUAUAAAAAUAACUUCAUUGGAAUUCACAAGGUUCACCCAAAAUGGAGCUACAUCUGUAUUCUAUCCUACAGUAGACUAUAUAGAUUGUACAAUAGUAAAUUGCAAAUACAAUUAAUAAGUCUUGUGCUUCCUUACUAAUAAUCCUUUGACAUGAACAUUGCAGCACUAAGGUCCUCUUGGGAAGACACCUUGCACCCAUGAGAGCACUAAGAGGAAGCAAGGCAGAGUCAUGGGUGCAAUGUCAUGACUUGUUGUUGCACCAAGAGAGGCUUGGUGAUGCCAUGGUGUUGCAGUAGCAAGAAUGUUGCCUUGGCAGGGACACGAUCUAGGGAUAGAUGCCAAGAAAGGCUUAGCACUCACAUGAGUUGCACAAAGAUGAAUGUAAUAGAGCAUCAGAGAGACGUCUUGGCAAGUAAAUGAAUGGAUCCAAGAGACAACAACAUGAGGAGUUUCAAAUGGAUAAGGAAUGACUCAAAGACAUUUGAAAGCUACAAGUUGGAUUCUAAUUACGAUUGCAAUUUGAGUUUGAGUAGGAGUUUAGAUUUUGAUUGUAAUUGUAGUAUGAGUUGGACUAGGAUUGCUUAUCCUUAGUCAAUAUAGGAGCGGUUCGUGUCACCCUAUGAAAAGAGUUUGAGUAGGGACUAGGAUUGCUUACUCCUAGUCAAAUAUGGAGUAGGUGGUGCCACACCUAUAAAAAAAAGGGACAACAUGAGAGAGAGAGAGAGAGAGAAAGAGAGAGUGAAUUCACUAAAGAUAUUGUGGGAGUUUUGCUUUGUUACGUCUUGUAUUAUUACUUAGAAUAGGAAUAAAAUACAAGUUGGGGCUAGAGCCCCAUAAUUAAUCUCGUGUGCCUUUGUGGUUAUUCUUUAUUUGUCAUCUCGUGUGGAUUGGAUUAGGUUGACUUAGAGGGCUUCUAAGCACCACCUUUGUGGGUUAUUAUUUAUUUUCCAUCUCUUGUGGAUUAGAUUAGGUUGACUUAGAGGGCUUCUGAGCACCACCUUUGUGGGUUAUUAUUUAUUUUCCAUCUAUUGUGGAUUAGAUUAGGUUGACUUAGAGGGCUUUUAAGCACCACAUUUGUGGGUUAUUCUUUAUUUUCCAUAUCGUGUGGGUUGGAUUAGGUUGACAAGGAGAAAAAUUAUGUGGGAAAUUUGUGUUGGGACACUUACCAUAACCAAGUAAAAUCUACCAAGUCCUUUGUAAUAUCUUCAACAAAUAUUUUAGACUAGUUCUUUCAGUUAGUGUAAAGGAGGAAGAAGUGGUAUUGAUUCUAGAAAUAGGGUGUGUGUAUUUGAACUACAAUCCUUAUGAUCCUUAGGUCUCUAAACCUUCGUGAUGGGCUCCCUGACAUUUCAUAGGUUGUGCUACACAUGCGUUUGAAAUUUAGAGUGCGUUUGACAGUGAUUCCGGGAAGUGUUUUUGGCCUUUCUUACACUUGAAAAUUUUUAUUUUUCAAGUAUUAGAAAUGCUACAAACACUUUUGAAAAUUACUGUCAAACACACUCUUAGGAGCGCACAUAUAUAGUAGAAAACUAGAAAUUGUGGUUUUUUUAGGAUUUACUGUAAUGUCAUUAGGAGGGUAGUAAGUUGAAAUUGAGUAUGAACAAAUAUUUCUUUCUUUGGGAUGUUCUUCUAGUAGGUGCUGAUGAAACUGUUCUUUCUACUGCCAAUGUCACAUAUCAGCCAGAAAUUGAAAAUUUCAGUCAAGGUGUCCUCUGUUUUAGUGGUGAGGAAAGCUAGAAAUUUUAAGGUGAAGUUUUGUUAAAAACCUUAAGUAGCUGGGAUAUCAGGCCUGUUUUGCUUGAAAAAAAAAGUUGCAAGAUAACUCAUAUGCCAAACAGGUUCUGAUAUUGUGAAUCUAUCGGCAGACAUCAGUAAUCUCAUCUUCUGAGAUGGAUGUUGGGGGUGCAUGUGGUGGUGGAGGGGCAAGGUUUCAUUUGGUUUAUUUUGUUGAUGGAUAUUGUCUAGCCACCUGCGCCAAGUUUGAGGGGUGGUGGGUUGUGAUGACCCUACAAUUACUAUUAAUUUCUUCAUCUUUUACCGAUUAAAGUGUCCGAACAGUCGAAGUUACCCUUAUGCAUGUCAACUUGAUCACUUACCUCUUCAAUGGAGUUUAUGCUGGUUCAUUUAGGAACUGAUUUUUAUUGUUAUGUAUUAUAUGCUGAUGUUUAGGUCUCUCCAUCAUCACUAUAUACAAAAAUUCUAGGUUGAUACUAUAGGUUGAGAUUUAUUUUUUAAAUAAAAAAUAAUAAAAAUAAAAAUUAUGGUGAUGUUUAGUUGUUUUAUGGAAAAUUUUAACAAGUAAAAGUUAUUUUUGGGCAAGUUUUCAAACAAAAAGAAAAGUAAAAGUUGUUUUGACAAAAACAUAUAGAAAAAAAAAUCAUAGAAAAUAAAUAAUUUCCCCAUAUUCUAACUUUUUUGAAUUUUUCUCAAUGGGCAAAGGAAUAUCAAAUCAAGUUUGAGUAGGAUUUCUUAAUUUUUAAAAUAACUUACAAUUAAAAAAUUUUGGUGUUUUCAUUUUUGGACAAUUUUUUAUUAAGCAAAUGGACUCUGAGUCAUGCAAGAGAUAUGGUUCAUUAACCGGUCGAACAAUUUUUUUAAAUUAAUUUAAAAGUCAAAUACAUAAUCAAUUUCACAAAAUUUAUAAACAAAAAUAGGUUUAGAGAAGAUCUACACAUAAUUUUACUUUUCUAAUUUUAUUUUAUUUUAUUUUUUGUUGGAAAAUAGUCUUCAAAUCAUGUAAGAUUUAAUAGGUUAAAUUUGUUAACAAUAAAUUUUAAAUUAUAAAAUAUAAUCUGGAACUCAAAAAUCAAUUCAAGUAAUGCUAAAAAAAAAUCAAAUUUGGUAUAGAAUGACUUUGUAAAUUUUUUUACAAAACAAAUGAAUUUUAAAUCAAGUGAGAUUUAAUGCAUUAGAUUUUUAUCAAAUAUAGUAAUUUUAAAAAUAAAUUUGGAACUCAACAAUAGACACAAUAAAUACCAAAAAAUAAUGAACCAAAAUUGGUUUGGAAUAACUCCACAACCUUUUUUUUUUUUUUUUGGUGCACACGAAUUUUCUUACUAGGUAUAUUGCUUUCAAAUUGAGAAAGAUUUACCAUUUAGAUUUUUUUUUAAUGAGUUUAAUGGUAUUUUAAAAUAAUUCAAAAUUUAAAAAAUUGACUAAUUAAUAUUAUAAAUUGAUAAACCAAGACUAUUUCAAAAUGCAUUGGGGGCUAAGGGGGUUGAAAAUAGGGACAAUGGGAUGGGUUUGGGACAUGACACUCAUAUCUCAUUUCCAUUCCAAUUACACAGUUAUCUCCCAUCCUUAUCCCAAACUUGUGUUGGAGCAAGUUGAUUUGUUCCCAUCUUUGUUGACGAAAUGACUAAUAACCUCAUCCCCUCCUUAUCUUAGAUGUACAUUUUGUCAAAUUUGAUCAGGUAUGAUUGAUCCAAGCCCUAACCCUAAUUGGUAAUGAGUGAAUACUACACCUAAUUGCAUUCUUCUUUCAUUGCAAAAUAAUGAGAUUAUAAUAAUCUAGCAAAUAAGAAAAAAUAGUAUGGAAGUUCAAAUUAACACCAUAACUAUCAAUAAUUUUAAGCUUAUAGAUGACUUAAAUGAUUAAAAACUAAUGCAAAAUCCUAAAAAAAAUAAAAAUCAUAUAAAGAAUUCACAAGAGAACAGAAUGAACAAAAACCAAAUAUGAACAUGGGUCAACAUUAGUUAUGGAUUUGGAUUCCUUUCAAGGCCAAUCUUUGAACCAAGACUUCAUCAAAUCAACUACUUCAAAGGCUUUUGUGUUCUUCUUGGGUUGUGCUCUCAAACAAAGACUUCGAGGUGAUGUUCUAGAUGAUUGAAUUACACAUAUUUAGGGUGGAGAGAUUGGAGAAGCUUGAAGAUGCCAACGAUGGGUACAAUUGAGUGGUCAAUAAGAACAAUGUAGCCUAUGACUAGUUUGAUGUCAUGGUACAAGAGUUUUAGGCAUUGAGGUUAAAGCAAGAGCAACAUGGAAUUGAUUUCGGAGUCUUUCAGUUAGUGUAAAGGAGGAAGAAGUGGUGUUGAUUCUAGAAAUAGGGUUUUAAGUGGUGCGUGAUUACUACUCAAAAAGUGCUAUUUGAUAGCCUUUAAUUAAUCCUUUUUAACACUUUUGAGUAGUAGUUUAGGCCUUUUAACUCAAUUGGCAUGUUAAGGAUCCUUUAAAGCAAUUUUGAUCACUUUGUGCAAGUUUUGGUGUUUUUGUUAGUAUUUUGAUCACCAAAGCAAGUCAAGAAUGAGGAGAACUAUGAGGAAUCAUGGGCAAAGCUUAGAAUUCAAUUGCCAAGAGUGAAUCCGGAUUGCAAGGAGAAAAAGCAAAGAGAAUCUGUCAUGAAGCCUAUUCUUGAUGACAGUCGUAGCAGCCACUUUUGGAGCACUUUCUGAAGUCCAAAUGAUGCAAGCUAUAUACCAUUUCAAAGAUCAGGAAGUCAACAAUCCAAUGCUUCAAACGGUGCGCGAUUCGGAGUUGAAACGAAGAAGUUGCAGCCAUUACAAGCCAGUCACUCUAAAGUGUUGCGGAAUCAGCCUUUUGUUGCGAGAAUUUCGCAGCACUUUUGUACAGUAAGGUGUUUCUCCUUCUGACGAUGCACGAACCAUGCCGCGAGAGGGAAGCUAGGAACUUCAAGAUGGAAGCCAACUUUGCAGCCUGGUGAAGAUAGCUUGGUCUUGCGAAAUAAUUUCGCAGCCCUCUUGGGUGUCUGCGAAAUUUCGCAGGCACCACUUUUUUCCUGCGAAAUGGCUCCGGAAGCCUCCCGAAGCUUGCUACCGACAUUGGGAGAUAUUUUCCAUUAGAUUUUUGUUGUCUAAAUUCCAAAAUACUCCUUGUAAACCACCAAUUACAUGAUUCCUUAGUUUUUAAGUUAGUAAAAAGACCAAAUAUCUAUGUAAUAAUUAGUUUUAUAUUAGUUUGCUAUAAAUACCUCUCGGGAGCAUGUUCUCAGAGAGGAGUUCCUUCUGUAACCAUUUUGGUAAGCAAGUAAAGUCUUUUCUUUCUACUGCCUUACCUUCUCACUUUGUAUUUUCAUUUUAUUUCUAAGUUAUGAAUUCUCUGAGGAGCUUUCCCCAGAGAAUGAGUAACUAAACCUCCAAUUCCUUGGAGCUAAGGUUGCCGGGGAAGGUUCCAAGUGCAAGAAUGCAAAGCUCUGUGGUUUUAGCUAGUAAUGAAGAGGAAGUGAAAUCCUUUAGUGAUUUCAAUGUUUUUAGUUAACUUAAAACACCUUGGAGUCACCUGGGCCAACACUUGGUAAGGCAAGUGAUUUCCAACCGUGGAAAUGCACUAGUUUACCCCUUGCGAGCCUCUGGUAGGUGACUUCAAGGUAGGAUUUUCUGGAAUUACCAACACUUGGUAAGCUUUUGGACUCCUAGGAGACAUCCAUUAGUUAUCUCUUGCGAGUUUGUGAAGGGGAAUCCAAGGUUAAAGAUCACCUUGAAUGGUAAGUGCUCGUGAGAGGCAUGAACCAUUGCAAGUUGUAUCAGUGAGAGAAUUAAAGUGAAAUCUAAUUGAAGGAGUCUCUGUACAUCACCGGUUAGAGAAUUGACUAUAAGUUGAAUCUCUAAUGCGAGGAAAUGAACCAUCUGACCGGAGCUAUGUCUUUUGCAUGAGGAACCACCCCAGUGAACCUAAAUCUCCAAGGAAUGCUUUUCUUCCUAAAUUAUUCCAAACUUCUGUUAAGUUAGUUAGUUUAAGUCUAAACCUUUACCAAUCAAACUUUGUGUUUUAUUUCUUAAGCUAACCGUGAAAUGAAACAAAACCAAUUCACUUGGAAUUGGUAUCCUUGAUUGCUUGCAAAUCAUUCCCAGUGAACGAUCCUUAGAGCCACUAUACUAUAGUAGCUUUGUAUUUGCUACCCUAGUGUAUGGUGUUAUAGGUAUAAAUUUUGUUGAUCACUUCCUCAAUCAAGGAACACCAGCUGAACACAAAUCAGCUGAGACACCAAUUGGGCAUGAGUCAAAUGGCGCCGUUGCCGGGGAAUGAGUGUCAAGAUCAUUGUGAUACCAUUUUUGAGCACUUGUGAUUUUCAUCACAAGUUGGUAAAGUUUCUUUCACUUUACUAAUUUUCAUUCUCUCUUUGUUUAUUUACAAUCUAAGUUUAUCUUUUUAAAAUUUAGUCUAGUUUAAUUUUGCUAUUGUAGCCUUGUUUCUCUUGUUGUCCUCUGUUCUUGUUGUCCUCUGUUUUCAUUUUAGUUGCAGCUGAAUACUAGUUGUGUAUGCCAAAGUGGAUACGAGACAUUGGAGGUAGGCUUAUUAAGUGUGAUACACCUCAGAGAGGAGAAUUGGAAGUAAUCUUGAAUAUCAUGGAGGCUGCACCUGAAGAUCAGCAUAGUCACCAAGGUCGUCAAGACAAUCUCAAUGAAUUCAGAUCAAUGAGGGACCGUAUGCAUCCACCUCGUAUGAGUGCACCAUCAUGUAUAGUGCCCCCUACAGAGCAACUAGUGAUCAGACCAUAUCUUGUUCCACUUCUACCAACUUUCCAUGGGAUGGAAAGUGAGAAUCCGUAUGCACACAUCAAGGAAUUUGAAGAUGUUUGUAAUACAUUCCAAGAGGGAGGAGCUUCAAUUGAUUUGAUGAGGCUUAAGUUAUUUCCUUUUAAUUUAAAGGAUAAGGCCAAAAUUUGGCUUAAUUCUUUAAGGCCAAGGAGUAUCCGCUCUUGGACUGAUUUACAAGCUGAAUUCCUCAAGAAAUUUUUUCCUACUCAUAGAACAAAUGGCUUGAAAAGGCAAAUUUCAAACUUCUCAGCUAAAGAGAAUGAGAAAUUCUAUGAGUGUUGGGAAAGAUACAUGGAAGCUAUAAAUGCUUGUCCUCACCAUGGCUUUGAUACUUGGCUACUGGUGAGUUAUUUUUAUGAUGGUAUGUCCUCCUCAAUGAAGCAACUCCUCGAGAAAAUGUGUGGAGAAGAUUUCAUGAGCAAAAAUCCAGAGGAAGCUAUGGAUUUCUUGAGCUAUGUAGCUGAUGUUUCAAGGGGAUGGGAUGAACCAACUAAAGGAGAAGUGGGAAAGAUGAAGUCUCAGUUGAAUGCUUACAAUGCAAAGGCUGGGAUGUAUACUUUAAAAGAGGAUGAUGACAUGAAAGCAAAGUUGGCAGCUAUGACAAGAAGAUUGGAGGAGCUGGAGCUGAAAAGAAUGCAUGAAGUGCAAGCUGUUGCUGAAGCACCAGUGCAAGUGAAGUUGUGUCCCAAUUGUCAAUCGUUUGAACAUUUGGUAGAGGAAUGCCCUGCAAUUUCAGCUGAAAGGGAAAUGUAUAGAGAUCAAGCAAAUGUUGUUGGACAAUUCAGGCCCAAUAACAAUGCUCCUUAUGGAAAUACCUACAAUUCAAGUUGGAGGAAUCAUCCAAAUUUUUCAUGGAAGGCCAGAGCAACUCAAUACCAACAGCCGGAUCCACCAUCUCAACAAUCUUCAAGUAUUGAACAAAUAAUAGCUAAUCUCAGCAAGGUAGUGGGAGAUUUUGUGGGAAAGCAAGAAGCCACCAAUGCUCGAGUGGAUCAAAGAAUGGACAGAGUGGAUCAAAGAAUGGACAGAAUGGAGAGUAUGUUGAACAAAAGAAUGGAUGGAAUGCAAAAUGAUAUGAAUCAAAAAUUUGAUAACAUCCAAUAUUCAAUUUCAAGGCUUACAAAUUUGAAUACACUGCAAGAAAAGGGAAGAUUUCCUUCUCAACCUAACCAAAAUCCCAAAGGUGUCCAUGAAGUGGAAAGCCAUGAGGGAGAAUCAUCACAGGUGAAAGAUGUGAAAGCUUUGAUCACUCUAAGGAGUGGUAAGAAAAUUGAGCAGCCAACACCCAAGCCACAUGUUGAGAAAGAAGAAGAGAUGAAGAAAGGGAAGGAAAUGGAAGAUAAAGGCAGUGAGAUCAGUGAAGAAAAGAAGGACUCUGAUGCAACAAUGAAAGUAAUUCCAGAGAAGGAGCUUCUGAAGGAAGAAAUGCUGAAGAAAUCAACUUUUCCACCUUUUCCUCAAGCAUUACAGGGGAAAAAGGGGGUUAGAAAUGCAGCUGAAAUCCUAGAAGUAUUGAGGCAAGUGAAAGUUAAUAUUCCACUGCUGGAUAUGAUCAAACAAGUUCCAACGUAUGCAAAAUUCCUAAAGGACUUGUGUACUAUCAAAAGAGGGUUGACUGUAAACAAGAAAGCCUUCUUGACUGAGCAAGUAAGUGCAAUCUUACAGUGUAAGUCUCCUUUGAAGUACAAAGACCCUGGAAGUCCUACCAUUUCAGUCAUGAUUGGAGGAAAGGUAGUGGAGAAAGCCUUGCUAGACUUGGGAGCAAGUGUGAAUUUGCUUCCAUAUUCUGUCUACAAGCAACUGGGACUUGGAGAGUUGAAGCCAACAGCAAUCACUUUGUCUCUGGCAGAUAGAUCAGUGAAAAUUCCAAGAGGGGUAAUUGAGGAUGUAUUGGUUCAAGUAGAUAAUUUCUACUAUCCUGUAGAUUUUGUUGUUCUUGAUACAGAUCCUACUGUAAAGGAAGCUAAUUUAGUUCCUAUCAUCCUUGGAAGGCCAUUUCUUGCAACUUCAAAUGCAAUCAUCAACUGUAGAAAUGGGCUUAUGCAACUCACUUUUGGUAACAUGACACUGGAUCUAAAUAUUUUCUAUAUGUCUAAAAAGCAAAUCACUCCAGAAGAAGAAGAGGGUCCAGAAGAGCUAUGUAUUAUUGAUACUUUGGUGGAGGAGCACUGCAAUCAACAUAUGCAAGAUAAGUUGAAUGAAAGUUUUGUGGAUAUUGAGGAAGGUUUUUCUGAAUCUCCUAAUGGGCUUGCUACUCUACAAAGUUGGAGAAAGAUAGAAGGAAUUCUACCUUUGUUCAAUGAAGAAGAGGAGGCAGCUGUUGAAAAAGAAAUUCCAAAACUCAAUCUGAAGCCUUUACCUAUGGAGCUGAAAUAUACAUAUCUUGAAGAAAAUAAUCAAUGUCCUGUCGUAAUAUCUUCAUCUCAAACCAAGUCUCAAGUGAAGGAUGCAAGCUUCAAAUGGGAUCCGGGCAAACUGAAUCAGGAAGGGCAAAAAGUUUUGAUGUAUGACACAAGACUCCAUAUCUUUCCUGGGAAGCUCAAGUCAAGGUGGAUUGGUCCAUUUGUUAUUCACCGAGUAUAUUCCAAUGGAGUGGUGGACUUAUUGAAUUCCAAUGGCAAGGACAGCUUUAGAGUCAAUGGAUAUCGUCUUAAGCCGUUCAUGGAGUCAUUCAAAUCAGAAAAGGAGGCAAUCAACCUCCUUGAACCUCAAAAAGCCUAAGUGAAAUGGGUUUGCUGGACGUGGUUUUACCACAGUCCAAAAAUUUUUGUAAAUUUUGUAAAUUUUCAAGUUGUUUCCAUGCUUUUAAUCUUAGUUUUUGAUUUUAAAUCAUGUUUUUAGGUGUGUUUUAAUCGUUUUAUAUGAUCCCAGGCGGAAGAAAUUUCAAGGGGAUUGAAAAGAAAAAAAUCGGGUCGAAAUUGGAGCCGAAACAGAGCAAAAACAGGGGAAAAACAGAGCUCUGCGAAAUUUCGCAGGGUGAAGGAAACUUCUGCGAAAUUGGCAUUUUGCUGCCAAACCAUUCCGCAGCACUGUAGAAGCCUCUGCGAGUGUAUUUCGCAAUUGCGAAAGUGGAUUUGGCACACGAGUGCCACUUCGCAGCACAGUGACAUCAAUUUCGCAGCUGCGAAACUCACUGCGAAGUUGCUGCGAAAAUGGCAAGUUGCUGCGAAAUUGGCGUUUUGUUGCGAAACGUAAUCUGACCCCUGGGCUUCCGUUUUUCCUAUUUAUACCUGUCAAAAGUGCUGCGAAAAAGGUUUCAAAAAUUAGAGCACCAUUCUCGCAGCCCUUUCAUCUUCUUCGCCAAGCCACGCCGUCCGUUUCUCCGGUCGUCUUCUCCGUUUAGCAGCGCCGGCCAAAGAUCGAUAGCCCAAAAAUGGCACGAACGCGAGGGGCAAAGUCUUCAUCCCCUUCGAACCGCAAAAGGAGUCUGCGAAAGGAGCCAAGUUCAGGCUCUGUUCCAGAACCUGCUCCAAAGCCUUCGCCGUCGAGACCACAACCUUCUCCAGUGAAGCCGGCGCCACCAAAGCCGCCGGCAAGGCGAUAUUUAACCAGGUCAGGUGGUCAGCCAUUGAAGAAGAAAGCCAGAGUUGAGAGCUCUGAACCAAUCGAUUUGACUGAGCAAUCCCCUGAGAAAUCACCAAAUCCUUCACCGGUACAAAUUCCAGUGCCAUCACCGGUUCCCUCGCCAAUUCCCUCACCAGAAGCAACUCCAAUUCCAUCGCCGGUACCAUCUCCGGCACCCCAAGAAAAAGCUCAGGAGCCUCAAGCGCCAAUUCCAGAGCCCCAAAUUGCAGCUGAAGCACCUCUGGAAGAAGUGAUCCGAAGGCCAAUGCUGCCUCAGCCCCCAAUCGAAGGAAACCUGGAUUGCCGAACUCGGGCAUUCCAUUCUGAGCUUUGCUUCGAUUUAACAGCAUUCAGAGUGAGGCCAGAGCUUGCCCAAUCCUUCCAACUGCUGAGGAGAUAUCAUAUGGAGCAUCUGCUAGCUCCAAGGGAUUUUUUCUAUCCCCGGGUAGUCACGGAUUUCUACCAAACCAUGACAACCAAAGAAGUAAGAAAUCCAACUCUGAUUCAUUUCAUAAUUGAUGGAAGGCAUGGUAUUUUGGGAGCAAGACAUAUUGCUGAAGCCCUGCAAAUUCCUUUUGAGCCAACUCAAUUCGACAAUUUUAAAGCUUGGACAAAUCCUACUGAGUUAGAGAUGGUUAGCACACUAACCAGAGGAGCUGCAAAUCGAUCGCAUUUGUUGAGGGGGGAGCUACCUCCAGUUAUGUUUUUGAUUGAUGCCUUUUUGAGGCAUAAUAUCUAUCCCCUGCAGCAUUGGACCCAAAGAAGGGGAAUUCUCCUAGAAGCCUUGUACAAAAUGUCUGAAGGAUUCUUCUUUGGGCCUCAUCAUCUGAUCAUGGCAGCCCUUCUAUACUUUGAGGAGAAGGUUCACAAGAAGAAGCUUCAAAGAGCAGAUUGCAUUCCACUCCUCUUCCCAAGGCUGCUAUGCCAAGUUUUGGAGCAUCUCGGAUACCCCUCUGAGCCUCAGCAGGAAAGAAAGAGAAUAUGCCGUGAGCCUUUUACCCUUGAUAAAUGGAAUAAUAUGACGGCCUACAAAAUUGAUCAGCCUGGGCAGCCUCAGCCAGCAGCAAGGAGAGUCUCCCCAAGACAUAUACCUGAAGGUAUAACACUUGCUACUCCUGCCAUCCCUCGAGCUCCACCAGCUGCACCUGCUCCAUCACAGCCAUCCACAUCAGCUGAGCCGAGGAUGGCCAUCCCUAUAUCCGAAUAUCGAGAGCUGUGCCGUGCAUUGGAGACUCUUACAGCUUCUCAGAGCAAUCUUGCUCAGGAGUUGGCAGCCAUUAAAGCAUGCCAGGAGCAGAUGUUAGCCUCUCAGACUCAACAAGCUGCCAUCCUAAGGCAGCUUCAAGUCCAUUUCGAUCUGCCACAAGCUGUAGAGCCCUCUAUUCCUACUCCACCAGAGCCACACUCUCAGCCUUCAGAGUCUCAUCCUCCAGAACCCGAAGCACCAGCUGAUCCACCUACUGAGGAGGCAGAUCCUUCUGCCUAGCACCAUCACCCCCCUCAUCAGACAUUAUAUAUAUAUUUGCUGUUUAUGUUUUUAUGCAUGUUUGUUUUGUUUUAGUUGAAAAGAAAUCCCAGUAUUUUGGUACUAUAUAUGGGAUUCCUUGUGUUACUUGUCUUUAGUAUUGUAAUCACAUGAACUCAAAGUAAUACAAGUUGACUAUUUCUUGUUAAAAGUUAGCAUUAAAGUUUCCUUAUUUCCUUUUCUCACAUAUUCUAUUCUUUUUGAAACAUGUGGUUUUCCCCAAUCAAUAUUCGAAUUUGAUAUCAGCAUGGAGGUACCACUUCCUCCCUUUUAUUACAGUCACUCAAAUCACAUUGAGGACAAUGCUCAGUUCGGUUGGGGGGUAUGAGGAAGGAAGUAUUCUAAACCUUUUUGGUAUUGCAAUUAUAUUGGUUAAUUAGUUGUAGAUUUUACUUUUUACUAGUGUUACUCUAUUCUCCAUGAAUUUUGAGGAAAAAUUUUCAAAUUAAACCAAGAGAAAUUGAACUGUUGUUUUUCACUUGACUUAGAGUAUGGAUUAUGCUUACUAAAGUGGUUCAAUUGUUGAAACUUCUACUGAAAUUGAAUUGAGUUCUUCCACUUUAAGCUAUCCACACACUGUGCACAUUAGUUUCCGAUUAUAAGAUGAAAAGCUAUUUCCCUCUUGACUUAGUAUAUUUUUGGGACUUGGUAUAUUUGACCUCAUUUGAUAAAAAUUGAAACACCCUGCAAAAGGCCAAUGAGCCUUUGAAAUAAAGAAAGUUGUUUGCUUGCCUUGAAACCCGAGCAAGGUCUGAGGGGUAUAUGGUGAAAAUCUUUAAAGCCUGGUGCCCUAAGCCUUAAUUGGUUGGGAGUCACCGACCUCAAUGCUCGUUACAAGGGUGAAUAGGUAGAGUUAGCAUAUGGUAGAUGCUUGGGUAUUAGAAAUUCAUUCUUAAAAGUCCGGGGAAAAAUCCGAGGAGUUAGUGGUUGAAAGAUCCUUAAAACUUGGUGCCCUAAACCUUAAUUGGUUGGGAGUCAUCGAUGGACCCCCAUUACAUGGACAAGUCAGAAAGAGUACCCCAUAAAGCUACCUUAAAAAAAAAAAAAAAAAAAAAAAAAAAAAAAAAGAUGAAAGUGUGUUCUUUUCUUAUUGAUUUUGGUCAGUUUGCUAAAGUGUUGAAAAGAGAUAGGUUGGGGGGUGAGAUUAGUAGCAUAUUAUUCUCGGAACCUAAGGAACCAAUACACAUAGAUUUUUGUGGAAGAUUGAAGUUUAGUUCUUAGAAAAUGAAAUGAUUUUAAAACUUCAGUUUGCAUAAUGCACUCCCUUGAUUGACAGUGUUUAGCAUAGGUGUUAUGACUCUUGUUGAGAUUUGGGUUUGUAUUUCUUUAAUGAUUCAUGUGAGAAAUAGAUCAUCAUGCCACUUGAGAAUUAUUUUCCUUUUAGCAUGAUGUUGUAAAUUUUAGAUUAGUUUGCUAUUUAUUUUUUAUUUUCUCUCCUAUAUUGCUAAGGGACUAGCAAUAUGUCGGUUGGGGGGAGUGAUUACUACUCAAAAAGUGCUAUUUGAUAGCCUUUAAUUAAUCCUUUUUAACACUUUUGAGUAGUAGUUUAGGCCUUUUAACUCAAUUGGCAUGUUAAGGAUCCUUUAAAGCAAUUUUGAUCACUUUGUGCAAGUUUUGGUGUUUUUGUUAGUAUUUUGAUCACCAAAGCAAGUCAAGAAUGAGGAGAACUAUGAGGAAUCAUGGGCAAAGCUUAGAAUUCAAUUGCCAAGAGUGAAUCCGGAUUGCAAGGAGAAAAAGCAAAGAGAAUCUGUCAUGAAGCCUAUUCUUGAUGACAGUCGUAGCAGCCACUUUUGGAGCACUUUCUGAAGUCCAAAUGAUGCAAGCUAUAUACCAUUUCAAAGCUCAGGAAGUCAACAAUCCAAUGCUUCAAACGGUGCGCGAUUCGGAGUUGAAACGAAGAAGUUGCAGCCAUUACAAGCCAGUCACUCUAAAGUGUUGCGGAAUCAGCCUUUUGUUGCGAGAAUUUCGCAGCACUUUUGUACAGUAAGGUGUUUCUCCUUCUGACGAUGCACGAACCAUGCCGCGAGAGGGAAGCUAGGAACUUCAAGAUGGAAGCCAACUUUGCAGCCUGGUGAAGAUAGCUUGGUCUUGCGAAAUAAUUUCGCAGCCCUCUUGGGUGUCUGCGAAAUUUCGCAGGCACCACUUUUUUCCUGCGAAAUGGCUCCGGAAGCCUCCCGAAGCUUGCUACCGACAUUGGGAGAUAUUUUCCAUUAGAUUUUUGUUGUCUAAAUUCCAAAAUACUCCUUGUAAACCACCAAUUACAUGAUUCCUUAGUUUUUAAGUUAGUAAAAAGACCAAAUAUCUAUGUAAUAAUUAGUUUUAUAUUAGUUUGCUAUAAAUACCUCUCGGGAGCAUGUUCUCAGAGAGGAGUUCCUUCUGUAACCAUUUUGGUAAGCAAGUAAAGUCUUUUCUUUCUACUGCCUUACCUUCUCACUUUGUAUUUUCAUUUUAUUUCUAAGUUAUGAAUUCUCUGAGGAGCUUUCCCCAGAGAAUGAGUAACUAAACCUCCAAUUCCUUGGAGCUAAGGUUGCCGGGGAAGGUUCCAAGUGCAAGAAUGCAAAGCUCUGUGGUUUUAGCUAGUAAUGAAGAGGAAGUGAAAUCCUUUAGUGAUUUCAAUGUUUUUAGUUAACUUAAAACACCUUGGAGUCACCUGGGCCAACACUUGGUAAGGCAAGUGAUUUCCAACCGUGGAAAUGCACUAGUUUACCCCUUGCGAGCCUCUGGUAGGUGACUUCAAGGUAGGAUUUUCUGGAAUUACCAACACUUGGUAAGCUUUUGGACUCCUAGGAGACAUCCAUUAGUUAUCUCUUGCGAGUUUGUGAAGGGGAAUCCAAGGUUAAAGAUCACCUUGAAUGGUAAGUGCUCGUGAGAGGCAUGAACCAUUGCAAGUUGUAUCAGUGAGAGAAUUAAAGUGAAAUCUAAUUGAAGGAGUCUCUGUACAUCACCGGUUAGAGAAUUGACUAUAAGUUGAAUCUCUAAUGCGAGGAAAUGAACCAUCUGACCGGAGCUAUGUCUUUUGCAUGAGGAACCACCCCAGUGAACCUAAAUCUCCAAGGAAUGCUUUUCUUCCUAAAUUAUUCCAAACUUCUGUUAAGUUAGUUAGUUUAAGUCUAAACCUUUACCAAUCAAACUUUGUGUUUUAUUCCUUAAGCUAACCGUGAAAUGAAACAAAACCAAUUCACUUGGAAUUGGUAUCCUUGAUUGCUUGCAAAUCAUUCCCAGUGAACGAUCCUUAGAGCCACUAUACUAUAGUAGCUUUGUAUUUGCUACCCUAGUGUAUGGUGUUAUAGGUAUAAAUUUUGUUGAUCACUUCCUCAAUCAAGGAACACCAGCUGAACACAAAUCAGCUGAGACACCAAUUGGGCAUGAGUCAGUGCGUUAGAGGAUCAAGAAGAAGAAAAAGAAGGAACUGUUGGAAUUAGUAUGAGUGUGAAGAGAAAAGUAUAUAAAUAAGGGGAAGUAAAAGCAAAGUUCAAAAAGCUAUAUUUUUUUAUUGUUGGUGUAUGGUUGCAUGAUUAUCCCUAUAAAUAAUAGGAGUUUUUUGGUAUUCUACUAGUAGUUGAAGCAUAAUUUCAUAAAUUAAUAUUUAGAGCGGGGUGGGGUGAGUUGUGACAAAAUUCAUACCCGUCCCAAACCUUGGUUCAGAUUUUUAAAAUAUUCUCAAACUUAUCAUAUACCCAACUUUUAUAUUUCAUACUUGUCCUAAUAGAGGCACGUUAGGCCGGGUUACUUGAGUAACCUACAUAAUUGUCAUCCCUAGUUGAAAUACACUUUUUGGCAGUGGCCACCAACUGAGCUAGAAGCUUGAUUGAUUGACCUACAAGAUUAGUUCUCAUCAUUUUAAAAAAAGUUCUGGCUUUGGUUGUGAGUGCAAUUGAAUCUAAACUGGCAUUUGCUUAAUGCAUCUACUUCAAUCCUAAACUUCUUACUUCUUAAGCCUCAAUUGUUGUUAGGAUUUUGGAAAACCCAUUUCCUUAAAUUGUAAAUUUAAGAUAAAAUAAAAUAAAAGUGAGACAUUUCUUGAUUGAAUAUUGUUAAAGGUCCCUUGGCAUUAAGACUUGGUUGAAGCCUUGGAAGAUUAGUGGAACUCUCAACAUGUGUUUGAAUCUUGAGGAGAGUGGAUGUAAGCCAAAAUUUUGUCAAACCAUUAUACAAAUUGAGUUUGAAUCCUCAUUUCUUGAUUUCUUAUUUAUUUGCUUUUUCUUAUUAUUACUUGAAUUGUCAUUUGCAUUCAUUAAUGUUAAAAUUGGUUAUAAUUAACCAACACUAAUUCUCUUUCCCCUUCCCUUUCUUGGGUGUAAACCUAGGUUGGAUUAACUAGAUAAAUCUAUUAAGAUGGUAAAAGAAUAAUUAUUCUUAACAUACAUAAGAUCAUCUUCAAUCAAAUGACUCAUUGGCUAAUAUGUUGAAUUUGCUUAUUACUUGCAACUCAAAAUUGUGUUCUAGUUGUGUCAAGUCCCCAGUGUAUGGACAUUAAAUUUGUAGUACGUGAUGAGUAAUUAGAUGGUCCAACUCCAAGAAAGUGAUUGAAAAGUAGUUCAAGAAAGGUGCAAAAGGGAAUUGUUUUGGUAUUUUCGUUUUUAUUCUUGAAGGUGGCAGAGCUAAAAUUUGAGAAAUCAAGCAAAACAUACUGAAAUUACAUUGAAAGAAAGAAGAUGGGAGUUAAUGUCUUGCAGUACAUGAUAAGGACUUCAUGCAUGUAGUGUGACCCAUGUCUUGGACUGAUGCCAACUCACGGUUACACUUAUACCCUUGGUUCUCUCUUUACUACCUUGGCUAACCUAGAUCAGGCUAUGAGAUAGGCUCCUCACCACACCAUUACUUGCCCAUUAAUUAGAGACAUUUUCAAGCAAUGAGGUAACAUGGUGACACCAAGAGGGUCUAUUCCUCGCCCGGAACAAGUCUAGACUUGGUCUCAAAAAAAUGGAGAAAAAUGAGGUGUCGUUAUGUAGAAAUACAACAACCAUGCCUUCCUCAUUACUUAGAUUCAGAAUGUGAAGGUGAAAUUGAGAAACAGAAACUCUUGAAACCAAAAUGAAAAUUGAUACUUUUACGAAGAAUUACAACAACAUUAGAGGAAGACUACAUUCUUCCUCUUUAUUCCUACAUUUCUACACUACUUCUACUCCACUCCAUAUUUCUACAUACAUCUUUAAUCAGUCUUCCCUCCUUUAUAUAGAGCCAUCUUCACACAAAUUUCGCAAGGUAGAAAAGAGGAAUGAAACUUGGAGCAAGGUUCGACUACUGGUUGUAGCUUGUCAAGGCUGGAAGUGAACUUUUCUUGGCUUUCUGGGCAUGGGUAGUAACUUGUGGGUUCCUGUUUGGCAUAAAAAUGGCUAGAACAUGUGGCACUAUCUUGUUGGAUGAUGUGUCAAGCAUGUGGCAGCCAUCUAGUGGCGAUUAUGUCAAUUUUGGGAUGGAGAGUUGGCAUCCAAUUGCAAAGAAAUAUGACGUCUACCAACAUGCAAUGUAAACCUAUGUAGAUCAUAUGAAGAUAGAGAGGAAAAAUAUAGAAAUGGAUAUAUACCUAGAACUAGCUUUUUAUUAAAUGAAACGGAGAGACAACAAUGAAGGAAAAUAAAAUUUUUUGGCUUAUAUCAAAGAGUUCACAUUGUGUUACCCUAGGUUUUCUUAAAACUUACUUUUAUGAUAACAAAAAAGAAAAAACCAUUAUUGUUUAAUCCUUUGUUUUAAACGCAUGUAAGGUGUAAUUAAGUUAGUUCAAUGCAUUAAUUUAAGAAACUUGACCUAUCAAAAGUACAAAAUUAGAUGAAAUCCAUUUCAAUGGUUAAAAUGAUCAAAAUCAAACUUUUUCUAAGUAUUUUUUAAAAGCAUCAAUAGUGAAAGACAAUUUUAUAUUUAGUCGGAGUUUGGACAAAACUGAAAAACACACAAAAUCCAAGCGACCAUCUCUAGCUUGGAUGGUCGCUUGAUCCCACCUAGAGAUGUGCAUGAGUAAAAGGAUUUGAAAAUGGAAAUUGACUAUGUAGUCGAUCAAUUAACUUUGCAACAUCAUAUGCAAUCCUAAUUGCUAGUCAUCUAAUCAAUUAGGUAGUCAAUCAACAGGCCAAAAAUAUGUUUAUAAUGACUAUUUUGUACAAAAACCACCUGUAUAGUUAAAUAUAAUGCAUUUCAUUUAUAAAUCUUCUAAUUCUUGAAUAACGAUCCUAUCAUCCUUUGAAAGUUUUUAUUACACUUUUUUUACUUUUGUUCUAAAACUUACACAUCACCCUUAAUUGUACCAUGAGAACCUAGCUAUUUUUUAUUUUUUUUUUUGUAAUUCAUCAAAGUUAGCUUUUGUAUUCAUUGUUGUAUUAUUUUUAGUAUAACUUAGAAAGCUAGUGUUUUCAAGUGAGUAAAAUUAACUUGUAAAUAUUGUAAAGAUUCAUCGACAUGUAUCUUAAACUAAGUGUACAAGUUAAAACAUUUGCUAGUAGAUUUUCUCAAAAUUUAGAAUAGAGCUUGAGACUAUUGAAAUAGGUGGGGUUGCACCAAACCACAUCACAUCGUUGUUUGCACCUUUUUUCACUCUCUUUUACUUAGUUGCUCUAUAUUUGUUGUCUAGUAAUAUCCUAUAGGCUUGAUGGGUUAGGGAGCAUCCCUUUGUGAAAAAAUUUUAUUCAAUCCUUAGUUGUAUCACGCAUAUAUAAAAUGCCUCAUUGUUUUAAUGGUAUUCAGUCGUGGCAUCACAGAUAUGGGCAUCUAAAUUUUAAAAGUUUGAAACUUUUAUCUAAAGAAAAUAUGGUGCUUUGCCUUUUUGUAAAGCAUGUUGAUGAAAUCCAUGAGAAUUGUGUACUUGGGAAGCAACACCGAGAUGACUUUUUUUUUUUUUUUAUAAUAUUGUUUGUCCAAAUUCCCUACAAAUUAGGCCACCAGAUGUUCAUAAUUCUCCCUUCUUGAAUUUGAAAACUCGGACAAUUGGACAAUGCGACACCUAAGUCCGGUUUCUAAAUGCUAAAGUGAAAGGGUAGGUAUGGACCAUUGAAAUGUGAUCACAACUUUUCUCUGUAGCCAUGUUGUCUCUUUUUUCUUUUGCAUGAUUUUCUUACCUUAACAGAAUCAUAGACUUGUUUAGUCUCUAAAUGGGAUUAAUUUCAUCCAGCUUUAAGCUACUAUAUUAUAUCUAGGUGGAGGACUUUUAAGAGUGCAACCGACAUAGAGCACAUGGAAGUGGGUAUAUGGGACAUGAAAUUUCUUCUUAUAAAGAUUGCAUGAUUUUUAUAUUAGAGUUGUUGAGGCGCUAUGUAUUUAGCUUGUUUUGCAGUUAAAUUAAUUGGAUAAGUAGACAUUGGCGUUUCUAAAUCUACUGUGAAGUGCUUCAUGUACGUGUGAAGUAUUAGAAAUUUCUUUCUUGGCAACUUGUUUUUCUUUGCGGUCUACUGAUAGGUUUGACUAAAAUUAUAUUCCCUGUCAUGCUAAUUAAUUUUCACGUGCAUGCUCAAAAGAAAAGUAUGACCUUAGUGCACCAAAAUCACUUUGAUUAAUUUGUGAUAGGUUUUUGUGCAUCAUGACAUUAGCCUUAUUCAUUUAGAUAAUGUUUAGUUUUUAGAAAGUAUUAAGAAAAGGAAAAUAAAUAUUAAGAAAAAUAUUCUUAUAUUUGAUUGUAUUAUGAAAAAUAUCAUAAAAAAAUCAAAUAUAAUUUAAAUUAAUUAAUAAUUUAUACAUUUUCAAAUUAUUUAAUCUUUAUAUUGAAGAUAUAAUAUAAAUGAAAUGAGUUUUAAGUAUUAUAUAAAAGUGAUUUAUUGAUCUUACAUAUAUAUAUUUCUUUUUUUUUUCCUUCUAUUUUUUCUCUUUAUUUUAUUUUCCUUAUGUUUUCCUCAACAUUUUCCGGAACCAAACAUAGCCUUAGGAAAUCCACAAUUACCUUCAACUGAGUAGAUUCUGUUGUUUUAGCAAUGUUAGGCUGCUAACUUGUGUUGGUACGAACCUAUUAAGCCUAAAGAUGUAAUUAGUUAGGAUAUUCUUUUCCCUCUAGUCUUGUAGCUCCACGUGUACAGUUGGUUAGGACCUCAUUGUAUAUAAUGCUUGCCCUGUUAUUGUAGAAGACAACAAAGAUAAAUAAUAUUAACAUUUUUCCUCUCAUCUCUCUCUGUUUCCCUCUGUUUUCAUCUCCUCUCUCAUCUUGGUAUCAGAGCCUCCAUGGCUUCUUUCAAAGAAACCUCCGAAUCACCUUCUGCUAGCAUUGUUAAUGUGCAAAACCCAUUAUCUCAAUCAAACAACCUUCCUUCACCAGUAGCCACACCCUCUUUUUCUUUCUCGUCUAUGAAUCAACCUCUCACAGUGAAGCUGGAUAAUGGGAACUACCUCAUAUGGAAGAAUUAGCUUCUAAAUGUCAUCAUUGCUAACGGACUCGAUGAUUUCAUUGACGGAUCUCGACCCUGCCCUCCUCGAUUUCUCGAUCUGCAACAACAAACCCUCAAUCCAGAGUACUCAGCUUGGCAGAGAUACAAUCGACUUCUGAUGAGUUGGCUGUACGCAUCCUUGUCCAAAGAUAUAAUGGCUCAGAUUGUUGGGUAUUCAACAGCUAUGGAGAUUUGGAAUGCCCUUAAUCAGAUUUACUCUGCCUCUUCUAUGGCGCGGUUUACUGAGCUUCGCACCAAGCUUCAAACGCUCAAGAAAGAUGGACUCUCAGUUGGUGAAUAUAUUCAAAGGCUCAAAUCCAUUUGCAAUAGUCUUGCAGCAAUAGGAGAACCAGUUUCUGAGAAAGACCAUCUUAUCUAUUUGUUCAAUGGAUUAGAUUGUGAGUAUUAUUCUUUUGUUACCUCCAUUCAAAAUCGAUCUGACCAACCAACUAUUGACAAAAUCCAUAGCCUAUUGCUUAGCUAUGACUUCCGGCUUGAACAACAAAACUCUGUUUCUCUCCAUUCUGCCCAAGUCCAUAUGGCUCAUCUGAACAAGAAACCUUAUAAAUCAACUCCUCAACCUACAUUCAAUCAUAUUCACAUUCAACCUAGAUACUCUUCUCCACCUUUUAAGCCAACCACUAGUCAAUAUCAACCCAACAUUUUGGGCAAACCACAACCACAACCAUGACAGCCUCAACCUCAAUGGAAACCACAUUUUUCAAUCUAAAAUCAAAAGCCUCAGCGCCAAAUUUGUGGUAAAUUUGGACACACUGCUCUUAUUUGCUUCCAUCACACAAAUUUGAACUAUUCACCCCAACCUUCUCCUAAAUCUUUCAAUACUGUUCUCACCACAAAUUCCCAGCUCCCUAAUCCUCCAAAAUUUUCUUACCCUACAAUGGCUCAUCCUGCUGCUACGCAUAACACGGUUCCCGAUACAAAUUGGUACAUGGACUCAGGUGCUACACAUCACUUUACUCUGGACAUCAACGUGCUUGACACUGUGACACCAUUUAGUGGUUCAGAACAGGUGACAGUUGGGAAUGGUAAGCAACUCUGUAUCUCACAUCUUGGUACUGCAAAACUACCAUCUUCGUAUUCUCCUCCUGUUCUACAUCAGGUAUAUCACACUCCAAAAAUUUCAAAUAAUCUUAUUAGUGUUAAAAAAUUGUGUUCUGAUAAUAAAGUUUUUGUUGAAUUUUAUGCCACUCAUUUUCUUGUCAAGGAUCAGGUUUCGAAGAGAGUUCUCCUUUAGGGUCAACUUGAUAAUGGCUUAUACAAAGUUCAGUCGUCAUGCUCUCCUUCUGCUGUUUCCUUUCCUCCUCAAGUUUUCAUAGCCAACAUCAAGUAUCCAAAUCUGUGGCACAAGAGACUAGGCCACCCAGCUUUAUCUGUUGUUAAUCAAAUCUUGGAUUCUUGUAACAUUGCUCGAACACAGAAAAUUUGUUUUAAUUUUUUAAAUUCUUGUCAAUUAGCAAAGAGCCACAGGCUUCCUUUUUCUCUGUCUCCAUCCAUUGCAGAAAAACCUUUUGAGUUAAUUCAUACAGACCUAUGGGGUCUUUCGCUCGUUCGCUCUAUUUCUGGUGCUCUUUAUUUUUUACUUUUCAUUGAUGAUCAUACUCGUUUUACUUGGUUUUAUUUGCUCAAAACAAAAGAUGAAGCAUAUCCUACUUUUCUCAAGUUUCAAGCUCUCAUUGAAAAUCAAUUUAAUACCAAGAUUAAGGCUGUCCAAUCUGAUUGGGGAGGUGAGUUUCGAUCUCUCUCCAUACCGUUUUCAAAUAUGGGCAUUGUCUAUUGUUUAUCGUGUCCAUACACCUCACAACAGAAUGGGCGAGUUGAGCGAAAAAAUCGCCAUGCGAUUGUCCUUUCUUGCUUGCUCUAUGCCCUUAUCUUAUUGGCCUUAUGCCUUUCAAACUGCCACUUACCUUAUUAAUCGUCUCUCUACCCCUGUGCUGCAUCAUCAAUCCUCUUACUUCGCACUCUAUCACAAACUCCCAACUUAUACUCAUCUUAAGGUCUUUGGUUCCUCUUGUUUUCCGUAUUUGCACCCUUAUAAUACCCAUAAACUCCAAUACAGGUCACUAGAGUGUGCUUUUCUUGGUUACAGUUCACACCACAAAGGUUAUCUAUGUCUUGACAUUCAUUCUAGCAGGGUGUAUAUUUCUCGCCAUGUGAUUUUUAAUGAAGAUUCUUUUCCAUUCAAGAAUUUGAAAUCUUCUCUCUCUCAGUCUAUUUCUUCUUCCUCUUCUUUAUAAGUUCCUCUGUUCAUUCUCUUGCCUCCCCUUUCCCCAUCUCCUCUUAUUUCUUCAUCUAUACCUCAUUCUUUUCCCUCUUCUUCUUCUACCUCUAGUACUUGUUCCCCUCUCGUUGCUCCUACCUCUCUUCCUUCCUCUUCACACUCUGUGUCUCCAUCUAUUCCACCUCCUUCUCCACCUUCUCCGAGUGUGGACCUGCUUGCACCUUGUGUGAAUACAAAUUUACAUACUUCUUCUCGCACUCACAAUAUUCAUCCUAUGGUGACUAGAUCUAAGGUUUGUAUCUAUAAACCUAAGUUGUUGUUGAGUGUCUCCAUAGGUUCUCUCACUAAGCCUACUUCCUUUCUUCAAGCUAUUAAAGAUCCUUCAUGGAAGCAAUCCAUGGAAUUCGAGUUUGCUACCCUUCAACACAACAAGACCUGGCAUUUGGUUCCUUCACCUUCCUCAGGCGAAGUAAUCGGUUGUAAAUGGGUCUAUAAGCUAAAGCUUCAGCCUGAUGGCUAAAUUGAGAGAUACAGCCUGCUUAGUAGCUAAGGGUAUCAUCAAAUUGAAGUAUGGACUACUUCGAAACAUUCAGCCUGAUNNNNNNNNNNNNNNNNNNNNNNNNNNNNNNNNNNNNNNNNNNNNNNNNNNNNNNNNNNNNNNNNNNNNNNNNNNNNNNNNNNNNNNNNNNNNNNNNNNNNAGCUUCAGCCUGAUGGCUAAAUUGAGAGAUACAAGGCCUGCUUAGUAGCUAAGGGUUAUCAUCAAAUUGAAGGUAUUGACUACUUCGAAACAUUCAGCCUGAUUGUCAAGCUUUCUACUAUCUGUAUUGUGCUCAGUCUUACUUUUUCCCAGAAUUGGUGUAUUAGACAGCUGGAUGUUCAUAAUGCCUUCUUACAUGGUGACUUAGCUAAAGACGUUUUCAUGGAACAACUGCCUGGAUUUGUUGAUCCUCUCUAUCCUACUCAUGUCUGCAAGUUGGAUAAGUCUCUCUACUGUCUUAAAUAGUCACCUCGGGCUUGGUAUACUAAGCUGAGUACUUCUCGCUACACUUGGGAUUUGUUACUUCUAAGAAUGACUCUUCCUUAUUUAUUUGUCAUUCGUCUCAUGGGUUACUUCUUGUUCUUGUCUAUGUGGAUGAUAUAAUCGUCAUUGGGAGCCACUCUCCUCAGGUUACUCACCUUAUCCAACAGUUGCAUCAUUAGCUUUCUUUAAAGGAUCUUGGUCCUUUACAUUAUUUUCUGGGCUUGGAGGUUCAUCACACCCCUACUGGUAUUCACCUCAGCCAAGCAAAGUAUAUCACUGAUCUCCUUACCCGGGCGGCUAUGUUGGAUGCCAAGCCAUGUCCCACUCCUAUGUCCUCCAACACAUAUCUCUCUUUUCAUGAUGGAGUGGCUCUUGAAAAUGGUUCAGAUUAUCGAAGUUUUGUUGGUGCCCUUUAGUAUUGUACCAUGACACGCCCAGAUAUAGCUUUUGCAAUAAAUAAAGUGUGUCAAUUCAUGCACCAUCCCUCUAAUGUUCACUGGCAGGCUAUAAAACGUAUUCUCCGGUACUUAAAGGGCACAUCUCAUUUUGGUCUCUUCCUACAGCCUUCCUAUGACUUCAACAUCACUUGCUAUACAAAUGCCGACUGGGCUUCCUGUCCUGAUGACAAGUGUAGCACCAGUGGCUACUGCCUCUUUCUUGCCUCUAAUCUGGUUUCUUGGUCAUCUUCCAAACAAAAAGUGGUCUCCCGCUCCAGCGCCGAAUCAGAGUACCGAGGGGUAGCAAAUGGGGCUGCUGAAAUUGCUUGGACUGAAUCUCUUCUUUGUGAACUUUCCAUUACUCCCCCUCCCCUCAUUCUCUGUGACAAUAUCAGUGCCACGUACUUAGCUGCCAAUCCUAUUUUGCAUGCCCGCACCAAACAUGUGGAAAUCGACUAUCACUUUGUCACGGAACGUGUUCUUCAAUGCUCUCUUUUUGUCCAGUUUACACCUUCUGAUGAUCAACUUGCUGAUUGCAUGACCAAGCCUCUCUCCACCCAACGUUUCAUCACUCUACGCUCCAAGCUCACUGUUCUCACUAGACCAAUGAGCUUGAGGGGGGAUGUUAAGCCUAAAGAUGUAAUUAGUUAGGAUAUUCUUUUCCCUCUAGUCUUGUAGCUCCACGUGUACAGUUGGUUAGGACCUCAUUGUAUAUAAUGCCUGCCCUGUUAUUGUAGAAGACAACAGAGAUAAAUAAUAUUAACAUUUUUCCUCUCAUCUCUCUCUCUGUUUCCCUCUGUUUUCAUCUCCUCUCUCAUCUGAACCAAAUGAUCCAUGUUAACCUUGGCUUGGUUUGAUUUGGCUCUAUCUUAGAGAGCUCAAGGAUCACGUCAACUCUGGUUUCUACUAUUCAGGUCCAUUCCCAUAUGAACUGGUUCAAAUUUGAGAAAAUGGUAACAGACCUUUAGUGAUGUUGGUUUGGAGCCAGUUGCCAAACCCGCCCUGAGCUUUACCACUAAUGUCAAGGGAGAAAGCCAUUUGAACAAAAACAAUAGCUUCAAGGGACUGAAUCGUGGAUGAAAUCUGAUCCACAUUUCUUCUCAUUUUGGAAACAAAUGAGAACUUAACUAAGAAGAUUCUACGGCCUCAUAGUGCUUUUCCUGAUCUAAGGUUGGUUCGUUUCCCAAACUGUGAGAUGCACGUGCCAGACUUCAGAACUCUCACGCUCAGGAGUGUAUCCACGUGGUGGACAUAAGAUGGUGGCUUAAGAUCUGGUGUCGGUGGCUUUACUUUACUAGGAGAGUAGUGUGUCUUCAUCUCAUUCACUGCCGGAGGGUGGCGUAAGCAGUGACGCUAAGGUGGGGCACAGUCAAUAUCAUUUGCAUUUGACCAUUAUAGUUUUCUCCCGGCUUUAAAGUAACCUUAUCGUGAUAAAGGAUUACUAGCACUAGUUCAGAUGAUAGUCAUGUUAAAUUCGGACCAUGUUUGUGUCACAUUAUCAGCAACCAUGUGUUUAUGGUUCAUGCUUUCUGCAACUAAAAUUGAUAUAUAACCAGGUGAACUUCAAUCUAAAUUCUGAAAGUACUCAUGUGAUAGAUGGUGCCCGUCUGCAGAGUCCAUCAAUUGAAAAAUGGAGUGAGUGUAUCUAUAAGAGGGAAGGCUUGGAAAAUGUUCAGUUUUCUGGGAAUUCAACAAGGAUCUAAAAUAGAUUGUUUUCUUUGCUGAUUUCAAUGGUUGAAAUUUGAGAAGAUUGUGUCCACAUAACACAACUAUUACUGGUCCUUCUGUUGCAAUUUAUCCUCUAAAGCUCUAGCAUGUCUUCCAAUUCCCACUUCCCUGUUACUCCAGGAAAGCUAUUUCUGUCAUUGUGAAGAAGAAAAGAGAAUGUACAUAUCGAUGCUUUUAAGUGACUGGAGCAUUUAUAUCAGGUGGUCUGCAGCCAUAUAUGCCACUUUGUGAAGAUUGGAACAGUCAAUCACUAGGCUAUAUAUUAGUGUGGCCCAGCCACUUUAAUCAAGGACAAGUCUUCAUACUUAAAGUCAAAUUCUGCCUUUAGUCUCAUUAUAAAUUUCUGUUUAAAUAUUAAGCAAACAUUUGUUUAAUGCGAUUAAGACAGUACUAACUCAAUACCUGUUCUAUUUUUGGAUGCAAAUGCUUGAUGGUUUCAUCAUUGGAUGGGAUAAAGGUGCAUUCAUGAUUAGGAAUACUAGUAGUUAUAUUUUAAUUCUCUUUUUUCUCAAUGAGACUUGUUGGCACAAUUUUGCUGUUGAGAAACCUACCUCUCCAUGGAAAAUAAGUUGUGAUUGAUAGUACUGGAUAUAUUCAAGAAAUCUAAAUAUAGAUAGCACAAAAUAUUAUCGACAUAAAUAGCAUUAACAGCGUACGUAUGUCUCAGUGCUCAUCAGCUAUAAGCAUGGGGCAAACACUUACUAUGAGCAACUUACGUCAAAAUUCCAGAAUAGGACAUAGAAGUGACAGAUAUAGAACAUUGCAUAUGAGUCACAAGAAAGGAAAUUACGGGUGCAUAGCAGCUCUUAUUUUACAUACUACUACUCAUACUGAUCAAAGUCACUCAGUUGGGAUGGGUGGGAGUAGGAGGUUUGUGGGGUGGCUUGUGCGGAGGAGUUGGCAGCUUCUUUCCAGGACCUGGUUGCUUCUCUGCUGGAGUUGAAGGAGGCUUAAUCUUCCGAGGUGGCUUGUAUGAGUCUUCAGCAUUCUCAGCUGGAGGGUGACCAGGGUUGUGACCAUAAUGUGGUGGCUUCUCUCCCUUAGGUGGUUUGCCAACUGGGGUUGGUGGCUUGUAUGAGUCUUCAGCAUUCUCAGCAGGAGGGUGACCAGGGUUGUGACCAUAAUGUGGUGGCUUCUCUCCCUUAGGUGGUUUGCCAACUGGGGUUGGUGGCUUGUGUUCUGGGAGUGGCUUCUCCCCCUUGGGAGGUUUUUCCAAUGGGGUUGGUUUGUGUUCAGGAGGUGGCUUCUCCACUGGAGGCUUGUGUUCAGGAGGUGGCUUCUCCACCGGAGGCUUGUGUUCAGGUGGUGGCUUCUCCACCGGAGGCUUAUGCUCUGGUGGUGGCUUCUCGAAUGGGGGAUGCUUAGGAUAAUCAGCAAGUGAGGGGGCGGUGAGAACCACCAGGCCAAGCAACACCACUAGCAAAUAUGUAGGAGACAUCUUUGGGUUUGGGCUCAGAUGGUGCAAAACUAGGAGAAUUGGCUAGCCUUUUAUAGCGGAUCGUACCCAAUAAUGAAAUGACACGUGUCAUUAUGACCCAUGUGUAAUGGGGUCGAUUUGGGUCCUACAGUGUUGAAAACUUCGACAUCCACUUUUGGCCUUUUGCUUUCUCUACAGCCGCCUUGCUUUUUCCCUCUUUCCUUUUGUUUUCCUCCUGCCCCAUUCUAUCAACUAAACACAAUUAUGUAGUUGUUUAAUUCUUAAAUGAGAUAUUAUCCGUCAAUCGUAUUAUAUUUUAUCAAGAGAGAACGGAGUGCAAUGUGGCUGUAAUUUUAUCGUUUAGUUUUAUCUCUUGGACCACUGCAUUUUUGUUAAGAGGUGCAAUAAUACACGUCUUUAUCUGCCAUUCAAUAUUUACAGUAAAGAGAGGGCACAAAACUCUUCACUUCGCACCAUAAUUAUUUUGUUUUCUGGACACCCCGGGGCCCUUUGGUUGGUUUGGGGGUCAGAAAGUGAACAUCAUAGGGGGUUUUUCCCUUAUGUGCAUUUGUAUCUGAUGGCUUUAACUCGCCUUGUUACUACAAAGAAACUGUCACAGAUAGGAACUUAUUCCAGGCUGAGUAUCUCCUCAUAGACCCUAUAAAAGAAGACAAGUCAUAAUGAACAUCUAACCUUUGUUCAAUUUGAUUCAAUGCCCCCAUUGUGUCCAUCUCACAAAUCUGAAUUAUUAUAUCCAUUGAAUACAUAAAUUAAUGAAGAAAAUAUGAAACCCAAGAUACAUCUCUGCACAACCUCAACCCUGGUUGCUAUGUUUCCCUUCUAUUCACAUGAUUUGAUGCUAAUUGCCAAACUUGCAACAAGCCCUGAGUUUGACACCUAGUAUCGAUGGGCGAAUUUAAAGUCUCCUCCAAACAUAUAUUCCACAGCUUGAAGCUCACAGAAGAUGUUACAGGCAGGGAAAAACCUUCAGAGUUCGCUACCAAAGAUAAUUAUUAAGGAGAUAUCACAAAGAGAAUUCCAAGGGGUCUGAAUCAAAGACAAAUUGGUCGUUCGUGGGGGUUCUUACUUUCUUUUGGGUAUAACUCACUGAGGGCACUGUCUUUGUUAUUUGCAUUUCACAUUUAGAGUUCUGUUCUGGAAACAUAUAAAAGGAGCAUCAUUUUGUUCUUGGGUAACCCAUAGUCGUGAGUGGGUCCAUUUGCAUGCUACUUAGUUGAAAAGUUGGACCAUUUGCUCCGACGCCUACCUCCCGGAUUCCAUGCUCGGAUAAAACAAGAAUAAAAAAAAUAUUUAUAAUUUACAAAUGGGGGAAAGAAAAAAAUGUCAACAACAAACCAGGAAAAAAGAGUAGUAAAAUUCAUGUCACAUGCUAGUGAGAGAAGGGGUUGUUACACUCACUCGAAGUUCUUUCCAAAAUAUCGCAUGGUAUUUUAUUUUAUGUGUCAGCGCAGUUGUGAAUGGAACGUGCAAAAGUCCAAAUUGGCGUUUUUCCUUUUCCCGUGUAGGAUGGCGACCUUUAAUAAAUAUUUAAAACAAAAAACGAAAAAAAGGAGGGAAAAGGGAUCAGAAAAGAUAAAACAAUGUGUACAAGAGCUCAAUUAGUUUGCAAAUUACUGUUUGGAUUUUGAUAGUAUUUUAUUUGUCCAUCUAUAUUUGAUGGAAAAGAGAAUUUAAGAUAUUUCUGAAACAAAAGCAUUAGUGUAAAACUAAAUUAAGGUAUAAUUAAGUUAGUUCAAUGCAUUAAUUUAAGAAACUUGAUCUAUCCAAAGUACAAAAUUAGAUGAAAUCCAUUUCAAUGGUUAAAAUGAUCAAAAUCAAACUUUUUCUAAGUAUUUUUUAAAAGCAUCAAUAUUAAAAGACAAUUUUAUAUUUAGUCGGAGUUUGGACAAAACCAAAAAGCACACAAAAUCCAAGCGACCAUCUCUAGCUUGGAUAGUCACUUGAUCCCACCUAGAGAUGUGCAUGAGUAAAAGGAUUUGAAAAUGGAAAUUGACUAAAUAUUUAGUUGAUCAAUUAAAUUUGCAAUGUCAUAUGCAAUCCUAAUAGCUAGUCAUCUAAUCAAUUAGGUAGUCAAUCAAGUGUUUGUAAUGACUAUUUUGUACAAAAAACCACAUGUAUAGUUAAAUAUAAUGCAUUUCAUUUAUAAAUCUUCUAAUUCUUGAAUAACGAUCCUAUCAUCCUUUGAAAAUUUUUAUUACACCUUUUUUACUUUUGUUCUAAAACUUACAUAUCACCCUUAAUUGUACCAUGAGAACCUAGCUAUUUUUUUUUUUUUUGUAAUUCAUCAAAGUUAGCUUUUGUAUUCAUUGUUGUAUUAUUUUUAGUAUAACUUAGAAAGCUAGUGUUUUCAAGUGAGUAAAAUUAACUUGUAAAUAUUGUAAAGAUUCAUUGAUAUGUAUCUUAAACUAAGUGUACAAAUUAAAACAUUUGCUAGUAGAUUUUCUCAAAAUUUAGAAUAGAGCUUGAGGCUAUUGAAAUAGGUGGGGUUACACCAAACCACAUCACAUCGUUGUUUGCACCUUUUUUCACUCUCUUUUACUUAGUUUCUCUAUAUUUGUUGUCUAGUAAUAUCCUAUAGGCUUGAUGGGUUAGGGAGCAUCCCUUUGUGAAAAAAUUUCAUUCAAUUCUUAGUUGUAUUACGCAUAUAUAAAAUGCCUCAUUGUUUUAAUGGUAUUCAGUCGUGGCAUCACAGAUAUGGGCAUCUAAAUUUUAAAAGUUUGAAACUUUUGUAAAGCAUGUUGAUAAAAUCCAUGAGAGUUGUGUACUUGGGAAGCAACAUCGAGGUGACUUUAUUUUUUUUUCCUUUUAUAAUGCCACACCUAAGUCCGGUUUCUAAAUGCUAAAGUGAAAGGGUAGGUAUGGACCAUUGAAAUGUGAUCACAACUUUUGGCCUUUUCCUUUCUCUGCAGCCAUGUUGUCUCUUUUUUCUUUUGCAUGAUUUUCUUACCAAAACAGAAUCAUAGACUUGUUUAGUCUCUAAGCUACUAUAUUAUAUCUCGGUGGACUUUUAAGAGUGCAACCGACAUAGAGCACAUGCAAGUGGGCAUAUGGGACAUGAAAUUUCUUCUUACAAAGAUUGCAUGAUUUUUAUAUUAGAGUUGUUCACGUGCAAUGUAUUUAGCUUGUUUUGCAGUUAAAUUAAUUGGAUAAGUAAACAUUGGCAUUUCUAAAUCGACUGUGAAGUGCUUCAUGUACGUGUAAAGUAUUAGAAAUUUCUUUCUUGGCAACUUGUUUUUUCCUUGCCAUCUACUGGUAGGUUUGACUAAAAUUAUAUUCCCUGUCAUGCUAAUUAAUUUUCAUGUGCAUGCUCAAAAGAAGAGUAUGACCUUAGUGCACCAAAAUCACUUUGAUUAAUUUGUGAUAGGUUUUUUUGCAUCAUUUAGAUAAUGUUUAGUUCUAAGAAAAAUUUAUAUAAAAAUGGUUUAUUUAUCUUACAUAUAUAUAUAUAUAUAUAUAUUUUUUUUUUUUUCAUUUUUUUUUCUUCUAUUUUAUUUAUUUAUUUUAUUUUCCUUAUGUUUUCCUCACAUUUUCCGGAACUAAACAUAGUCUUACGAAAUCAACAAUUGCCUUCAACUGAGUAGAUUCUGUUGUUUUAGCAAUGUUAGGCUGCUAACUUGUGGUGGUACGAACCAAAUGACCCAUGUUAAUCUUGGCUUGGUUUGAUUUGGCUCUAUCUCAGAGAGCUAAAGGAUCACGUCAACUCUGGUUUCUACUAUUCAGGUCCAUUCCCAGAUGAACUGGUUCAAAUUUGAGAAAAUGGUAACAGACCUUUAGUGAUGUUGGUUUGGAGCCAGUUGCCAAACCCGCCCUGAGCUUUACCACUAAUGUCAAGGGAGAAAGCCAUUUGAACAAAAACAAUAGCUUCAAGAGACUGAAUCGUGGAUGAAAUCUGAUCCACAUUUCUUCUCAUUUUGGGAAAAAAUGAGAACUUAACUACAAAGAUUCUACUGCCUCAUUCAUAGUGCUUUUCCUGAUCCAAGGUUGGUUCGUUUCCCAAAUUGUGAGGUGCACGUGCCACUCUCACGCUCAGGAGUGUAUCCACGUGGUGGACAUCAGAUGGUGGCUUAAUAUCUGGUGUCGGUGGCUUUACUUUACUAGGAGAGUAGUGUGUCUUCAUCUCAUUCACUGCCGGAGGGUGGCGUAAGCAGUGACGCUAAGGUGGGGCACAGUCAAUAUCAUUUGCAUUUGACCAUUAUAGUUUUCUCCCGGCUUGAAAGUAACCUUAUCGUGAUAAAGGAUUACUAGCACUAGUUCAGAUGACCGUCAUGUUAAUUCGGACCAUGUUUGUGUCACAUUAUCAGCAACCAUGUGUUUAUGGUUCAUGCUAUCUGCAACUAAACUUGAUAUAUAACCAGGUGAACUUCAAUCAAAAUUCUGGAAGUACUCUUGUGAUAGAUGGUGCCUGUCUGCAGAGUCCAUCAAUUGAAAAAUGGAGUGAGUGUAUCUAUAAGAGGGAAGGCUUGGCAAAUGUUCAGUUUUCUGGGAAUUCAACAAGGAUCUAAAAUAGAUUGUUUUCUUUGCCGACUUCAAUGGUUGAAAUUUGAGAAGAUUGUGUCCACAUAUCACAACUAUUACUGGUCCUUCUGUUGCAAUUUAUCCUGUAAGGCUCUAACAUGUCUUCCAAUUCCCACUUCCCUGUUACUCCAGGAAAGCUAUUUCUGUCAUUGUGAAGAAGAAAAGAGAAUGUACAUAUCGAUGCUUUUAAGUGACUGGAGCAUUCAUAUCAGGUGGUCUGCAGCCAUAUAUGCCACUUUGUGAAGGUUGGAACAGUCAAUCACUAGGCUAUAUAUUGGUGUGGCCCAGCCACUUCAAUCAAGGACAAGUCUUCAUACUUAAAGUCAAAUUCUGCCUUUAGUCUCAUUAUAAAUUGCUGUUUAAAUAUUAAGCAAACUUUUGUUUAAUGCGAUUAAGACAGUACUAACUCAAUACUUGUUCUAUUUUUGGAUGCAAAUGCUUGAUGGUUUCAUCAUUGGAUGGGAUAAAGGUGCAUUCAUGAUUAUGAAUACUUGUAGUUAUAUUUUCAUUCUCUUUUUUCUCAAUGAGACUUGUUGGCACAAUGUUGCUGUUCAGAAACCUACCUCUCCAUGGAAAAUAAGUUGCGAUUGAUAGUACUGGAUAUGUUCAAGAAAGCUAAAUAUAGAUAGCACAAAAUAUUAUCGAUAUAAAUAGCAUUAACAGCGUACGUAUGUCUCAAUGCUCAUCAGCUAUAAGCAUGGGACAAACACUUACUAUGAGCAACUUACGUCAAAAUUCCAGAAUAGGACAUAGAAGUGACAGAUCUAUAUAUAUAGAACACUGCAUAUGAGUCACAAGAAAGGAAAUUACGGGUGCAUAGCAGCUCUUAUUUUACAUACUACUACUCAUACUGAUCAAAGUCACUCAGUUGGGAUGGGUGGGAGUAGGAGGUUUGUGGGGUGGCUUGUGCGGAGGAGUUGGCAGCUUCUUUCCAGGACCUGGUUGCUUCUCUGCUGGAGUUGAAGGAGGCUUAAUCUUCCGAGGUGGCUUGUAUGAGUCUUCAGCAUUCUCAGCUGGAGGGUGACCAGGGUUGUGACCAUAAUGUGGUGGCUUCUCUCCCUUAGGUGGUUUGCCAACUGGGGUUGGUGGCUUGUAUGAGUCUUCAGCAUUCUCAGCAGGAGGGUGACCAGGGUUGUGACCAUAAUGUGGUGGCUUCUCUCCCUUAGGUGGUUUGCCAACUGGGGUUGGUGGCUUGUGUUCUGGGAGUGGCUUCUCCCCCUUGGGAGGUUUUUCCAAUGGGGUUGGUUUGUGUUCAGGAGGUGGCUUCUCCACUGGAGGCUUGUGUUCAGGAGGUGGCUUCUCCACCGGUGGCUUGUGUUCAGGAGGUGGCUUCUCCACCGGAGGCUUAUGCUCUGGUGGUGGCUUCUCCACCGGAGGCUUAUGCUCUGGUGGUGGCUUCUUGAAUGGGGGAUGCUGAGGGUAAUCAGCAAGUGAGGGGGCGGUGAGAACCACCAGGCCAAGCAACACCACUAGCAAAUAUGUAGGAGACAUCUUUGGGUUUGGGCUCAGAUGGUGCAAAACUAGGAGAAUUGGCUAGCCUUUUAUAGCGGAUCGUACUCAAUAAUGAAAUGACACGUGUCAUUAUGACCCAUGUGUAAUGGGGUCGAUUUGGGUCCUACAGUGUUGAAAACUUCGACAUCCAGUUUUGGCCUUUUGCUUUCUCUACAGCCGCCUUGCUUUUUCCCUCUUUCCUUUUGUUUUCCUCCUGCCCCAUUCUAUCAACUAAACACAAUUAUGUAGUUGUUUAAUUCUUAAAUGAGAUAUUAUCGGUCAAUCGUAUUAUAUUUUAUCAAGAGAGAACGGAGUGCAAUGCAGCUGUAAUUUUAUCGUUUACUUUUAUCUCUUGGACCACUGCAUUUUUGUUAAGAGGUGCAAUAAUACACGUCUUUAUCUGCCAUUCAAUGUUUACAGUAAAGAGAGGGCACAAAACUCUUCACUGCUCUGCAUGUGUCCCAAAAAUGCGAUUGGACAAAUUAUGAUUUGCAUGCUAAAAAGAGGCAAAUGAGGUUAAUUCGCACCAUAAUUAUUUGGUUUUCUGGACACCAUAAAAAGAUGUUAUACAGGCAGGGAAAAACCUUCAGAGUUAGCUACCAAAGAUAAUUAUCAAGCAGAUAUCACCAAGAGAAUUCCAUAGAGUCUGAAUCAAAGACAGAUUGCUCGCUCGUGGGGGUUCUUACUUUCUUUUGGGUAUAACUCACUGAGGUCACUGUCUUUUUUAUUUGCAUUUCACAGUUAGAGUUCUGCUCUGGAAGGUUUGUUCUGGAAACAUAUAAAAGGAGCAUCAUUUUGUUCUUGGGUAACCCAUAGUCGUGAGUGGGUCCAUUUGCAUGCUACUUAGUUGAAAAGUUGGACAAUUUGCUCCGACGCCUACCUCCUGGAUUCCAUGCUCGGUAAAACAAGAAUAAAAAAAAAUAUAUAAUUUACAAAUGGGGGAAAGAAAAAAUGUCGGAAAAAAUAGUAAAAUUCAUGUCACAUGCUAGUGAGAGAAGGGGUUGUUACACUCACUCGAAGUUCUUUUCAAAAUAUCGAAUGGUAUUUUACUUUAUGUGUCAGCGCAGUUGUGAAUGGAACGUGCAAAAGUCCAAAUUGGCGUUUUUAUUUUUCCCAUGUAGGAUGGUGACCUUUAAUAAAUAUUUAAAACAAAAGACGAAAAAAAAAAGGAGGGAAAAGGGAUCACAAAAGAUAAAAUAAUGUUUACAAAAGCUCAAUUAGUUUGCAAAUUACUGUUUGGAUUUUGAUAGUAUUUUAUUUGUCGUUCUAUAUUUGAUGUAAAAGAGAAUUUAAGAUAUUUCCGAAGCAAAAGCAUUAGUUUGCUCUGUGAUGUCCCACAUCGAAUAGGGGAGAAAGUUUCUGGCGCUAUAUAUGUAGAGGCUCCUCUUAACCAAGUAGAUGCGUUUUAAAACCAUGAGGGCCCCCUUAGGUCCAAAGCGGACAAUAUCUACAUGAUUGGGUGUAAGUCAUUACAAAUGGUAUCAGAGCCGAUCCCCGACCCCGGUGUGGGGGUUUGUUUGGCCCUGUAAGGGGUGUUUGUCUGUUUGACCCCACAAUCCCAUGGGACACAACGAGGACGUUGUGUCUGCAUGGGGGGGCGUUUGUGAUGUCCCACAUCGGAUAGGGGAGAAAGUUCCUAGUGCUAUAUAUGUAGAUGUUUCUCUUAACCAAGUAGAUGCAUUUUAAAAUUGUGAGGGCCUCUUUGGGCCCAAAGCGGACAAUAUCUACAUGGUUGAGUGUAAGUCAUUACAUGCUCCAUGUCAAUUUCAGCAUUUCUCAUAUGUUUCACACAUACACAGAAGAGCAUCGUUUUUUAAAGCAUGCAUUUAUGUUGGAUUAAUUUGGAUUUUGUGGGAACUGGGGCAAGGAUCACAUGGAAGAGAGGUUGACUUUUUUCAGUACUUCAAUGGUUGAAAUAUGUGAAGGCUUGAUUGAUACUAAAGCUUGAAAUUGCGACUCUGUCAUUUGUAAAAAAAUAUGACAGCUUCCAUGCUCUCGUUUGGUUGCAUUGUCCGGUCGAGAGGUGCAAAAAGCAUUCUCUCUCUUCUAAUAGUCUUUUCGUUUAAAUCAAGGGAUUUGCCUUCCCGGUCGAGGUCCAAUAGAGGGUAACGGUCACCUACUAAACAUUAAAUGCUCCAACAACUAGUGAACUGAUCGACCCCAGCUCGACUAGUUGAGGUUACUUUUUGGUUUUCUUGUCUCCCGAGGUUAGAAACCUAUAAAUAGAGAGCUUCACUUCAUUUAUGAGUAAGAGAACACCUAAAUUUAUUUGUUUACCUACUUGUUUUUGCCAUAAAAGCUCUCAUUUCUUUUCUUGGUGUAUUAAAUCUCCAUUUGCAUAUCCUUUAGUGCACCUUUGUGAUUCAUUCUAGCCUUGAGUUGUAUUUAAGCCUUUGUUGAGCUAGGUUGAGAGUUUCAUACUUGUUUAUUGAGUGUUAAAGCCUUCAAGUGAGUUAAAACUUGAAGAGAUUGUGUAAGAGCCCAUUGGAGUCGGAAUCCAAGUGUAAAGGUGAUUAAAAGCUUGGUUGAAGCUUCAAGUUAGUGGAACUCUCACUCGGUUAUGAGCUUGAGAAGAGUGGACAUAGACAAGGCAGUGUCGAACCACUAUAAAAUCUGAGUUUGAUUUCUCUAACCUUAUCUCUUUAUAUUUGCUUCUCUUGUGCUUAAAUUUUUUGUGUUUAAAAAGAAUUUUUAAAAACUCAAUUCACCCCCUUCUUGGGAGUUUUUCUCUUUUAAGAUCAGCUUUUAUUUUCUCAAUUGGUAUCAGAACUAUGCCUCUUGUUUAAGACUUAAUCGUCUAAGAGGAAAUGGCUAAUCCAUCAAGUUCAUCUCACAUUGAAAGUUUUGCAACCAAUAGACUUCUUUUUUUUUUUUUGCGGGAACUGAUUAUCCCUAUUGGAAAACUAAAAUGACUUGGUUUUUACAAUCAAUUGAUUUAGAUGUAUGAGAUGCCAUUGAAGAUGACCUAACUUUUCCUUCAAAACUAGUUGAUGGAGUCAUGGUUCCAAAACCUAAGCAAGAAUGGGAUGAGCGUGAUUGAAGAAAUUUUCAAUUAAAUGCUAAAGUCGUUUAUACUUUGCAAUGCUCUAUGGACAGAAAUGAAUAUAAUAGAAUAUGUCAAUGCAAAUCGGUUAAAGAAAUUUGGAGAUUGCUUGAAAUAACUCAUAAAGGAACAAAUCAAGUUAAAGAGUCAAAAAUCAAUUUACUUGUUCAUAGAUAUGAAUUGUUUUUUAUGAAAGAUAAUGAAACUAUUGUUAAGAUGAUCACUAGGUUCACCAACAUUGUUAAUGGUCUUAAAGCCUUGGGAAAGACCUACAAGGAAUCCGAAAACGUGAUGAAGAUCUUGAGGUCACUUCCAUCAAAGUGGCAUACCAAGGUCACCGCAAUUUAAGAAGCAAAAGACUUGAUCAAGCUACCUUUGGAGGAGUUCAUAGGGUCAUUGAUGACAUAUGAAAUCAAUUUGGCAAAGAAGUAACAAAAAGGUGAAGACAAAAAGAAGAAGAACAUAACUCUCAAAGCUACAACUAAGGAAGAAGAAGUUGAAGAAGAAAAACAAAUUGAAGAAGAUGAAGAUUUAGCCCUCAUCACAAGAAAGUUCAACAAAUUCAUGAGGGGUGAAAGGUUUAGAAGAAGAAGGUUCACUUCUAGAAGAGACUUUUCUAAAAAGGAAUCUUCAUCUAAUGGUGACAAAAAGAGAUGGGAAGAGAAAAGAGACUUGGUGUGUUUCAAGUGCAAGAAACCGGGACACAUUAAAUAUGAUUGUCCUCUCUACAAAAGUGAAGUCAAGAGGAAAAAGAAUAAGGCAAUGAUGGCCACUUAGAGUGAAAGUGAAGAUGAAUCAUCCGAAGAAGAAAAUGAGAAAGAAGUGGCAAACAUGUGUUUCAUGGCAAUAGAUGAACUUGAUGAGGUAAAAUCUAACCUUAGUGAUUAAGAUAUACAUGAUGCAUUUGAAGAAUUGUAUGAGGAUUUUUAAAAACUUAGUUUGAAAAAUAUUUCUCUUAAAAAGAAAGUUCAACAACUUGACAAAGAACUUAGAGAAGUAAAAGAAAAAUUUUCAAAUGUUAAAGUUUCUAAAACUCAUCUUGAAAAAGAAAAUGAGAUUCUAAGAAAGAAAAAUGAAUAGUUGAACUCCUCUCUUUCAAUCUUUUCUUCUAGACAAAAAUCUUUUGAAAUGAUUCUAACUAGCUAAAAAUGUGUUUUUGACAAACAAGGGUUAAGAUUUAAAUCUUCAAAAAAUCAAAAGUAUUUUAAAAACUAUUUUGUAAAGGAAUCCACAAGUGCAAGUCCUUCCACUACUUGCAACUUUUGUGGAAGAGAAUGGCACAUUAGUAGUACGCCCUUUAAGAAAUGGUUCUCAAAAGAAUUUAAAUGCAAAAACUAAAAAAGAUUUGGAUUGAGAAAUCCAAGGUCACUAACCCUCAAGGACCCAAAAAGAUAUAGGUACCUAAAUCAACUUGAGUUUUAUGUUGUAAGGUUCAAAGAAUGAUAAGUGGUUCUUAGAUAAUGGUUGCUCAAGACACAUGACCGGAGAUGAAUCCAAGUUUGCUUUUCUUAAAAAGAAAAAUGGAGGAUAUGUUACCUUUGGAGACAAUGCAAAAGAAAGGAUGAUUGGUCAAGGCAACAUUGGUAAUGGCACAUCCUCUCUCAUUGAAAGUGUUUUAUUAGUAGAUGGUUUCAAACAUAACCUUUUAAGCAUUAGUCAAUUUUGCGACAAAGGUUUUUAAGUGAUUUUUUAAGCAUCUCAUUGCAUCAUCAAGGAUAUUCAAAAUGAUAAAACCAUUUUCAUGGGCCAUAGAUGUGAUAAUGUUUAUGCUAUAAAUAUUUCAAAAUAUGAUGGCCAUGAUAGAUGUUUUUCAAGCAUGCAUGAUCAAAGUUGGUUGUGCCAUAGGAGAUUGAGACAUGCUAACAUAGACCUCAUUUCCCAACUCAACAAAGAUGAACUUGUUAGAGGCCUUCCCAAAAUAAUUUUUUAAAAAGAUAAAGUUUGUGAAGCUUGUCAAGUGGGAAAGUAAAUCAAAAACUCUUUUAAAAACAAAAACUUCAUUUCCACAUCUAGGCCACUUGAGUUGUUGCAUAUGGAUUUAUUUGGUCCCUCUAGGACACCAAGUCUUAGAGGAAAUUCUUAUGCAUAUGCUAUUGUGGACGACUUCUCUAGAUACACAUGAGUCUUGUUUUUUAGUCAAAAGAAUAAAGUUUUUUAUGAGUUUUCAAAGUUUUGCAAUAAGAUUCAAAAUGAAAAAGGUUUUUCAAUUACUUAUAUAAGAAGUGAUCAUGGGAGAGAAUUCGAAAAUAUUGAUUUUGAAGAGUAUUGCAAUGAGCAUGGAAUUGACCACAAUUUUUUGGCUCUUAGAACUCCUCAACAAAAUGGGGUAGUUGAAAGGAAAAAUAGAACUCUUCAAAAAAUGACAAGAACCAUACUAAAUGAAAACAACUUACCAAAAUAUUUUUAGGCCAAAACGGUUAACACUUCUUGUUAUGUUUUAAAUAGAGUAUUAUUGAGGCUCAUACUUAAGAAAACUCCCUAUGAGCUUUGGAAAAACAAAAAACCCAACAUUAGUUAUUCCAAAGUCUUUGGAUGCAAUAUUUUAUAAUAAACACCAAAGACAAUCUUGGAAAAUUUGAUGCAAAAUUGGAUGUUGGAAUUUUCCUUGGUUACUCAACUUCAAGUAAAGCUUUUCGAGUUUUAACAAAAGAACCAUGGUUGUAGAGGAGUCCAUCCAUGUUAUUUUUUAUGAAUCUCCAAGAAAGAGAGAGGAUUGAUGAUGAUUUAGGUUUGAAGACCUCUAUAGGAAGAUUGCAAAUCGAAGAUAGAAGACAACAAGAAGAAAAUGGAGAGAAUCCAAAGAAAGAAGGAUCACCAUUGGCACUACCCCCUCAUCAACAAGCGCAAGGUGAAUCAAGUCAAGAGCUUCCUAAAGAAUGGAAGUUUGUCAUCAAUCACCCACAAGAUCAAAUUAUAGGCAAUCCAUCUAGUGGGGUAAGAACUAGAUCCUCUCUUAGAAAUAUUUGCAAUAAUCUAGCUUUUAUCUCUCAAAUUGAGCCUAAAAAUAUAAAUGAUGUUUUAGAUGAUGAAAAUUGGAUAAUUGCAAUGCAAGAAGAGUUAAAUCCAUUUGAAAGAAGUGGAGUAUGGGAAUUAGUACCAAGACCUUCAAAUCAAAGUGUUAUUGGAACUAGAUGGAUCUUUAGAAAUAAAAUGGAUGAAAAUAGCAUAAUUGUUAGAAAUAAAGCAAGAUUGGUAGCCCAAGGUUUUAAUCAAGAAGAAAUGAUAGAUUAUGAAGAAACCUUUGCCCCCGUAGCUAGGUUGGAAGCCAUUAGGAUGCUACUUGCCUUUGCAUGUUUUAAAGACUUUGUUUUAUAUCAAAUGGAUGUGAAAAGUGCUUUUUUAAAUGGUUUUAUAAAUGAAGAAGUAUAUGUUGAACAACCACCCGGUUUUCAAAGUUUCAACUUUCCUAACCAUGUUUUUAAACUUAAAAAGACACUUUAUGGUUUGAAACAAGCACCUAGAUCAUGGUAUGAAAAAUUGAGUAAAUUUCUUUUGAAAAAAAUGUUUUAAAAUGGGAAAAAUUGACACAACUCUUUUUAUAAAAACCAAAGAAAAUGAUAUGCUCUUAGUUCAAAUAUAUAUUGAUGAUAUCAUUUUUGGUGCUACUAAUGUCUCUCUUUAUGAAGAAUUUUCUAAGUGCAUGCAUAGUGAGUUUGAAAUGAGCAUGAUAGGAGAACUCAACUUCUUCCUUGGACUUCAAAUCAAGCAACUAAAGGAAUGAACCUUCAUCAAUCAAGCAAAGUAUAUAAGAGAUCUUCUCAAAAGGUUCAACAUGGAAGAAGCCAAAACAAUGAAGACUCUAAUGAGCUCAUCCAUUAAGCUUGAUAAGGAUGAGAAAGGUAAAUCCAUUGACUCUAUUAUGUAUAGAGGCAUGAUAGGUUCUUUGCUCUAUUUGACCACUAGUAGACCUUACAUUAUGUAUAGUGUGUGUUUGUGUACUAGAUUUCAAUCUUGUCUUAAAAAAUCUCACUUAAGUGUCGUGAAAAGAAUCCUCAAAUAUUUGAAAGGGACAAUGGACAUAGGCUUAUGGUAUCCUAAGAGUGAUAACUUUGAAUUAAUUGGUUUUUUGGAUGCUGAUUUUGUCAGUUGUAGGGUUGAAAAAUAAAACACUAGUGGCACUUUUCAUUUCUUAAGACACUUACUUGUCUCAUGGCAUAAUAAGAAGCAAAAUUUGGUAGCUUUGUCAACAGCAGAAGCUAAAUACAUAGCAACUGGUUUAUGUUGUGCACAAAUCCUUUGGAUGAAAUAAACACUUAGUGAUUUUGAUUUAUCUUUUGAGCAUAUUCCUAUUAAAUGUGAUAAUAGUAGUGCCAUAAGUAUAUCAAAAAAUCUCGUGCAACACUCUAGGACUAAGCAUAUAGAGAUUAGACAUAAUUUUCUUAGAUAUCAUACACAAAAGGAUGAUAUAACACUUGAAUUUGUAAGCAUAAAAGACCAACUUGCCGAUAUCUUUACAAAACCUCUAAGAACAUUUUGUUGAUAUUAGAGGACAAUUAGGAGUGAUUUCUUUAUGAUCUAAUGUGAUGAAUUCUUGAUGAAUAUACUUUUUGAUUGCAUGAAUUUCAUGUCAUAUAUGCAUCAUAUAGAAAUAUACUUAGAUAAUGGUCAAAUUUCGACCAAAAAUCAAAAUUCCCAUGGCAUUAGGCAUAAAAAUUUUGGAAUUUCAACUGAAAAUGGUAGGAGGAGGAUCACAAAAUGAGAAAGUAUGCAAAAAUUGAAAAAUCAAAACGUUGACCAAGCGGUCAAUCGGACUAGACCGAUCGACUAGUUUGUCGAGAUUUAGGAUUUUUAAGAGACUCCAACGCUUCAAUUUUUGCACCGUUCUCCUCUAUUUCUUCACGGUUUCUCUGAUUUUGUCUUUUAGAGACUAAUUUGAGUGCGUUUUGGAUCAAUUGAAGCAUUUUGGAUUGGAUUUUAGGAAGAUUGAAAGUUAAGGUUUCGGAUUUGGGUCGCCUUCUCUUCCUCUCGCGUGUCACAAUCAGCUUUAGCAUUGUUCUCUUUCCAUUUUCACACACCUAGGGUUUCAGUUGUGAGCAUCUCUCUCUCUUUACCAACCACUACUCCCUUGCUUCUUCCAUAUGGCUCCUAGGCGAGAGUCCGCUACUUCUAGGGCACAAGGCAAGCACCCAACUGAGUCGUCUCAGUCAAAGGCACGUCGAAAAGUGAGAUUUGACAUUGCCUUGUUCAGUUCCAUGGAGGACUACCAACUAUACAAGCAACACUUUGCUUAGAGACGAGUAGUUCCCAAGAGAAAUAUUAAUUUUCCUCAACUUCAGCAUUUCGAAUUUAAGGGUCUAUUUACUAGGAUGGUUGGUUGUCUAUUGUCACAAUUUCGGAGCCGGUUUUCCUGACCUUAGUGCGAGUUUUUUACUCGAGGGCGACUUAUGGCAUGGGUGGCAUGAUCAUUUCUACUGUUGGAGGAGUUGAGAUCUGUCUGGACCCAGAGAGCAUCUGCCAUAUUUUCGAUAUUGCUCUGGUUGGACUCAAAGUAUACAAGUCCAAAAUGUGGCCCAUUGUGCCAGGAUUUGAGCUUAGAGAGGUCAUUCAGAGGAUUUGUGAACUUCCAGACGCCCAGGAGAUGGGCAAACCAUUGCCACACAGUUUGACGGUCAUCAACAGGGUGCUACACCAUAUAUUGUGCUCUAUCUUUCUACCACGAAGUGGACAUUGAGAUGAGGUCUCUUAUUAUGAGGCAUUCCUUAUUGACUCCAUUCUAACGGAGAGACGAAUUCAUCUACUAUGUCAUCAUUCACUAAGCCUCCUCACAGUGACAUACCACCUCAUCAGGCACCUCUUGCUCCUGACCAUGCUCCAUUGAUGGAUUUAUUUACUCAUAUUAGCUCUCUAGGCACUCGCAUGAAGGAGUUUGUUGUAGUUAGUGAUACAUGGUUCUACUCCAUAGAGGAUCGCAUGGAUCAGUAUCAGACUGGCUUCACGUCACAGUUUGAGUAUCUCCAAUAGAGGAUUGAGCAUAUUGAGGAUCACUUGAGCAUGAGAAGAUGAUGGCUUUUCUAUGCUCUGUGUUUCCACCUCCACCUCGUCAACCUUGAUUUCUUAGAGACCCAUUGUUUUCAUUUUGUAAUGUUGCCAAAAGGGGGAGAUAUUUAGGAUCUAGGACUCUAUAGGAGACUUACAUGCAUAUCAUUUUCAUAUCAUUGUUUGGAUCGUACAUAUUGGAUAGUGAUACUUUUUACUUAUAUAUGAUAUGCCUAUAUGUUUCAUGUCUUACAUUGUUUCUUAUUGCAAAUUAUCUCUAACAUGUCUUGAUUAUCUUUUUUUUAACUUCAUAAAUUUUGAUUGUUAACCCAUGAUUGGUUUGAGGGGAAGAUUCUUCUUCUCCUAGAUAACCAAGGUUUGUCAUCAUAAAAAAAUUGGAGAUUGUUAGCCCAAGGGUUCUCCUAAUCAUGUUUUGAUGAUAACAAACCAUGCUUAAGUUACUAAUUGGUUUGAAUUAUAAAGAAUUUCAAGUGUUAAUUUGAAAAUUCAUCAAAGAACCUAAUGGAUGCAAGAUCAAGAUUUUUGGAAGACCUUUAAUCAUAAGAAACAUAUGUAAGAUGAAUGCAUGGGUGCACUUAAGAUUUGCAUAUCAUUUCAUGCAUAUUUGGAAAACACGGUUUAUGCUUUAAAGUUACAUUUCCAUCAAAAUUUGAGAUCCAUCAAAUGAACCUUAGGAAAAAUGUUUUAAAAUUGGCAUAUAAUUUUACCUAAAGACCUUGCCUAAGUGUUAGAAGCAAAAGGACAAAAAAAAUAUAGGUUUUCUGGUCAAAAAUGGUGAACCAGUCAAGGCAUUGUCUAAAUCAGCUCAAUCGGCCAAGGUACCGGUCGAUCGGUUUCCCUUUCCCUGUCGAGAUCUAGUCAAGAGGUACAAAAAUCACAAUCUCUGUCUCUUUCUCUCUUUGUCUAUCUUCCAGUAGUCUUUCCUUCCCGGUCGAGGGAUUUGCCUUCCCGAUUGAGGUCCGAUUGAGAGUAAUAGUCACUUGCCAAAUAUUAAAUGCUCCAACAGUUAGUGAACUGGUCGACCCCCACCUUGCCCAGUUGAGGUUACUUUUUGGUUUUCUUGGCUCCCGAUGUUAGAAACCUAUAAAUAGAGAGUUCCACUUCAUUUAUGAGCAAGAGAACACUUGCAUUUAUUUGUUUACCUACUUGUUCUUGCCUUAAAAGCUCUCAUUUCUUUUCUUGGUGCAUUAAAUCUCCAUUUUGAUAUCCUUUAGUGCACCUUUGUGAUUCAUCUUAGCCUUGAGUUGUAUUUGAGCCCUUUUUUUAGCUAGGUUGAGAGUUUCAUACUUGUUAAUUGAGUGUUAAAGCCUUCAAGUGAGUUGAAACUUGUAGAGAUUAUGUGAGAGUCGAUUGGAGCCGAAAUCCAAGUGUAAAGGUGAUUAGAAGCUUGGUUGAAGCUUCAAGUUAGUGGAAUCCUCACUCAAUUAGGAGCUUGAGGAGAGUGGACGUAGCCAAGGAAGUGUCGAACCACUAUAAAAUUUGAGUUUGAUUUCUCUAACAUUGUCUCUUUAUAUUUGUUUAUCUUGUGCUUAAAUUUAUUGUGUUUAAAAAGAAUUUUUAAAUACCCAAUUCACCCCCCUCUUGGGUGUUUUUCUCUUUUAAAAUUAGCCUUUAUUUUCUCACAAACUAUUGUAGUAUAGUGGUUUUUAGGUGUCAUCCAUUAGGAUGAAUUGUUCUCGGUAAUUAAGGCGUGAAUGAGAGGAGAAUUAAUGAUUGUGAUUAAGUAAAAUUGAUUUGAAAAUUCAUGGUGAAAAAUCAAUUUAACAAUGGUUUCUAAUUGAGAAAAACAAUGAAAUGUGAAAUAAAAUAAAAUUAAUAGGAAAUGAAAUUCUCGAAGUUAGAAUUUUCUAAAAAACAAAUUCCAUGGUGAAUGGAUGUUGAGAUCUAAUUUUCAUCAAGUUAGAUUGAAAACCGAAAUUUUCAUAUAAACUGAUUUUUUAUUUAGUUUUAGGUCUAGAUUUAAUUUCCCUUAAAAUUAGGUUAUUUAAUCCAAGAAAUCAAUUCAAAUCAUAUAUUCAAUUCAUCUUAAAUUAUCUUCCAAUUAUUCACACAAUGCAACUAUUCAAUCUCAUCAAAUCUAGCUUUUAAGAAUUUAAUGAAUCUACCUAGUUUGCAUUGUAAUAGUCAUCCAUGACAAUUUGAAGAGAAAAAUAAUUCAAUUAAUCAAUCACUUGGAUCAAAUUACCUUUGCAAUUAAAGUUCAUUUCUCUAAUUCACCACAGAUUUUGUCUCUAGAUCCUCCUUUCUCAAAGAAAAAUGAGAUUUAGCCACACAUGAUUGGAGAUUUGGUCUCAUAAGGCAUGUUUAGCUAGUGAUAAAAUGAGAGAAAAUAAAGAAAAAUAGAGAAUUCGAUUAAGAAAGAAAAUCUAAAAAAUUCUACAAUUAGAAAUGUCCAAAAAGCUUUUUCAUGAGAAAAUCAAGUUUCUAUUUAUAGGCCAAGGUCAAGUGGACACUUGACAUCAUCUAAGAGGUCUUCCGGAAGCUUCUUCAUCAAGAAAUCUGGAGUUUAAUAAUAAAAUGGUCAUUUCACAAGAGCUCAAACAAUUUCGCAUGAUUAUGUGAAAUAAAAAAUGCAACAACAGCAAUUUACAUCUUCUUGGAGCAUUUCGCAUGACUGUGUGAAAUUUUCACAUGAUCAUGUGGAAUCGACUUGACAACUCUCAUUUAGCCUACAACAUAAUUCCACCUUUUGGUCCAUUUUUCAUAGUCAUGCGAAAUGGAAAUAUUUGAUUUUUAAGUUUUCUUUUGUCAUUUCUUUCAUUUCCUUCUCUUGAUUCCACUUCAACUACCUCCGAAUCCUGGUCCAAACCAAUUGCAUUACUUCUUUCAUUAUGCAUUUGGAUCAUCAUCAACAUUAUUUGUUCUCUUCAAUUUGAUUCAUCUCUUUUGUCACCAAUUUAUCAAAAUCAUACCUUGAAAUGACUCCAAAACUUCAUAAAACUUGUUAGUAACUCUUGCAAGGGCAACAACAUAUUAAUUAAGUGUUUUAGGCAUAGUUACUACUCAAAAGAUGCGAAACUCAUGAUAAUUAUUAUAUAAAAUAUGCUCUUUUUGAGUAGUAAUCAACUUUCUUGCAUAAGCAGACCUUUUAGGGUGGAGUACUAAAGACCAAUAUGCUUGUCCUUGUUGUAAUAAAGAAACUUGCUCUUAUUGAUUGCACCAUGGGAGAAAAUUUUGCUACAUGAGUUAUCAUCAAUUUCUUCCCACCAAUCAUAGAUUUAGACGUGACAAGAGGCCUCUUAAUGGCAAGGAGGAACUGACACUCACACUUAUACAAUUAUCGGGCAUUGAUGUGUUGCAACAAUUAGAAUAACUUACACCAAUUAUGUUGGGGAAGUCACAAAAGGCAAACAUGAAAACUAAAAGGAAAAAAGAAAAAUGUUACAUAUCACCACAACUGGAAAGAAAAAAGUAUUUACUUUCAUUUGCCAUAUUGGAAAGCACUUAUUUUACAUCAUAAUAAUUUAGACAUAAUGCAUAUUGAGAAAAAUGUGUGACAAUAUAAUUGAGACAUUGUUCAGUAUUGACGAAGAAACAAGGACAACCUAAAUAGUCAUCUCGAUUUACAAGCUCUAACUAUUAGAAAUGAGAUUCACCCAAUAGAAAGCAGGACCAAAUUUAUUUUGCUUGCAACAUGCUACUCACUCACCCCAAAUGAGAUUAAGGAAUUUUGCAAGUUUUUGAAAUCAAUAAAGGUCCCCAAUGGCUAUUCUUUCAAUAUCUCUCGUUAUGUGCAACUCAAUGAAAGGAAGAUAUAUGAGCUCAAAUUGUAUGAUUGUCAUGUCCUAAUGCAACAACUUCUCUCACUUGUAGUUCGUGGAGUUCUACAUAAGAAUGUUUGUGGAGUUAUCAUAGAAUUGCGUAAUUUUUUCAAGCAAUUGUGCUCAAAGGUGUUAGAAACAAAUCACUUACACCAACUUGAGAACAAUAUUAUUGUCAUACUAUGUAAAAUGGAGCAAAUAUUUCUUCCAUCAUUCUUUGAUAUUAUGGUGCAUUUACUUGUGCAUCUAGUAAGGCAAAGGUUGCAAGACUUGUGCAAUAUUGUUGGAUGUACCUAAUUGAACGAUAUUGUUAUAAUUUCAUAUGAAUCAUUUAAUUUUAUUUUAUAUUAUGUUCAGUUCAUUAACAUGUACAUUGGUCUACAUAUGGAUGAUGAUAGGUACCUAAGCACUUUAAAGUCAUAUGUGCGUAAUAGAACUUUUCUAGAAGGUUCUAUUGUAGAAAGGUACCUUGCAAAAGAAUGUACAACAUUUUAUUCUAGGUACUUGAAUGAUGUGGAAAUAAAGUAUAAUCACAAUGAUAGAAACUUUGUUGGUUUCAACACUAGAGGAGAUGAAAGGGGUUAUCUUUAAACAUAUUGGACAUGCAUUGGGAAAGCCCAUAUUUCAUUAACUUAGUUCAAAAGAGUGGUCACAAGCACAUUUAUAUGUGUUGACAAAUUGCGAAGAUGUCAUACCAUUCAUUGAGUAAAAAAUUUAUUUGAAUUUUAAUUAAAGCUCUAGUUUAUAUCCUUAAUCAAUGUUUUUUAAAUUCACAAGGAGCACAAGCAAACCAUCAAGGCUAGACCACAUAUACGUGUUUGAGACGUAGAUUUAAUUCAUAACAAGGAAUUUAUCAAGUGGUUUGAAAGACAUGUAAGUAUAUUCCUUAUUAUAAGGGAUUUAUUUCACAUUAUGUUUAUAUUGAAUCCAAACCUAUUAUUGAAUUGUAGGUUGAACAAUUACAUAAUGAAGGUCAUAUAUCUGAACACCUUCUCACAUUAUCAUGUGUUCCAAAUUCAUUAGUUACAUGCUUCAAAUGAUAUAUUGUCAAUGGAUUUAGAUCCCACAUUAAAGAACGUGAUAAAAAAGUUUUUAAAAAAAGACUCAGAAUAAUGGAAUUGUUGUAGUUGCAAAAACGUCAAGCUUUACAAGUGCAUGUGAUAUGAGUCCAAUUAUUAGUGAUGCUCUCUACUAUGGUGUUCUAACUAAAGUUGUUGAGUUACAUUAUCUUGGUGAAAAUAAGGUUGUUUUAUUCGAGUUUGAUUGGUGGGAUGUUACAAAUAUUGGAAAAUUGAUAAAAGAUGAUGAGUACAAUUACACAUUUGUUAACUUUGCAUGAAUUCUAACCACGAACGAACGAUUUGUACUUGCAUCUCCAGCAAAGUAAGUGUUCUAUGUGAAGAAUGCGAAUGAAUCAGAUUGGCAUACUAUCAUGGAGAUGCAACCUCAAGACCUCUAUAAGAUGAACGGGAUAGGAUCCAAUGGUGAUUUUGAACCAUUUCAACAAAGUGAACUACAUGAUCACUAAUAUAUCUCAGAUUUAGUUGAUGAAGAUAUAAUCAAGUGGAACAAAAGUGAUGUUUUAGGACUAAUCAUCCUAAAAAAUAUUGUAGUUUCUUAAAAAAAAAAUGAAAAUGAAGAAGAUAAUUGAACCUUUGUCAUACUUUAAAAAGCAACUAUGCAUUGUUCAUUUUGUAUGUUUUGGUUUUCUUCAUUUAAUUUCCUGAUUUUUGUGAUUCAAUGUCAUAUUAUUGAUCUUGAAAUAUUUUUCUAAUUUUUCAUUCUACGAUGGUUUCAACAAGGAUGACAUCAAGUCAAAAAAGGAAAUGUGGUCCCACACACAAUAUUGCAUUACAGGGAUUAAGGUCAGGGAAGAAGGUAAAAGUUGCAUUUAAUGAGUACAAUCAAUUGGUUAAACAGAAAAAUGGAAAACACUUAUCGAGCUACAUAGGGACACUUGUAUCUAACCAACACAAUGUACCUCUCCAAGCUAGUGAUUGGAAAAAUGUUCCAAAUGAUGCAAAAGAGAAAGUAUGGCCUUUGUUUUGGUAUGUUGUAUUUCUCACUAUAUGAUGUCAUUUCACUGUUAUUCUAUUUUGUGACUAACGUUUGAAUCAUAUGUAAGAAAAAUUUGAAGUAGAUAAAGACUGAAAAGAUUACAUGUUGGGUAUAGCCUCAAAUAAAUAUAGAAGCUAUAAAAAUAUGAUGAAUGCAAAAUACUAUGACCCUUGGCAUAAGGAUGCAUGAGGAGAGGUUAAUACAUAAAUCACCAUUUGUCUCUGAUGUUGAUUGGAAGUGGCUUGUCUCUGAUGCAUAAACCAAAUCCCCCACUGAAUGUUUGAUAUUUGAUAGCAGGAAAAACACACCCGCAGCUAUACACCUCCAUCAUUCAGAUAAUUAUAGUGGGGGAGAUGAUUCAUGGUUGCCCUUAUACCCUUUAUUUGCACCAUCUAUUGAGAUUCUUUAUCAUGGCCAGGUUUUACUGCAGCAAUAAGAUAUGGUGGCAACAAUUUUAUCUAUAGGUGCGGUUCCAGACCGCCUCCAUAGGUGCGGUUCCUGACUGCCUCCAUAGGUGCCUCUUCUUGUAAUGUUUGUUCUGGGAAUUACACUUGAAAGCCUUAUCGUGAUAAGGGAUUACAAACACUAGUUCAGAGGACAGCCAUGUUAAACUUCCACUAUGUUUGUGUCACAUUAUCAGCAGCCUAGUGUUUAUUGGUCAUGCUAUCUGCAACUAAUAUAACCCGGUGAACUUCAAUCUAAAUUCUGAAAGUACUCAUGUGACAGAUGGUGCCUUUCAGCAGAUAUCAUCAAUUUAAAAGUAGUGUGUGUGCCUAUAGGUGGGAAGGCCUUGGCAAAUGUUCAGUAUUCCGGUAAUUCAAGAAGGAUAUAUCUAAAAUAGAUUUUCUUCUUGCCCAUUUCAAUAGUUAAAAUUUGAGAAGAUUGUGUCCACAUCACACAAAUAUUAUUGGUCCUUCUGUUGCAAUUUACCUCUGAACAUGUCUUCCAAUUCCCACGGUCCUGUUACUCCAGGAAAACUAUUUCGGUCAUAUUGAAAAAAAAAAUAUUAAAGAAGGUACACAUGCUUUUAAGUGGACUGGGGCAUUCAUAUCAGGUGGUCUGUAUCCACAUAUGCCACUUCGUGAAAGGUGGAACAGCCUAAUCACUAGGCUAUUUAGUGUGGCCCAGCCACGUUAAUCAAGCACAAGUCUUCAUACUUAAAGUCAAAUGGUGUCUUUAGUCUCAUUACACAUCGCUAUUUGAAGAUUAACUCAUCACUAGUGUAAUGCGAUUAAGACAGUCCUAACUCAAUAUUUGUUCUAGUUUUGGAUGCAAAUGCUUGCUGGUUUCAUCAUUGGAUGGGAUAAAGGUGCAAUCAGGACUAUGAAUACGUGCAGUAAUACUUCAUUCUCUUUUUUCUCAAUGAGACUUCUUGGCACAAUUUUGCUGCUCAGCAACCUACCUUUCCAUGGAAAAUCAGUUGUGACUGAUAGUAAUGGAUAUAUUCUAGAAAGCUAAACAUAGAUAGCAUUCAAUAUUAUCGAUAUAACAUUAACAGCGUAUGUCUCAAUGCUCAUCAGCUACAAGCAAUGGACAAACACUUUGAGUAACUCACAGCAGUCAAAAUUCCUAAACAGGACAGACGUGACAGAUCUAUAUAUAGAACACUGCAUAUGAGUCACAGGAAAAGAUAAUACGGGUACAUAGAAGCUCUUAUUUUACAUAUUACUCAUACUGAUCAAAGUCGCUCAGUUGGGAUGGAUGGGAGAAGGAGGUUUGAGGGGUGGCUUGUGCGGGGAAGUUGGCAGCUUCUUUCCGGGAGCUGGUUGCUUCUUUGCUGGAGUUGAAGGAGGCUUAAUCUUCCGAGGUGGCUUGUAUGAGUCUUCAGCAUUCUCAGCAGGAGGGUGACCAGGGUUGUGACCAUAAUGUGGUGGCUUCUCUCCCUUAGGUGGUUUGCCAACUGGGGUUGGUGGCUUGUUUUCUGGGAGUGGCUUCUCUCCCUUGGGUGGUUUGCCAACUGGGGUUGGUGGCUUGUGUUCUGGGAGUGGCUUCUCCCCCUUGGGAGGUUUUUCGAAUGGGGUGGGUUUGUGUCCUGGUGGUGGCUUCUCUCCCUUGGGAGGUUUACCAAUUGGGGUCGGUGGCUUGUGUUCUGGGAGGGGCUUCUCUCCCUGGGGAGGUUUAGUGGGUGGCUUGUGUUCUGGAGGUGGCUUCUCCACCGGAGGCUUAUGCUCUGGUGGUGGCUUCUCGAAGGGGGGAUGCUCAGGGUAAUCACCAAGUGAGGGGGUGGUGAGAACCACCAUGCCAAGCAACAACACUAGCAAGUAUGUAGUAGACAUCUUUGGGUUUGGACUCAGACAGUGCAAAACUACGAGAAAUCGCUAGCCCUUUAUAGCGGCUCGGACCUAAUACUGACAUAAUAUAAAAUAAAUAUUAUAUUUUAUCAAGAGAGAACAGAGUGUAAUUUUAUCAUUAAUACCGAUCGAGGCCAAAGAAAGAAGACCCAUAAUCCAUUUCCCACAAGCAUACACAAUGCAGCUGUAAUUUUAUCAUUUACUUUUAUCCCUUGGACCACUGCAUUUUUGUUGAGAGACACAAUAACACAUUUUUAUCUGUCAUUCAACAUUUACAGUAAAGAGAGGGCACAAAACGCAAUUAGAUAAAUUAUGUUUUGCCUGCUAAAAAGAGGCAAAUAACUUUAUUUGCAACAUAAUUAUUUUGGUUUCUAGUGACCCCGGGGCCUUUCGGUUGGUUUGGGAUCGGAAAAUGAACAUCAUAGGGGGGGUUGUGCCCUUAUGGGCAUAUAUAUCUGAUAGCUUCAACUGGCCUUGUUCCUAGAAAGAAAUUGCCAAAGAUAUAAACUUAUUCCAGGCUGAAAGUAGAUGAGAGUCAUAAUGAACAUCAACCUUUGUUCAGUUUGAUUCAAUGCCCCCAUAGUGUUCAUUUCACAGAUCUGAAUGAUUAUAUCCGUUGAAUACAUAAAUUAAUGAAGACAAAUAUGAAACCCAAGAUACAUCUCUGCAUAACAACCCCAACCCUGGUUGCUAUGUUUCCCUUCUUCUAUUCACAUGAGGAUACUGGUUAUAAUUGUCAAACUUGCAACAAGCCCUUUGACACCUAACGUCAAUGGACGAAUUAAAAGUCUCCUUCAAACGUCUAUUUCACAGCAUGAAGCUUAUAAAGGAUGCUGACAACCUUCAGAGUUAGCGACAAAAGAUAAUUAUCAAGGAGAGAUAGUUCCAUGAGAAUUCCAAGGAGUCUGAAUCAAAGACAAAUUGCUCACUCAAGGGUUCUUAUUUUCUUUUAGGUACAAAUCUCUUGAGUGUUGUUAAAGAAACACGUCACUGUCAUUUUGAUUUGCAUUUAACAUUUCACUUUUGUUCUGGAAGGUUUGUUCCGGAAACAUAUCAAAUGAGCAUCAUUUUCUUCUUCGGUGACACAUGGUCGCGAGUACGUGGGUCCAUUUUCAUGCCACUUAGUUGAAAAGUUGGAAAGAAAAAACAUGCCAACAAGAAGAUAGUGAGAGAAGGGGCACUUCAAGCCUUUAACAUGAACAAACAGUAAAUAAAAGAUGUUUCUCCACUCAUAAAAGUGUGUUAGAUAGCAAUAUAACGAAUCACAUCCAAAAUCUUUACUAGGCUCAAACAUAAAGAAGACUCAUUUUUAAGAAAAGAUAAAAAUGGCAUUGUCUGAUAGUAUCCAAUACACGAGAUGGCACUUAAUUUGUACAAGAUCUGUCAAUGCUGACGCACAUUUUCUGAUUAAAAAAAAACUGAUCAGUCAAAAGCAAUGAAGAGAAGUGAUGACAAUGAAUGAUGCUUCCAAUAUUUUCACCCCUUAUAGUGUUCUUCAUGAUUCAGAUAUAUAAUUGGAAAUAGAACAACCCUAUGCCAUACAUUCGUCUAAGUAUGGUGUCUAAUUUUUUGUGUCAGCGGUUGCGAAUGGAGCGUGCAAAAGUCCAAAUUGGCGUCUCUCCAUUUCCACAUAGGAAGGUGACCUUUAUUGACAAAUACCCAAUAUUUGUAGACAUUCCUUAAAUAUCAUAACUUCUUGUUGAUUUGAAAAUCAUUUUUCAACUACCAUGUUUUAAUAAAUAUUUUUUAAAAUGUAUUUUUAUCAAAGUCCACCAUGAUGGAUAAUAUUCACCAUGCAAUAAUUAAUAAAGUACAAACUAAGCGAAAUGAAAAGCAUUUUCUUUGCUUUGAGUUGAUUUUGGUUGCAUUGAGUUGAUUUUGGUUUCAUGGUUUUUUCAACUCUUAUUUUGAUUGGAAGAUGUCAAGAAAAGAAAACAUAAAGAAAAAUUAAAAGGGAAAAAAGAAGAAAAAUAAAAAAAAAUAGAUUUAAAAGUUAAUAAAUUAUUUUUUAUAUUUAUUUUAAUUCAUUUCACUUAUUUUUCUUUUACUAUAUAAAAUUUAAAUAAUUUAAAUUUUAUAAUUAAUUUAAUUACAUUUCAUUUUCUUCUAUAUUUAAAUAUUGGAAAAAUAUUUUACUUAAUAUUUUUUUCUUUAAUUUCUUUGGCAUUUUGGGAACCAAACUUAGCCUUUAAAAUAAAAAACAAAAAAAAAAUGAAAAUAAGGAGGGAAAAGUGAGAAAAGAUAAAAACAAUAUGUAAAGGAUUUGAAAAGUAUUAGUUUGUAAUUACUAUUUGGAUUUCAAUAGUAUUUUAUUUGUCUUUCUAUAUUUCAUGUAAGAGAGAAUUUAAGAUAUUCCCCAAGGCAAAGCAUUAGUUACCUGCAAUCAGUGGUGAUAAGGCUCCAAGCCAAUUUUGGGCCCCAUAUCUUAAGACAGUACAAUUUCCAUUUCAACAUUUCUGAUUUCUCAGAUGUUUCACAUACCACAGAAGAACAUUGUUUGUGAAAAUAUGCAUUUAUGUUGGAUUUUGUAUGCUGUGGGGACUGGGGCAAGGAUCAUAUGGAAGAGUGGUUGACUUUUUCUGUACUUUAACGGUUGAAAUAGGAUAAGCACGGGCAUUUGUGAGGCUUAAUUGAUUUUGAAGCCUGAAAUUGCGUUUCUGUCAUUUUGUCAAAAAAAUGGCAGAUUCCAUACUCAUAUGUUUGGCCUGUGGCCAUGUACAGAUGCCAUUUAGUGACCAGUUUGUAACUGUCAAUCGUUGCGUUUUGACUCUGCCUCAACAACAUCUGCCAUUGACGGGUUUUCAUACUUGCAAAUCAAAUAGUCUUUCGUCCCAUCAGGAAUUUCGGUUUAAAUAUUAUUAAGCAUACGUUUGGCUGACAAUCAUUAUCCAGUUCAUGAUUUGGUUUCUUACCCUUAAUCAAUGGUUUCUAAGUGAAUAUAUGUAGAAGGAAAUCCGAAGUGUAGACAGUAGUAUCGAUAACUCUCAAUAUUCUCUAUAUAAUAGAAUAAACAGCGUCAUAGUGAUCGUCGCCUACAAGCAAGGUACAAAUACCAAAACGAGUGACUCACAUAGACAUCUCCCAACAAGAUGUAGUAGUGACUGACACAUGGACACAAUUAACUCGUAGAAAAGGAUAAGACCAUUGCACAGCAGCUCUUAUUUUACAUACUACUUAUGCUAACCAAAGUCAAUUAGUUGGGAUGGGUGGGAGAUGGAGGUUUGUGCGGUGGCUUGUGGGGCGGAGUUGAUGGCUUCUUUCCAGGAGCUUCUGGCUUUUUCAUCGGAGCUGAAGGAGGCUCAAUCUUAUGAGGCGGCUUGUAUGAGUCUUCUUUACUCUCGACAGGAGGGUGGCCAGGGUUGUGAUCAUAAUGUGGUGGCUUCUCUCCCUUAGGUGGCUUGCCAACUGGGGUUGGUGGCUUGUGUUCAGGAAGUGGUUUCUCUCCCAUGGGAGGUUUAGCAAUUGGGGUUGGUGGCUUGUGUUCUGGGAGUGGCUUCUCUCCCUUGGGAGGUUUAGUAGGUGACUUGUGUUCUGGAGGUGGCUUCUCCACCGGAGGCUUGUGCUCCGGUGGUGGCUUCUUGGUUGGAGGGGGCUUGGGGUAAUCAGCAAGAGAUGGGGUGGUGAGAACCACCAGUCCAAGGAACAACACUAGCAAGUAUGUGGGAGACAUUUUUGAGUUUGGGCUGAUCAGAUGAUGCAAAACUAAAGCAUUACGUGACCUUUUAUAGCAUGUAGCUCCCAAUACCCACUAAGUAUUGUGGGGUCCAUUUGUGCCCUACGGGGUUGAAAACUUAGACAAUUGGGCAAGGACCCACCUGACUAUGGAGGACUAGUGAGGUGUGAUCAUAGCUUUAGGAUUUUUCUUCCUCUGCAGCCGUCGUGCCGUUGGCAUGAUUUUCUUAAUCUUAAAUAAAGGCAUAGUUAUAGAGUUGUUUAAUCUCUAAAUGGGAUUUUAUAUAUAUCUUCAGAUAGCCAUUAAUAUAUUUGAUGAAGAAAGAAAGACAAGUGCAUACAACAUGUAUACGACUAGCUUUCAUGGAGUUCAUUUAUGAUCAGUUUUCCUGUACAUGUAAACCAGGAUCAUAUAUAUGUUUCUGUUCCACAACUAUUUUGGAAUCUUGUUUAUCAGUUUUUAUCAUUAUAAUGUCACAUAGGCUGCCAACUUGGGCGCUAAAAGAACCAGUUGGGCUAGUUCGUUUCAGAAUUUCAAUGUGGAUUCAGGAAUUGUUUUGUAAGAUAUGCGAAAUAGUAGAGGGAUGAAUAGUGUUUCAUUAAUAAAAGUGUCCUGUAAAUUAGAAGGUGUCAUAGAAACUAUAAUCAAUAAAUAACUUUUUUUCCCCACGGGUGGUGUUUCUUGUGGGGAUCAGUGACUGGUUUAGGUUCACCCAAAAUGAGUUCAGACUAAAAUUGGUUUGAGUCAAUGCCGUGUCUCUUUUUUCCAGAAAUCAACUAUUUUAUGCAUUGAAUAAAUCAUACAAAGAAAAUAUGAACGCCCGCAAAACCUAAACCCUGGUUGCUAACUUUCUAUGUUUCAGUUCUAUUCACGCAAGAAUAUUAGUUUAAGUUUGGGAAAAAUGGCAACUUACCUAGUGAUUACUUGGUUUUGGUUUGCGACUAUUUACGCAACCAACCAUGAGUUUGACUUUAACGUCAUGGGUUGAAGCCUCCUACAGGAAGGGAGAAAGCUCCACAGCUAGCUCCAAAAGAGAAUUAUCACAUUGAUAGCUCCAGAGAUUCCCAAGGGGACUGAAUCAAAGACAAGUUCCUCACUUUUUCUUCUUUUGAGGCCAAAUAUGAACCAAGGAUCACACAACCUCAUUCAACUUCAUAAGUUUGAUUUCAUGCAGUUGAACACUGGGUGAAGGCCAUGACAAGAAUUGAUUCAAAAAUUCUAUCACUCUUUUAAGUAAUGGAAGAUUAUUAUCUCUGAUUGGCAUCACAACAGCACAUGCUCCUAGAUCUUUCUAGACACUCCAUGCAAUGAAAGCACAAUGGAUCUUGUAACGAUAGAAACUAAGCCAUGCUACAGUACUAGAUGAUGAGGUAAAACUAGUAGACACGGGUGGCAGCCUAUAUGGGAGGGACACAAGUCUAAUUGAUUUGCAUUUCAGCAUUAUAGAUAGGUAUGUUUUGGAAGAUUUGUUCUGGAAAUACCGCACCAAGUAGGAUUCUUUUUCUCUUUAGUGGGUCCACUUGCAUGCCAAUUAACGAGUUGAAAAGUAUGAGCACCUACCUCGUGCUCGUGGAACCGAAGGUCAGUGAAGUGGGGCUCCUUUUGGCCUCGUGUAAACUUGAUUCAGAAGUGAAGUUAAUAGUCUUCCAUUCAGAUGGAUACAUGGGAAUUUUUCUCUUUUAUUUAUUUAUUUAUUUUUUUUUUGUGUGUGUAUGUCAAAGGAUAAUGAAUGAAGCGCGUUAGCUUGUUUUCUGACUGGAACCGCAGAUGUCCAAAUUGGAGUUCCUUCAUUUCUUACUUAGGAUUGUUACAUGUAUAAACAAGGUAUAAGAAAUAUGCCAACGUGUCUUGAGGAGUUAUUGAUUAGAAAUAACAAGUCACCCGACUGUAGAGUUCCAAGAUUUGAAUCUUCAGACCCUAUAGCAGCCUCUGGGGUACGUGGCAUCCUAUAGCAUAUUAAUGAAGGCUUUUUCGAUUUAGACUUCACAAUACCAAUUAAUAUGUAUGCACAAAAUGGAGAUGACCCCAAAAAAAACAGAAUCGCCAUAGUUUAUGAGGUUAAGGUGAUUCUCCACUUAAUAUCUACAUUAGCUAAUUAUGUAAAUCAAAUGAACUUCUAUUUUUCCUUUUUUUUUUUGGUUUAUGUCAAAUAGUAGCCCAUAAUUAACCCAACCAUUAGCCUGUUUGAAUUGAUUUCACAUGCACAAUGUUGUAGUAGUUCAUAUUUUGAAUUUUAUUUUUACAAAGGUAGUUAAGGAAAAUGAAGUAUAAUAAUUAUAAAAGCAGACUAUAUACACUACAAUAAUUGUUAGAAUGGUAUCUCAAAUUCUAAUUUAAAAUAUUAUUUUUUGUAAAAGAAAUAUUAUAUAGAAUAUUUCCUAAUUUUAUAAAUGAUUAUAAUUAGAUCUUUAUAAAAUAAGGAAAGUUGGUAAGAAUAUCUUUAUAAAUAUUUUAGGUCAUGAGAGAAAGAAAUGGGAUAAAAAUGUGAUGAAGAGGUGAAAUAAGAGAGUUGAUUAGGAUAUAGAUGUGAAGAAGAAAGGGAUUCAAUAUAUAUAUAUCUUUCAAUUACCACAUUAAAACCCUGUGAACCUUUUAUAUGGUUUACUUUAUUUUUAUAUUCCUCCUUUAAUAUAUUUACAUUAAUGCUUCCAUUGGCACAACAAUAACGAAUUACAAAUACAAGCAACAAGUCCCAUGUUUUAUUACCAAAAGCAGGUAAAAUCCACCUAAUAUAUUACAAUAUAUUCAUCCAAUAUUUUAGACCAAUUCUUCACCAUAAAUAUCAUAAUGUGGCUUUUGUUCUUUCUUAAAUUUAAAUUGAAUUGUCUUAUAUCAAUUUGUUUGUGAUUUUUUCAUUAACUUCACUUUCAUUUGGUUAUCUUUGGUUUUUGAAAAGUAUUAAGGAAUUAAUUAACAAAAUAAUGUUAAGAAAAAUAAUUUUCUCUCUUUUGAUUUUGAUUUUGUAGUAGAAAAAUAUAAUUAAAAUUAUUUAAAAAGUAUGUAAUUUUAAAUUAUUUAAUAUUUAGAUAAAAAAAAUAAGUCUAAUGAGUUUAAAAUAACAUAUAAAAAUAAUUUAUUUAUUUUAAAUUUAUUUUUUAUUUUCCAUUAUGUUCUCUUUCUCUUUUACUUUUUCAUAUUUUUUCUUACGAAGAAUCAAACACAACCUCAUAUUAUAUGUCAAGUGUUUGUCUAUAUUUGAGCAAUGUUAGAUACGGCCAUGGAUUCAUCAAACUAAACUGAUUUUAAUAGAUACUUCACAAAUUGAUUUAUACACUAAAUCAUUGGAUAGCAAUGAUGCAUUGGAAUUAAACGUAGGAUGAAGCUCGAAGAACACUGUUUGUGUAACAACAUAUUUAUGAAAUUAUGCAAAGGAUGAGCUUCGGGGUAGUAGUACAAGGUCAUUAAUGGAGAGCCGUGUUAAACCUUGAUUGUGAUUGGAUUCCGUUAUCAGCAACAGCAACCUUGUUUGUAACCUUGAAAGUCAUUCUGUCCACAUCGAAACUCCAAUUUGACGUUUGUAAUUACCAUUCCUGGAGUGUUCCUUGAUUGAAAUUUAAAUAAUAAUUGCGGCCCACAAGGAAUAUUUUCGAUUCUGUGGGAAUUUGACAAGGUUUGUUAGAGAAGACUGGUGACAUGUUGACUUCAAUGGUUCAAAUAGGAGACGUAUGUGGAUUUGGGGGGUUUAAUUGAAACUGAGUCCCUAUGGCUUUUUAAUAUUUGCAUUGAGCAGUCUCCAUGUGACUUCCUAAUUCCCACCAACCCUCCUGUCCAUGCUGUGAAACUAAAUUGUAAUUUAUCAGCCUUUGUCAAUGGUUUCUAAAUUAAAGAUAUAGACCAUGCAUGUACUUUAAUAAAAGCAAAUCUAAAGUGUAGAUAGCAGCAAUGGUGACACCCAAUAUUCUCCAUAAAAUAGAAUUAGAAUAAGCAGUGUUACAUUGUUCAUGAUCACCUACAAGCAUACAAGAACUUCCAUGAAUAACUCAUAGCAAUUGCCAACAGGGCGUCGUAGAGACUCAUACAUAGAACACUAUCCACCCAGAGGAAAGGACAAGACCAGUGCGCUGCAGCUCUUAUUUUUCACAUGUAUACCACCACUCGUAAUAACCAAAUUCACUCAGUUGGGAUAGGUGGGAGAUGGUGGUUUGUGGGGUGGCUUGUGGGGAGGAGUUGGAGGAGGCUUUAUUUUCUGAGGCGGCUUGUAUGAGUGUGCAGGAGGAUGCCCGGGAGUGUGACCAUAAUGUGGUGGCUUCUCUCCCGUAGGUGGUUUGCCAAAUGGGCUUGGUGGCUUCUCUCCCUUAGGAGGUUUACCAAUUGGGGUUGGUGGCUUGUGUUCUGGGAGUGGUUUCUCUCCCUUGGUAGGUUUGCCAAUUGGGGUUGGCGGCUUAUGUUCUGGGAGUGGCUUCUCUCCCUUGGGAGGUUUGCUAAUUGGGGUUGGCGGCUUAUGUUCUGGGGGCGGCUUCUCUCCCUUGGGAGGUUUGCCAAUUGGAGUUGGCGGCUUAUGUUCUGGGAGUGGCUUUUCUCCCUUGGGAGGCUUGCCAAUUGGGGUUGGCGGCUUAUGUUCUGGGGGUGGCUUCUCUCCUUUAGGAGGUUUGCCAAUUGGAGUCGGCGGCUUAUGUUCUGGAAGUGGCUUUUUUCCCUUGGGAGGUUUGCCAAUUGGGGUUGGCGGCUUAUGUUCUGGGGGUGGCUUCUCUCCCUUGGGAGGUUUGCCAAUUGGAGUCGGCGGCUUAUGUUCUGGGAGUGGCUUCUCUCCCUUGGGAGGUUUUGUUGGUGGCUUGUGUUCUGGAGAUGGCUUCUCCCCUGGAGGCUUGUGCUCCGGAGGUGGCUUCUGAAAUGGCGGGGGCUUGGGGUAAUGAGCAAGAGAUGGAGUACUG